rnacentral:lncRNA from 1 species
AGCAGAGAAAGUUGGCUUGAAGCCAAGCAAACUUUUGCUUGAGAUGAGCAUUGCCUAGUAAGAUUGUUUCGAUUCAUCGAUUAUUACUGAUCAUCAUACUUCUCUUGUCUUAUAUUCAUGUGAUUAUUUUACAUUGAUUGUGGGGUUGCUUUGGUUUGGUUAUUAUGGCUUCAUCCUCUAUUUCUUUAGUUUUAUUCAAGGAUAAAUCUAAUUGUGCUUUGAUUAGUUAUUCCAUAUUUGAAAAUCUUUGUGUAUUUUGGGUUUUUUCUCUUUAGAUAUUUUCUAGAUUAAUCCACUGACCUUUAAACCCACAAAUAAAGAAAAAUGAAAUGAGUUUUUUCAUAUUUGUUGGGUGUUUGGCCCUUGUUUAUCUUUUUUUAAAGCUUUAUUCCUUUAUAUUCUCUAUUUCUCCCCAUUUUGUACAUGGGUGUUUCAAUCAGAGUCUCUAUUUUGGCUUCCACAUUUGAGAUUUCUUUUAUGAGCGAAGACCCAAAAAUGGAGACUGGCUUCUUGUAAUUGAUAAAAUAGUUAGUCACCCAUUAGCUUAGAUGAAGCAUAGAUGUUAACCGGAUUGUGAACAUGGAUACUCUAUUUUGGGCCUAUUAGGCCUUCCAAUCCUCUCUUAGUUUCAUUAUUCUUGAGGAUAGUGUUUGGUUGUGUCUGCUACUUAUUCUGUGGCUUCGGUGGUCUGUUUGUUUAUUCUUGGCUAUUAUCAAUGCUAACAAUGGGAAAGAGACUGGUUUUGGUUAUGCUCUUACGGAUUUGAAGGUGAUCAAAGGGUCCAGUGAAGAGAAGAUUAGUAGGUCAUAUUAGGUUAAUUAAUUAAUUAGGACAUGUUUUGAGUUAUAUUAAGUAAUACAAGCUCUUAGUGGGCUUAAGUAACUUAAGCCUAGUGGGGAAUGCCAUAAAUACCCCUUAGGGGUUAGCAUUUCCAUAGGUUUUUCUAGAGAGUCAUCUUUCACCUCCAAAGAAGGAGAGUCAUAGCCUUUACCAUUUUUUCCAUCAUUAUCGAAGUGUGUCAAGAUUAAGGUUUAAGUCAUUGAGCGGAAGACUCCAGGUUUAUGAGACUUCAUACAACUUCGUUUUUCAUUUUCAUCAAAUGGAAUUAAUUUGAAAACAUUUGAAUCUGAAGUAUGGUUUUUGUUAGCAUAUUUCGAAUCCCUUUAAAGUUUAAAAAUGCAAAUUUUCCACUAUGUAUAGGAUUUAAAAUCGCUUAAGAUAGUUAAACAUGUUCCCCACUUGAUCUGAAUUGGGAAACGGAGAAAUCUGAUAUUUUCCCAUCACAAGGUAGGAUAAGAACUUGUGAUUGAUCUUUAUGGAUUGGACUAAUUAAUUAAUUGGAACCUAAUUAGGCUAAUUAAUUAAUUAAGACCUAAGCAAACUAGUUUAAGUUACACAAGCCUAGGAUGGACUUAAGUGACUUAAGCCCAUGGGAAGCUUAUAUAAACUCCUUUAGGGGUUAGGGUUUCAAACUUUUAUCAUCUAGUCUUCAAUUCCUUAAAGAGAAUAGAACUCGAGCCAACAACUCUCCUAAAGGAUUCUAUUGCUCCGUGUCAAGAUUCGAAAAAAAACUAUUUGAUGGAAGGUUGUUAUGUUUAUGAGAUUCGUUAUGUUUUUUUACACCUUUUCACUAAAUGGAAUUGAUAUAGGAAUGUUCAUAUCUCAAGUGCAACACACUUAUUCUCUUUAGAUUUAUAUUGCUUAUGGUUUUUUUUUUUUUUGUCAUGGUUUUCCGUUAAGAUUAGAUUAAGAGAGCCCUAUGUCAUAGAAUGCUUCAAAUGAGCCUCCCCGGGGGUUUGUAUAGAGCCCAUGAAGCUUCUAGAGACUCCUAUACUUAGCCAUUGGUGGGAAGAGUGUGAAAGGUUCUACAGAUGUCUAGAGAUAUUUACACAUCUCUACACUAUGGUGGAAGGCAUGAGAGGAGUCUAAGGCAUUCUAAAGAAUUAUAAAGAUCUCUUAUAUAUUCUUGUACAUAGGCUUGUACAUAGAAUUGUGUAGGAAGUUAUAGAUUAUUCUUGAGCUGUAAGGAACCCUCCAAGGUUCCAGAGAGUUCCAUUGGUGCCUAUAAAUAGGUGAAUGCCUCAUUUGGCCAAGACACUAAGCAAGUGAAUUCCAAAACACUUGUAAAGCUUCCUUUGAAUAAUAAAAGUUUCAAUUCUUCAAGAGUUGCCUAUUAUGCCUUCUAAAACUUCUAAGUCAUGAGCAUCUUAACCUAACAAGUUAAGCAUUGGGAGUAAUGCUAACUUAGCAAGAUCAAGGAUCUUGACUUGUCUAAGUGUUGCACGAUCUUAGGAAAAGAUUAAGUUUGUGACAGUUGGUUUCAAAGUGUGACUACGAAGUGAGCAUAGUAAAGGAAACAUGUCGAGCUUCAACAUGGAGGAAACUAGUGAGCAAACCCGUGGGAAAGAAACCGAGCCUACUGCAUAGGACAGGGACAUGAAGGAUAAAUCUCGUAAUGCCAUAGCCAACGUGGAGGCAAGGCUAGCCAAGGUGGAGCUAGCCAUGGCAGACACCCGGGAAGGGGUGGACUUAAUCGAGCAAGGCAUGGAAAAUGGCUUAGAGGAUCUAAAUGAGCAUAUCCAAGACCUUCAUGAGAGAGUGCUAGGCUUACAAGUUCGGCCGAUGUCAUAUGAGGAGUUCAUGUCCUUCCAAAACGAGGUCAUGAGCAUGUUUGCUAGCAUGGAGUCGAAGGUGGAGGCCUUGGCUGCACGCAUAGAGGCCCAAGACCAAGAGGUUCAACAAGAGCUAGCUAUCUACAAGACUGUCUUAUCAGCACGAGUCAUGGCCACUCAUGAGGCACUAAGGGUGGAAGUGCCCAAACCACACACGUUCAAUGGCAAGAGGGAUGCCAAGGAGUUGGACAAUUUCUUGUGGCACAUGGAGCUCUACUUUGAGGUUAUAACACUAAUAGAUGAAGCCACUAAGGUAUGUACCACAACCCUCUACCUCACCAAUAAAGCUACUCUAUGGUGGCGUCAGAGGUUUGCCAAUAUAGAAAAAGAAAUGUGCACCAUAGACACAUGGGAUGCCUUUAAGCAAAAGAUCAAAAAACAAUUAUACCUUAAUGAUGUGGCUUACCUAGCAAGGAAAAACACAAAAUGUCUUAAGCACACAGACUCGAUCCGUGAGUAUGUCAAAGAAUUCUCUACACUUAUGCUUGAGAUACCCAACAUGUCUGAGGAAAAGCUACUAUUCAACUUCAUGGACAACUUGCAAAGCUGGGCCGAGCAAGAGUUAAGGAGAAGUGGUGUCCAAGACCUAGCCACGGCCAUGGCGGUAGCGAAGUCCUUGGUGGAAUACAAAAAGGGAGACUCUUUUAAGCCCAAGCCACAGUCUAAGGGUAAUCAUGCUAAAGGUGGGGAAACAAGGGAUCAAGGAGGUACACUCCUAAGGAAUGAUCAAGCAAGACCUCUGGUGGCAAGGAUGGUAAGGGUAAGGAUAAACGGAAAUAGUUCACGCCUAAGAUCAAUUGCUUCCUAUGUGAUGGUCCACAUUGGGCGCGAGACUACCUCAAAAGAAAAGCCCUAAAUGCCAUGAUCGAGGAAAAGUAGAAGGAAGACAAUGCUCAUGUGGGAUCAUUACAACUCUUAAAUGAUAUCAAGGCUAAGUCAGUGCUUAAGACACCUCAAAGUAAAAGUCUAAUGUACAUAGAAGCCCUUGUAAAUAGGAAGGCUACCAAGGCUUUGGUGGACACUAGUGUCACUCAUAACUUUGUCUCGAAGGAUAAGACAAAGAACUUAGAGCUCCAAGCAUCUAAGGAAGGAGGUUGGCUCAAGGCAAUUAAUUAAGUUUCCAAGCCAUCACACGAAGUAGCACGCAGGGUGGCAAUGCACAUUGGCUCAUGGGAAGGAAUGGUCGACUUCACAGUGGCACCCAUGGACUACUUCAAGAUGGUACUGGGAAUGAACUUCCUAUAGAAAGACAAGGUCAUGCCACUACACUUCCUACAUUUAAUGGUUAUCCUAGAGGAUGAAAAGUCAUGCAUAGUCCUUACGGUCACCGAAGGUUCACCCAAGACCCCUAUGAUAUCGGUUAUGCAAGUAAAGAAGGGAUCAAAGAGGAAAGAGGUGACCUACCUCACCACUCUUAAGGAGGAAAAUGAUGAUGAGUUGGGGGAGCCCAUGCCUAAGGAAAUCAAGAGAGUCUUUGAUGAGUUCAAGGACGUGAUGUUGCCUAAGUUGCCUAAAAGACUCCUUCCUAGAAGAGAGAAAGAUCAUAAGAUCGAGUUAGAUGCAGGAACUAAGCCCCUUGCUAUGGGGCCAUAUAGGAUGGCACAACCCAAGCUGAAAGAGCUAAGGAAACAACUUAAGGAGUUGUUGGAUGCAGGGUUUAUCCAACCAUCCAAGACUCCCUAUGGCGCACCGAUUUUAUUUCAAAAGAACCAUGAUGGGUCCCUACAGAUGUGCAUCGAUUACCAAGCACUCAAUAAGGUAACAAUAUAGAAUAAGUACCCCAUUCCACUCAUUGUUGAUCUAUUUGAUCAACUUGGUAAAGCAAGGUAUUUCACUAAGUUGGACUUGAGAUCAGGCUACUACCAAGUGAGGAUUGUGGAAGGAGACAAACUGAAGACUACAUGUGUGACCCGAUAUGGCUCAUAUGAGUUCUUAGUGAUGCUCUUCGAUCUCACCAAUGUACCAACAAUGUUUUGGACACUCAUGAAUAAGAUCUUCCAUCCCUAUUUAGACUAGUUUGUGGUGGUAUACUAAGAUGACAUAGUCAUCUACAAUAGCAUCUUAGAGGAGCACGUGGAGCAUUUAAGGAAGGUCUUCAAGAUCUUAAGGUAAAACGAGUUAUAUGUAAAGAAGAAGAAAUGCUCAUUUGUUAAAGAGGAUGUGAGCUUCCUAGGGCAUCGCAUCAAAGAUGGCAAGCUGAUGAUGGAUGACAACAAGAUGAAGGUCAUCUAGGAAUGGGAUCCACCUACUAAGGUACCUCAACUAAAGUCUUUCCUUGGCUUGGCUAACUAUUACCAGUGGUUCAUCAAGGGUUACUCUACAAAGACAGCUUCACUCACUAAUCUUCUUAAGAAGAACAAGGCAUGGGUGUGAGACAAAAGGUGGCAACAAGCCUUUGAAGAUCUAAAAAGUGUUGUGAUUGAGGAGCCAAUGUUGGCAUUACCCAACCACAUGAAGGUUUUUAAGAUACACACAGAUGCCUCAAACUUUGCUAUUAGGGAAGUUCUGAUAAGAUAGACAUCUAAUCGCCUUCAAGAGUUGCAAGCUAAAUGACAUAGAGAGACGCUACAUGGUACAAGAAAAUGAUAUGACUGUCAUUGUCUAUUACUUGCACACCUGAAGACACUAUCUUCUAGGGUCUCACUUCAUAGUGAAAACCGACAAUGUUGUCAUUAGUUACUUCUAAACACAGAAAAGUCCUAAGUAAGCUAGGUGGCAAGACUUUCUGGUUGAGUUUGACGAUGCGCUGGAGUAUAAGACAAAAAGUACUAAUCAUGUGAAUGACGCCCUAAGCCGUAAUGUAGAGCUAGCAUUCAUGACGAGCCAGCCCCAAUGAGACAUAAUAGAUCUUCUAAGAGAGGGGUUGCAACAUGAUCUAGUGGCUAAGAGCCUUAUUACCUUGGCCCAUGAGGGAAAAACUAAGUGUUUUUAGGUAGAGGACGACCUACUCUACACUAAGGGGAGACUACUCUACGUGCUUAAGUGGGGGAACAUAAGGUAGAACUUGAUUAAGGAGUGCCAUGACACCAAGUGGGUUGGGCACCUUGGGCAACGACGCAUAAAGAGCACUACUCGAGUCAGCUUACUACUGAUCUUAGAUACAAGAUGAAGUUGAGGCAUAUGUGAGGACUUGUCUUGUGUGCUAACAAGACAAGGUAAAACAACAACAACCUAGAGGCUUGUUGGAGCCACUACCUAUAGCAGAGCGUCCAUGGGAGAGCAUCACCAUGGACUUCAUCAUCGGGCUACCUAAGUUGGAGGGCUAUGGCUCGAUCAUAGUGGUAGUGGAUAUGUUCUCUAAGUAUGUGACCUUCAUAGUAGCCUCUACUGACUGUACUGCAAAGGAGACAGCAAGGCUAUUCUUGAAACACAUGGUCAAAUACUGGGGGUCGCCUAAUUACAUCAUCAGUGAUCGCGAUUUGCAUUUCACUAGGAAGUUUUGGACAAAGCUCUUUAAGCUUAUGGGUUUGAAGCUUCACUUCUUCACAAGCUUUUCACCCGUAAACAGAUAGGCAGAUUGAGAGGGUGAACGCCUUAUUAGAGUUAUACUUAUCCUUCAUGAGUGUCAACCAAAAGGAAUGGACUAAGUUGCUAGAUGUAAUCCAAUUUUCAUACAACUUGCAAAGAAGUGAGACAACCAACAAGAGCCCGUUCAAGCUAGCCAUAGGGCAGCAACCAUUGACUCCUCACACACUACCAAUAGGCUAUACGAAGAGAAGUUCAGCGGCUUUGAAGUUCACUAAGGGGUGACACGAGCCAACUGACAUAAUAGCUCAUACUUGGAUAGGGCCGCUAGAAAGAUGAAGAAGUGGGCUGACAAAAAGCGACAUCACACUGAGUACAAGGUCGGAGACAUGGUCUUUGUCAAGCUCCUUCCUAAAAAAUUCAAGUCACUAAGGCCGGUACAUAAAGGCCUUAUGAUGAGGUAUAAAGGACAUUUCCCCAUACUUGGAAAGGUCGGCAAGGUGUCCUAUAGAGUUGAGUUACCACCGAGGUUGAAGAUUCAUAUCGUCUUCCACGUAAGUUACAUAAAAUCAUAUCACGAAGACAAGAAUUAUCCAAGCCAAGGGAUGUCCUAGAUGACACCUACAUCGAUUAUGACCUUCUAUGACAAGGAAGUAGAACACAUCAUUGCAGGCUGAGUCAUCAAGAGAUGAGGCGUGCCUCCUGCUACGGAGUACUUGGUGAAAUGGAAGGGACUACCAGAGAACGAGACUAGCUGGGAGCCAAUAGAUGCACUAUGGCAAUUUCAGGAGCACAUUAAGUGGUUCUAGGUGGAAGGUGCGACAAGGACGUUUACGGUUUAGGUAGGGGAGAGUGUCAUAGAAUGCUUCAAAUGAGCCUCCCCAGGGGUUUAUAUAGAGCCUAAGAAGCUUUUGGAGACUCCUACACUUAGUCAUUGGUGGGAAAAUGGUGGAAGGUUCUAAAGAUGUCUAAAGAUAUCCACACAUCUCUACACUAUGGUGGAAGGUAUGAGAGAAGUCCAAGGCUUUCUAGAAAAUUCUAGAGAUCUCUUGUAUAUUCUUGUACAUAGGCUUGUACAUAGAAUUGUGUAGGAAGUUUUAGAUUAUUCUUGAGUUGUAAGGAACCCUCCAAGAUUCCAAAGAGUUUCAUUGGUGCCUAUAAAUAGGUGAAGGCCUCAUUUGGCCAAGGCACCAAGCAAGUGAGUUCCAAAGCACUUGUAAAGCUUCUUUUAAGUAAUAAAAGCUUCCAUCCUUCAAGAUUUAUCUACUACGCCUUAUAAAGCUUUCAAGUUGUGAGCAUCUUAACCUAGCAAGCUGAGCAUUGGGAGCAAAACUGACUUAGCAAGAUCAAGGGUCUUGACUUGUCUAAGUGUCGCACGAGCUUAGGAAAAGACUAAGUUCAUGACACCUAGGACUAGUAGCAUGCACCCUAAGUAAUCCAAGGCUAGAAAUGAAAUGAUACAAGGAUUCCCAACACUUGACUUAAUUCCUUAGAAAUUGAAACUCAAUAAAAAACAUUAGUGUCAUUAACCUCAUUUUUUUUAUUACCAAUACUUAAUUAGGGGAAACCUUGAGCUAACAACCUCCUCAUUUUUUAUGAUGAUAAAACUGUACCAUCUAAAGAAAGCUUUCCUUAAUGUAUGCAUAUUAUAAGCAAUUUAAACAUUCAUCAUAAAAGAUGGAAAACAUAAACUCAAAUGGAGACAUGGAUAUAUAGAUAUAAGAGACAUCAUAAAGGUUGCAACAUGAUCGUAUAUCCGAAAUAGCAUCCAAAAGCAUGUCAUCCAAAAAAAAAUCAACCAUAAUAACCAUGUUCAAAUUGUCCCAAAAAGGAAAAAAAUAUAUAUAUGAAACAAAAAGUAUUAAAUAGUUUACUAAAUGUUAUGCCCUAGAUACCUAAAGAUAUCUCCCCCUUAGGCAACAUCGAAACAAUGAGGGAACUAUAUGGCUCAAGGUUGAGGUGGUGGAAACAAGGAACAUAGGACAGCUAUUGAAGAAGCUAAAAUUCUUCAUAAAUGAUUGAAUUUUAUUUCACCAUGAGAAACAAUACAAAGAGGGAUUUUUUUUUUUUUUUUUUUUUUUUUAUCAAGGGGAAGACCCCUUUCUCUUUACUACUUAUCCCUUUUAAUAAAAAUUCUUCCACAUUUUUCCACUUUAUUUUGCCAACAUUCUUUCAACCCCUUUUGCACAAAAAUGCCAAAGAUAGUAUUAGGAUAACCUUUUACAACCAUUGCUAACUUUUGACACAAGUUGCUAAAAAUUGUUGAAGAUUUGCUUUUAAUGUCAGGUAGGAUAGCAGAUUGGUUCUAAUUGAAGGUCAUUUCUUGUGGAGGACCUUACUUAUAAGUGAGAUGAUUGUUCCUAUCUUCAUGGUUUUAUGUUGUAUAGUUAUAGAGACUUUUUAGAGGCUAUCAGCUUUAGAGCAAAUUUAUGUUGUUUGUUAGGGAUUAAGUAUUUUAUUCAAAUUGGGUGAAUGGUACUACCUCUUUACUUGAGAUGGCUUUGAGAUUGGGUGGUUGAAUAGUAGUACUUUGGAAUGGUCUAGUUUUUGUUCGCUUUAGCUAUCAUUUUCUUAUGCUGUGUCUAUAGACGAGUGGAGACGUCAUUUGGAAAUUGGUCAAAUUGCCCGUGAAAUUGAUCAAAUUGUCAAGUUGUCAUCCUAAAAUUGACUAAACCUAGUUUGUAAAAAUGAGAAACGACCGUCACUAGCGACUAACAUCUUCUCAAGCUAAGUAUUAAUAGAUCCAAUCUGAGCAUAAAGGGCAUCUUAAUGUUGCAGGUUCAAUGCUCAUGAAGCAUAAUAUUUUGGAUACUUGGUGUGAGACACCUCAGCAUAAGUCUAAUCCAUAAGGAUAGUCUCCUCAGGAGGUUGAGAUGUGGGCAAUUGAAUGGUGGCAUCCAUGCCCUUGGUUUGCAUCUCCUGUUGAACAUCCUCACCCCCUAAUCCUUUAUGGUCACCCUCAGUCUCUAUCUAUAGAAUCUCUGCCUCUUACUCAACCCGGUCUUCAUUCAUAGCAGGACCCUUUCUUUUUCUUUCCAAUGAUCCAUUAGGCAAUUUCUCAAACAGCAUUCGGUCUGGAUUUUACGUUAUAGGUAUCAUAGGAUGAGGCCUGAAUGUUUUUUUCUCUUCUUAUGUCCACAUUGAAUGCUUUCAGGAUUUUUGUGAUCAGUCUUCUUCCGUUGGCCACUACUUUAGAAUUGCUUUUACAACAGUUUUUCAUGUGUUGAAAGAUGAUAAGGAAACCUUAGAAUGGAUCGGAGUCAAUAGAAAAUGCUACAUAAUAGGACACCUUGUCUCUAUGUCCACCCUUAGGUAGAAAAAUAUGUUUGAUCAUGUGGUGGUGCACCCUAGAGAUAAUGCUCAAGGCAUGGGCAUGGAGCUUUGAAGUCACUGUGUCGAUGGGUAAGUUACAUAUCCUCUAGAAAGCCCUACCUAGGUUAAAACUAGACACUAUAGGCCAUCCCUUCGUCUCAAAUAAACAAAGUCCCCCACAAAGGAUCUCCAAAAUAUCACAAAGCAUAUCAAUAUUUAGUUUAAUUCAACUCCUCUAACAAAUGUGCUAAUUGGCCUUCAUAUAUUUUAGGUUCAAGUAAAAUACCUGAACAAGGUUGGGGUAUGUAGGCUCUCUUGAUGAGAUGGUAUUGGUGAGUAUUUUUUUUUCUUCAAUACAAAACUAUUACAACACUUGGUUUUUUUUUUUUCUAAAAAAAAAAGAAAAAUAAAAAUAGUUUUAUAUUAUACUUAGUUUCAAGAAAAAUAAUAAUCAAAGCAAAAUGAAAAAAAAAUUCUCAUAUUGGUUUCUCGUGAAAAAUAUAAAAGCAAAUAAAAUACAAUUAAAAUUAAUUAAAAUCUUAUGUAUUUUUAAAUUAUUAAUUUUUAUAUAAAAAAUGAAAAAUAGUAUAAUGAAUUUAGAAGAAUAUAUAAAAAUAAUGUAUUAACUUUAAAUCUUUUUUUCUUUAUAUAUAUAUUUUCCCUUCAAUUUUCUAAUACCAACACAUAAUAAGGUUAAUGUCUUCUAGCCAACCAAUUGUAAGUCAAUUUUCAUAGAGCUUUUUUUUUUUUUUUUUUUUACAUGCCACCAAGUAGUUAUAUAAGCAUUUUUGCAUGUUAUUGUUAUCCAACAUACAAUAACUAUAACAUCCAAUUAUUAUGAACAUGAACAAUAAAAUUAGAUGCAACUAACUAUUUAGUGUAUAACAAGAAGUUGGUGAAGUAAUUCAUCCUAACAUGAUUCAACAAUUUUUGUUUAUUUUUCAAGAUUAAUUAUAACAUACCCAUUCUAUUAAAGUUGUUGAGAUAUUUGAGCAAAACUAAAAAUCAACAUUAAUUCAUUUUAUACCCACAAGAGAAAUAAGAUUUGUUUUUUUGUUUGAUAAUAAAGUAGUUGUAGUUAUUAAUGAUAAUUUUGAUCCUAAUUUAAUAGGUAUCCAAAAAAAAAGGAAAAAUGCAAGUAAACCAAUUCUUAUCUAACACAAUUAUUACCACCUUAAAAUCCUGAGGGGUAGCUCAGUUGAUCAGUUCGAGUCCCUUUAGGACCAUGAAAAGCUUACCCGAUGGUUCACCUUAAGAAAAGCAAAGCAUUUAUAUAAUUCAACUGGUAGUUGAUAAGUCUUAGAAAGGGUUUUGCCAUCAUUGGCUUCUCAGUAAAGGGCAAAUUUGGGUUGUGGCUGACAAUUAUUGAAUUUGUGAAGAAAUAUGUGAAGAAAGGAAACAAAAAGAGUUGAGGACAGAAUUCUUCAAUUAAAAAAUGGUUAGCCCAUGAACCCAUUCUUCAAACAGUAAGCCAAUGAGCCAAUGAGCCAAAAAGAAAGAAGAACAGCUGGUUUCAUCUUUUUAUCUUAAUGACUUUGACAACCCAUCUUUCUUUUAAAUACUUGUGACUUUGGAAUAUAAUUAAAAUGAAACUUUGGAAUGCCCACAUCUGAUUCACGGCCUUUUUACCUGUUUUCUUGUUUAACAUUUUUUUAAAUAUUAUAACAGAUGGAAAAACAUGAUUCUAACAGGCUGGAAAAUAGUGGAAGUUGGAACACCAACCAUAACCAAACUAUACCUUCCAUCUUUCUCCAACACUCGGAAUUAUUGAUACAAGUUGGUGGUUUUAUGAUUGUUUCUAUUGAGGGGACCCCUCUCCAUUUCCAAUUUCAAUGGAAAGGUUCUUCUUUCCCUACUUUUUUUUUUUGUUUUUCAAAUUCUUGUAGUUUUGUCUGUCUCUCUCAACAAAGCAAACUGCAAUCACUAAUUCAAAGAAAAGGAAUCCUAAAUGAAAAGAAAAGAAAGGAAAGGAAUGGUAAUUUAGGCUAUGAUGAUGCUCCUAUAUAAUGGCUGUAAGUCAAUAACAACACACUGGACCCGCCUCCUAUCUCAAAAGAUCACAAACCCAAAUAUCAUAUACUUCCAAAUUUCAAUUUGGUUCCCUGUUUAUAUCACAAUCUGUCCUAUAUCCUCUUAAUACAUCUAAAAUCUCUCUAUAUCAUAAAAAUAAUGAUGGAAAAAAAAAUUAAAAAGAAAGAAGGAAAAAAUGACAAAAAAAAAAAAACCUUGGUGCUGCUAUGGGUCCAUAGGAAUUGGCAGGACUGCACUUCUGGAUCCCCUUCCAUGGCCAAAAGAAAAGAAUGAUCUUCGGAAUCUGCUGCUGCAACCUUCACUAGGGCUGAAGUCACUGACAGGCCUGUUCUGUUGCAAAAUCUCUUGAAUUGCUAAAUACAGCUGCCUGUCGUUGGAUGAGUCCAUUGAAAAAGACCUCCUGAUGGGUUGGAUUGAGAACUGAUCAUCUUUGCCUCUAGUGUCAAUGCACUCAUCACCCAUGCUUGCAACAUGAUGAAACUUCCUUGCCUUUUUAGGCACAAUUCUCUGCUCUAGCUUCCUAGGUGAUGGACUAAUUGAUGGCGCAGAUAACUCUCUGGAAUUCAGUCUUUCUGGUGGCCUAAGCAGUGAUGAAUCAGCAGAACUAUCAUUUCCCAAUUCAAUUACUACAAAAUCUUCAUCCCCUCCUAUGUAAUUAUUGGCGUAGGGGCUUGGAUCUUGGGGGGAAGAGCUAGGAGCAAUGAUUUGGUGAACAGGAAACCGGGGUGUGGUUGAAAUGCUUGUUCUGCAAAGUGGGCAAUUAGCAUUGCUUUGAAGCCACACGUCUAUGCAAUCUAUAUGAAAUAUGUGACUGCAGUUUGGUAUGAUUCUUAGCUUCUCUUCUUCUUGAAACUCAUUCAAGCAAACCGCACACUCGCAAUGGCUUCUUUCUCCAAACUCUCUGCCACCUCCUUUCCUGAACUGGAAUAUUGGGAUUGAUCUGAUGACUGACUCGUCCAGGCCUCGACUCUCGAUUGCUGGGGAGUACACCAUUAAAGGGUCUUCCGGGUGCCGACUCCUUGAGAAAGAAAAUCGUCUCAGCAGAUCAAUCCGGUGCCAAUUGAGGCAGCAUUUGAUUACAAAGAUGUAGUAGCUCACCAGCAAGAAAGCAGUGGCCAGGAUUCCUAUUACGGCAAUGGCUAUAAUGGGGAAACUGGUGUCCGAGGAAUGAGAGGGAGAAGGAAGCACUGAGCUCGCCUGGCUUUUGAUGGGAGAAAAGGCUUGUGAUCCAUGGAUGGAGGAGUCUGUGCUCACAAGAUCCAUGAGAGAGGCUAUGAAAAACAUUUAGAAAUGAGUCUAUUCGGAUCUUCAAUUCACAGAAACAUGCAAAUGCUAGAAUAAAAUCGACAGACACUCAGAUAUAGACCCUACAGUUGUAAUGCAGCAUACCAUAAAUGUGAUUGAGUGAGUGAGGCUGAAACAGCAAAUGGGUCACUUCAAGAUCUCAACAAGACAGAAAACCCAUGUUGAAUUCACCAGGAGAGUAUUGAAAAGGGAAAAAUUAAGGACAUAUAGCUGUAUUGAAAGUUGAAACAAAUGCAGAAACAUAGAGAAGAGAGAGAGAGGGAGAAAACCCAGGAGGGUUGAAUGAGAGCGCUGCUGGGGAAGACAUCAAAACGCUUCAAAUUCAAUGAGAAUCUGUUGGGGACCUCUUUAAGAGGACUGCACAAAGCCUGAGCGUAGGGUACGUGGUUGGUUGGUGAAUUUCUCGGCUUCCAAAAGAGAAAUUUGGUGAGAAAAUUUUCAAGUCUCUUGAUUAUAGUAACGUAGCGUUUAUUUUAAUUUUAUGUAACCGAAACUAAUGGGCUGGUUCAAAAAAAUAAAAAAUAAAAAAAGGAACUUUCUAGGAUAGGCCAGCAGUCCACCGUUGGUCAUGUGGUUUCUUUUGCAUGUCCACAUCUUCCAACUAGUGGAGGUCCCUGUCACAACAGUAAGAAAACACCCAAUUGAAUAAAAGUAUGAACUUUUGGCUCCCAAUAUUACUUAUGCCCUCAUUCAAUACCUCAAAUAAAGCAGAGAUUUUGUGUCCCAACUUUUAUGAUUUCAUUUCAUCUUACUUCAAAUGCUAAUGACAAAAGUCCAAGUAUAUUCUGUAAUCACCCACACCCCAAUAGUUUUGAAUCACACUUGAAAUAGUUCCCAUGCUUUCUUAAUAAUUUAGAUAAUUAUUUACAGAAAAAAAAAUUCAGAACAGGAUGAUAAUCAUUUUGUGAUAGCAUGGAAGAAACUUUACUAGCCACUUUGGCCCCAUGAAGUUGAGUACUUGAUGCCAAUUAAUGGCAGGGUGGAAAAUAGAGAAAAGGGAUCAUAGUCAAAUCUAGAGUACAAGGCAUUGAAUCUUUGUUAAUAAUUAACAAAUGGGUAAAGCAUGGGUCACAGGGUCUACAGUUUGGAUUGCAAAAACCUCAGGCUUCUAUAAAAAGCUCAUCCAUUAUCAAUCAUCAAUCUGAAAGCCAGAAAGUCCAAGGCACAUGCAACCCACGACAGGGGUAAGAUUUCUGCAUCAUGUCCCUGAGUUGCAUUCACAUCAUAUGUUUCCCUCCGGGCCGUUCCAAUUUGAAAUCUCAUGGAAAUCUUCAAGAGCAAGGCUACAGAGUUUAAGAUAAUACUAGGGGUGGGUCCUGAUGGGAAAAGAGGUAGUGUAGGAUAGUCAAUAAAGGGCAUGUGUCUCUGGUGUGAAGUCAAAUCCAGUGUACCAUCCUCAAUGGAAAAUUUAGAAAUAGAACCGACACUCUACAGACUGCCGUGUUGACAGAUUAGAGAAAGACAAACCCACUUACACUUGCCUCAAAACCCAGUCCUGCCAUUUCAAAGGCAAAAAAAAAGGGUUUCUUUUUAUAGUCAAAGGUUGAGGCCUGGCCUGGCCUAGCAAAGAAACUUCACCUACUCUUUUCUUAUUUUUCAAAUUAAGGCCAUUCAACUUUUCCUGUUUGCAGGCUUGCUGCCAUAUCUUACUCCAAAAAAGGUGAAAACCCAAAAGAAAAAGAGUGUUUGCUUCAAUGGAAAACUCAUGUUUAAUAAAUUCACCGCACGAGUUUUGUUCCAGCUUUUCCUAUGAAAGCUGUGAUGCGUUUGGUAUGAAGUUGAUUUUGUUCCUAAAAAUUUUGAUCUUGGCGUGGAAGGCAACUUUUUCCUUUUCCCCCUUUUUCUUUUUGAAAAGUUCGGCAUUAGUUACCAAAUGUCCUUUUACUUGCAUGUAGGACAGCGGAAGCAUUACACAUCGCAGCAAAAUCCCAUUUACCCGAAUUUUCCACUAACUCUUUUUAUUUUUUACCAUCAUUUUUUAAUAGAAGUGAUGCACUCUUCAAAUUACAUGAAGCUUUUAAGAAGGUAAUAACCCGUUUCAAAGCGAACUUAACCUACAGAGUAUGUUUUAAAAAUAUUUAGGUAUUUGAUAAAAUUUAAAAAAUAUUUUUUAAAAUCUUUAAAAUGAUUUGUAAUAUUGAAAAUUUAUUUAUACUUUUUUUAAUAAAAAAACAUUUUAUAGGUAAUUUUUCUAAAAUACUUUUAGAGAAAAUGUCUUCCCUUCACUAUAAAUAUUAUAUACUAUCAAAUACACUUUAAAAAUCUGUUUAACAAUAAUUUUAUAAAGUGUUUUUAAUUUUAAAAAUAUUUUUAAAAACAAAUUAAAUUUUUGAUAAAAUUUAAAAAAUCUUUUUAAAAAUUUUGAAAAAUAUCUCGUAAUAUUAAAAAAUAUAUAUAUUUAUAAUGUUUUUUAUAUAAAUACUCAAAAUUCAUUUAAUAGUGAUUUUAGGAAAUGUUUUUAAUAUUUCUAAUACUUGAAAAUUUUUUAUCAUUUAAGUAUUAAAAAUAUUAAAAACACUUUAUAAAAUCACUUUCAAAUGGACUCUUAAUGAUUUUACUAAAAACACUUUUCAUAGAAAACAUUUAUAAAAAAUAAUUAUGAAAUACACUCUAAAUUAAGUAAAAGUUGUUUUUAACAUUACCACUAUUUAUUAAUAGUGCAUUUGUUUAAAAUAUUUAUAUGAAAAAUUCAUUAGGGUGGGAUAUAAAUAUAGAAGUGUUUUUCUUUAUAUAUUUUUUAUAAUAAAAAAUGAUUUUUGAAAUUAUAAAAUUUGAAUUUAAGAAUCAUUUGAUAAUAAUUUUUGUUAAAGCACCUUUAAUACGUGGUGCUUCUAUUGAUAGCGCUUUCAUUUCUAUGAAUGGCUAUAAAUUAUAUUUGAAUAAAUUUUUUAUAAUGUAUUAUAUAAUAAAAAAAAAGUCAUUUUUAAAAAAAUUAUACAUUAAAUGAUUAUUCAAAUAGUAUUUCCUAAAUUUUAUUAAACAUUUUUUUCAAAAAAAAAAAAAAAGUUUUCAAAUACUAGAAAACGUUUUUAAUCUCUCACACGAUCACAUCCAAACAAGUCCUAAUGCUACUCCUAGAAACACUCCAAAACAAAAGUCUUCCUCUAUUAAUGUUCAUAAAAUCCACAUAUAUUCUUCCAUCGUUUUUUCAAAAUUCAAAAUCAUUUCUAAAACAUCAAAUCAUGUUCUUUGGAUUGGCUGACUUGUUUUUUGAAAAUAGAAGGCUCAUUAUUGACGUCCGUUGACUUCAUAACCCAGUCUUGAUCUCUUGAUGGAGGGCAUAAAUGUAAAUUGGACGAAACCCUAGGGUGCGCUAGAGUGUAGAGGAUGAAAGGUUGGAAAAAGGAUGAGGUGGGGGUGUAAUAAAGAGGAGGGUUGGGAGAAUGGGACAUGUGUAGGUGAAGCAUUAAAUUCAAGACUAUGCUUACCAACAACAUAUAAAUAAAUAAAUAAAUAAAUAUAGGAACAGCACAUGGGGUGAGUAGGAGACAUCAGAAGAUGUGAACAACCCCUUGUCAGUCCAAUUUGCGUCUUUUAUCUACUCUAUUAUCUAUAUCGAUUUUCGUAUUUAUUUAUUUAUUUAUUUAUUUUUACCAUUUGAUUUUGCAUGGAUGUCGAAGGGUUUAUUGGCUGCCACGUGUAGGGUUAUGGUCAAGAUCACGUGGGGUGCCUACAUGGGAGUCACGUGAGUGCAUGAGGCAGGCUUGAAUUGCAGGAGGAGCAGGAGCAGAGCAGUGGCUGUUGUCUUAAGACUUUGCUCUCUUGGUGGAACUGCAGCUUAAGCAGCAUCCACGUGUUGUCACGUGCAAUGCGAGCCAUCCACACCACCAGUUUCUUUUUAGUGAUUUUCUAAAGUCAGUUAAGGUUGCAGUCAAUACCUUCAAAUGUUGACAGAGUUAGGGAUCUUUGUUAAAUGGAUUUUAUUAAGAUAUUAGUAAGUUAAUUAAUUGAGGGUCAACAUAACAGAUGGGUCGGGUUGGGUUGAAUCUGAAUUUAAAACGAUUUAAUUUAUGUUUAAUCAAAUUUAACAUUUAACUCGAAGCACUCAACUUAAGUUUAAUUGAAUCUUAGUUUUCAAAACAUUAUUUAAAUUUGGGUCAUUUGGAUUAAAGUCAAAUGGGUUAGAUUAAUCGGGUUAUAUGGUUCAAAAUCCACUUACCUUAUUUUUUAUACAUUAAUAUUAAAAUUUAAAUAAAAAAUAUUAGAAGAAAUUUCAAACUUGGGAUUAGUUGAUUGUAGCCAUGCAUUUGGAUGUUGGUAUUCUUGUUUCUUGUCUUGUUUCCAAAUACCCUUUCAAAUCGCUUUGUUAUUCAAUAGCAUCCUCCCGAUCAUUUAAAAAUUUAAAGAGCAUUGGUAUGAUGGAGGAAUUCAGAAAUUUUAGUUGAAUAAGUAAAAUUUUUCUCUCAUAAAACCAAAUAGCCUCUAUAGCUCAGUGGUAGAGCGUCAGUCUUGUAAACUGAAGGUCUGUAGUUCGAUCCUGCAUGGAGGCAACUUUUUAUAUUUCAUGAUCCAUUAUGCUCUAGUGAUUUAGUUUUCAUUAUAAUUUUAGAUUAAAAAAUUACAUCAACAUUUGAUAAGUUGGUUAUGACUUUGAUAUAAGGAUGAAACUAUCAAUAAUAUAUAUAAAUAUUUUGACACAAAAUAUCUAAUAUAUUAAAAAAUUAAAAAAAAACUCUAAAAAACAUUAUAAAAUUAUAUAUAUAAUUUAUCAUAUUUAAUAAUAAUAUCUUCUACCCUAAUAAAAAAUAUAAAUUUUAUAAGCAUACAUUUAUUAUUACAUUGUAUUAUAUAUUAUUUUACAAGAAUAUUAUGAUAACAUGUCUAAUUUUAAAAUAUAUUUAAUAUUAAAAUUAUCAUCAAUUUUAAUUUAAAUGUAUUUAAUGAUAUCAAAUAAUAUAUAUAUAUAUAAUUUUUUAAUAUUUAUAUAUUUUUAUAUUUAAUAAAUAUAUAAAUUAUGUAAAAAAAAAAGACCUAUUAAGAAGAUUAUGUUUUUAUAUUUGGAUCAAAAUUAAGUUUUUCCGAUAAAAUAUAUGAAACUAUUGAUAAAUUAUUGAUUGAAACGUGAAAAAAAAAAUUCAAAAAAUAGAUGAGAUAUUAGUAAAAUAUCCGAAAAUAUUGAUUGAUGAAUAUAUCAUUUCAAAUUUUGCAUCAACAUCCACAUAUGUUGGAUAUAUUGGCCAAAUAUAUUUAAACCUUGUUUCCAUGAGAAGUCUUUCCUUCAACAAUUUCAAAAGGUUAAUGAGGUGGUUUCCAAGAGAUGUGUGUAGGGGUCUCCAACGGGCGGGCCGGGCCAGCGGGCUUUUUGAAAUAAGCCAAAAUGGCUUUCAAAAAAGGGAAGGGAGAGGAUUUAAACCCCUUCCUUCAUGCUUAAAUUUCAAGGUUCUAACCAAUUGAACUACAUUCCUUUAAUGUUUAUUAAUUGAGUUAGUUAUAUAUAUAUAUAAAAAUAAAGUAUAUUAUUUUUUAAAGGGGCGGGCCUACGGGCUGGGCCGGGCCGAAAGCGGGCCACGGGCCACGGGCUUUUUGGAGACCCUUGGAUGUGUGCAAUCACAUUUGGUAUUAUAGGUGACAAAGUUUGAUAAAUGAGUAAUUAUUAGGUUAACUUAUAAAAUCCGAAUUUGAUUUAAAUUGAUUCAUUUAAUAAUCCCAUUUAUUUACCCAAUUAAAACUUUAAAUUAUUUAACUUAUAUUUAAUUUAAUUAAAAUUUGUUUUUAAAUAAAUAGAUCAAUUAAAACAUAAACAUAUUUGAUUGAAACAUUAAUAAUAUAGAUUUAAAUAAGACCUAAUUCAACCUAACGAUCAAAUAGAAAUAUCUAAUUAUUAAAUAAAUUAAACAUGUUACUUGCUUAAUAAUUAUGUGACAUUUGAAUUUAUGCUUUUGAUAUAAUUAUUAUUUAUAUCAGGUUUAUAUAAUGAAAUAUCUAGACUUUGACACCAGUCAACAUUGUCCACCAAUACAGAUUGCAACUCUUAUAUGCUACAUCACAUCAUGUUGAAGGAAGAGGAUGACGUUCAUUGGCAGCAGAGCCUCCAAUCAUAAGGAGCUUGAGCAAAUUCAAUCUCAACACUGAAAUUCACUAGAAAAAAAGUUUAUUAUUGAUACUUCAUUUGUGUAAAAGCAUUAUAUUUCUUGCAUCAAUCGUAAAGCAUGACAUUCCAGUAGGUACGGAAGAGAAAAUUUGUUAUGAAUUGAAAAAUCUGUCAAGCUUAAUUUGGAGGGCCCAAAAUUGACACGUUUAAGAGCUCUAUCAUUAGCCCAAUGAUAAGAGUCCAUUUCUUGAGUUUCAAGGAAGGCCCAAGUUUAACUUAGAGGGCCCAAUCUUGGUACCUUCUAAAAGGUGCAAACUUUGGCCCAAUUAUAAAAGCUUAUCCUUGCUUCCUAAGCAUCAAUGAUAUAUUUGAUCGAAGUAUUCACAUAACUAUCACGAAAUGAAAUGAAAUGAAAAUGUAUAAGUAAAUGAUGAUUUUGAGUUAUUUACUGACAAUAAAGAAUUAGGUGGUGUUUGUUUUUUUUUUUUUGGCUUUUUACUAAAAGCAAUUUGUUUUCAGAAUUUAGGUUAUUUAUUUUUCUAUUUUUUCAUGACUUAUUAUAAACUUUUUACUAAAUAAGAAAAUCCAAAAUAUAUAGUUUUUUCUAAAUAGAAAAAAUAACAUAUUGGUUUUCUUUUUUUUUUACUUUUUAAUAUUUAAUAGAAAUAAAAUAUUAUAAAAACAAACAACCUAAUAUUUAACACUAUUAAGUAUUAAGGUUUUAUUUAGAAUUAAGUAAAAAAACAAACACUACCUUAAAAUGAAAAGUAUGUAUAAUGACCUUAUACAAAAAAAGUCUCAUUAUUUUCUUCCAAAGAACUCAUACUUUUGUUUUUCAACUAUUACUUUGUUUUUAUUUUUUAAAUAAUAUUUCAAGUUUUUUUUAAUAAUACCUUUCUCUUUAUUAGAUAAUUUUAAUGACUUUAAAAGUAUUUUAAUAUAUUAAUUUAUUAUAUAAUUUUAAUGAUUUAAAAAUAUUUAAAUGUUGAAAUAUUUAUUUUCAAGUCUAAUUUUAAUUAUUUAUUUUUUGAAGUAUUUAAAUAUAUAAUAAAUGUGGGAUUAUGUAAAUCUAGUUGUAAUUAUUUAUUUCAUUCUAUUCAUGUUUUUAGUUGAAUUUGCUCAAAAUUUACACCUCUUUAUUUAAAGAUCAUGGAUUAGUUAGGUGUCUUGAGAUUUUUUUUCUCUCAAGACACUACUUGUUACACUAGAAAAUAAUUUGUGGCUAUAUUUUUUAGGCAAAAAGAAUUAUAUGUUAAAACUUCCUUUAUUGACUAGUUUAUCAUAGGGUGUAGAGGAAAGUUUGUGAUGUCUUUUUAUGUCAACUUUGGGAGAAAAAUAUCACUUUAGCAUUUUCCUUAGAAAAUUUUCAUACAUAAUUGAUUUUGGAACUAUGGAGGAGCAUAAGUAGGGAUAGAUAAUUCGAUUUUGGAAAAAUUAUAAUAGCUUUUCAACUUGGUGUUAAUGAUAUAUUGUUUAUUUCUUAUUUUUUUUCCAUUUUAAUAUAUAAUUGGGGAUUUUAAACUUGUAGAACAAGGCUUUUUCAAUUGAAUUGACACGUACAUAUGAAAGUUCUCUUUGGUUGCUAAUCACAUUUUUUUUUCUUUUGCUUUUUGUUUUUAUCAUAAUGAAUAUUGAACUCGAAAUUCAGUUUUUAAAAUCUUAUGAUGUUUUAAAGUUUAUAAAUAUUAUUGAUUUUUAUAAAUGAUGUUAUUCAUAUCUUGGUAAAGACAAUAUUUUCAUAUCGGUCAAGAUGAUUAAUAACAUAUAAGUUCAUAAAGAAAAACCUAUUGAUUAAUGGAUAUUUAAUGAUUUUUAUUAGGAAUGUUUUUUAAUUAGUUUCAAUACUCAUCUUUUAGAGCAUACAUAUAGGGUUUUAGAUGCUACAUUGGUUUUCAGCUUGUGAUUUAAAUUAUUGAAGCAAAAAAUGAGGGUUUUGCUUUAUGGAACUAUCUAAAGGGAGGUGAAUUAGGCGGUCUUCCUUUUUAAAAUCCAAAAAUUAGAUUUUUAAUACUUAUAUUAGUUAUACAUGUGUUCAAUAAUUAAAACAAAGAACAAGUCCAUAAUUUACAUGUGAUGUGCAUGGAAAAACACCUACAAAUUCUCUCAAAUACUUUACAAAUGAAAAAAAAAUCAAGGAUCGAUCAAUCACAGAGCAACUUCACUAAAUAUGAAAACAUGACUAUACAAUUUUACUUGGAUGAGGUGCUACCUUCUCUUAAGGGUUUUUACACUAGCCAACAAUUACACUCACCUUCACUCUCACCAUGCACCUCUAUUGUGCUCCAUAGUAAACACUUUAAUGACUGUAGCAAGAUUGCGAUAAAUUACUGCGAUUAAUUUGAGAGUGUUGAUAAUGAACAAAAAAUAAUGAUAAUUAACUAGAGAGCAUAUGAUUUUGUAAAAACACCAAAAAGAGGCAUAGUUAUAAGUGAAAACUUUAAUGGAUUGGAUUGAAUAUAUAAUUGAAGUAUGAAUGAAAAAUUACCAAAACAAUGUUCAAAACCGUGCUAAUCAAAGCACAAUCACUUGAGUACUCUCAUGGGGCACUUGAAUGCUCCUUUUAAUCACCGUAAUGCUGAAAUUAAUAAUUUGUCUCAAAUUGUUUUUCCAAAACAUAAAGCAAAAUAUUAUAAAUUUAUAUAAUCAAACCCAAUUUCAUCUUAAAGCUAGCCUACUUAGUCUUAAUUCAUGUCCAAAAAUACUCAUACUUGUCAAAGAAUGAAUAUGGUAUAAACAAAUUCUUUAUUUUCAAUUAUAUUCAAUUAUUGAAAGAAUAAAUCGGUUUACAUACAUUUUGAACAAAGGUAUAUACACAUAGACUAAAUCAAGGAAAUGAGGAAAUCAAUCACAAUCAAAUCAAAAUCAAAUGAUAGGUUGAUAUCUAGGAGAAGGUUAAGUUAGAACCAACUCAUGUAUUCAAUAUUCCCCCUUAAGAUGGCAUAUGGAGAUCAUGAAUAUCAAACCUAGAAAGUAAGGGAUAUGAAAUAUCUAUACCAAGGGAUUUUAUGAAAUAUCAACCAAUUGUUGUUGUGAUUAAACAAAUUGAAUAAGAAUAAUUUCAUUUCGAAUCUUUUCAUAGAUCAAGUGACAAUCAAUUUCAACGUGUUUAUUCUGUUCAUGGAAAAUUAGAUUAAUAGCAAUGUAUAGAGUUGUAUUAUUGUCACAAUAUAGAUGCAUUGACCAAGGAUGAUGAACUCCAAAAUCUAUAAGUAAAUAUUGCAACCAAUGCAAGUAGUAAUCAUUAAAUAAUAUUUCACUUUUCUUCAUGAGUGUUAUAUCAUUGAUUGCUUUUUAGAUCUUCAAGAGAUUGAUAGGCCACCAAGUAAAAUACAAUACCCUAUAAUUGAACAUCAAGAUUAUGCACAAUAGGCAUGGAGGAAGGCAAAAGAAUUCCUUGACCUAGACGAUUUUUUAAAUAGUAUAACACUCAUGUACUUGUGAGAUAAUUGAGACUACAUUGGCUUGUCAAGAAUUUGAACAUAAUUAGCAAUAUUAAGCCCUAUCAUUAUGAGUCAAAGUAACUUCCCAAUCAAAUGCCUAUAAUAAGAAGCAUCCAACAAAGGUUCUCUAUCUAAUUUACUCAAUUCCAAAUUUUGUUUCCUAGGAGUUUUUAAAGUUACAUGUUCCAAGAAAACCAAAAUCUUUUAGUACUUCUAGAGCAUGUUUUCAAUAACUUAAAUAAAUCUCAUUCUUAAAAUAUGUCAUUUCAAUGAUGAUGAAGUACUUUAAUUUUCCAAUCUCUUAGUUAGUUUGAAAAUGCUAUAUAGGUUUUCCUUGACCACCUUAAUUCCUUUAAGAUCAUUCAUUGUAAUAAUUAUAUCAUAAAUGUAAACAAGAAUGAUUGUGAAAUAGUUAUUUGAGGCUUGAGCAAAUAAGAAGUAAUAUGUACGUCUUGGCUUGCUUGUAAACCAUAAACAUCAAUGUGAUAGAUAAUUUGGCAAACCAUCAACGUGAAGCUUGCUCAAGGCCAUAAAGGGAUUUUUUAACUUUGCAAAUCAUAUUUUUGGUUCUAGAUUUCCUACAAACUUGGUGGAAGCUGCAUGUAUACCUCUUUAUCUAAGUCUUCAUAAAGAAAAACAUCGUUGAUGUCAAGUUGGUGAAGAUGUCAAAUUCUAAUUAUACAAUAAUUAGGGGUGACAAUGUGUCUUAUCGUGUUGAGGUGAGAAAUAGUGAAAAUUUACUUAAUCCGACUAUGACCCGUUUGAUAAUCGUGUCAAAAUAACCUAACAUGAAUACAAUUAGUUUAUUUCAUGUAACAUGACCCUUUUAACAUGUUUAAUAAAUAUAUUAACUUGGAUUAUGUAUUAAUUGACAUGAAUAACUCAUUAACUUGAUUUCAACCCCUUAAACUCAUUAACACAAUUCCAACCCAAUAAACUCGUUAAUAUGAUUUAACUCAUUAAACUUGUUAAUAGGAUUAUAACCUCUUUAACCUAUUUAAAAUUUUAAAUUUAUAAAUAAUAAAAUACUUCUAGAAAGUUUAAUUUUUAAAAUUUGAACUAUAAUACAUGUAUGCACCAAUUUCAUGAAGUCCUGAAAAAUUAGCAAAAUUAUAGAAAAAUAAUAUAAACAAAAAUUUGUAUUAAAAUUAAUAAGUAUGGGCUACAAUAUUAGUCAUAGUACUGCUUAUUUCUGAAUGACUUUAUUAAAAAGCGAAGAAUACAUGUGUAGUUCUUAUGUGAUUUCUUAAACUUGUAAGGCGAUUUUAUAAAGUUUUUUUUUUCUUUGUGAAACCUCUUUUUCUAUGUGAAAUUGUUUUGCCGAUUUGAAAUCUUCAUUAAAGGAAGUUACUAUUAUUUAUAAUUGAAAUUAGAGAAUGAAAUGUGGAAUCCCCAUGAUUUAGUUGCUUAAUUCAAGGAAUUUGAUUAAUUGAUUUUGGUAACUUGUCUCAUAAAAUUUUCUAACAAGAAUAUUUAUUUUUAAUCUCUUUUAUUUCAAUUGGAAUAUUUGUUUCCUUUGUAAAUUUGUCAAUAGAAUAUUUAUUUAUUUAUUUAAUUCUCUUUUGACUACAAUGAGAAGAUUUGAUUUUGUUUGUAAGACUAAAUUUUAUAACCUUUCAAAUUUGGCCAAGUGACACCUUUUGAAUAUAUGUCACAUGUCAAAUGUGUGUGACUCAUUAGUUGUUGAACCUAAAUUUUCUUGAAUUAGAAAGCUAUACUUUUGAAGACUAAUUUAGUGAUAAUUUAAUUCAUUAAAUUUUUUUGGUGUCUACAGUAUAUUUAUAAUAUGAAAAGUAAAUUAAAAUUUUAAUUUUUUUACUUGUUUAUUAUUUUAUUUAUUAUUUAAUGAUAAAUAUUUUUAUUCUUUAUUGAAAUAUAUAAAAUUUUAAUUAAUAUUUUAAUUUUUUUAAUUUCUAUAUAUAAAAUAUAUAGAUUUAUAUGGUCUAAUUGAGUCAUUAAAAUAAAUAGGGUAAAUAACUCACACAUAAGUGAUGGAUCAUUCUAACAUGAUUAAAUUAACAAGUUAGAUGAAUUGAGUAGUCAAAUACAAACAUGAUUUGUUUAUUAAAUAAGUUAUAUGAAUUGAUACGAUUAUGACAUCAACUCAAUUAAACUUAACUCAAAUAAGCUUUGUCUUUUAUUUUAAGUUGUCUAGUUGUUCACACAAAUUUUCUCAAAAUAAAGAAAUUAUAUAUAAAAUUGUAAAUUUGAUUAUUUGAGGGGACCAUUUUCAAUACUCUUUUUUAAGUAAUCUGGUGUUUAAUUUUGAAUCAAAGGGGCUUUCAUUAACAAAUAAUAGACUGUAGUUUUCAUAUAAGAAGAAAUCUCAAGCCUUUUUUUCUUGAAGGAAUCUUUAAAUUUUCUUUGAUACUUUAAAAAAUCAAUCUUCUUUGAUUUUUUAAGAAAUCUUUGAAUUUUCUUAAAGUCUUCAAAAAAAAAAAAAAAAAAAAAACUGAGUUUAAGGAAUUUUUUUAAUAACUCUCCAAAUUUCUUUGAUAUUCCAAAGUGUCCUUUAGAAGGGGACAAAUCCUCUAUUUACAGGAUUGAGAGUUUUAUUUUAAUAUUAUCUCUUAAUUUUUAAGAAAUAACUCUCUUAUUUAUGAUAAUUACUAUUUAUUUUAUUUAUCAUAAUUAGUUGCCUAUGAUAAUUAUCAUAAUUAAUUUUUCUAGAGAUAAAUAAUUAUAUAUAUUUAAUUAAUCAUGAUAACUAUAAUAUUUAUUUAAUUUUUUAUUAAAUUAUUUUACAUAACAUAUCAAUAUAUAUUAUUAGUCAAUUAUUAACACCGAAAAUUAAUGAGUUGGCAUAAAAUUUAUCUCUCUAUAAUAGUAUCAAAGCGAGCCUUAAUAAUAACAUUGCUUAUAGUCAAUUUCACAUGCCAACUUUUUACUGGGCAUUGGCGAUUUCAAUUUUGAUAGUCCGGUUAGAAAAAGUAGGUAAAGAUUAUUUGAUGUGGUAGGUCAUUUCUUUCAUAAAGACGAUGGCGGUGAAUUCAUGAGACAGGUGAUAAAGGAGAGAUUCUUUCUUUUGGCUUUGGAAUUUUAAUGAGGUCCUCGAUCCUCAUCCAAAAUACACCUCUCCAAUUAUAAAAAUCUUAUUAAAAAAAAAAAGAUUUGACAUGUGCCUUUCGAACUGCUGGUUUUCUGUUCCAAAAAUGAGAAUGGUUUCAAGUGGAUGAAGGAAGGUGAAGAACCCUUGGUUUUGUUAAGCGAAAAGCCACAUGAUUAAAUAAACAUAAGGCGGCAAAGGCUGAAAAUUUAAAAUUAUACUAAGGAACCCACCCCACAGGGCGACUACACUUUUGGUGAAGCCACGAGAAUGAAAGAUAUCGAAGGUGACACCAAGACAUUAAGCAGCACCAAGGUUUCGAUAUAUUAUAAGAUGGGAUCUUAUGAAAGACGAUCUCUAAUCUCUCUCCAAUCUCUUCUUUAACCUUUUCUUACUUAAAUCCAUUUCCAUGGUAGGGCACAUGUCCAGCUGACCCUACCCCCUCACCUACCUAUACUGCUAUACCCUUUUGUAUAAUUUGAUAUGGAUUGGAAGCCACCCCAACAUCUUUCUAAUUGCUCGUAAAUGUUGAGGUGCCUUUCCAUUUUGAGGCUGCCCUAAUGUGUGGCUGAAGUACGUAGGAAAAAAAAAUUGUGAUACAUGCACUGACGAAUCAAAUCCCAAUGUCAAAUUAUUAGACUCACCUGGUUCUUAAAUUAUUGUGAAUGCCGCUGGCCAUGGAUAAAUGGAAUUAGUGCGUGGCUUAAUGAAAAUUUAUUUUGAAAGGGAUAUUAAUUUGAGAGAAUUUUGGCUGAUACUUGGAGUUGAACGUAAGCAUAUAUGACCUCAUUUCGGGUGUGAUAUUGUGCUUAUAACGAACCUUUCGUUCUUUCCAAUUCCAGUGGGUAUUAAAUAAUUAAAGAAUUCAUGGUUCGAAGGCGAAAGGUAGAAGACCAAAAAGGGAUUACAAAGCCAUCGGCUUGACCAUCCAGAUGCAAUGGAUACAAACUUUGGACUCUAUCGAAAGUUCUUUGGGCACGUGCCCAAGUGUCCUACCCAUAUGAUAAGUUACACGUGGCUAAUUGCGGACCGGUUGCUCGUGCUAAACAGGGUACUUUUUCUACGCAUAUAAGAUGUUUCACUAGUGGGGCUUCACCAUGCAAACUCAUGGAUGAAGACCCUGAGGCCAAGAUGAAGGAACAGAAAGAAGGCGGAGGAGAGGUUCGGUAUCGAGGCGUUCGGAGGCGGCCAUGGGGGAAGUUUGCUGCGGAGAUACGUGACUCGACUAGGCAUGGAGCGCGCGUCUGGCUCGGGACUUUCAAUUCUGCGGAGGAGGCUGCAAGAGCAUAUGACCGAGCUGCUUAUGCCAUGAGGGGUUCCUUGGCGAUUCUCAACUUCCCUAAUGAGUAUCAUACACCCGGCACGGCUAGCUCUUCAGCUUCAUCCUCAAUGCCCGAAGGUGAUCAGCAGGGAAAACAAGUCAUUGAAUUGGAGUACUUGGAUGAUAAGCUGCUAGAGGAUCUUCUCGACUCUGAAGACAAAAAGAACAAGAAAACCUGAAGUUUCUGCUGCCUCGAAUCCCCUGAAAUCUAGUGCUUCAUCGAAAAAAAAUCCCCUCGCUCCUGAUUAACAACAUUUUUAUUUUAGUCAAUGAAUGUGUUCUCGGAUCAUUAUAAGUAUUUCUGCCGAAGUCCAUUGAUUUUUGGAGACUGAAAAAUGUCAGAAAAAUUGGUGCGAACAGGUUUACUCCUUUCUAAAUUAUGCAAUUGAAGUAUUUGGAUUAGUGCGCAGUGUAAACAUCAAGGAAAGCAUGAUCCACUAUUUUAAGGAGCCUAAGUGCUUUCCCCUUUACUCUUUUAGGAUGUCUUUUCAGUGAAGAAAGUUGGGAGACCACCACUUACCCUUUUGAUUGGUAUAUAACUGCCAACUAAUAACUGGACUAACAUUUGGCCCGUCUGGCCCUACUUCUUUGACUUUGUUGUUAAUUUAUAACUUUAUGUGAAGUGGGGGCUGUUUGGGAAUGUGUGAAGCAAGGAUUUGAGCCGACUUCGCCUAAUCUGAUUCUCCAUAAGUGACUUCAUUUUAUCAUAUUGGUGUUUUUUUUCUUCUUCUUUUUAAAUGGCUGGGGAGGAGGGGAUUUGGGAGGGAUGCAAUGCCAUGGUUGCAUGCUGGAUUAUCCUUCCAAAUGAAACAUCCAUUUGGUUUCUAGUAACUAAUUGCAAACAAUUAAAGAGAAUAAAAUUUUAAGAUGAUUAAACAAUAAGUACCUAUGUCCAUGAAAAGGAGAGAAGUUCACUCAUGGGUGUUCAUGAAAGACAUCACAAAGAACCAUCAAUAUGAGAAGAAUCCUGAUACAAUUAACUUUCAUGCAUAAGAAAAGACGCUCAAAAAAGAAUAAUGCUUACAAGGAAAGAAUCUCACUACGAUCAACUGAAAAAAUAUUCCAAUUUAAUUGGAAAUCCUUACAUGGGAAGAAUAUCAAUAAAAUCAACUAAAAAAAUAUUUUAAUUUUAUAUCAAAAUAUUUGUGAUUUAACCCGUAUCAUUUCAUCAUGACUUCUUAUAAAUUUUGUUCCUUUUUAUCAACACCACCCCUUGAGUUGGAGCAUAAAUAUUUAUUAAGCUAACUUGAACAAGAUCUUGAGAAAUUUUGUCGCAGGAUUUGUUUGCACUUUUUUUUUUCAAAUAAAGUCAUAAUUAACUUUAAUAUGUUUAAUCAUUUCAUGAAAUACUAGAUUUUAAGCAAUGUUGAUAGCAUACUUAUGCCUGAAAGCUUUAUCCCAAAUCACAUGAGUACAUGAAGUGAUUGCAUCAUUAAUGGUAGUAUUAUUACUUUAUAUUCAACUUCUCCACUUGAUAGGAUGCAUGAAAGCAUUGUGCUUUCUUCUGUUUCAAGUAAUAAAGAUUAUCACCAAGAAAGGUGCAAUUAAUACCUAGUAACAGAGUACCUAGUGGUAGCAUGCACCUAUCCACUGAACUUGUACUCGACUCUAUGAGUGUACGUUACAUAGUCCUUUUUUCGAAGUCUAAAUGUCCCUUGAUAAAACCUUCUAAUAUUUGAGGUUUUGGUAACAUUCAUGUAUCAAUGAACAAAUUAAUUUACUAGCUAAACUUUAAAAUUAGGCAAUGUUUUUCAAUGGGUGAUCAAGAUCUUGGAAUUUUCAAUGUUGUUUGAAUAGCUUCCACACACAAGCAUAUUUUCUCCUAUUUAGGAAUAAUCCCUUUUUUGAAGGUGUGAUCUUUAUGCUCAAAAAAUAAAGAUACUCAAAAAUUUAAUAUUGACCUUCUCGUGAAGGAAAAGCUUUAUAACUAAUUUUUUUUGUGCAUUAUAUAUAUCCUCAAUAUAGACUUUAAAAAAAAAAGAAGUAACUCCCUCUACAAAGAGUGAAGAGUCAAUUAAACUUUUUUUUUUUUAAAAAAAAGGAACCAAUUACUCGUAAAAGUAAUGAUUAUUUUUACAUACCAAACUUGAGGAGAUUACUUAAGAUCACAAAAGUUUUUAUUAAAUUGCAAGCUAGAUGCAUUUGAAACGAUCGUUGAUGUCUUAGCAACACCUUAUGUAACUCAUCAAUCUUUAUGUAAAAAUGCAUUUUUAACACCCAUAUAAAAUAAUGAUCAAUCCUAAUUUAAUAGAAACAAAUGGUAAUACAUGAAUAUCAUUCAUAUUAAUGAGAAAAGUAAAUAUUGAUUUAUAAUCAACUUCUUAAGUUUGUGUCAAUGCCUUAAUCAUUAGUUUAACUUUGUCAUUCAAUGAUACCAUCAUUACGACAUUUAAUUAACUUAGAUUUGCGUAAAUCCCUUAAUCACUAGUCUAGCUUUAUGUCAUUCAAUGGUACCAUCAUUAUGGUAUUUAAUUGAUCUUAUACCCCCAAUUUGUAUACCCCAUGUUUUUCUUAAUUUACCAUACAUCACUUAACAAUGUUCCAUGCAUGGAUUUUGUUAAGUGCCUUAAGUUCCUUUUGCAUAGCCUUUCUCCAAAUUGGAUGAGGAUUGGCUUCAUUAAUGUCAUUAGACUCAUGAUAUAUGGAACUCAAACAAUUGUUAAGUGAUUUUGUAUAUAUAUAAAAAAAAAAUUGUAAUUAAUGUGGUAGGCAUAAAAAUCUCACAAAUGAGGAUUGAUUAAUUGUUAUAAUUGAGCAACAUGCUUGAGGCUUAGUCACAAUACUAGAACUUGAAGUCAGACAUUCUCUUCAAAUAAGGACGUAUAUACAUUAUAUUGGAUCUCCAUUAAACAAGUAAAGAACUAUUUAGUAGACAAUGAAACCUCAUUGAUCAAUGGUGGUAGAGAGACACAUGAUGACCAGACUAUUCCCCUGGAAAUGAGAAUAAAAAAUAUCAUUAGCCGCAAAAAUCUCAAAAAAAUUUAGAUAAUGGGAUAUAAAGAGUUUAUGAAUUUUACAAUCAUAACUCUUAUACUGGUUUAAGUGGUAGAGUAAUCAAGAACACAAAACGAGUUUGAUGAGUGGUUGAGAUAUGAACAAAGCAAAGAUUUCCAAAGACACCAAAAUCAGAAAUCUCAAUUUUUGGGCUAAGGAUUUCAAGAAGAAAUUUAAAAUUAACUACAUGACUAGAAAAUUUGUUCAUCAAGGAAAUAGAAGUAACGAUAUCAUAACAUCAUAAUUAAUCAAUAUUUUUAAUAACAUGCAUUUGGAACAUGAUAUACCGGCUUUCUAAUAAUCAAUGAUUUUUGGUUCAACCACACCAUUUUGUUUUGGGAUGCCAAUACAACAAGUUUAACGAANNNNNNNNNNNNNNNNNNNNNNNNNNNNNNNNNNNNNNNNNNNNNNNNNNNNNNNNNNNNNNNNNNNNNNNNNNNNNNNNNNNNNNNNNNNNNNNNNNNNAUGUAAGUGCCAAAUUAGGUAGUGUCGACAAUGAAAUGGAAAUUUUGGAAUAUAGAAACAACCUCAUUUUUAUGUUCUAAUAAGUAAACCUAUGUAGCAUAAGAAUAGUCAUUAAAAAAAAAGGUAACAAAAUGUUGAUUUCCAUCCUAUGGAUCAAUUAGGACACAACCCCAAGGUAAACUAAUUUGAAAGUUGCAACAAAAAUGGAAAGAGAUGAAAAAAUAAUAGAGGAAUUUAAGGUUGUUUCAAAAUUUCAAGACAUGCUAAGAAACACAUGAGAUUAUAGAUGAUUAGGUAACAACCUUGGUUAAGUAUAUUCAACAUAUAUAUCCCACGAGGAUAAAUAUCUUCACUAAACUUUUCCUAUUAUUCAAUCCCCUAAUACCAUACAAGUGAAAAAUUAAUGUCACGGUCAAAAAUUUUAAUAAGCUUCCAAAGAGAUAAUAAUUUUGGGGAAAAAAACAACCUAAGAAACCUAUGAAUUGAGAUAAUUUAGGAAAAAACUAAAUGUUCGUUAGCUCUAGAAGGGAAUUGAAGCUCAUCAUCAAUAAAGAUUGUUGCUAUCUCGAAUAAUAUCAAGUAAACCAUUAAGAUCGCUAUUAAUGGUAUGAUUAGCAGCACCAAUUAUCGACAAAAAAAUUAUUAAAAAUAUAAGAAAUGAGAGCUUUAAGAUUAUCUAAUUGAUUUGUAAACCUAGGUAAGUGAAUCAGUAUUACGUUUUGUUAAGGAAGCUUAGAUCCAAUUGGUAUCAUUCACCAAGUUAUUGGAUUAAAUUACACUAUCAAACUUUGGCUUUAAAUGAGAAUGAAGAAUCUAACCACAAUCCUUAUUGGGAUUAGAUAUGUUAUUGCAAUAAUGUUUACAAUCGGAUGAGUGCUAAUUUCUAUUGAAAUCAUGAAGCAAUCUCUGAUCAUUGGUCUUCUUUGUAGAAACAUGAGCAUUGAAUUUAAAAUUAAUAAUUGUUACUUGGGAUUCAACCUUCAUAAUCAUUGCCUGGGUUUCCUAAUCACUUUCAAGAAUUACUUAUAUAGUGAAGGCACUCGAAACUAAUCAAAUUUGUCCUCUUAUAAAGUUGUCAUAUUCAAGCUUCAGAAUAGCCAAUAAUUGAAAAACUUAUCAUACUCCGCAAUUUGUUGAAGAAUAUUUGGGUCUAUUGAAGGGGACAAUAUAGGGAAUAUUUGUCCCAUAUGCUCAAAAUGUUCAAUUAACAAAGUGUUCUGUAUGUUUAGGGAUUUGUUAGCUUUAAUUACACAAAACAUUAGCAGUUUUAGAGAAAAUUAAUUUUUUUUUGCAAUCUUAGGUUCCAUGAAAUUAAAAAGCCAAUAACAAGUCAAUAUGGCUUGAGACCCAGUCAUCAUAUUCAAAGUCAUCCAACUUAGAAGCAUUCAUUUUGCCACUAACAUGUGCUAAUUUCCAUUUUCUAUCUUUCAAGAGAAAAAGACUGCUCUUAACCAUGGCAAAUAAUUGAACCCAUUAAGAAGAUUGAGGAAAGUAUCAUAUGAGGGUUGUCAUUUUCCUCCAUGACAAAGAAAAAGCAACAGAGAAAAACUCAUAAUAUUAGAAAGAGAAUGAAAGAAAUUGAGUCAUAGAUACACACAGAAGAAUCCAAAAAUAAAGCAAUAAUACAACCACAAAUAUGAGAAGAAGCUCAAUUACAAAGAAAGGAACUCAAUACAAUCAACUAAAAAGCGUUCCGAAGUUCAUACGAAAAUAUUCAUAAUGUGAAGAUCAUUUCAUGAUUCCUACAAUUUCUUCCUUCUACCAGUCCACUCCAUACAAGGUUUGAUCAACAACUUCUUCAUUGAUUUUCUGGUCUCUCUCCGGUGUAUCAUAGAGCAUUUUUGACAUGUUUCUGCAAGAUACACUUGUUAACUUUAAGCGACAUAAGUGCAAAAAAAUAAGAUCAUGUUGUAUUGCCUGUGCUUCCACUCUGCCUUGUUUAGUACUAUUAUGGAGCAGUACUUCCAUAUAGAACCAGUGAUCUCCAGUUCAUUAUGUUGCCUUCUUUAAACUAACUUUAAUUAUCUAUACAUAUAAAACAAAGUGGUCCCAUCAAGGGGCUAAAUCAAGAAUCAAGUGGGGCGAACAGGAAACAGUGGCAUCAAUUUUUAAGUCCAUAAGCUUUAAUAAAAGGAAUAAAACCAAGGAUAUGAAUAUGUUAUUUUUUCAUUUGUUCAUGCACUGGAAGAUCUUUCCUCUUCAAGCAUUGAACCAGCAUCCUUCUGUGCAAGUUGCUGUCGGAACCUUCUAUAAUUGUCAGAAGUCUGUUUCUGAAAUAUACAGAUAAAACUUUUAGCAAGUCUUGACAUUGCUCAUCACUAGGACAUUGUACUAGGAUACCAAUUCAUCUAAUUAGGGUUAAGUUGGCAUCUCGUACACUAUUUUUUAUUUUUCCUUCAUCUUUUGUUCCCAUUUGCAGUGGAAGUGGCACUUAGAAUAUCUGAUCAUGAAGAAUUAGCUUUCGGUGAGAUGAUACUAGGUCAAUUGCCAUUAUCUUUUUGAGUUACUGUGCGAGCAAUCUUGAAAAUAUUUUGGGAUAAAUAGAAUUUGUGCUUAUCAUAAACAUGCUAAACAUCCAAAUCAAGUGCUUUUACUAUUGAUAUCAAAUCAGUAAUUGAUUUUAACCUUUAUGCUUAUCUUUCAGAUUCUCAAUUAUGUAUCUUGAAUAAUGAUAUUAAGCAGAAAUCAUGAAUUGAAUUGCUUUAAUUAACUGUGCCUUAUCAAGCUUGUCAGCAGUGCUAUUGCUACCGCGAAUCAAAUUCGCUGUGCUUCCCGCCUUCUCCAAAUAAGCCACAAGCCCAAUUAUAUCCGCCCUCCUCCCAUCUCCAAGGGAUCAAAAAAUAAAAUGACUUCAAUCAAUUUUCAAGUUUUCCAUCUUGAUCAGUAGACCACCCGGCAUGAAUGUUACCCUCAGUUUAGGAAUAGGAAUUCCUUUUACUAAUCAUUUGGCACUAAAAACUAUGACCCCUAGCAAUUCAUUCCCUCCAUUAGAUAUCUGGGGGCAUCUUGGCUCAGCCAAAAAUGAUAAGUCAUUGCAUUUCACAUUGCAUUCAUUUGUAUUAAUGAGCUAAUUUUUUUUCACAGAAUGUGAUGUGAAUCGAAUUACUUCCAACCAUGUGUCUCUAUAAGGGUUUAACAAAUGUAAUUUGCAUUGUCUGUACACUUUUUUUUCGGUUUCUUUUCUUUUUUAUGCAUGAUUCAUUAGUCCACGGAUCUUCUAUGCAAAGUGUGCAGGCCAAACACCUCCUUCAAUGCAUUAUUCUAGAAGUUAAGACUCAGUUUACUCCUUAAUUGAUCUGUUCCAUUUACUUCAAAUCAUUUGAUUACAUUAAAUGAAUCUUGAAAUUCAAAAAUGCAUCAAAGUUAAAAGACCUUCCAAUGCAUUAAGAAAUCAUCUGAUACAAAUAUAUGUGAACCUGCAACAACAAUAAUGUCAAAAUGGAAAACUUAGGUAGAAAAUAUUAGAACGGAAACUUACGACGAACUCAAUUUUUGGCGCCUUUCUUCUUCUCAUCUUCUGAUCCAAGAAGCUCUUCCAACACCGUGUCAUCCAAACACUCGAACUCAAUGACUUGCUUUUCUUGCCCAGAAGAGGAACCUCCCAUCUCUAAACUCCUACAAGGCCCAGAAGAUGACGAGGAAGACGAUGAGGAUGGUGAUGGUGGGGGGCGAUGGGAGCCCAUGAUUUCAGAAUAGUACUCAUUAGGAAAGUUAAGAAUGGCAAGAUGACCCCUUAAGUUAAAGGCCGCUCGAUCAUAGGCGCGAGCUGCAUCCUCCGCCCUGUCAAAUGUGCCUAGCCAUAGACGAGCACCUUGCCUAGACGGAUCCCUAAUCUCGGCUGCAAACUUCCCCCAUGGCCUCCUCCUCACCCCUCGGUAUCGAACUUCUUCCUUUUCCUUCCCUUCCUGCUCCUGCUUCUCAUUCCCUUUCGAAUGAUCUUCCAUGCUAAACGUGUCGAUUUGCUAGGCGCAAUUUUUUUGGUUUCAAAUGUGCUGGUUUACGAGAGGCAUGGAUGCUUAUGUAUAUAUAUGGUUGCCACAGUCAGGUCUGACGUCACCGCUCAAUGUAUGUUCCACAGCGUGGGUUGACGAGCUUUCUGAGGGGGUUUCCUCGAAUUCAAAGCAAGUAUAAAAAUUCGAUUCUCCGACCUUUCCAAUGAGGAUCGAACAGGCCUUUUAUUAGAACCGUAUGAUAACUCCACACUGUUUUCAAAUAGUCAAUGUGAUCUAGAUUCUUCGUUAAUUUUUUCCACCUGACUGAUUGUUUACAAUUUUAUUUUUCACCGUCCCAAAUUUAAACCAUUUACGCGAUUCCCUGGAUUGCAUUUUUCUUUAAUGUUGACUUUACGAGGCAAUAGGACCCCCCAGCAACCCCACUAGGGCGACUUCAUGGGAACCAGAUUACUUUUGGAUCCAGAUAUGGUCCAGAAGAAAUAAGACAAAUCAAUUAAUGUCCACUAAAGUUUUGAUGGAACCCUUAGUCCGUGUUUCCUGUGGAUGUAUGUAUUGUAUGCACCUCAAUUUUCACCAAUCCCUGCUACGAGUCCCUUUAAUUUUGACGUUAUAAAUGUUUUUCCUGACAUUAGCAGAGUGUUUUUCUGCCGUCUUUGAGGACCUUCCACGGCCCAUAAACUAAUAAGGAUCGUCCAGUGAAUUUAGUCUUCCCCAGUUAAUUAUCCUGCGAGGGAAACUUGGGCAGUAAGUUGCCUACAUGAGUGGCUCCCGCCUACAUGAGUCAAGGGACCAUACGUCAGGACGACAACCAGUGUGGUCACACCAAAGUGGGUUGCCUGGACUCCAGGGUGGUCGCUUCAAAGUUGUCAAAUGAAGGCUAGCUUGGCAAGUUUUGGAAAACAAUUAUUGAAAAACAUUUUUCAUGAAUAACAGUUUCUAUGAACAGAUUUUAAGAAAGUUUAUUUUGUGAUUUUUAGGAAUAUUUUUAAUUUAAAUUUUUAUAUUUUUAAUUUUUUAUUAAUUUAUUGAUUAUUUAAUAUUAGCUUAAUUAAUGGAUUUUUCUUGGUCCCAAAUUAUUAAUUUAUCAAGAUUUAAUCGCAUCCAUAAUUAGUCUAAUUUCUUUUGGAGUGAGUGUGACAAAGUGCAAAUUUCUAGAGUUUUAUUAAUGUUAUUCAAUGUCAUAAUUUAACUAAUUAUAUUAAUUAUUUAUUAAUCAAAAUAAAUCAUUCACUUGAAAUAUGAUAAUUUAAAUUAAAAGUUUCAAUUAUUUAUUAAUUAGCAAAGUAUGAACUUUUCUUCUUGUUUUAUUAUUGUUAUUCCAUGUAUAUAAUUUAAUUAACUGUUUCCAAUAUUAAUCAAUAAAAAUAGAAUAUAAGCAUGAGAAGAAUUAGUAAAAUUCAUUGAUUUGGAAUUAGAUAGCUAGAGGAAGAACUUCAUCAUCUUCCCAUUACUUAAAUUUGUAUAAAUUCUAAAUAUUUAAACCCCCCCCCCCCCCCCCCCCCCCAAAAAAAAAAAAAAUGGUAAAGAAAGACUCCCCAAGCUUUCUUGGUUGGUGUUACCCUAAAAUUUGUACAAUAAGAUGAACCAUUUGGCUUAAAGCUUGGUGCGAAACCCCUUAUCAAUUGAAAAUAUCAAUGAAGUUGUUGAAUGGUUUUAGAGGACUAUUCUUAUGCAGAGUGGCAUAAGAAGCGAGGAGAUGAAGAGCGGAGAGACGUUAACAUCGGAUGCUGCUACGAAGGUGGGAAUACGGUUAAUUAAUUAGAUUUUGUGAUGGCUUUGAGUUUGAAGGAGUUAGUUUAAUGGGUAUUAUUAGUGAACUGAUAAUUGGAUUUGAUGUAAAGAAGGUUGGUCCAUUGGAUUAGCAAUUGGUUUGGCCUUUUGGGGGCCCCAUUUCCAAAUGCAUUGCCUUUUACAAGCAUUCAACAUCGCUGGACGUAACCAGGCUUGGUUCACCUAAAAGUAUCGCAUGGAUUGAAUUGACUAAGUUUUCAUUGUAGACUAGCCUUGAUUUUCCCUUGACCUGCCCACCAAAUCCUGAUGCCCACGCGAGGGAAUACCUCAAUUUUCUAAUAAUUUAUGCAGUUUCUCUUCAAAGCUCGUGUGAUCACUUGGGUCGGUAAAAUAAUGCAUUCCUCUACUUUUUCUCCCUUCCUAGAUGCAUGUUAUACCAUUAAUUCAAAUGUGAACAUGGGCUUGGCUUUGAAACUUGGUUCAAGGCCCAACAUGUUGACCCACAAUUGAGGUGUAAUUGAAUUUGUACACUUUUCGACUUUGAUACCAUUUGUCAUUACCAUUGACAUUGGGUCAUUGUUGAUUUUGAGUCCACAACUUUUAAGGUUGUUAUUACAAUUUUAAAUUGCGCCCACCCAAUUUAUAUGCAUUAUCCCUUAUAAAUACCGAUAACCUCUCUUUCUUCGAUAAUAUAAAAUGUCACAUAUAUUAUAUAUCUCAAUGUUUUCUUUUACUUUUUUUUUUUUUAUCGAUCGACAUUCUCUCUCAGAUGAUAUGAGAUGUCACAUAUAUUAUAUGUUUCAAUGUUUCUUUUACUUUUUCUCUUUUUCCUCAUGAUUGACAUUGUCUUUCUCAAAUGAUAUGAGUUGUCACAUAUAUUUUAUGUCUCAAUGUUUUCUUUAACUUUUUUUCUCUCUUCUUUAAUGAUCGACGUUCCUUUUCUCAGAUGAUAUGAAAUGUCAUAUAUAUUAUAUGGCUUAAUGUUUUCUUUUACUUAUUCUUUCUUUAUUAAUAAUCGACAUUUUAAGCAAUAUGUGAAUAUAAAGCAUUAAAAUUAUCUCCAUCGUUUUUGGAUGUGGUAUAAAUACACAAUUCUUAUUUUUGUUUUAAAUAUUUCUAUUGCUAUCUAUUGAAAUUUUAUGCAUGAAGCUACCAAGUUAAUUAUACAUAUAUCUUAAGAUUUUUUUUUUUUUUUUUUAUAGGAUAUAUUGUCCAUGAAUAUUUUCUGCAAUGGUAUCUUGUUUGAUUACUAUAAGAAAUAAUAUAUAUAUAUAUAUAUAUAUAUAUAUAUAUAUAUAUAUAUAUAUAUAUAUAUAUUAUAUUUCAAUGUUUCAUAUUUGCUUAAAAUAAAAAUUAUAUUUUAUCACAAUAUUUGGUAUUAAAAAAAAUGAAAUCUCUCUCAUUUAUUAUUACAAAAAAAUUAUAAUUUAUAAUUUUCUAAAUAAGUUUUAUUUAUUUGCUAACUAUAUUCAUGAUUAAAAGAUUUAAAAUUUAUAAAUAAAAAAUAUUAUGUCAUGUCAUUAAAUAAAUAAAAAUAUAUGUAUAUAUUAAAAUUAUGUUUUAUUGUAGCUUUUAAUAUUUUUUUUUUUAUUCUUUUCUUUUUUGAACUACAAUUUUAAUUUUUUUUAAUCAAAAUUUUUUAAUUUACAAAACGAGUAACAUAAAACUUGCCUUUGAACUUUAUUGGAAUGUUAUAUACUACCAUUUGGCUUUCAAGACAUUAGAAAAGGCAUAAGUGUCCCUUUUAUUUUUCCGAAAGGCAUAUUAGACUAUAGUAGGAAGUGUUGUAUAGAGGCAACUAAAAGUUGCCUUUAACUUUAUGAAGUCAUAUACUCCUCUUUGGCUUUGAUGACAUCAACUAGCAAAUUGGAUUUUGUUUCCUUUGCAACAUUUUUCCAUCCAUUAGCCAGUUUUUUUAUACUGUUUGGUGCUUGCCAACAUGGCACACACUAUGGUUCUUAAAAAGUAUUUUUUUUUUUAAGAUACUACGAAAUAAAAUACACGAUUGAAAGAUGAGUCACAAUAAUUUUCAAAACUAAAUUUUUUAAUAUUGUUAAGAAAAUUUGACCACCAAAUGAUUGAUUUUAAAUUACAAAUACUUUUGUUAGCUAAGAAAUUUGUUGUUCUAUUUGUUUCCCUAUAAAUAUGACAACAAUCAUAAAUAUUUUCAUUUUAAGAUAAUUUUCAAAUAUCUUCCAUUAAUAAUAUAAUAGAAUUAGGAAUUUUUUUUUUAGUUAUAACAAUCUAUAAUUAUUUAAGAGUCUUCCUCAAUCUCUAGGUUUAAGAACUUAUUGUUCUUAACAACUAACAUGUCAUCUCUUAAAAUAAUACAUUCUGCAAUAAUUAUUGAAAUAUGAUAUAAUAUAUAUAUCUACUUACAACCAUUUUUGUAGUACCAUUAGAAUUUUUAAUUACCCAUUCUAAAGUAUUUUUAUUCUCUAUUCUUAAACCAUCAAAAUUUAAUUUAAAUCUUUCAUUAAUUGGAUAAAUCCAAUGAAUCUAACAAGUUAAAGGAUUAUGAAUCCGACAAAACAGUUGAUAAUAAAUUAAUAAUGCCAUUAAUAUGAUUUUAAUGUGAAACACAAUUAUCACAUUUAAUACAGUUAGUCCUUGUAUGAUUAAUGUUUUGGAAGCUAAAAUCAAUCUUUUGACUAUAAUAAGAGUUUCUACUAUUUCUAUUUUUGGAUGAUUUUAUAUUUUUCUUAUUGUUUUAGUUUAAUACAAAAAAUAAAAAUAAAAUUACAUUAGUAGAAUUUUUUUAACUUACUCAAAAACCUAUUUUAGUUGAAUGAUUUUUUUAAAAAAAAUAUAAAUAUUUUGUUAAAAGGGAUAAAAUAACCUUACCUUGUGAAAAAGACCUCUUCACCCAAGAUUACUUGUUCAUAAUCCUUUUAAGACGAAAAUGCCCCCUUCCUAAAAAAUAUUUCAUCUUAAACUUAUUUUUCUUUUUAUUGCCCUUUGUUCCAUCCUUCCGGCUUGGGAGAGAAAUUCAUUCUUCUUUUGCGAAGAAAAAUUCCUAUUGCGAUUUUUCAUUUCAAGUGGAAAAAAAAAUUCUUAUUUCAUUUUAAAGAAAUUGUACAUUUUCAAUCUUUCUCUUUGUUCCUAGUUGAGGGUUUUUUUUGUAAUUUUAUCUUAACACUACAAAUUUAAAGGUGAGAUUAAAUCUUAAUGGUUAUUAGUUAAAUCACAUAUCUAACUUUGUUUUUGUCAGGACCUAUAAUAUGAUUGGAACCACCAUCCAAACUUCAUUAGGUGGGAUACUCCCCACCCUCCCCCUCCCCCCGCGAAAUCCUUGGAUUUUAGUUUUGACUUGGAUUUCAAUUGCCCGUAUCAAUUUUUCUUUAUUUAUUAAUUUAUUAAUUUUCAACUUUAACAAAAGCCUUGAAUCAUAUUUAAAUUCAAAUAACUUAAUCCUAAUUAAGUUCUUUUUAAAUAAAAAUUAAUCAUUGAAAAGUUCAUGUGACUAUUAUAAUUGAGAAUUUAUCCCAAGUUGGGUUUUUUGCAAAUAAAAUUUUAUUAUAGGACAUCAUGAUGCAACAUAACAUAAGGUUGUUACUUAAGUUUGUUUUGACCUUGUAAUAUGUUAAAAUGAAAAUGAAGCCAUUGUAACAGGAGAGAAUGAUGAAGCUGUGGAGAGAGCUUAACAAAGCUUGGGUUGGAGAGACUUCACAGGAAGAGAGAGAGAGAAAUAAAGGGUAAAAUUAUCAAAAGAGAAAAGAAAAAAAAAAAAAAAAAAGAAGGUUAUGUCUUCAAAUAAUCAAUAAGAGAUGUCAUUUUUCUAAUUUUCAAAGUUCUUUUGGUCCUUCUCUACAAAUAUCCCUAUAAAAAUAUUAUAAUAUCAAGUUAAUUUGUCAAUACCAAAAUUUAUAUUUUAUAUUAGGGCGACUAAAUAACAUAUAGAAAGAAUUUUAAAUGAGUAAAUCAAAUCAAUUUUGAAACCAAAACUUAAUAAUUACCAAACUUGUAAUCUUAGUCAUUAAAAGUGUACGAUGAAAUCUAAAUUAUUAAGCAAUGAAACAAAAAAUUAAGAUUAAAAUACAAAACGUUAAAAUCAAGAUACAAACUAUUAAAAUGUAAGUGGGAUAUGAGAUGAUAUUAUAAAAAAUAGUGUGAUCCAACAAAAAGUCUAGUACAUCAUUAUCUUCACUUCCAACCAUGUUUAAAAGGUCACAAGUUCUAGCGGUUUCCAAGGACAAUGUUAAAAAUAAUAAAAAUAAAUCCAAUUAAAUAUUAAUUAAUUUAUUUGAAUUUGAGUCCGACAAAAUAGUUGGUAAUAAGUUAAUAAUGCCAUUAAUAUGAUUUUAAUGUGAAACACAAUUAUCACAUUUAAUACCCGUUAGUCCUUGUAUGAUUAACUUUUUAGAAAUUAAUAUCAAUCUUUUGAUUAUAAUAAGAGUUUCUACUAUUUAUAUUUUUGGAUGAUUUUAUAUUUUUCUUAUUGUUUUAGUUUAAUACAAAAAAAUAAAAAUAAAAUUACAUUAGUAGAAUUUUUUUUAACUUAUUCAAAAAACCUAUUGUAAGGUGAAUGGUUUUUUUAUUUUUUUUUUAAAUAUAAAUAUUUUCUUAAAAGGGAUAAAAUAACCUUACCUUGUGAAAAAAGGCCUCUUCACCCAAAUUUACUUGUGCAUAAUCCUUUUCAGACGAAAAUGCCCCCUUCCUAAAAAAUAUUUCAUCUUAAACUUAUUUUUCAUUUUUAUAACCCUUUGUUCCAUCCUUAUGAUUUGGGAGAGGAAGUCAUUCUUCUCUUGUGAAGAAAAAAUUCCUACUGCCAUUUUUCAUUUCAAGUGAAGAAAAAUAUUUAUAUUUCAUUUUAAACAAAUUGUACAUUUUCAAUCUCUCUUUGUUCCUAGUUGAGGUUUUUUUUUUUUUUUUUUUUUUUUGUAAUUUUAUCUUAAUUGUACAAAUUCGAAGAUGAGAUUAAAUCUAUAAUGGUUAUUGGUUAAAUCACUUAUCUAACUUUGUUCUUGACAGAUCGUAUAAUAUGAUUGGAACCACCAUCCUAACUUUAUUAGGUGGGAUCCCUUUUUUUUUUUCCCCAAACCCUUGGAUUUUAGUUUUGACUUAUAUUUCAAUUGUCUGUAUCACUUUUUCUUUAUUUAUUAAUUUUCAACAAGUUCUUUAACAAAAGCCUUGAAUCAUAUUUAAAUUCAAAUAACUUAAUCCCCAUUAAGUUCUUUUUAAAUGAAACUUAAUCAUGUGAAAGUUCAUGUGACUAUUAUAAUUGAGAAUUUAUUCUUAGUUGGGUUUUUUGUAAAUAAAAUUUAGUUAUAGGACUGUGAUGAUCCGUUCUCAACCGUAUAAAUAUUGUUCGUUUUGAAUUCAAAAUAACUUUUACGGCUUUAAAACAUGUUUACAAGAUUAAGAGGAGUCCAUAUUUAUAUAGCUUCACGAACUUUCCCCCCUAUUCGAUGUGGGAUGUCACAAGGACAUCAUGAUGCAACGUAUAACAUAAGAUUGUUUCUUAAGUUUGUCUAACCUUGUAAUGUGUUAAAAUGAAGAUGAAGCCAUUAUAACAGAAGAGAAUGAUGAAGUUGUAGAGAGAGCUUAACAAAGCUUGGGUUGGAGAGACUUCAUAGGAAGAGAGAGAGAGAGAGAGAGAGAAAUAAAGGGUAAAAUUAUCAAAAAAGAAAAAAGAAAAAAAAGAGGGUGAUGUCUCCAAAUAAUCAAUAAGAGAUGUCAUUUUUCUAAUUUCAAAGUUCUUCUGGCCCUUCUCUACAAAUAUCCCUAUAAAAACAUUAUAAUAUCAAGUUAAUUUGUUGAUACCAAAAUUUAUAUAUUAUAUUAGGAUGACUAAAUAACAUAUAGAAAGAAUUUUAAAUGAGUAAAUCAAAUCAAUUUUGAAAUCAAAACUUAAUACCUACCAAACUUGUAAUCUUAGUCAUUUAAAGUGUUCCAUGAAAUCUAAAUUAUUAAGCAGUGAAACAAAAAAUAUAAGAUUAAAAUACAAAACGUUGAAAUCAAGAUUCAAACUAUUAAAACGUAAGUGGAGACGUAAGAUGAUGUCAUAAAAAAUAGUGGGAUCCAACAAAAAGUCUAUUAAUCAUUAUCUUCACUUCCAAUCAUGUUUAAAAGGUCACAAGUUCUAGCGGCUUUCAAGGACGAUGUUAAAAAUAAUAAAAAUAAAUCCAAUUAAAUAUUAAUUAAUUUAUUUGAACAAUAGAUAGGACCAAAAUAAUAUUCUAAAAGGAAUCAUAGGGAAGUCCUUGGACAACCUACGACAUUGAACAAAGGUACAGUGAGACAAUGCACUUAGCCCUUCCUUGUCAUUGCGAUGAAUAUAAAAAGACACCCUGAUUGAGGGUGCCCCACUAAGCCAAGAGUGAUUCUUUUGUAUUGUAUAACGUGAAUAUUUUUGAACUUUGAAUGACCCUUCCUAUAGUCAUCAUUGUCAAAACUAGAAAAUCAGAAAGAUGCGAUGUACGAAGGCACCAUUGAAUAAGAGGCUUAAUUCUCUUUGGCAAUUAGGAUAAAGUUUCAAAAUAGAAAAAUUAAACAAAUGUACAGUGUACGGACACUUGGGCAUUGCCUAUUUGUUUUGUUCUUCUAGAGUUGUAUAUGGUAAAGGUCAUAUUGGGUUGGUUCUAUUUGGUUAUUGAAGUCGGCUAGAAUAUUAGAUUUGGUUUCAAUCUAAUCCCAUAUGAUAUUAGAAUACCAGCCCAUACAGAAUUUUUGACCAAAUAUAAUAUUUCUUUUAAAUAUAAAUAUAGUAAUUAAUUUUAGUCUAAGAUUAAUUAUGUAGUUUCCUAAAGAGACCACUUCCUAAACGGUAGCUAUGUGGAAGUUGGGCCAGGUCCUGCCGAGAAGGUUUCCACGAGCUGAGCCCAAAACUGAGUAGCUGUGAUGGGAUCAUUCUAGCAUUCAGCCUGAAACUUGUAACAUAACGGAUCGAGAGGCCUGAACUCCAAGACCAUGGUUCGUCAGCCCAUUAACUUCAACAGCACGCAUUUUAGAGGACUGGGCUUGCAAGGGGUGAGGUUUCCGGGCCGCGACCCCAAAUAUGAACAGCCUCAGAAGUGAUAUUGCUUACUGGCACGUGAAGAGCGCAAGCGUAACUAGAAGAUUUGUAAUGCCGCUUUAAUUGUUUGAUUAUAGAAUCCCACGCAUUACGCAUGGAAAGUGUAAAAGAUAAAAGAUGUAGAAUUUUUUCUUAGAGAAAAGUUCGUUUGGAUAUAGUUAUUGUUUUUUUUUUAAAUAAUAAUUGUUUUUUUUAUAAAUUAUAGAUAAUCUUAGAAAUUUAUCUUUAAAAAAAUAGUUUUUAAAAAUAUUUAAGGAGAAUAAAAGUGAUAAAAAAAAACUUUACAAUUUCAAAUUUUUAAAAAAUGAAAAUUAUUUUUAAGAAUAUAAGUUAAUCUCCUGCAUUUAAAUCUUAGGUGGUUUUUGUUUUUUUUACUUUUCGCUGAAAACAAUUUGUUUUCAAAAUUUAGGUCAUUUGUUUUUUCUAUUUUUUCAUGAUUUAUUAUAAAUUUUUUACUAAAUAAAAAAAAUCAAAAUAUGUAACUUUUUCUAAAUAAAAAAAAUAACGUAUUGAUUUUUCUUUACUUUUUAAUACUUAAUAGAUAUAAAAUACUACAAAAACAAAAAAUCUAAUAUUUAACACUAUUAAGCAUUAAAGUUCUAUUUAGAAUUAAGUAAAAAAACAAACACCACCUUAUAUUUUAUAUAAAAGUUACUUAUAUUUUGGUUUUUGGAAAUAAAAAAUAUAAAGCAUAUCCAAACAUGAGCUUAGCUAUUUUAAAUCAUAUCAAAAUAAUAAUCCCAAUAAGGUAAAUGGACUUUUAUACGGAGAAUAAUCUUUAAGGUUUUCAUUUUUAUUGGAUUUUUUUUUUGUGGUGUUUUUUCAAUCCAUCUUCUCAAUUAAUUCCUUAAAAUUAUUUUACUGUUUUUUUUUUUUUCAGUUUCUAAAUAUUUGAUUUUUCCAAAAUGCUUAAAUGGAAGACACUAAUUUUUCAAGAUAUUUGGUAUUACAAUUUUCCCUGUUCUCCCUAUUAUCUAUCAGAUUCAUGGCCCUUUUGUUUUUUCAUUGGUUUUCAAUUUAAUUUUCCAAAUAUUACAUUGUUGUGUUUUGAAUUUGUGAAACCAAUUUUAUAUAUAUAUAUAGUAUGUAAGUCUACUUUGGGUAACAUGUACAGAGAGGUUUUCAUGUGUUUGAAACCUUUUACCUCAAAAAUUAAUUAUUUUUAAUUUUAUAAUAAAUCUUUUUUUAUUUUUUAUUUUAUUUAGGAAAGCCUAUAUUUAAACUACAUGUUUGCAACGCAACACCAUACAUACUCCUAGUGGAACUUACCUUAGUGCUUGAGGGGGAUGCAGAUCUUCUUCUAAACCUAACUAAUAAGCAUAAAAUUGUUCACUAAUUAGCAUAUCUAGUAAAUCAUACAAAUUGGCAAUAUUUCAUGUUUUUCAUGUUUUGUCAAUAAAAGGCGUCUUGACCAUUUUGUGAGUUUUGUAAUAAAUAAAAAAAAAAAAAAAAAAAGGGCAAAAGGUGACUAAAAUGAGGCACUUUGGAAAGGUUAAUAACCUAAAAGGAAGAUGAAUUAAUACCCCCUUAUUCCUCUUCAAAAACCAUUGAGAAAAUGCAAGAAAUGCUCUUAGUUGUAUGCUAGGCUAACAGCCUAGCAACCAUAAUACCCUUCUUUGCAAUUGUAAGCAUUUUUUUUUUUUUUUUGAAGGCCAAACAACGUUGCAAACUUCCCAAAUCCCUUCUUUAUUUUUUAUUUUUUUAUUUUUGUUUUUAGAAGGAGAAUGAAUUUGAUGACAAACUCCUUGUCAAUCUUAUCCAAACCACGAUCGAACAGAACUCCUUGUCAAUCUUAUCCAAACCGUGUUCCACCUCAAAAACAUGUGUAGGACUUAAGGCAGCAACUGGCAAGCAUGACUGAUAGGGCCAAGUGCCCUUGUCUCUACAAUCCAUUAAGUUAACCAAGGGCAGUGAACCAUCAUUCUUUUCAAAAGCUUCAUUCCGUGUUGAAAAUGUGAGACUGAAGCAUGGUGCCCCCAAAAAUAACGAUCUAUUUACUAGCAGCAUGCCUGGACCCAUUAAAAAUACUCUACUUUAGGAAUAGAAAAAAUUACAUCUUUAUCCAAUAAUUUUAUAACAAUUCAGACGUUUCAGUCUAUAAAUAAUUGUACAUAGUUGCCAACGUUUAGCUAGUUUCAAAUGAAUAGCCUAGGUUCAUGCACCAGUUUGGCUGGUGGAGGAAAGGGAUUCGAGACAUUGAACCCUCUUUUUAGUGUGCCAAAUAUUCCACAAAAAUCACUACCUUCUCUUUGUGUUUGUUCACUUUUAGUUUAUAUUUAAUAAAUCUAUGUUUUCGAGUAGAGGUUGGGUUCAGGUGCGACCCACGUCACCUCUCGGACGGUCUUGAAAAAGGAGACCGGACCACGUAAUUUCAAAUGUAGUGACCAUCUCACUUUUACCUCCAUCCUUGAAGAUGGUUUCCCAAAUCAAUAUUAAUCUUUUGUUUACGACAAUAUCGAUCACUUUAUGUCUAUAUCGUUGUUAAUUUACCUUUUUUUUUUAGCCACAUUAUUUGAAAAUUGAUGCAAACUUUACCAACAUCUUGGUACCAUUUUAAAAUAUUAGAGUUAUUUGAUUAAAAAAAUAAAAUAAUCUCGAUAACUUGUUUAUAAAAUAAAUAUCUUUUAACAUUUAGACUAUUCUCACGCAUGCUUUAAAAUUGUAAAGAUAUUCAUAAAGUGGAACUUUAGACUUAAUCAAUAUCGAUCACUUUAUGUCUCUAUUGUUGUUAUAUUUUUUUUUUACAACAUUAUUUGAAAAUUGAUGCAAACUUUACCAACAUCCUAAUACCAUUUUAAAAUAUUAGAGUUAUUUGAUUAAAAAAAUAAAAUAAUCCCGACAACUUGUUUAUAAAAUAAAUAUCUUUUAAUAUUUAGACUAUUUUCACCAUGCUUUAAAAUCAUAAAGAUAUUUAUAUUCAUAAAGUGGAACUUUAGACUUAAACAUGAUAAUAGUUUUUUUACAAUAUUAUAAUUAUUUUAUCGUUUUAAUUAAGCCCUUUAUCAUACAUAUAAAUGUAAAUUAAUGCUAAAUUUUUAAAGCAACGUAUAACCUUUUACAUCUUUUUUUAAGAUGGUGCGAAAAUCCUAUGAAAAAUAAUAAAAGUCGAUGCAUAAGAAGAUUGUUUUGAUAAUUCAAUAGAAAAAUUCUUUUAAAAUGAUAUUAAAAAAUACCCAUAGAGCCUUUAUUAAAAAAAUCAAUUAUUUUCAUAAUAAAAAUUAUAAUUUUUUAUUAUGUAUUAUUAUUUUUAAGUAUCUUUAUUACAAAUACUUUUUUUGAGUUUAUGAGAGGAAUCAACAGGUUGGUACAAGCUUAGGCGUCCUCGUACAUGUUCCCGCUGUGCAAGGUUUUUGUCUUGUUUCGAGCUAGUCGGAAUUUACGUGUUUGAUAACGUUUUGUCCUAUUUUUGUAACGCUUUAAAGGGCGGCCCACCGUUGGAACAGUUCAAGCCAUCCAAAUCAGCCCGGAGGGUUAUGGCGACGUGGCAUGACGCCUACCACCUUAGUUCACAUGAACCCUAUGAUCGUACUACCCUCACAUGACAUCUGUGAUUCUUCACCUCCAAACCCUCUUUAACUUGGUAAUGUAUUCAAAGCUUCAUCAAAUCAUAGCGAUUAGCGACCCUCUUCCACCCUAAUUUUAUAAUAAAAAAUAAAUCUUAGUGGACAUUAAAGUAGUAUUUUGUGGGGGGAAAGAAAAACUCUAUGGGCGUAUCCACUAAAUACGAGCCAAGUAUAAGAGUUAUCACCAUGGAAUCAAAUUAUGAAGCAUUGACAUUUUAAUUGUAUUCAGAUUUGAGGAGGGCACCGCGGCACCAGCUGGCCCAGUGUAGUCUGCUAGCCUACCCGCCAUAAUGACCAAAUUAAUAAAGUAAAAAGGAUUACAGGGAUAUUCCCAACUUUAUUCUGGGUCUGAGCUGGAACUUGGGAGUUAUCACGAUCAACGGGAAAGAUGGUGGGUAGGGGACGAGGAUUGAGGGCUCCAUAUUCACAUCAGUGAAAAACGAAAUGUAUUGAGACAAGUCUUCUAAGGAUUUUCUAGCGUAUUAUAUGGUUUAAAUGAUUAUAAAUCUGUAGUUACUGGUAAAGAGUAGAGAGUGAAGACGAAAGACGUUGAGUGAAAAGGAAGGAGGAGAGGGGAUGGGGCCAUCUUACCGUGUCGGGGAGGAUCCAUAAAAGGACUACGUUCCCUGAAUCUGUAGGCAUCAUGCCUCGCCUAACGGGUUAGUCAAAAUACAGUGAUGUGUGUGAGUUGGGGGCCUCACUCCUCAUUUCUUUCCUUCUUUUCACCCCCACCCCCACUUUUUUUUUUUUUUUUUCGAAUUUUUCUUUGUCCUUUUCUCUCACUUGCGCACGCGGGAGAAGGACCACAAACUAGACAAUUCCUCUGCUCACGUGACCCCGAGUUUUUAAAUAUUUGCCUAUUUGGAAAAUAGUCAUGAAUCAUGAUCGUUAACAAACAAUCUUCACUUUAUUUAUUUAAGAUCUAUUUUUUGGAGCUCUAGUUUAGUUUAUUAUUAUUAUUAUUAUUAUUAUUAUUAUUAUUAUUAUUAUUUAGUAACUCCUCUUAUAUUAAUGAAAAAGAGAGGAGGAAUCCAAACUUGUUUAUUCUUCCUCUUUUAAGGUGUUUGUUUUUUUUAUUUUAUUUUUAUGCUUCAUAUGUCUUCAAUUUCUUAGCAUUUGUCUUAUAUUUCUUCUUAUCCGAUUCAUUAUUGCAUCCUUGGUCAAUCUUUCACGAGGAGUGCCUACUUUUUUCCUUUUUAUUAUUUAAUUCACUUUAUCUUUAUAUUUUCCUUUUACACUUUAUUUCCAAUUCAAAACGUGUCAAAAAAAAAAAUUGGUAACAAAAAAAAAAAAAAAAAUCAAUUGUAAUGAUUCUUAUAUAAUUUUAUUUAAUUUUUAUUAAACAAUAAAGAAAUUAAAAAUAUAUAAAUUUUUAAAUAAUUAUUAUAGUCUUUCAUUUUUGUGUAUAAUUUCUUUUGCAAGAAAUAGUGUAGGCUUUCCACGGUCUAAAGGAAAUGGAAUAUCAAAUGAGAAGGUAAUAAUAAUAAAGUGAGUUAUAGAUACUAAUCAAACUAAUCCACUAAUGAAUUAUUUAUUUUUAUUUCACAUGGACAAAUCCUAAAAGUUGGAGUUCUAAUUUACUUUUAUGUUAAGCUUUUUUAAGUAAAAAUCUUUUAUUAUUAUAAUUUAUAGACAAAAAGAAACCCAUUAAUGUGAUGGAUAAAAAAUUUCAAUUUAAAAAAAAAAAAAUUAAAGUUGCUAAAUUUUUGUAUUUAUUAUUUCAAACUCAUUUAAAUAAUUUAAAAAUAUGUCUUCAAUUAAUUUUAAUGAAACAAAGCAUGAUUUUUUUUUAAUUUUUUUUUCUUUACCAAAUAAAGCAUUAUUAUAAUACGUUGAUUAAAUUUUCAUCAUGUCUCUCAAGAUUUGGAUUAAAUAUACUUAGUUGUCAUAAAUUUGAAAUUUUAUUUAAUGUAUUUUUUAUUUUAAAUUAAAAAGAUGAAUGCAAAUAAAAAAAAUAUGUAUAUUUUAUAAAAUUUUAAAUUAAACGAAGGAUACGUGUAUUUAACCAAGGUGAAUGAAAUUAAUCCAAAUACUUUUUGGUAACUUGCAAAAUAUCUUGACGAAAUCAUUAUGGCAGGCAUCGUACAAGCUCAACCCUUGUCGCCUUGCUAGAAAUAGAGAAACAAAAAGACCCCCAAAUUGGGUUGCAUCCUAAAUAUGAAGAAGUGGUAACAAAGGAAGAAAAAAUGCUGUGUUAUUGAAUAGUUAAUACAUUGAACAUGAUAUGUUACAUAGAGAGCCAGAUUAAUCCUAGUGGAAUUCCACUGUCACGAUGGUAACCUAGGGUUAUGUUUGGUUAUUGAAAAUACCAAGAAAAGAAAAAAAAAUAUAAAGGAAAAUAAUUUUUUCAUUUUUGAUUGUCUUAUAAAAGAUAUAAAAAAAAAACAAAUAUAAUUAAAACUAAUUAAAAAUUUAGGUAUUUUUAAAUUAUUUAAUUUUUAUAUUAAUGAGCGAAAAUAAAUAAAAUAAGUUUAAAAUAACAAAAAAAAUAAUUUACCGAUUUUUAAUCUAUAUUUUAUUUUACUUUUUCUUUGUAUUUUUUUUUUCUUAUAUUUUCCCUCAAAUUUUCUGAAUCAAACAUAGCAAAAAAGGAGCUACCCCUUUCGAAAGAAACUCCCAAGAAUUUCAAAGAAACCUGCUGAGAUAAUGAAUGAGGGAUCACUGUCGGUAAACAGUAUCCAUUCUUUUGGGAGGACUUUCAAACUGAGAAGUUGUUUUCAUGACUUGGAAACAAAAUUUUGAGCUCUAAGGGGGUCUGUAUUUGGGCCCUAAAAUUCAAUCCAUCAAUCUGAAAAAUGCUUAGGAUAAUGAUUUGAUUUAGCCACAAUCACUAAACAAAUUCCAGAGGAAAAUUUCGCUACUCAUAGGUGGCUGAUUCUCAUAAAAAGACAUCGUGGUAGGGUGUCUCAAGUGCAGGCUCACCAUCAACUUGCUGCCCUUUUUAGAUUAUUGUAAAAUGAUUUCACAUGAAGCCCAAUGCAAAACUUUGAAAGAAAAGGUUGGUGGAGACGUGAAGAAUAUGUAACCCAUAGGCCAUAACUAGUACCGAAGAUUAUUGAACAAACAUUCAAGGUUUUUGUAUAGACGAAACUGAAAAGAAUGUGUACCAGACUCAGGCGUUCAGAUCAGAUGAUGCCGUAAUGUGGAUUGUGGAGGAGCAUUGUGCAGACAGAUAAUGAGAUUCUGAAAGCGAGGCCACUGAUGGGCCCUUGGAAGGGGGGCGUGCCUUCAAAAUUAUAUAUAUAUAUAUAUAUAUGUCAUUGAAAAUUGGAAGCAACUUUUCUUCUUAAGUUAUUUUAAUCGAAGAAGAAACAAAAAGUUAAAAACAUACAUUAUUCUUCCUUCUUACGAGGUUUCCGGGUCUAAAUUACUAUGGUCUCUGCAACUGGCGUCGUUUUCUCUCCCCUCUCUCUAUUUUCCCUUUAUUUUUUCACUUUUAGAAAGAAGCAUCCCAUCAAGAAUCUACUACAACCCUACGCUUCCAUUUUGAUUUAGAAAGUUAAAAAUAAGUUUAAGUUAAAAAAAAAUAUUUUCUUAUAUAAUUAUUUAAACUUAUUUCUUUUCCUUUUUAUAUAAAGAAACAAAUAUUUUGCAAAUAAAUAAAUUUCUAAUUAUUUUCAUUAACAUAAUAAUAAUAUUUUUCAUAUGACUUUAAUCACAAUUUUUUUUACCACUUGUCCAAGGCGGUGAGAGGUGAUAAAAUGUAUUAAAAAAACGAUUAAAUUGCAUUAGGUAUAGAAGUUUUGUGCUUCAAUUAUCACUUAUAAAAAUAAAAUAAAAAUAGUCAAAUUUGAGUGUGCAAGUUGGUAUUCGUAUGUAGAAGGAAUUGGGGGAUUUGGGGGUCCUAACAAAUUUGAUAUGAUUGAUGGAAGGAAAUGAUUAUUAUAGGAUAAAGUCCGAAUGAAACGCUGACGAGGGGGGAAAAACAACAGUGGCAAUGCACUAUCCACAGAUCCAUGAUUGAUUUAUGUUAGCAAUAAUGAAUUAUUUUGACUUUGAUAACCUUGGUUAAGAGAAUUUGGUCUUGUUAUUAUCAUUUUUUCAAAAAAAAAAAGUGUAGGUAACUAGGUAGUUGAUUUAUUAGAAUUUAGAAAUGAGGAUCCCCUCCUCCUGCAAGAGCCGUGACAGACAUGCCUGCUUUCUUGCCAGAUUAUACCAAUGUGCCCAAAUAAUCCCCCAUCUAUCAUCUCUGCACCCUGGAACACGUCACUCCCUCCUUUGAGCAAUAAAAUAUCUCUUUUAUUUUCUUUUGAACCACUCUUCUAUUUCUUUGUACCAGACUGGACCCAUUUAAAUUCUUCGCUACGCUGUUCCCAAGGACUACGAGAAUCAAAAUAGCAAAAUUCUUGAAUCAUUUUAAUGGGUUCAGAAACCACAUGUUUCUCUAGAUCAUAAGAGGAAAAUCUUUUUGGAUGGUGUUUGUGUUGUGUUGUGUUCAAUAUUAAAUACUCAAUUAAAUAAGCUAAAUCAAAUAUCACAUGAAAAAUAAUCAAAUUAAAAAUAGGGAGAAUUAUGUUUUGAGGGUAGAUGGACCCCAAAUUAACAAAAGGUUCAUGUAACUCUUCAAAUUGAGCCCAGACCCAAUGAAAAUAUGGAAAUUGAGUUGAAGUAUAUCAUCAUUCAGUAUUUCCAAAAAUGUCCUUUGUUGAUUUUGAGAAAAAAAUUAAUAUUUUUGAAAAAUAUUUUUAUGUAAUUUAAUAUUUUUUUAAAUACUUUUAUUUAAUUUAAUAUUUUUAAAAAAUAAAUUUAUUUAAUUUAAUAUUUUAAAAAAUAUUUAAUUUAAUAUAUUUUUUAAAUACUUUAAUUUAAUUUAAUAUUUUUGAAAAAAAUUUUAAUUUAAUAUUUUUGAAAAAAAAAUUAUUUAAUUUAAUAUUUUUUAAAACUAUUUUUAUUUAAUUUAGUAUUUUUGAAAAAAAAUUAUUUAACUUAAUUUUAUAAAAUAUUUUAUAUGUGUUCUUAAAGGGUAUAUUUGUCCGUUACUAUUUCAUAUCCUUCAACUCAAUUUAAAGAGUUAUAUGGACCUUUUGUUAAUUUGGGGACCCAUCUACCCUCAAAAGAUAAUUCUCCCUUAAAAAUAUAAAUUUAAAUAUGACAUAAUUAUUAAAUAUGUUAGAUCUUGUAUGAGUUUAUAAGAUUUAUGUUUCAAAAUAACAUGUUUAUAAUUCAUCUAUUGAUUUAUAAUCAAAUUUUAAAUAAAUUAAAGUUAUUCAAGUUAAUAAAUAUGAUUUAUGUUAUAAAGACUAACUAAAAAAUAAUUUAUUAAUUAAACGGAUCCUGGUCAAUAAAAAUUUGAUUUAAAUACGAUCAUACUUAAUCAAAACUUAGGUCAAAUUGUAUUGAUAAAUUACAUCAAAACCUUGUUGUGUUCAAUAUUUUAUAUUAAACUAUUUUUUAAUAAAAUUAUUUUUAUAAAUAUAAUAUUACAUCAUUUGGAGAAACAAAAUAGUAUUAUAUUGAUUUUACAUAUAAAGCAACCAGUUAACCCCUCAUUAUUUUGAUCCAUUUCACAUCCAUAUCAUUCUCAUAAUUUUUUUAUAAUAUAUUAACAUGAUGGACGGUAAUUGAGGGUAGAAAAAAAAGAUGAGAAGAAUAAAAUAAUGUGAAUCCUCUCUAAAUGUUACAUCUUCUGACAAAUGAAGUCUAUAGAAAUGUGUAAAAAAAAAAAAAACACUUAAUUGUGAGGUUCACUUGAUUUAGCAAAAAAUUAAUAUUUUAUUUGUUGUGUGAUUUAAAAAUAAUAUUUUAUUUUUAAAAAUAAAAAAUUAUUUUUAAAGUUUUUUAACACUAUUUUACUAUUGUUCUUUGAAAUAAUUUUUAAAAUUAAAAUGAAAUAACUAAUAAUUUUUAGAUAAUAAAUUAAAGUUGUUUUUAUUAGAUUUUAAAAAUAAAAGAAAAAUAUAAAACCAUUUGAUCAAAUUUUUUUAAACUUAUUUUUAAAAGGUUUUUUUUUUUUUUUUUUUUUUUCUAUCCUAAGUUAAAAGAUAAAAAAUAAUUUUUAAAGAUAGGUUACGAGCAAAUGCCACAAACUUUUUUCUUCUCUUUCCCUUGUUCGGAUAGAAGUGAAAAAUAUCCUCCCAUGGAUCGACAUUACGUGAGCCAUCACCAUUCCCCAACUGCAAUUCAACCGCCAAAGCUGAGGUGUCAUUAUUAGUUUGAACAAAAGUCAGCAUUGUCCACGUGGUGACAAGCGGAACUGACCCAACUUGCAAGGCAAAAAAAUAAAUAAAAUAAAAUGAAAAAAUCAGAUCACCAUUAUGACGUCAGUCCAAUUGCUGACCUGGCCGCCGUCCCCCAUUUGACCCACGUGUUCAUUUAACCCAUUCGCCGUAUGCCGUGGCUCCCCACCCAUAUGGCCAUAUCUGCCAUUUAUUUUAUCCGUUGCCUCCAUUCGGUUUUUGGAUUUUACCCAUUCGCCCUCGUCUAUUCCCAUUUCCGUAUUUGCCCACCAAGGAAAUUCAAUUCCCAUGCUUUUGUUUUACAUUCAAAUCCUCCCCCCUCUAUAUAAAGGAGGGAGUAGGGCUUGAAAGUUUCUCAAGCCAACAUGGACUGUUGAGAGUGAAAGACAGAGGAGCCACAAACAAAUAUCACUCACUCAAACCAAAGCCAAAACCAAUACCGAAUUCAAUUCAAAUGACUUCUUUCUCUCUCAUCAAUUCCCUGAAUUCCGAUUCCGAUUUCAAUUUGUUAUCGGAUUCUUUUUCCUGGGAAAACUCCCUACCUUUCAAUGAAAACGACUCCCAGGAGAUGCUCCUCCUGGGCAUGCUGGCCAGCUCCACUCAGGAAACCUCAGAAACAGUUUCUUUGAAUCGAGUGAAGGAGGAAGAAGUGACUUCCCAGGAAAAUCCCGAGAAGGAGAAGUCAUACAGAGGCGUUAGGAGGCGGCCAUGGGGGAAAUUCGCAGCAGAAAUAAGGGACUCGACCAGGCAUGGCAUAAGGGUGUGGCUGGGAACAUUUGACAGUGCAGAGGCAGCUGCUCUGGCCUAUGAUCAAGCUGCUUUUGCGAUGCGGGGCCCUGCGGCAGUCCUCAAUUUCCCGGUGGAAAGAGUGAAGGAAUCGAUGCAGGAGAUCAAGUGCAUCUUGGAGGAGGGGGGCUCACCAGUGGUGGCCCUCAAGAAGAGGCACUCUAUGCGGAGAAAAAGUCCUUGCAAGAAACAUAAAAGUGAAGAGGUGAGGUUAGAAAAUGUGGUAGUGCUGGAGGAUUUGGGUACUGAAUACUUGGAACAGCUCCUCACUUUCUCUGAGACCUCUAGUCCUUGAUCAUCAUCAUCCAUCACCUGGAUAGCUUCUUCUCUUUGCUCUGUUUCUUACUUUUCUCUCUCUCUCUCUCUCUCUCUCUCUUUUUUUUUUAUGUAAUUUUUCUUAAUGUAUUUUUGGAGAUGGCGGGGGUGUAGUGGUGGCAAUUAUCCAUCUAGAAUUUUUCAAAAGAUAUGUUCUUUUGUUUCUUUGUAUAAAGUUGAAAAGUGGGGAUCAAUUGUGAUGGUGCUCUAUGUUCAUCCACCCAAUUUAUAUAAUCAAGGUGAUUAAUGUUUUUUGAUAUCAACAAUUUGUGAAUGACAUAGAGAGAGAGAGAGAGAGAGACCUUAUUUUCUACACUCAUUACGGUGGUUUCCAUUUGGGGAAGGAAAAGGAAAUGGCUAAGAAUGUUACCAAAAGAAGUGGGGUGGCUUUCAUAUGCGUGGUGGCAUACUUGCAUACAAACUUUUCAAUUGUGUUCUGCAUGCCACUCGGGUCAAUUUCAUUUCUUUUACUCCUAGUAGCCUAAUUGGAUUUCCUUUUUCUCAUGAGACAUCAAAUAAAUUUCAUUUUUUUAUAUUUAAAUAGUUAGGUAAGUUUGAUAGUGAGUUAUAUUUUAUACAUUAAUUCAUCUUUUAGAAUGUUGUCUACAAUAUAAACAGUGUAAUUAAUUUCAUCAUUACAGAACAGUCAUCUUAUAAAAUAACAUAAAAAUUAUUGGAUCACUUGUAUGGCACCACUGAUUUGGACUUGGUAUGGCUCUGUUUGGCUUCAUAGAAAAAAUUUGGACCCAAUUUGAAUGUCUUGCAUAAAAAGAGAUACGUCCCACUUUGAAUGAUAUUGAAGAAAAAAAUUUCUGAUGAAGAAUAUAUUGUUGGCAGGGUCAUGCAGGCCAAUAGGGAAACGAUAAAUUCAGAAGAAUGAGUCCAAACCAGUGGGCUUGAAAAUUAAGAAGAGAAUUGCUGUAUAAAACAAUCAUUUCUUAAUCGAGUUCACUUUCUGAAUAAUCGUCACUUUGAGAAUGCAUACUUAGGAAGAUGAUGAUCCUUAAUGGGAAUAAUCAAAGGCAUCAAAAAAUUGUUCUGGAACAAUUCUUGAUUGUCUCCAGUAAAAUUCAAAGUCAAAAGUCAAAAGUCCAGUCGGUCAACACCAAACCAGGCCAGUCCAAAAGACAUUAAUUUGCAAUCUAGAAUCUAUGAUGAGGUGGCGAAAUCAAACCUUGGCUUUUCACCAGGGAAUGGUACUCUGAAUUUGGUCAGUUCACUGUUUCGAGUGAAUAGGGUGUAGUAAUUAGUAAAUCAUAUUUUAGAUUUGUGUCACAAGUUACAAGGGAUAUGGGCUGACGUUCAAUUUUGGCGACAAUUUGUGGGCCCGUAUAUUUGUUGAGAUGUGGAAAUUGGGUGUGUGCUUUUUUCUGCUACCACAUAAAUAUAUUUCUUUGAAUUGAAGAGUGUUUCAGACCAUUUUUUUUCAAGUCACAAAUGGACAACUGAUUGAGAUUGUAUUGGUGAGAGUAGGAGUUUAUUUUGGGCUGGUUGAGCGAAGUUGAAAGUCGAGUUGGACCUAACCCUUGAAUUCAGCAGACUACAGUCCGAUCCUGUAUUUUGGAUUUAGGGAACCUUCUUUCCCAGAAGCUUCGUCUGGGUUUUAAAGUCUAAAUGUGGCUACUCUUAAACAUUGGAGAAAGGAUGAGCGUUCACAAGCAAAUGGGUAAUUGUGGAUGGUUCAAGGACCUGGCCAGCUGGUCUUCAAGUUUGGAUGCCGGUUUGGGCCUGAGAGAGUCUUUGCAAAGUGACUUCACUUCAGCCUAUGAGAUCAAGAUAUCAUGGUGAUGUCCGAUCACUUAGGUUUCAUUUUCACCUCGGAUUACCGUUACCAUGUUCAUGAAUAAAAAUAAAUAAAUAAAUGAAGCCUUAUAGAGAAAUUAAUGAAGUGAGCUAUACAAGCAACUGGGCCAGGAGCCUACAAGGCAGAAAUUCCCUGCCCUAGACUAGGCCGAAUAAAUUAGAUGAAUGAAUUGGGGAAACCUGGGCCAGCCACACAUCCUCCUGAAGGCUGAUGUCGAACUCGCUUACGAGGAAUGGACAUGGGAGAUUGGGCUGGGACCAAAUAACCAAUUGACAGCCCUAUCCUUGUGGCAAGACGUCAGUAAAAUGGUUCAUUCUGAUUUUACGCUGCCAUUCAAUUUAAUUUUAAUUUUUGUUUAAAGCGAUGUACAAAUUGAAUGGUGUCUAGUCACUUAAAGAGUGGUUCAUAAUACACUUAAUUUAAACAAAAAAGAAAUUAUUAGAUAGGGGAUUCUCCAAUAAAAACCACCCCAUCUUGUCAGCAAGUCCGGAAACUUCCUUCACUUAGGGCGUAUUUGUUUUUUUAACUUUAAUAUUAAAGAAAGUUGGUUAAACCUUAUGACACUUUUAUAUUAUUUUAUGAAUUUUUUUUAAUUUUUAUUUUAAUGGAAUUUUAACUUUAAUACAAGUUGGAGUAAUUCUUAUCUUAAAAACAAAUCAAAAUUACUUUAAUUUUAUAUAGAAAUAAACUUACAGUAAAUUUACCAUGAAAAUUUCUAAGUCAAAUACACCAUAAGUGCUAGUAUUUUAUAAUAUUUAGAAACAUGUUAAAUUAUUAUUAUUAUUUUUUAAAAUUAUUAGUUUUCAUAUUAGUUUUAGGGAAACUUGUGCUUUAGGUCUUUUAUUUGCAAAUAAUAUGGUUUUCAAAUCCUAAGAAUAGAAAAUAUGAGAAUCAACUGUUAAUGUGGAAAAUAAUAUCAAUUUUGUGCAAUCUCUAUUGACUCAUUUUUUUGUGCCUAGAUUGCCUUCACCCACUUCCAUGUCAACAACCACAUUAAUAGAUUGUUUUUUUUUUAUAAAACAAAUAAUUAUUAUGUUUAAAAUUUUGGGGAAACUCUCUAUCUCUCUUACUUCUUCACUACAUCCGAGACCCAUCUUCCUUAAACGUUUGCCUCUCAUUUUGCCCUAACCCCAAAUCUCAUAAAUUUCUCAUUUUCUUGCCUCAUUUGAAAUAUGAAGAUGACCGAUUCUCAAACAUCUCUGUCUCUCUCUUCACGUUUUGACCAGUCUAAUUGGAAACCCAUUUUCCAAAAACCUUCUUUCUUUCAUUUUGCCCUAACCCCACUAUCUCCCUCUUCAAGACCUAAUCACCCAAACUCGAUAUCUAUCUUCCCAAAACCUUCAAGCAAACUGAACUAGACCCAUAUCUUCUUUUUUCAUCAUCAAAGGUGAAAUUUUUUUAAGGCUUUUGGAAACCGAAUUGGAGCUUUCCCUUCUUCUGGGAUUAAUCAUUCGCAAGUGAGUUUUCCAUUUAAGGCUUUGUUUGGCUGUUGAAAUCUUGGGAUCAAAGGUCUUUUAUUUUCAGGUUUCUUGUAUUUUGCUUUAUUUUCUUGUAUAUAACAAUAAUCAUUGUAACAUAUGCUAGUAGUUACCCUUGGUGCAACUUUACAUUUCCAAAUACCCUAAAGUCCAAAGCUUUUAAUUCCCUUUUCAAAGCUUUCAACUUUGAAAGCAGACUAAACCAUAAGAACUAUGAAACUUAUAUCUCUAUCACCACUAAUUAAGCAUGUCUAUGAAUCCUUCCACUUUAAGUCACUUAUUCUCAAACCAAGAAGGGCUCCUCUCAUUCUCACCCCACCUCAUCUAAAUGAGGGAAAUGAUCAAUUGCAGCCAUGCUUUGCACCAAAUUAGAGAAGUGAUCCUCCCAAUCAUCCAUUACCAAAAAUUGAUCAUGCUGAUGAGAUCAUAAGAGUCUAUUCGGAACUCCCAGUUUACUUGCCUCUUAUCUCAGGAUCCUCCAUUACCCCCUGUCUUUCCAACAUCAAAUCAACUUGCAAACAAUUCCUUUGUAGAUAAAAUGUUUUUAAUAUUGCAAAAGGGGACUUAUCAUAAUGGUUGAAUCGAUUUAUUUGAUAUAAUCACUCAAAUUCAAGCUUAAAAUUGAUCAUAAUAAAAUGUUUUUAAUAUUGUUAAAAGGAGAUUAUAAUGGUUUUAUUUGAUAUCAUUACUAAAAUUCAAGCUUUCAAACAUGCUCUACAAAGAAGUUCUAAAAGACUACAAGAAAGAGUUUCCACUAAAGAAAAACAAUGAAACCAUUUCUACUAAAGACAAACAAUGAAACCACAGAUGCUUUGUGAAAUAUGUACCCGCACAAUCCAACAAACUUUAGAAAUUCACAAACACUACCUAGAAUUUUUGCUGACCAGCAAAAAAUUUAUGCAAUUUAAUUCUUAUUGUUAUUAUUAUUUUCAAUGUGAACAAAUAUGAUUGAAUUAUGAAGUAUUUGGCCAGAAGAGGAUCUUGCCUAAUUAUAGUCAUUAAACAACCAUUUAUACCAUAGCCUCUAGACUUUAAAAAGUUUAUAAAACUCAAGGGCUUCCACCCAAUUUCUAGAUAUCUCCAUAACAUUCUUCUGACUAUUAGAAAGCAAUUACCACUUUAAUUUUUCAUUUCAUGAGUGUUCAAUUCAGAAAAAGACCAGGAUCGAACUUGCGAUCAUGCAGUCGAAAAUCCACCUGUGCAUGAAACUAUUGCCUCACGAUUGCAAACUCAAGUUGGAGUCCAGUAACAACUCUAGGUUUGCUGAUGUGCUCCAUUUGAAAUAAAGGAACUAAAGAAUACUUUAUAAAGAUUAAUUACCUUCAUAUUUUAGGUUGGGGUUAAGGCAAAAUGUGAUAGAUUGAGAGGAAGAAAAUAUAUCUUGUUCAGGAAGCCAAUAUUUUGGAGUUCACCUUUCCAUUCGAGUCCACUCUGCUAUAGCAAAAUCAGAGUCACAACUAUGCCUCUUUAAGCUAUCCUUUAAUUGGAUGAAUUGCAGAUUUGGUUGCUGAGAAAGUGGAUAAGAAAGAAAAAUGCAUACUGUAGCUUGAGAUUAAGAGUUUGUUUUCUAAAAUGAGAGAAAGGGAAAGAGAAAAAAUGCAUAUUGUAGCUUGAGAUUAAGGGUUUGUUUUCUAAAAUGAGAGAAAGGGGAAGAGAAAUGUUCGACAACUUUGAGAUGACAAAUUUUUAGAUUUGGAAAAUUUGAGAUGAGUCUCAGGUUUUUUUUUUUUUUUUUUUGUCUUUGUCUUUGUUUUUUUUUUUUUUUUUUGUUUUUUUCCCAAAAACAACCUGUUAAUGUGGUUGUUGACAUAGAAGUGGGUGAGGGCAAAAUGGGCAUAGAAAAAAGAGUCAACACAAAGUGCACAAAACCCAUAUUAUUUUCCACAUUAAUGACUGAUUCUCAUAUUUCUUGUUCUUGGGAUUUGAAAACCAUAUUAUUUGCAAAUGGACCUCCCAAAGCACAGGUUUCCCUUAGUUUUAUGUCUCCAUCUACAUUUUACAUAUAAAUAGAUUAUUUUAUAAAAUUUGUUUUGUAGAUAUAUUAGUUAAUAAUUAUAUAAUUAAUGAUAUAGAAAACAUAUAAAAAUCAUAUUUAAAAAAGAUAAUUACAUAUUCCUCAACAAUCCAUCCCAAGAAUUCGAGGUUGAGUUGAAAACAUGUAGAGUCUUUGAUGUUAUUAUAAUCAUAUCCAACACAUAUGAUUAUUGUUUAUGAGAUAUUAUUAGAAAGUUUGUCUUAAAAUAAUUGAUUUAUUACCCACCUUUAGCAAAUGCCCAUUUUUGCGUCUUUCAAAAUUUUCAUUUUUUUUUUGUUUAAAAGAAGUAUUGUAAAGAAUGAUGAAAUAAGAAAUUUGUUGAGAAAGUGUGAGUAAAUAAUUUUACAUAAAAAGAGAUUUAAUACUUGAUAAAUAAAAUAAUAAAAUCAUGAUUUCUAGUUGUAUAGGGCCGGGUGGAUGGAGUGGCUAAGAUGUAAUUCUUGAAAUAGAGGAGACAACAUCAAUGUAUAAAAGUUUAACAGAGAAGGAAAGUGUGUUUGAAUGACUUUAUUUUCUUCAUUUAAAGUUUUGACGAUGAGUGUUUAUACAAGAUAAAUUUUCAAAUGAUAGGACUCCUAUUUACAUGGAGUUUGUGAUAUACUAUGAUUAUACAAAUUUAAAAUUCAAACAGAUUCAUGAGUUGAUAGGAGUCUGCUCAAUACGCCCCUUCAAAAUGGUGGGAGAUAGCACACCAAUCUUGACUCGAAGGGCCUAAACUCGUGCAGAAGAUGAGGGCUUUGUUAGAGCAUCGACAAGUUGAUCCGUGGUUGACAUAUGGGACACCUUGAGCUCACCUGAUUAAACCUUGUUUCAAACAAAAUGAAAAUCAAUCGCCGAUGUGUUUCAUGGAGAGUGAAACAUGGGAUUUGCACAAAGAUAUGUUGCACCCACGUUAUCACAAGAGAUAGGAGGUGGUGAUAAAUUUGAAACACUAAGUUUUGAGAGAAGAGAAUUAACCCAAAGAACCUUUGAGGCUGUAGAGGCCACGACGUGAUAUUUCGCUUCAGUGGAAGAGCGUGCUAUGAACUUUUGUUUCCUCGAUGACCAAUACACAAGAUUGUGACCAAGAAAAACAAUGGGAGCAUUGGUGGAGGAUCUGACAUAAGGAUUCCUUGCCCAUUCAACAUUCGAAUAUGCAUGUAGAUUGAUGGGCGAUUUCUUAUGCAAGAACAGACCAUGCACCAUUGUGCCGACUAAGUAUCUAAGCAAUCUUUUAACACAAGACCAAUGUGUUGAUGUUGGAUGGUGCAUAAAUUGAGAUAAUUUAUUCAUCAAGAAGGUGAUGUCAGGGCUAGUAAGAGAGAAGUAUUGAAGGCUUCCAACAAUUGACAUAUAUUUAGUGGGACCAGGAAAAGAGGUGUCAUCACACAGAUUUGGAACAUUGUUGAGGAACAUCAAUGAUUGAACUGGUUUGGUAGCCACCAUUUGUGUUUUCUUAAGAAGCUCUCGAAUGUACUUGAGAUAAAAAUAAUCCUUUGGAAGUAUGUAUCAUUUCAACACCAAGAAUAAAAGAUGAAGUCCUGAGAUCCUUAAUGGAGAAUUUGACUGCUAAUUGAGAGAUCACGCGAGCACGAAAAACAUUAUUGUUACUUGUUAAAAUAAGAUCAUCAAUAUAAAUAAGUAGGUAAACAAUGAGACCACUCUUUUUAAAAAUGAAGAGGGAUGUCUCGGUUUAGGAGUUGACGAAGGCUAUUGAGAGGAGAAAUUGGCAAAGUUCAUGAUACCAUGAUCGUGGAGCUUGUUUAAAGCCAUAAAAAGCCUUACAAAGUUGGCAAAUGUGAUGAUGUGUGUAUUCGUGAACCCAGGAGGUUGAAUCAUGUAAACAUCUUCAUGAAGUGUCCUAUGCUAGAAUGCAUUAUUAAUGUCCAAUUCAUGAGUUGAUAGGAGUCUGCUCAAUACAAUGUGGGAGUGUGAUUUCAAAAUUAGGGUAAUUUCGAAAUGGAUUUUGUAUUCACAAGUUGAAUUUCAAAAUUAUUUUGAAAUGGUCUUUUAACUUUAAGCAGUUGUGUUCAAAAGGUCAUAACUUCUUCGUUUCAAUUUUGAUUUACACAUUGUUUAAAACAUUGGACUCUUUACUUCCCGAGCUUCAAAACGAUAUAUAGUAUGCUCAAAAAUGACAUCAGGAUUGGUUCAAAUUUCAUCUUGAUAUUAGAGUACAUGUUGUGAUUAGAUUUUGAGUUCCAAAUUUCCAUGUAAACUUGAUUGCAUUUGCUUCAAACCUCCUUCAUUAUGGUUGCUUGCCCUCUAUCUCACUUUGCAACAUUUGUUACUAGUAUUUUAUGUCCAUGACUUACUCAUUUCAACCUUUCUUGGAUUCUUCAUGGUUCACAAAUUAUGGAUUCUUCAUGGUUCACAAAUUGAGUCUUUCAAUUAUGCAUGUUUAACUCCUAUUUCCUUGGUUGAUAAUGACUUUUACACUUAUCAUUUUCUUUUAUUCUUUAAACCUGAAUUUAGACUUACAAAAAAAAGUUAGAUCCAUAACUAGGGUCUUAGCAUCAAUUUGAGUUAAGUUGGAUGAUUUGAAAAUUUUAUAUUACAUAAAUCAUAUCAUACAUGUGCCAUUGGAGUGCACAUUUUGGCUCUAAUCAUGUUCCAACCCAUUGUUUUACUCUUGCAUGAAGUAUGUGGCCAUUGAUUUUAAUUUUAUUUGCGAUUAGGUUCAAAAUGGUGCUUUUGUGUUGCUCAUGUGUCAUCAGAAGAUCAACUAAUGGAUUCUCUAACAAAACUACUACAUCAUAGUCAUUUUUUUUUUUCUUAAGACCAAGAUUGAGAUCUCCAAUCGGAGCCAACUCCAUCUUGGGGGCAUGUUAGUGAAAGAUAAAAUUUAUCUUUAAUUUAAAUAUUAAUAUUUAUCAGUUAUUAGUUUUAAUUAGAGUAAAAGAUAGAGUUUAAAUUGGAGUAGGAGAUAAACUUGUGUUUGAACUAGAAUAGAAGAUAAAGUAUAAAGAUUUAUGUUUGAAUUAGAAUAAAAUAUAAAGUUUGAAUUAGAGUAGAAGAUAAACUUGUUCUUUAUUUGUAUAUAAAUAUUCAUCAAUUCUUGAGAAGAAGAUUAUUUCAUAGUUUUUCUAUCUUCUUUUUUCUUCAUACAUAUCUGCAAGAAAUUGAAGAUUUCAAGUAAAAUAUUUUCUGUUUUAAAUAGUGAAAAAAGCUAGAAAUUCACUUUGUUAUCUCUUGGGGUAAAUUGACAAGGUUUAACGUUAAGAAGGUGAAUUAUUUUUUCAGAAAAACUGAAGUAGCUAGGAUAUCUGGCCAGUUGUGAUCGAUAAAAAAGUUGUAAAAUCUCUCAUAUACUAAACAGGUUUUGGAUGUUGGUAUGGUAAAUCCAUCUGCAGUCAUUCGUCAUCUCAUCUAGUGAGAUGUUUGGGAGGUGGUGACCGCCGGAUUGGGUUUCAUUUGGUUAAAUCUGUCAGUGGGUUGGCUACUACCCGAGCCUCUUGCUUUGGGGGAGGUGGGUUCUAGAUAUAAUGUUCAAACCAUUUUAGUUAUCAUAUGCAUGACAUGUAAGCAUAAUCUCUUUAUCACUUCUUCAAUGGGAGUUCAUGGUUAGGAAUUGACUUCUUUUCUUCUGGGAUGCUUGGCAUGUAAUGGACAAAGUUACUUUUAUAUCGAUCGAAUUUCUAGUAUUAUAGUGAAGACUUACCCUUUUGACAUUUUAUAUCGAAUUAUAGAAGAUGAAAGGGACAUACAUGCAAUCGACUGACGCUUUAGUGAAUAUGCUGAAAAUAUGCUGAUGCUGUGGAGAUCGUAUGAGGACAGAGGAAAAAGAUAGAAAUGGAUAUAUAAUUAGACCUAGGUUUUUAUUAAAUGAGAUGGGGAACAUAGAGUGAGGGAAAAUCAAAAUUUUUGGCUGCAGUUCACAUUGGUGAUAUUUUGGAUUGACAAAGACUAACGACUUUUCUAUUUUUCUUUUCGGCCUGACUGGAUAGUUGGACAUGGACAAUACAGAAUCCACAGAAGGAUUGUUGGGACCGCUGAAAAUUAGCUAGAAGAAGCUGAGGAAGUAGUCUACGUAGUCAAAUACCAAACACAAAGAAAGAAAGAAAUGGAUAUCAUGGAUGCCUAGAGUUAUACUCCUAAUACCGUCACAGGUAUUUUUCUUUCCUCCUUUUUUUUUCUACGAUAAUUAGAGCAUUUCUCCUCCUCCUCCUCCUCCUCCCCCCACCCCACCACCAAAAAAUAAAAAAAUAAAUUAUUGCAAGUAACACUUCAAAUAUUAAUUUAUACAUUCUAAAGUAUAUAUUCAUGAAAUAACUUGAGUAUCAUACAUUAGUUCUCAAAAAAAAAAAAAAAAAAAAAAAAAAAUUACUGGAAGAGAAAAGUUUAAGAAAACAUAAAAAUAUUCAACUACUAUUUUAAAGAGAAAAUUUAAUUUUUACACUAUAAAUUUGAAGAGAACUUUUACAUGCAUCUUAUAUAAACUACCAUUUUUUGCUAAAAGGCUUAAAUUUGUCAAAAAUACCCCUUAGGUGCUUAACGUUCUGGUCAUAAUAUAAUUGGCAUCUUUUCUCAAACAUAAGGCCUGUGUGUGGGAACAAGAUUUAAUGUUAAUGAGCUUCGCCACCGACAUUUAGUUCCAGAAAUCAUUAUUUUAAUAGAGUGGGCUCAAUUUACAACUUUAAUUAAACUCUAACCAACUGCAUUGUGAAAUGAAUAUGUUUCUUUCGUGGUGAAUCCAAUGAGUUGGGAGUCAAACUUUGCUUCAUUGUGUAUAGAUGAAAUGUUAAGACUCCAUGUAACCUCAAACAUUUCCGCAAUNNNNNNNNNNNNNNNNNNNNNNNNNNNNNNNNNNNNNNNNNNNNNNNNNNNNNNNNNNNNNNNNNNNNNNNNNNNNNNNNNNNNNNNNNNNNNNNNNNNNUUCUUUCGUGGUGAAUCCAAUGAGUUGGAGUCAAACUUGCUUCAUUGUGUAUAGAUGAAAUGUUAAGACUCCAUGUAACUCAAACAUUUCCGCAAUGAGCGGGAGUUCUAAAUUUAAUAAUUGAAAUUGUCAGUGGAACCAGUGGACAAGAGUUGGUUUGUGGUUGACAAACUUAUCCGUUUGAUCUUUACUUGAACAGUUCCAGUGUGUGGAUGGGUACUGAUGAAGUGUGCGCAUUUAUUUUGAGAAGCCUGCUUGUUCGCAUAGAUUUUAACGACAUGAACAUUGUGGUAAGGUUAGAGAGUAAUGCGAAUGUAGGAGCUUAUAUUAGAAAUGACACAAACACGUAAAUAGAAGUAAUCUAUAUAUGAUAUUACUCAUGGACUACAAGCAAAGAAGUACAAUACAUGGAGUAAGUGAUGAAAUGAGCAUUCCUCACUACUACUGCUUGACUGAUGGAACAUGAUGCACGAGAUAGCAUAAGUAGUAGUAGGAAGCAGCUCUUAUUUGUGGCGUCGGUAUACAUCAUACUAGGUAGAUGGUUCAAUUGGCAUGGAUGGGUGGUGGAGCCUUGAAGUGCUUGUGAUGGGGAGCCCACGGCUUCUUCUCAGGAGUUGGUGGCUUCUUGUAUGGAGUUGAUGGAGGUGUUUCUACUGGAGGGUGGCCAGGGUAGUGACCCUGGGGUGGUGAAGGUUCUUUUGUCGGUGGUGGCCUCACUAUUAUUGGCGGUAGAGUUGGUGGCUUGGGCGUUGGCGGUGGUCUCACUACUCUUGGGGGUAGAGUUGGUGUCUUGUGUUUUGGUGGUGGAGGUGGCUUAACAGGAGUUGGUGGCUUGUAUUCUGGGGGUGGUUUCUCCACCGGAGGUGGCUUAUAAACUGGAGUUGGUGGCUUGUAUUCUGGGGGUGGCUUCUCCACUGGUGGUGGCCUGUAAACAGGGGUUGGUGGCUUAUAUUCUGGGGGAGGCUUCUCCACUGGAGGCGACUUAUAAACAGGGGUUGGUGGCUUGUAUUCCGGGGGUGGCUUCUCUACGGGAGGUGGCCUGUAAACAGGGGUUGGUGGCUUCUCCACCGGAGGUGGCUUAUAAACGGGGGUUGGUGGCUUGUAUUCUGGGGGUGGUUUCCCCAGUGGUGGAGACUUGUAAACAGGAAGAGGUGGUUUGUGCUCAUAUGGGGGUGGCUUGUGGUCAUUAGCAAGUGAGGGAGUGGUGAGGACCACCAAUCCAAGGAACAACACGAGUGAGCAAGCAGAAGACAUGUUUGGGCUCUGGUGAUGCACAAGUAGAAGAAAUGGGAACCAUUUAUAAUGCUUCGAGACCUUGGUUAGCACCAAAAUAUGUCAAAAUCUUGAUUACUUCAUUUCAUACAUAGAUUUAAAAUUAUUUCAAUCAACCAUGAUCCUUAAUUUUCUGGGUGGUCCAUAAAUGUAAUGGGGUCAAUUUGGGACCUAACAAGCUGAGAAGUUUGACAAUGCUGCAAGGCUUCAUCCGAAAGUCCGGGGAAGAAUAUUAGGAGUUACACUCCGUUUCCUUUUUUGGGUGCAUUUUUCUCCUUUAACAUUCUAUUCCCUUUUACAUUAGCAUUUGAUCUUAGCUCAUUUCAAGUACAAGUUUCUUGAACCCUAUACCAUUGUCAAAGUUGAGUAACCAUCUCUACUUUGCUCAAGAAACAUAAAAGACAAUGACAAUAAAGAAAAAGGAGAGAGACCAUACGUGACUUGGUUUAUAGGUGGCUUUGUGUUGACAUUUGAGUAUGGAAGCCGACAUGCAUCUUAGCUUCGAUUUUAAUUAAAUUUGUACAUUAGUGUCUGUGUCAUUCAUUUUGGUAUAAAAGGUCUCUUGAUUUCGUAAGUUUGGUAAGAACCGUUGAAAAUAGCAGUAGCAGCACAUGGUCCACUUUCUUUCACAAAAUAAUUUUAAAAGUUUAGAAGCAUAGGAGGUAACAUUAGUGGCCUUGUGGCUCAGCCACGAGUACUAUGUGGUGCUCGAGAAAUUGAGUUUAAUUUCCUUCCGAUAGUUCAUGAUAAGGUCCGUCACUGUCCUGAGACAGAUUGCGUUUUUUCUUUUUUCCUUUUUUAGUGUUUUAUUGACUAGCUAGGUGUGACUUUUCCUACUUUAAGGCACGAGGCAGAAAAGAAACUGGGAUUUAGUGCUUAAGAAGGCAAAUUUAAUUCGAUUUGGAUCUAAAAUUUGCCAGCAACAUGAGAUUUUCCAGCCUAUCGUUGCUCCACAUAUAGACAAGGCACUUGUAGAAGUGGCUUGUUUGUAGCCAUUCCCGAUAUUUGGACUCACUUGAUUCACCGGACACUUUGAUAAAAUUUAAUAUUUAUUAUUUAAUAAUUUAAAUUGAUUUAAAAUUAAAUUAUACCGAAGUUGUGAUUUAAAAAUUAUUAUUUAAUUCUUACUUUUAAAUAUGAAGAUUAUUUGAUAAAAAUAAUUUAAAAUUUAUUAUAAAUUAUCAAAUUAACAUAUUUAUCCUUAUAAAUUAUAAUUAAAACAGAAAAGGUCAAAUGAUUUGAGUAUCCAUAGAUGUGGUAAAAUAAUAAAAAAGAUUAUAAAAACAAUUAUGAUAAAUAAAGAUAAAAAGUAAAAUGAAUAUGUGAAUUUAAAGAAUAAAUUAAUUAUUUUUAUUUAUUACUUAAAAUUAUUUUUGACUUUAAAUUAUAUUAUUAAAUUAUUUUACCAAACAUACUUAAUUUAGUUAAUAAUUUAAAUUUAAUUUAAGUUAUUAAAUUGAUUCACCAAAUACCCACUUAAUCAAAGACUGAAGUAUACAUUAUUUGGCCAAAUGCAGCUAUUGAAAUUUAACUUUUUCCAAACUUAUUCAUUUUGUGGAAAUAUUUUUAGAAAUGAUUUUAAAAAUGCACUAUUCUGUGUGUUGAUUUUAUAUUUUGGCAUUAAUCCAACAUAGAAAACGGUUCUUAUUUUCGCUGUUAAAUAGGUACCAGAUCCUUAAUUAGUGCCGUGAAUCCGGCAGCUUCCAAUGAGUAAUUUGGACUUGGGUAUUGACAAUGUGUGGCCAUGCUUCUACUAUUUUAUUAUUCUUGAAACAUAUAUGAUAUAUUGGACUUUAUACAGGGAAAAAAAAAAAAAAAAGUCUUCACCAAAAAUGAUUCCUCCUAAAAAAUAGACUCCACAAACUAGGUUUAACAGGAAAAUGAUUCUAAUCUAGUAGUUUCCAGCCACAUGAGCAUUUACGUAACAAUAGUAUAGUUGAUAACGACUUUUAUUUUAUUUAUUUUUAAAUAGUUAAAGGGAUAAUUUUUGAGCUUAAAUUUUAUUUUUUUAUUUAGAAACAUUUUACUUUAUUUUUUAAUCAUAAUUCUAUUAUAUUAAUGUUUUAUUUUCUAUUUUUUAAUAUAUAAGGAGAUACUAAAUUUAUGUGAUUAUUUUUUAAAAAUUUAGUAUAUGAAAUUAAAUAAUUGGAUAUAUAUACAUAUAUCAUAUAAUGUUUUUUAAGUGUGAUUUUUGAACUUUUUAGUCAUUUUAUAAGUUUAAGCUUUUGAUUUUUUUUUUUAAACUUUGGUAUUUUUUAUUUUAUAUAAAACUAUUUUGAUUUAAUUUUAUUAAAAAAUAUUGGUAUUAUAAAUUAUUGUAUUAAUUAUUUUUUUAUAUUAUAAUGUAACUGGUAUAUACUAAAAAAUGUAUGCAAGUUCAAUUUAAGUUUCAAAUUAAAAAAUUUCAUUUAAAUAUUUAAUAACUUGUUCAUAAUAAAAAAUUAAACAACAUAAUACAAAUGAAAAGAAACAUAAAAGAAAAAGGAAAAAAUGGUCCUCUCUGUGUGUCACAUUACUAGGUCAUCCUCUUUUUCUAUGACCCUUACAAUAGAAUGGCAUAUUUGUCAAAUCUACUUAUGAAAGUUGGAAUGUUUCUACAUGUGUAGGGUCCAUUGGAACUAAUGGAGGAAAGGCUUAACGUCUAUGUAAAUCACAACGUUGCCUAGGUGGGCAUAGAUCUAGUUGUGUAACAUGAGAUGGUGUGAGAGUACAAUAUAUGCAUUGUAGUCUCUAUGGGAAGAGAGAUAGGUAAUGGUAGGGUGGUAGACGGUAGGGUGAUCUCUAAUAUAAUGACAUUUGAUGUGGUGGCUUCUAAGAGAGGAGAUAUAAGAGAUGGUAGAAUGACAUUUGGUGUAAUGGUCUCUAGUGCAAUGACAUGUGAUAUGGUGACCUAUAAAGAAGAGAUAUAGGUGAUGGUGAAGUGGUAUGUGGUGUAGUGACCUUUGAGAUAGAAAAUAGAGGUAAUGGUAGGUUGGCAGGUGGAGUGGUCUUUGGUGUAGUGACAUCAAUUAUAAAUGUCUCCAAGGGAGGAAAUAAAGGUGAUGGUAGGUAGUAAAUGUUGAGGUGGUCUUUGAUAUGUUAUGCUCUAAGAGAGAAGGUAUAGGUAAUGAUAAUAGGGAAUUUGACAUAGUGGUGUUGGAAAUAAAAAGUGAAAGUGACCGUAGAGGUGAAAGGGCAAGUGUAAAAGCCUCAAGUACGAAUGGAGUAAUUAAUGUGGAUGGUGCUAACAUAGUCUUAGGUGGAUACACAAAUAGUCAUAGUCAUCAACUAGCUUGCCCACCAUCUGUCUUUCUGCUAGUGAUAGGUUACAUCUUAAUAGUAAUGGCCAACAUAAGUGGUGUGGAUCCGAUUUUUUUACGUGUGUCCCCACUCAAUCGACAAGACUUAUUUUUUAUUAGUGAAAAAUUAAUUUUGGAAAAGUUGGAGUCACCACUUAUUUUAUUUUAUUUUAAAAAGGAAAGUAAAACAAGAAAGAGAACUCUAAAGAAGUGACUUCAUAGUUUUGGAAAAGUUAGUCUUAAAAAAUCCAAGUCUUGGUCCGGAGAUCAGGUUACUUAUUGGGAAGAUACCUCUAAGAGGUAAUACCCCUCUAAACCCUAAAGAAGUCUCUAAUGACUAAGUUGAGGAGAAUGUGGUAAUUAAUUAAUUGAUUGAGGGUACCUAGGUAGACUAAGGUGAUUUCAGAAUUAACAUACCAAGCUAGAAAGUCCAAUCAUGAUCAUAAAAGAGAGUCAAAGUAUGUACCUGAACUGCUUCUCAAACGCUAUCAUAAAACAUCAAAGUUAGUAUAGAAAUAUAACACAUAAUAUUUGUUUUAUCCAAGCAAAUAAAGCAUACAUCUAAGCACCCAAGAAUCACAUCAAGUAUGGAUAUAGUCAUCAAUAGCAUACGUGUCCAUAGAACUAUCGAAAGUAAAUGUGGAGGAGCGUAUCUGGACAACAUAGAUAACUUAUAAUGUGCUUCCACAAGACAUGGGGGUUAGAUAAAAGUUAUAAUAAUAAUUAGUAAAUGAAAGAAUUCUAGCAUGUUUGGUAUCUAAAUAACAUAGCAAAAAUGAACAAGAGUACACGAAAACAUCAAUUAUCACACGAGUCAUAUUGGCUAGUAUUUAAUCAAUAAACCAACAAUAAAUGACUAUAAACAUAUAAAAUGACAUAUUCAAAGAGACCCAAACAUAAAGAGCCUAGAACACAAGCUUACACUAAAUUUAGAAAACUAAAACAUGGAAUUUUAAAAGCAUAAAUUAGCAAACAAAUUGAUGGAAACUAAAUUUAGAUAACUUAAGAAUAUUUUUCUUAUCCUUCAAUUUAAAUCAGUAAGCCAACAAUAAAAAAUUAUAGAAACAUGGAAUAUCAAGAUCAAUGGGAUACCUAAACUAUAAUUUUUAAAAGAAAAUAAACUAAGCAUAAUAUCUACAAAGCAACUAAACUAACAUUUUUUUAAAAAUAAAUUAAACAUGACAUUAAUGGAGUAACCAAACUAAAUUAAAGUAAACUAAAAACAUUUAUGAAUUUUCAAACAUGGAAUCAGCUUUCUUAGUAAAUUAAAAUUAUUAAAAUAAAAUCUAAGCUUAAAAAUGAAUUAAAUACUAACUAAAGCAAAUCUAAAACCAAAUAUUUAACACAUAGGAUCAAUUAUAUUAACAAACUAAAAUUUUAUAAGAACACUUAAACCUAAAGUUGAAUUAAAAACUAACCAAUUUUUAAAACUAGAUCUUUAACCCAUAGGAUCAAUUAUAUUAACAAAUAAAUAAUAAAUAAUAAAUAAAUAAAACUCAAACCUAAAGAUGAACUAGAAAUGUACCAAAGUAAAUUCAAAACAAGAUCUUUAACACAUUAGAUCAAUUAUAUUGACUAACUAAAAAAAAAAAAAAAAAACACUCAAACCUGAAACGAUGUAUUAGAAACUAACCAAAGCAAAUUUAAAAUAGAGUCUUUAACACAUAGGAUCAAUUAUAAUCACUAACUUAAAUUACAAUUUUUGAAACAUGAACUAAUUAGUGUUGGAUUAAUUAAACUAAUUAACUAAAAAAAACUAUAAACUAGAAUACGGUGAAUCAAGAAUUCAAAUCAACAAACAUAAAAUAUGGGUACAAUGAAAUGAAAAUCUAUUAAACUAAUAAGACGGAAAUAUGACAAACUCAUGAACCCACAUUUUGAUCAACUAGGAAAUAGAAAUUAAUAGACCUGUAGCAUGGAUACAAUGAAAUGAGAUCAGUUAAAUUUAUUUGCCGAAAUUCUAAAAAACACAUACACUCAAAUAAGAUCUAAAUCUAAGACCAAGCAAAACUCAAACUUUCUCAAUCUAAUGCAAUGAAUCAAAACUAAAAUUAAAUAGAAAUCAAACCAUUUUUUUUUUAUCUAAUAUAAUAAAUCAAAGCUAAAACUAAACAAAAUCGAAUUUUCUUAAUUUAAUAUGAUGAGUCAAAGCUAAAAUUGAACAAAGUUCAAACCUUUAUAUAAUGGAUCAAAGUUAAAUCUAAAUGAAAUCCAUACUUCCACAAUUUGAUAUAACAAAUCAAAAAUAAAACUAGAUAAAAAAAAAGUCAAAGCCUUUCAACUUGACAUAGUGAAUCCAAACUGAAACGAAACAAAAUUUUAACUUUUCCAAUGAAACCCAAUAUAGAAAAAAUUAGCUUACCUUCUUUAGAAUAUAUGUAUGGGCCAUAAAGAAGUCACCUUGGUGCAUGUGUUCCUCACUUUGACGCCAAUGGACGACUUUCUAUGGUAGCAAAUGGAGAUCCUUUUUGGUGGUAACUUGCGUGUGGAAACCUAUGGUACAACCAAUGUCAUCUUUUAUUGUGCGUGUGGACCAAUUUCUUCUCGAGAACUCAUGUGUGUUGUGCUCAAAAUAUGUUGCCUGUGAGAAUCUAUUGGUAUACCCCACAUAUGGUUUCCUUGAGAGAAUCUGUGGUUGUGUGUGGGCGUUUUCUUCAUGACAGCAUGUGGAUGUUCCCAUCUAUGGUAGAUUGGUUGUGAUGCUUUAGUGCAUGGUCUCCAUAGGAAUAGUGUGUUAUGGAAAUUUGGUUUUUUUAUUGGUGCAUGUUGUCUAGACUUUCCCAUAUGCGUGGACUGUGUGUUCAUGCUUUUCUUUUCGGAUGGUCGCCUGUGUUAAUGUGUGGCGGUGUCUACAAUGAAAGAUACAACCCUUUCUCUCCUUCUGCGUGAUAGAAAAGUCAAUCCCCCAUGGUGCGACUAUGUUCCCUCGUCCUUUUUGAAAAAUUUUGGUGUUUUCCCCCCAAAAAAUCCCCUCCAAAAAUCUAAUUAUAAAUGUCUGCUUUGGCCUAAUGUGUGUGCUACUUUUUUUUUCCUUCUUUUUAUGGUUGUGCGUGCUUUUCUUGAUACGUGGCUUAUUUCUUAAGGAUAUGAUUCGCUCCCAAUUGGUGUCUCAGCUGAUUCAUGUCCUUUCAAUGGUCCCUGACAGUGGUGCCAUUUGAUUCGUGUCCAGCUGGUGUCCCUUGAUUGUGGUCCUCAGAAGGGAGUAAUCAAUAAAAUUUAUAACCUAUUACACCAUGUAUUAGGAUAGCCUUAGCUAGCAUAGCAUAGUGGCUCUAGGGUCGUUUAUUGGGAUGAGUUUUCACUUCACAAUUGAUAUUAAUUCAAGAGCUGAAUUGGUGCCUUUUCAUUUCAAGGUUAGCUUUAAAAGAAAACAUAAUCUUUGGUGGAAAAAGGUUUGGUUUUAAACUAACCAAAAAUAGUAACUGAUUUUACUUACAAAGAAAAGUGUUCUUUGGAGUUUAGAUCACUAGGCUCAGGUUCCUCAUACAAAAAGGAGAGUUCCGAUCAUUUGUUUCUUUUCCUCGCAUUAGAGAAUUAACAUAUAGUUAAUUCUCUAACCGGUGCGGUACAUAUGCUUCCCAUUAAUGGGUUCAAACACUAAAUACCUCUCACUGAUGCACCUUGCAAUGGCUCGUGCCUCUCACCUAGCAUUUAUCAUUCAAGGUGAUCUUUAACCUUGGAUUACCCAUCAAAAGCUCGCAAGAGAUAACUAAAGGAUGUCUCCUUAGAGUCCAAAAGCUUACCAAGUGUUGGUUAUUCUAGAAAAUCCUACCUUCAAACCACCUCCCAAAGGCUCGCAAGAGAUAAACAAGUGCAUCUCAAUGGAUGAAGAUCACUUGCCUUACCAAGUUUUGGCCCAGAUGAUUUAAUGACAUUUUAAGUUAACUAAAAAGAUAAAAACCAUUAACGGGUCACACUUUCUCUUCAUUAAAAACUAAAACAACAAAACUUCCAAUUUAUGCAUGAGGAAACUUACCUGGCUUUCUUCACUUCAAGAGAUGAAGAGCCUAGCCACUCAUCAUUUGAGGAAAAAUCCUCAGAGUUUGAUUUGCUAGAAAUAAAAAUAAUGAGAAAACAAAAAUAUAUAUAUGAAAAACAGAGCAAGUUCUCUGUAAUAUAUUUUUCUUCCUUAUACAAAAGGUUGUCUCUAAGAACAAGUUCCCGAGAUCUAUCUGAUUGUAAAUAAAAUUACAACUAUAUAUAAGAGGUUAUUCACCCCUUUGUUCUUUCUUAAAGACUAAGGAAUCCUAUGAUAGGUGGGUUACAAGGAGAGUUUGGGGAUUUAGACAUCAAAUAUCUAAAGCAAAAUAUCUCAAGAUGUUAGUCGGAAAUAUCAGGAAGCUUCAGGAGAACACCGCGACACUGUAUACUGAGAGAAAAACUCUCCGGGUAAGCUCUAUCAAAGGAUCCAGACAUGUCUGACUGGGAAAGUUGAAACGUCCUUCUCUCCCAUCCGGAUGUGAGAUAUCCGGAGAAAGUGAAAUGUCGGUCGGACAGAAUUCUUUCCCCGGGUGGAAUGAGUUGUGUUGCGCGUCGCAAGGGGGACCGUCUGCGUGUACAAGUUGUAGGGACCCCUCUCCCGGAUGACACCGAGCGCGUAAGGCUAUCCGGAUCAACUCCAUUCGGAUUCCCCAAGAGGACAUGUGGCGUGCUCCCCUAUCAGGACUCCCUUAGGGAGAAGCACACGACACUCGUGAACAUCAUACCCGGACGAUAGCAUGUCCUAUCCGGAUGUGUUGUCCGGAUCAUUGACUAAAGUGAGCAAGCCUUGCUACGUCAUUCGGACAGCUUGCCACAUACCAUGUUCCGUCGCCAUCUGAUGGUGUGUCCGAACGCCUUGUCCGGACAUCUUUUGCUCCUUGCAUUCCGGAUUUGCUUAUGACAAAGGACUUCAAAGCUUCGGUUCUUCAUGUUUCUGAGCUUUCCAUUGCUUUGCCAUGGAUUCCAAAGAACUCUCCUUAAUCACGGAUUGCUUUGGUGAUCAAAAAGUUAUCAAAACACAAAAACUUAACAUAGUUUGAUUAGAAUUGAUUGCAAGGGUUCUUAAUAUGUUAAUUGGGUUAAAAGGUGAUAACUACUACUCAAAAGUGUUUAUAAGAAUUAAUUACAAGCUAUGAAAUAACACUUUUUGAGUAGUAAUCAGGAUACAUCCUAGUUUUUCAUGGAAUUGAUAGUGGGUUGUUGUGCAUGAAUGCCACCAUUUCAACUAUGCUGUUGUUAUUUUUAAAAAAAAUAUGGAUUAUGCGCGAGUGGCAAUUCUCCACUAUGGAAAGUGGAUUGCUCCUUCAACCCAUGCAUGGCUACGUAUUCCUAUGUCUUUCUACUUGUGUUUGAUCCUCCAAAAAAAAUUUCGGUUUAGUGCUAGUAGAUUUUAAGUGGUGGAUCCCCAUUUUUUGAAAAUGAAGUGGCAGCCUCCCAUUUCAAGACAAAAUGGUAGCCUGCCUUUAAUCUUUGGAGAAAAAUCUGUGCAUGACCUUUUUUUUUCCCAAAAAAUCCGUGCAUGGUGUCCUUUAAUAUUUGGAGAAAAAUCUAUGUUGGAUCUUUUCUUUUCUAGAAACAUUUGUGUGGUCUUUUUUGUUAGCCCAAGGGUUCUUCUAAUCAAGUUUUGAUGAUAACAAACCAUGGUUAAGUGACUAAUUGGUUUAAUGAUUAAGAAUCUCAAACAUAAAAUCGAAAAUUCAUCAAAGGACCAAAUGGAUACAAGAUCGAGACGCUUGGAAGACUUGUAAUCAUAGGAAACUAAUGUAAGAUGAAUGCAUGAGUGCACUUAGGAUUUUCACACGUUUCAUGCAACUUAGAAAACCCAGUUUAUUCUUUAAAACUUCAUCCCAGUUUAUUCUUUUUAUGGUUGUGUGUGCUUUCCUUGAUACGUGGCUUAUUUAUUAAGGAUACAUCCCAGUUUUUCAUGGAAUUGACAGUGGGUUGUUGUGUGUGAAUGCCACCAUUUCAACUGUGCUGUUGUUAUUUAAAAAAAAAAAAAAUGGAUUGUGCGCGAGUGGCAAUUCUCCACUAUGGAAAGUGGAUUGCUCCUUCAACCCAUGCAUGGCUACGUAUUCCUAUGUCUUUCUGCUUGUGUGUGAUCCUCCAAAAAAAAUUUUGGUUUAGUGCUAGUAGAUUUUAAGUGGUGGAUCCCCUUUUUUUGAAAACUAAGUGGCAGCCUCCCAUUUCAAAACGAAGUGGUAGCCUGCCUUUAGUCUUUGGAGAAAAAUCUGUGCAUGACUUUUUUUUUCCCAAAAAAUCCAUGCAUGGUGUCCUUUAAUAUUUGGAGAAAAAUCUAUGUGGGAUCUUUUAUUUUCUAGAAAAAUUUGUGUGGUCUUUUUUGUUAGCCCAAGGGUUCUCCUAAUCAGGUUUUGAUGAUAACAAAUCAUGGUUAAGUGACUAAUUGGUUUAAUGAUUAAGAAUCUCAAACAUAAACUCGAAAAUUCAUCAAAUGACCAAAUGGAUACAAGAUCGAGACGCUUGGAAGACUUGUGAUCAUAGGAAACUAAUGUAAGAUGAAUGCAUGAGUGCACUUAGGAUUUUCACACGUUUCAUGCAAUUUAGAAAACCCAGUUUAUUCUUUAAAACUUCAAUUUCAUUAAAACCCGAGUUUUUAACUAAUGUACCUUAGGCAAAAUGUUUUAUAAUUGGCUUAAUAAUUCACCUAAAUACAUUUUCUAAGUGUUAGAAAAGAAAGGAAUUAAAAAAAGGUUUUCGGGGCAAAAAAGGCUCAACCGGUCGAGGCUAUGGUCAACCGGCUCAACCGGUUGAGGAACCAAUCGAUCGGUUGUGCUUGUCCGAUCGAAGACCAAUCGAGGGAUGCCAAAAAAUUUCUCUCUCUCCUAGUGGCCUUCUCUUCCCGGUCGAGGUUCGGUCUAGGCAACGGUAACAUGUCAAGCAUUAAAUGCUCCGACGACUAGUGAAUCGGUCGACCCCUAGCCCGAUCGGACGAGGUUGCCUUUUGCUGUUUUUGACUCCCGAGCUUAGAAACCUAUAAAUUGAGAGCUCCACUUCAUUUAUUGAUAAAAGAGAACACUUGCAUUCAAUAGUCUACCUACCUUUUCUUGAUCAAAAAGCUCUCAUUUCCUUCAUAGUGCAUUAAAUCAUCACUUGCAUAUCCUUUAGUGCACUAUUGUGUGUCAUCCUAGCUUUGUUUUGUAUUUGAGCUAUCCUUAAGCUAGGUUGAGGGAUUAUUUCUUAUAAAAAUCUGAGUGUUAAAGCCUUCAAGAGAUUUGAAUCUUGAAGAGAUUGUGUAAGAGCCCAUUGGAGCCGGAGUCCAAGUGUAAGAAGAUUGGAAGCUUGGUUGAAGCUUCAAGUUAGUGGAACCCUCACUCGGUUAGGAGGUUGAGGAGAGUGGACGUAGGUAAGGAAGUGUCGAACCAUUAUAAACCCGAGUUUGAAUUCUCUAACUCUAUCUCUUUAUUUUGCUUAUAUUGUGUUUGAAUUUGUUGUGAUUGAAAAGAUUUUAAAAACCUAAUUCACCCUCCCCCCUUUUGGGUUUUUUUUUCUUAAUUAAGCAUAACCUUUGUUUUCUAAUUUUCUUUUUAGGAAAAUCCAUGCGUGGUAUGUCCAAACUCUCCAAGUGGCAGUCUGCCUUCUUCUAAAAAAUUUGUUUCUAUUUCUUUAUUCGACUACCUUCCAUGUCUUCCUAAUGAGUGCUUGUGCUCAAUGGUCAAUCCCUGGUGGUUGCCUCCUUUUCCCAUAUAUACGUGUUGCAAAAUCAACAUCCCACUAUAUGUGGGUUGCCUCUAUGGCAAGUUCACAUUUCCCACAUGAAACCUAUGAGUUUCCACCAAAAAUUGCCAUGAAAAAGUCUUUAUAUGCAUCUCAUGCAAUAAAAAGUCAAGCCAAUACUCAUCUUAUCUCGAAAAAUAAGUAACCAAAAUCAAGAUCAUGCCUAAGUGAACUAUGCCAAAAGAAGUGUCCAAGUGACCUAUUAUGAAAAAAGUGCCUAAGUGACCUAAGGUGAAUGUGUGUAAGCUGGAAGGUGUCUAGGAUGUUUAGGACAAUGCCUAAGCCUAAAAUAGGGUUGCCAAGGGUCACAAUGGGGUUAGAUAAAUCUCUCAAUCAGAGUCUCCAAGGUGGCUCAUAAAAGAUAAGCUACACGAGUAAUGAUGGGCCACCAGGGAAUUAUUGUAAAGCACCAAACGAACACAUAAUAGGACAUGUGUUAGAAUGAAAAAAUGGAGGGUUUACAAGUGGUCUCAUGGAUGAGCUUGAUAAUUUAAAUGACUCACAUAAUGAACGUAUGUGAUGUUUCUCUCCAAUAACAAGCAAAACAUCACUAGCAAUAUGAUGAAUGUCUCCUAAAUCACUUGAAGUAGUCCUAGCAAAUCAAUUAGAAAAAUCACACAUAUUGCUCUAAUGUAAUAUUAUAUACAUCUGUCAAUGAAUGGGAGAACUAAUGACACAACCAUCAUGUUGAUAUCUCGAACCCUCUAAUCUCAUAUGUAGGUGGGAUCACACUUAGAAACUCAUAACACAGUAAUGACCAAUCUAAGUCAAAAUGUGUUGGUGAUCGGAGGCCCAUGAAUAUGAAGUUCUAGGAUGAUAAUGACAUCUUAUAAAGUAAUGAUCAUCUCCUUAAUAGAUAGGUGAAAUGUGUGUGUCUUAGGACACCAUCUCUCAACAAGACUUGUGAUCAAUCCCCAGUCUAGUGUAACAUGCCUAUUAUGACAUCCAUCGUAAAAUCUAGACUAGAUAAUAUAAGGACAAAUGUGAGGGUUCAUCUCCCUUUCCCACAUAAAUUUAAAAAAUUAUUAUUGACAAGUUAAGACCAAACUAAGUUGCAAAAUAUAAAUAAGUCCAUUAGAUAACAAAUUUAUGUUUUCUCAUUUUCUCAUUUUUAAAGAGAUAUUAUGUGCUUCCAUGUACAUACAUGCUAAAGUCAAUUAUACGAGACUUAUAUCCAUCUUGUAGAACCAAAUCGAACCUAUCUAAUAGAUCCAGAUUAGAAGUAUGUCCUCUAUACUCCAUAUUUAUAACACAUUUAUAAAGAUAAAUGCUAAAAAAAUGUUAAAGAUAUAAAUUUAAUGAACCAUACUUUAUGAUUUUAAUUCUCAAUUAUUGUUCAUAUUUAUAAGAGAAAAGUUAAAAAAAUUGAUAGAGUUUUCCCUCUAUCAUGGACAUUAUCCCAAAUAAAAAUAAAUUGAUUAUGCAAAUUACAUUAAUAUUUGUAACCAAAUGAUCAAUAACUAUCUUGUAUCAAUUUAGUAAAUAAAUUUAAGUAUAUCUUUUCAUUUAUGACUAACAAAUAACUCAUACUUGUCCAAUAAAAGCCACACCUAAUUUCUAAAAUUUUGUCUUCACCUCAAGUGAGUGUUACAUUGAGAAAGAAAAAAUAUGAAAGAAAAAAUGAACACCUUUUUCUUUUAAUAAAAAAAGGCCAUAACGAAACAUUAAAUCUCACUGUUACACCUAUCUUCAAUGGAAACAUGAGGAUGUGAAUGGUGGCGGUGAUAUUCUUUGCUUGAAGCUCAUAAACAAAUAUUCCUUACUAAGCCUAUGCCAUUUAGUAUUUCAAUAGUGGACCCCCCCCCCCCCCCCCCCCCCCUCCUUGCAUUUCAGAUUUAGCAAACUUAGAACCAAAUAACAAAGUGCAUUUGAACCCAUAAAGAAGUAAUGAGACUCUCCUAUAUUGGCAAUAGAAGAAAUUUUUGGAGGUAUAGGAGAUUCACGGAUGAAGAAGUUGGGCCCCAAUUGAGAUAAGACCCAAGAAAAGAUGGGGUAGAGAGGGAUGGUUGGAAAUUGUAAAGUAAGAUUUUCAAAAUGUAGUUGAUGACUAAGAUUUUGACAAUUUAAAAAAGGUUUAAAAAUGUAGUUAGCAAUCGGGGUUUUGUAACAUUUAAAAAAUAAAAUAAAAUCUCAGGCCACAUGGUAGCCCAUGUGAUUCAGAAGCUUGAGAAUUAUUUUAUAAGAAGACUUAAUUUGUGAUUUUUUUAUAACUAUAUUAUUUUUUUUCUUAACACACGAAAAAAAUUAUGAAAUAAGACAAUUUUCCUAAGAAAGCAUGUAAGUGACUCUUGGUUAUUUUAUUUAACUUCUUCUAGUUUGGAGAGGAUUAAUACCUUUGCUUUUACUCACUUGCUUGGAUAUGUACACGUUGUUCAUGUCACUUUUCAUUUAAUUUUCUGAUUAAGGGAAUUGGAACCGUACGUAACUGUCUUUAUUCCCUCUGAAACUUGGACUUGGAGUUGGACUUUCAAUCUCAUCAGUCGUGUUUCCAUAAAAAAGAAGAUGGAUUAACCAAUUUUCCUAUGCCUACUAAUCAUACACAAAACUCCACUUCCAAAUAAAAAGGAAUGGGAUAUCACUUGUUAAUAGUGGCUAAAGACUAUUAAUAACCAUGCAAAGAAAUGUCACAUUUUUUGUUCUACGCAAAUUUUAUUCAUCAACUACUAGAACCAUUUCAUACAAUAGUAGCUUUUCGAUCCUUUGAUAAAUGGACACUUGAUGUGAUAACACCAACUACACCUAUAUAUUCAAGCAAUCAUGCGUAUAUAAUAGUGGAUAUGGAUUACUUCUCUAAAUGGGCAAAAGUUUUGUCAUUCAAGGAAAGUGAACGAGGAAACACAAGUUUACUUUCAUCGGAACUAAUAUUAUAUAUUGAUAUGACUUCCCAUUAUUACUUACGAUGGAAUAUGCUUCCAUAAAAUGGCCUAGAUGAACAAACUAUCCAAGAAGUUUGGGAUCAAAUAAUAUAUAUAUAGUUCAUGUGUGAUUCUUUGGUUGACAACCUUGUUAAGGGGUGAGUGAAGCACUUUGGGCAUACCACAUACUACAUGCUAGACUUCCACCCAAGCUACCCUAUAUUCCUUAUGAACAAAGUAGAAGUUGUCAUCUCUCUUGAAUACCAAAUCCUUUCACCUAAUAAUGCUAUCUAAAAAGGUCUUAAAAAGGAUAAAAAUGCGCAUAUUUGAAUUUUUGAAUUAGGAGUGCUACUUAAAAAGAAGCUAGAUAUACAAUAAUAGAAUGUUAUCAAGCAUAUCUCUUCAAAGUUUUUGACCAAAAAAUAUAUGAUUUCUCAUUUUAGGUAGGAGACUUAGUACUCACUAUUCAAAAACCAAUUAUCAUUACUCAUAAAAACUAAUAGAAAGUUUGGGCCAAAGUAGGAUGGACCUUAUAUUAUGCAACAAUUAUGCCUAUAAAAUUGUUGCAAAAGAGGUUUUAGAAUCAAAUCAAUGAAUGAAAAAUUAUUAAAGCAUUACUAUGCUUGAAGGCUAGUCAUUUUCCCUUAAAGUGCAAUAUUAAGUUGCAUAGUACUAUGUGGAUCCGCAUUUUUCACAUGCGUUCCCACUCAUUGUCGAGACUCACUUUUUAGAAGUGAAAAAUUAGUUUUAUUAAAGUCGAAGUUGCCACUGGGGAUUUGAACCCUAACAAAAGGUUCAAUUUAAGGAUAAAAAUAUCGAUAAUCACAUAUAUAUAUAUUGGUACUUUGAUUUUAUGAAUAUAUUGAAGAAAUAUGGACAAAUAUUUUGACACAAAAUAUGUACAAAAUAAAAAUUAUAUAAAAAGUAAAAAUAAAUAUUUUAAAAUUAUUUUUUUAAAUAUAUAUAUAUAUAAUUUGACAUAUUUGAUAAUAAUAUAUAAGGGUCUCCAAAAAGCCCGUGGCCCGCUUUAGGCCCGGUCCGACCCGACAGGCUAAAGCCCGGCCCAAGCCCGCCGGGCCCAAGCUCGGCCCGAGCCCGUUUAUGGGUGGGCCGGGCCGCGAGCCCGUAGGCCUGCUCCUUUAAAAAAAAACUACAAAAAUAAAAAGUAUUAAAAAAAAUAUUCAUUUCAAAAUUUUAUUCAUUGAAUGUAUAAUUACAUUUGAAAAUGUGGGAAAAGUUUACAUCACUACAAAAUAAAUACAUCCCAACUAGGUUGGCACCUAUUUAUUUGUCAAUCAUCUGUAUUUUUCAACCACAAAAAAUAAAAAUAAAAAUAUAAUAUACAUUUAGUCAUUAUUUUCUGGCGGUGAUGGCGAACUAUCAUGCAUCCAUGAAGAUCUUGAUAAUUUUAAAGAUUCCAUAUCGGUAAGCAUCUUUGUUUCUCGAAUGGAAUCAUACAUCCUUUUAUCUGCUAUUUCCCAAUCUUUCACACAUAUCCCUGCUUUAAUAACAUCUGACGCUAAGUUGCAUCGUUUUUUACUAACUACUCUUCCACCUGCACUAAAAGCAGCUUCUGAUGCAACUGUACUCACAGGAACUGUUAGUACAUCACGAGCAAUUAUAGAAAGCACAGGAUAUUUGUGUUGAUGUGAUUUCCACCAUAUUAAAAUAUUAAAAUCUUCUUGAUCUUCAAAUGAAAUUAUAUCAGUAUUAAGAUAUUUAUCUAAAUCAGAUGUAUUAUUUGGAGAAUUAUUUGUUGUCUUUUUUCGACUUUUCAACAUUUCUAGAGCUCCUUUAUAAAAAGAUGAGGAGUUUGUAGAUGUAGGUGGUAAUUUAAUAGUAUUAAUAUCAUUACCAUAUUUUUCUUUAUAAUAGUUAUAUAAAUUAUAUAAUAAUGAAUUUAUUUCAUUUUUAAUUUCUUCAAUUUUUAUUUGGUCAUUAAAAUAAAUAAUUGUUAACCAUUCAUCCAAAGCUUCAAAUUUCAAUCUAGGGUCCACAAUUAAAGCAAUAUAAAAAAUUAAAGGUAUUUCUCCCCAAUAUUUUCUAAAUUUUUAUAUCAUUACAAAUAUUGUAUCAUUAAAUAUUUCAAAACUUAAAUAUUUUUGAAGUACAAUAAAAAUAUUAGUUAUUUGCGUAAUAACUCGAUUUGAAGUUGGAUAAUAUACACCACAAAAAAUGUUUGUUGAAGUAUCAAAAAUUUCAAAAAGAUCUCUUAAAACAUCCGCAAUAUGCCAAUCAUAAUCAUUUAAUGCAUAAAUAUCUGCUUCAUAAUCAUUGUUAAUUAAUUGUAUUUCAUAUAAUUCGACUACUUUUCUAUAUUUUGUAAUAUUUUCUAAAAGUUUAUAUGUGGAAUUCCAUCUAAUAGCCAUAUCCAAAUUUAUAUUUUUUCUUUUCAUAUUUAACAUUUUGCAACAAUCAAAAAAUAAUUCAUGUUUUGCUUGAAAACUAUUAAUACUAUAUGCAAUGCCUCUAAUUUUUUUCCAAUGUACUAUCAACAUUUUUUAAUCCAUCCUUUACAAUUAAAUUUAAAAUAUGUGCACAACAACGCACAUGAAAUAUUUUAGCAUGAUCUUCUUUUACUUGCCAAUAUCGUUUUAGUCUAUGUAUUGCUGCAUCAUUAUUAGCAGCAUUAUCUAAUGUUAUUGUCAAUAUUUUAUCACGAAUGCCUAAAUCUAUAAUUUCAUCAUUUAUUAAAGAUGCUAUAUUUUUACCACUAUGUGGAGUAUUUAUUAAUUUAAAUAAAAUUAUUCUUUUAUUUAAUUUCCAUUCAUUAUCAAUGUAGUGAACAAUUAUAUAUAAAAAACCAGUAUGAGUUAAAGAUGUCCAAAUGUCAGAUGUUAAACGAAUAUUUCCUUCAAAAUUUGCAAAAUUUUUUUUUAAAAUUUCUUUUUGUGUAUAAAUUUUUUUCAUAAUAUCUCUUUUAACUGUAUUUCCAGAUCAACCUUUAAAUUGAGGAUUAAUACCUCGUUGAAUUGUUCUUGCAAAAUCAUGAGUUUCCAUCAUGUUGAAAGGUUGUUCUGCUCUUAUUAUAUAAUCAAUCAUUUCUUCACAACAGUUAGAUUCAUCAUAAGAAAAUGUUUUUAAAUUUCCACUUUCAUUUUUACUUAAUUGCAUAUAAUUUCUAAUAUCUACAUUAUUUUUAGUUUUACAAUUUUCAUGAUGUCUUUUUAAAUGACUUGUAUCUGCAUUUGAGCCACCAGUAAGAAAUUUAUUACAAAUUUUACAUUUUGCUUUUAUUUUUUUUUUAUUAUUUUCUAAAAUUAUUUCUAUUCUAUCAAAAAAAUUCCAUAUAUUUAAAGUAAAUUUUUUGUUUGAUGAUAUUUCAUCACAUGGACUAGACGAAGAAGCACUUGUCAUAUUAUAAUUAUUGAUAAAAUAUUAUGCCAAAAAUAAUAAAGUAAUAAAUAUAAAAAAAAAUGUAACAAAAAAAAUAAAGUAGUAGGGGUGAAGUAUGUUACUCAAUUAGAGAACCUAUGCAGAAAUUCCUAGCAAAUUUGAACUCUUGGAGCCACCAAUGCUUGUUUUGCACCAUCAACAAUAUUGUAUAAUUUGAGGGAAAAAUAAAAGAAUUUAAAAUAUUGUAGAAUGUGAGAGAAAUAGAGAGAAUUUGAUGAAAAAAUGAAAAGGAAGAAAAUGUAUUUAUAGGAAGGUUAAAAAUAAUAAUAAUAAUAAUAAUAAUAAUAAUAAUAAUAAUAAUAAUAAUAAUAAUAAUAAUAAUUGGCCAUGUGACCGUUGGAGGCUUAGCUCCAACGGUCACAUGGGCUGGAGCUAGGCUCCAACAGUCACAUGACCGUUGGAGCCUUUAAUUUUUUUUUUUAAAAUAAUAUACUUUAUUUUUAUAUAUAUAUAACUAACUCAAUUAAUAAACAUAAAAAGAAUAUAGUUCAGUUGGUUAGAACCUUGAAGUUUAAACAUGAGGGGAGGGGUUUGAAUCCCUCCCUCUCCCUUAGGGGCUUUUUUAAAAGCCAUUUUGGCUUAUUUCAAAAAGCCUGUCGGCCCGACCCGCCCUGCAGCCCGCGGGCCUAGCAUUUUAGCAUGGCCUGGUCUGUUGACUAGUCAAAUGGCUCAUAGGCUCGGCCCGAACUGGGCCGCGGGCCUCUUAUUUACGGACCGGCCCGACCCGGCCCGCCCGUUGGAGACCCUUGAUAAUAUCUUCUAUAUUAAGUUACAUUAUAGUUUAUUUUACAAUAUUAUUAUGAUAAUAUGUCUAAUUUUAAAAUAUAUUUAAUAUUAAAAUUAUGAUCUAUUUUAAUUUAAAUGUAUUCAAUGAUAUCAAAUAAAUAAUAAUAUAUGUAUAAUUCUUUUAUUAUUUAUAUUUAUUAUUUUUAAUAAAUAUAUAGAUUAUAUAAAAAAGACCGGAUAUAUCUUUUCAAAUUUUGUAUCGCUCUCCAAGGAUAUUAGAUGUAUGGGAAUUUGUAUUGCUAUCUACGGAUACGUUGAUAUAUGGGUGAUUUAUCAGGAUAAUUAGAAAUUCUAAUUAUGUAAGCAGGUACGGAGUUCUGUGUCGGUGCGAUCUUGUCGACAACAGCUCCAAAUUGUGCAUCUUGCUCAUAGAGAGUAGCGGAAUGCACCAAUCGUAGGCUCAGAGUACCACUGAGUCGUCUGGCAGAGACCCAACUGAAGGUGCCUGUGUUGUUCCUGAUCUGAUCAGGCUUCAAACUACAAGGUGGAAUACUGGUUCCCCUAUAUCAGAAGCUGGAGAUACCCACCCCAUAUGCUCGUCUGGAUGUGCUCCUACCCUUUGAAGCCUUCUUCCGAGUCAAGUCCGAAUUGAUAAGGCUAGUGAGUUCCCAACCAACUGUACUCAGCAUGCUGCCAGGUGGAGACCCUCCAUAUUUGAUGGCUUCCUAAUAUUAAAAUGCUGACCACUGGUCUUCAUGUUCCACAGGCUUAAUUGUGUCCUUUGCUGAAAGAAUGGAUAGUGAUCCAUUUUAACACAUGAUUCACGCCGUCUUUGCCAUUCUUCAUGGUCUAGCCCUUUUAUAUAUAUGCUUCCUGAACUGUUGCUAUUAAUAAAAUGUGGUAUCUAUCCCGUACACCUUCCUGAUGGCCAGCGAAUGCAGAAGCUACAGAAACGGUUCCAUCUUUUGCUUCCGCCACUUUGGCAUCCUCCAUGAUGAGAUCGAAGGUGAAUAAUCAUAUUCUGGGGAUUUAUGUCCUGGAUAUUCUCAGUAAUGCCCAAUUUCCUGGUGCCGGCCUCAUUUCCAUGGGAACUGAUGGAUAACUUAAGGCUUCUACCAUCUGCGUGGUUCGCUUCUAACACAGGAAACUUCACGGCUAAAAGCAAGAUACCAAGAACAUCAAGGCUGUGACAAAAAUUAGUAUUUUUAACUUGUAGGAAUUUGAAAGGCAACCAACCAUCUAGCUCUGUUCUUAAAGCUCCCAUAGGAGGAUCAGAGGCUGGAUUGCUCAAGAUGAACUCAUCCAUUGUUGCACUUAAAAAGAAUUGGCAUGAAUUGUGGCCGCUCUAAUAGGUUCCCUAAACCAUCAUCCAAGUGGGCUUGCGGAAGGUAGCGAGUUUAAAACACCUAGGGCGAUGAACAGUGGACUGUGAUGCUCACAAAAGAGAAAAGGAAGAAUUCAAUAAUUCCUAAGAAUCCAUUUGCCUGUCAUCCAAAUUUUUAUAUUCUCUUCAGUCUGACGCGUUAUGCCAUAUAUUAAAAAUAGCGGCUUCUUCCAAGCCGAGACAGACUGUGCAAAGUUCGCAAGGCCAAUCAUCACCAUAAUCUGAAGUUGGCCUCCUCAAUCGCAGCUUGUAUCCGAAUGCUCACUUCACGGGAUGGAUUGUAAUGAAAACUAAUCUCAGUCCCAGCUAUGGCAGCAUCCUCACUUGACAGCAUUUUCUGCAUAUUCUAGAACAAAGCAAUAAACCCUCAAAGGCUCCUUCGGAUCAGAGUUAGAAGACUGUCCCUCAGGAACGUGAACACUAUGGUGGUUCUGAUAAGCAGUGAUAUUGCAUUAGAGCCUUUUGGAACAAGAGGAUCUUUUCAGGUGGAAACUGUAAACUGCUUCAUGUUGGGCUGCAACCUUUUCUUCAAGCAAUACUUUCUUUCUGUAUCACGACUUAUGUUGCUUCCGGAGCCAUCCCGUGUGGACUGCCCUUCAGUGAAAGAAUAUGUGUGUUGACAUGUUGGAUUGUAAUCUUUGUUCCACUCUAAUGGCUUUUGGUCCUCCUCUUUCUCUUUAUGACAGAGAACCAUUUAGUGAUCCAUCUCUAUAUUGUAGCAUUGCUGGUGCUUUGCAAUACUACACUCUCACCAAGCAUAACAUCUAUUUUUCCGUGACCAAAGUAUGUCGGUUUAUGCAUGCGCAAACUCUUAUUCAUUGGCAAGUUGUCAAGCGUAUCUCAUGAUUUCCCAAAGCCACAAGUUCUUAUGGUCUUUCUGUUCAAGCUUACAAUGAUCUAUCUUUUCUUGGUUAUACUGAUGUCGAUUGGGCUAGUUGCCCUGAUAACAAGCACAAUACUAGUGGGUACAACACUUUUCCUGGUCCUAAUCUCAUUUCAUGGGCAUUUUCAAAGCAGAAGGUUGUGUCUCACUCCAAUAACGAAUCUGAAUAUAGGGGACUCACUAAUUAAUGUUGUUGCCAAGGUCACUUGGAUUGAAUCUGUCUUACGUGAGUUGCGUGUUUCUCUACCCCAACCACCAAUUUUGUUGUGUGACAACAUUAGUGCUACACACUUGGACAAACCAUGUUGAAAUACACUAUCAUUUUAUCCAUGAAAGGCUUAUGCAUCACACACUCAAAAUUCAAUACACCUCUUCUAUAGACCAACUAGUCAAUGCUAUGACCAAAGCUCUUCCUUCAUCUCACUUGUACAAUCUUCAGUGCAAGCUGAUUGUUCUUCCCAAACCACUCAACUUGAGGGGAGAUGUUAAGCCAAUUUAAUAAAUUGAUUUCUUUUGGUUAAUUUGUUAGAAUCAUUUUUAUUAGAGGUUUGUUUGUACAAUUACAUCCAUUUAUCAGGAGAGUACACGUGUACAACUCCUCUUUUAAUCUCACCAUUGUAUAUAUAUGAUACACGACCUUACUCAGAAUUGCAUAACAUUUCCUCUGCUCAUUCCUUUUCUUCUUUGAAUUUUCCCUUACCUCACUGAUUUUGAUUUAUACCUGGUGUUUUCACCUUUGGUCUCUACCUUUCUAGCCAGUUUUCUAAUUAAUCCGUAUAUGGUAUACCUGUCAACUAAUGAGGAGAAAGAGAAAAGGGGAUUGCUGUUCCACCAGCUACAUAUAAUAAUUAAUUACAAUCAUGGUAAUGGAUCCUGAAAUCCAUCCUUUGUGGAUUUUGUACGGAAUAUUGUUGUUAUGUAUGUGGGCUCACUUAGAUGUAUAUUGCUAGCCUGUCUGGGAAAUGUGAUUGCAGGUCCAGAUUAUGAUGUUGAUAUUAGUGGGAUAAGCAAGAGAUGCAGUUAACACGUAUGUGAUGGACUUGAGUAACUUUUCCAUUUCAGUCCAUUUUUUAAGAUUAUGCUUAGUCUUAUUACAAGGAAAGACCAUAAGAAUCAUGAGUCAUUGGCAAGGUAAUAUCAUUCCCUCUUUACAGGCUUCUUCACCUUUUGGUUUUUUUAAUAUCCAUCAAGAUCUUUUAAUUGGAGGACAAUUACAAGUAUAUAUAUAUGUAUUAAAAGGGGAAAAUAUUAAAACAGGAAAUUUUAGGGAAAAUAUAAUAAUUAUUUCUUCCUUCUUUCCCAUAUAGAACUACACAAAAUAAAACUUUAAUAAUUUUUUCUUAUCUUUUUUAUUAUUAUUUUUUCUUAGAAACAUCCGUGGUCUCACAAGCUUGUAAUCCUAGAUUGUUAGGCUCCUUUAACAGUGCCCCAACAUCGUGGUCCAAUGACAAGCUUCCACGCCUUAAAAUCAGAAAAUGCCAUUAAACUUUAUCAGACAUUACAGUUCAAGACAAAGCUUUCAUUUGCUUAAUGUGAUAAUGAAAUUGUUAAUUUCAUUUCGUGGGCAUCUAAAUUUGGACGAGCAAGACCUCUGAAUUCCCUGUUUUUAUCACCAGCAGAGGAGAUAAAAUCUUAAUGGUGAGAAUCUCCACGUGAAAUUUAUGUGUACUGUCAACAUAUUUUUGUUUAUAUAGUCCAGUAGCUGCAGGAAGUCUAGAUUAUAUAGGUAGCAGUAGCACUAUUUAUAGCACUCGAUAUUCGCUGUAUGAAUACAUUAAACCUUGUUUUCAAUACGCAUCACAAGCAAGUACUAGAUACUACAAGGAGUGACAGUCGCAUCAACAUUUCUUGAUAAUAGCAGUGACUGAUUUAUACACAGAACAGUACUGUACACGUACCAGUCACCAGAGAUAGGAUCUUAUUCCUACAUACGACUCUUAUUGAUCGAAGUCACUCAGUUGGGGUAGCCUGGAGUUGGAGGUUUGUGUGGUGGCUUCUUCUUUGGAGGAGGCUUUAUCUUUGGAGGCAUCAUCUUUGGAGGCAUCUUGUGUGAGUCUUCUUCAGCAUUCUCUACAGGAGGAUGGCCAGGCUUAUGACCCUUAGGUGGUUUGCCAACUGGGAUUGGUGGCUUGUGUCCUGAGAGUGGCUCCUCUUCUUCGGGAGGUUUGCCAACUGACGUUGGUGGCCCGUGUCCUGGGGGUGGCUUGUGUUUUGGGGGUGGUUUCACUCCACCGGGAGGUUUACCAAUUGGUGUUGGUGGUUUGUGCUCAAUCGGUGGCCUCUCAACUGGGGGGCGCUUGGGGUAAUCAGCGAGUGAAGAAGUGGUGAGAACCACCACUCCAAGCAACAACACUAGCAAGUAUGUGGAAGACAUCUUUGAGUUUGGCUCAGAUGGUGUAGAACUAGAAUCCUGGGUGGCCUUUUAUAUUAGUUGGGCCCUAUGCCCGAACGACAAGUGUCAUGGUGACACAUAAAGUGAUGGGGUCGAUUUGGGCCUACCGGAUUUGAAAACUUGGACAAUUCGAGAAGCGUCUCCUGACUCCGGGUUGUAAAGUGAAAGAUUAGGUAUCGACCAUUGAAGUAUGAUCACAACUUUUGGCCUUUGGCUCUCUCUACUGCCGUAUAGCUUUUUUCCUUUGGAUAUUUUUCUUAGCUAGACACAAUUAUUGAGCAGUCUAAUCUCGAAAUGGGAUUAGUAUAGCUUUAAGCAAAUUUAUUAUAGUUAGUGGAGGACUUUUAAGAGUGCAGACGACAUUUAACACAUGCAUGCAGUAGUAUAGGGGACAUAACACUAUUCUUUUUCCAAAGAUUCACAUGAUUUUUAUAUUAUAGUAUUGGCACAUUGUAUGUAGCUGGUUUUGUGGUUAAAAUUCCAUAUGUAGACACUGGCGUUUCUCCAUUUCUCACAAUUGAUGUUUACCUCCACGAUUACUAGAUUAGAUAUACCAAACAAUAACACAUUGUAUAAUCUAUCCGCCCUUCAAAAUCUACUGUAUGAUGAAAUGUUUCAUGUGUGUGUGAAGUGUUAGAAAUGCACUAUAGGCAACAUCAUCUUCUUUUGUCUAGGCUUGGGCCUCAAAUUAUACUCCCAUGCCAUGAUAAAUUUUCAUGUGCAUUCUCUAAAGAAGAGUGUCUUGAAUGUGCCAAAUCAUUUUGAUUGAUUUUAUGAUGUUAAUUGCUCCGCAUAUGGAUGGGUAUGUGCUUUAUUUGCUUAUUCAAUCCACAAUUACCUUGAACUGAAGUCCUAUUGGAGCUCUAUUAUUUUAGCAACGUCCUGUCAAAUAGGCUGCUAACUUGGGGUGGUAUGGACCCAAUGAUCCAUCUUAAUCUUGGGUUGAUUUUGUCUGACUCUAUCUAUCUCAGAGAGAACCAGGAUCACCAGUGCUGGUCUGCUUAAAGAAGACUCAGUACUGGAUUAAUAUUGGUUUGGGUCAAUAGCUUAUAAUGCAUUGAAUGCAGAAUAAACAAGAUCAAUGAAACCCAAAACACACUGCCCACACAACUUCACUCUGGUGUCUGUUAUUCAUCAAUUCUAUUCCCACAUGAACUGGUUCAAGUUUAAGAAAAUGACAACGGAUCCACUGUAUUAACUUGGUUUUGCUUGGUUUUGAGCUAGUUGCCAAACCAGCCAUGAGUUUUACCUCUAAUGUCAAUGAACAAACCCCAAAUGAACAACUGCAACAGCUUAAAGAGAAGGAAUGGAGAUGAAAAUCCCUGUUUCUUCUCAUUCUGGGGACAAAUUAGAACAUAACUACAAAGGUUCUAUUAAUUGACUUACUCUACCAUGAAUUAUGGUUCUUUGGUUUUCCAAAUUUAAAUUGUACAUGAGAUUAUUUUUUUCCUUUAUAUAUAAACAUAUUAAGGUUUUCUUAUUUCGUGGGCAAAUGCGCUAAGGAUGAAAGUCAUUUCAUUUGGCUGCAACAGCAUCUUAUAAUCAACAUGCAUAAGCAGCAGUUUUAAUUGAUCGAUUGAACACCGACUCACAAGAAUAGAUAGAAUGGUACAAGACAGCUCUUAUUAAUUUAUACUCGUUACUCAUUUUAUGUAGCCCCAUUAAGAUGGCUGGCUGGACCACCGAGGUCUGGGGGUGGUGUUGCUUGUGUGAUGCAGCGGGCCGGGCAGACACUUCUCUAGUUGCUUCUAUUUGGAGUUAGAGGAUCAGUCUCUGCCAACCUUGAGGACUCUCUACCUCAGAGGGUCCAGGUGGUGGACUCUGGUGUCGGUAGCUUUGAACUCUCAGUAGACUAGUGUGUCUUAAUCAGUCACUGCCAGAGGCUGGCGUAGGCAGUGACGAUAAGGUGAGACAAAUUACCGAAUAGUCAAUAUCGACUGCACUUGACCAUUAUAGAUUUGUUCUGACAAAAGUGAGAAAAGGGAGAAAAUCGGAUGUUGACCUUUAUAGAAAAAGAUAAGAUUUACUGCAACACAGAGCACUGAUUUGUUACUUGGAAACCAAGUUAUGCUAUUAGCUAGCCUCCAUUAGCAGCAGGGUACCUUGCUGCCUGAUCCUAAUCUGAGUUCCCAAGGUUUCAAUCUUCGUUUGUUAACGCUUCAGGAUUUGGAUAUUUCAGCUUCGUUUCUCCAUUUAGCCAACGCUGCCUGGUUUGGAUUUCAAUCCUCAUCUGGAACAUUCUUUUUUCGGUCUGAUUCAGGAAGUGUUUGGUGAUAGUUGAUUAAAAUUAAACAGUACUAUCAUACAAAUAAAGCUGAUCUAAUUUUGGUGGGCAAUAUACCAACUCAUUUAUUCUUGAAAACACCAUGGGGAAUUGGAGGUCCAUCCGAAGUACUAUUUGAUGGGACUCACAAAAAGAACAGGUGCACAUUUAUGAGAUCCGUGGAAGAGAUAACUAUGACAGCUAUGCAUGUACAACAGAUUUAUGUCGAGUUCACCUCGUAGAUAUUUUGUUUUCAGUGUCGGUGGACCCCAAAAUGGAAAUCGGAAAUUAAGGUUAUAUUUAUUUUUUUAUUUAAUUUUAAAUAGAAUUUUAAUUUUUAAUAAUAUUAAGUAUUAAAUUAUUUUUUUAAGGGUAUUUUAUUUUUAUUAAGUAUUAAAAAGUAAAAAAAAUUAAUAUGUUGCUUUUUUAUUUUAAAAAAAUUAUAUAUUUUAAUUUUUUCUAUUUACUAAAAAGUUUAUAAUAAAUUAUAAAAAAAUAAAAAAAUAAAAAACUUAAAUUCUGAAAAUAAAUUAUUUUUAAUAAAAAAAUCCAAAAAAGCAAACACCACCUAAAUUUGAGAUGACUCAAAAUUUUAUAUUUUUUUUCACCUAAAUUAUAUUCAUAAAUUUAAAAUUAAAAAAUUAGGAAGUUGAAUUUUAUUUUGGAUAAUUGGAAACUACAAGAAAUCAAUAAAAAUAUUUGGAAAAAAAAGAAAAAGAAAAACUAUCUAUAUAUUCACCCCCUUCUAAGAAACAUAACUUUAGUUUUUAACUAUUUUUUAAAAUAAUUUUUGAAAAAUGUUAUAUAAUAUUUUAUAAAACAAAAAAUCUGUUUGACAAUUUGAUAUGUCUUUAACUUAUUUUUAAUAUUUAUAUAUAUAUAUUUUAAAAAUAAUUUUAUAUUUAGAACUUUAUCUUUAAUUAUUAUAUAUAUUUAUAUAAUUAUUUUUUUUAAAACAACUCUUAAAAAAUAAGUGAAAGUAAUUGAAAACAACUCAAAGAUAUUUGAUGAAAACACUCUAAUUUGUAUUUUUGAGAAUAAAAAAAUAAAUAAAUAAAUUUCUAGUUAUCAAAUGUAUUUUUUAAUUCUUUUAUUCUAAAAAAUAGAAAAUCGUUUUUGAAAAUAAUUAUUAAACAACAUUCUUAAAAAUUCACUCGUUACAAUCUAGAUUUAAUGCAAGAAUGAUUGAAGGAGUCCUCCAAUAGAACCCAAAGUUAUAAACAUGAACAAGAAGCCCUAGAAACACCAAAGAUCUCAUAUGGUAUAUAUAUGAGCUUGAUUGAGAACUGUUUUAAAUUCAGUUUUUUUUUUUUUUUUUUUUUUUUGUUUUCAAAGUCAAAACAAGUUUACUUUUAAUUUUUACUUCUUUUUUUUAAUUUUAUAAAUAACAGUUUUUUAAUAAUUUAUUUUGAAAACAUGAUUAUUUUUAAAACUUAUAAUGAAAAUAGGAAUUUUUUUUUUAAUAUCAUGGUUAUUUUCCCUUCUUUUAAGGAGGGCUAUUUUAAAAAUAAAUUUACAAAUAUGAAAAAUGAUUCAAACUAAAGCAGUACAAAUAAAAAACAUUUUUAAGAAAUAUUUAAAAAUAGAGAAAAUUAUUUGAGAACAUUUGAAGUCCUUAAAUAGACUUUUGUUUUAGAAAAGGCAAGAUAAUUAUUUUUGAAAAUUGUUUUCAUAAUGAUAUGCAAAAACCUACGUAAAAACCAUAAUUAUAAUCGGCCACAUAUCAAAUCUACUAAAUAUGAAAAGUAAGUACAUAAUUAUAUUUGACUUAGAUGCAAGGAGGAAAAUGUCGCGAUAUUAUCGCCGAAAUAUCGUGUGUCGAAGGGUAUCGACACGAUUUUUCUUGCAGAAAUAUCGGCCAGUCGAUUUUUCGGGAUAAAUCUCGAGAAAUCGGCAAUUUAUCGCGAUAUAUCGGCGAUUUUUCCUCGAUAUAUCUUCUGGUCAACGCGGGUCAACGGAGUCAACACGCUACAGUGAAAGUCAAAUGUGCUACAAUGUCCCCGCUACAAUCACCUCCCCAAACAAAUUGCCAAAUUGCUUCCGAGGGGAUUUGAACCAGCCUUCUUGCCAUUUGGGCUAACUCGCCCUUAUGAUAUAUAUUGCAUUAAACAUAUAUAUACUUAAAGUCCUUAUAUAAAGAAAAUGUUAAAAAAAUAUUUUAAAGAGCAAAUUAAUUAUAAUUAUUUUAUAAUUAAAAGCAAAAUUUUCUUUUAAUUAAUUACCAAAAAUAUAAAAAUUAUAUAAUUUUCUUCAUAAUGUUUUUAAUAUCAUUAAUAAUUAAUUAAAUAUUAAAAAAUUAUAUAUAUAUAUAUAUAUAUAUAUAUAUAUAUUAUAAUUUAUUUUAUAUUGUUUAAUACAAUUGAAUUAAAUGGAUCAUAUUUUAAUAUUAAUAUAUAUUUUAAAAUUAGACAUAUUGUAAUCAAAUAUCAUAAUAUUAUAUGUAAUUUAAUAAUAAAUGUACACUUAUAAAAUUCAUAUUUUUAUCGAUGCAUACAAUAUUAUUAUCAAAUAUGAUAAAUCAUGUUAUACAUAUAUCAAAAUUUUCAAUAAAAUAACUUUAAAAUGUCUAUUAUACUUCUAAUUAUAUUAUUAUGAGGUUUUCUUUACAUUUUCAUGAGUUUUAAACAAUUUUAAGCACCAAUAUUUUUUUCCAAAAUAUCCACCGAUAUAUCUCCGAUAUAUCCAAUAUAUCUCCGAUAUCUCCGAUAUAUCCGUAAAAUCGAAGUACCGAUAUAUCCGUGAUUACCGAUAUUUUCAUCAUUGCUUAGAUGCAACCUUCUUCCAAAUGACAUACUUUAGUCAAUACUUAUAUUUUUUCGUUUCACUUCUUUGAUACAACACCUCAUGGAUUUAUUGUUUAAUUUAUUUGUAAUUAUAAAACUAUUUUUCAUUUUUAAUAAGACUUGAAUUAAUUUAAUAAAUAUUAUAUAAUUUGAAUUUAUAAUUCUUUUUAUAAAAUCAAAGUAUAUUAAAAAAAAAACAAUUUAUCCGAAGAAAGUUUUUUAUUUUUUAUUUUUUAAAACCGAUUUUAAAAAUAACUAGCUAGACACCCUUAUUUUGAUAAAAUACGAAAUAAAAGUGUAAAAACAACAUGGCCAAAUAGGGGCUUAAAUUUUAUUUUUAAAACAUUUUUUUACACUAAAGUGCAUUUUAAAAACACCAUCAAAACCAACUACAAGUUAUGCUUCUUCCCGUAAUAGAAAUAUUUUAGGCCAAAAUAGAACCUCCCCAAAUAAAGACCCUAUACUAAACUCCUUUUCAUUUUAUUAAUACAAAAGUGGGGAAAAAAGGUCUAUGCUCACCUAAAAAACAUGAAUAUUGUGAAUUCACCAUUUCUAUAAGGAAGUUGAAAACUUCAAAAUUUUAUCAACAAAUUCUCUAAAAUCCUCAAAAUAUAUAGGGCCUGUUUCACAAAGUUUUUUAAAAUUUGUUUUUAUAAAUUGCUUUUAAAAUAUAGAAUAAAUAACAGUUUUUUAGAUUUUUUGAAAAAUAAGAGUGUUUGGUAAGAUGUUUUUUUUUUUUUUUUUUUUUUUAAGAAUUAAAUAAAAAAUAAAAAAAUUGUUUAGAUAAAAGAAUUUGUAUUGUUUUUAAAAACAAUGUCUUACUUUUAUGUUAUAAAAAUUUUAUUAAUUUAAUUUAUAAUAAUAUGAAAUGAAAUUCAAGUUAAGUCUUAUUAAAAAAUACAAAUUAAAUCUAUAAUUAUGCAUGAGUUAAAGAUAAAUAUAUAUUUUUUAAAACUAUAAAAUAAAUUUUCUAUUAUAGUGAAACAAAAAUUACUAUAAAAUAAAAAUAAUUUUAAUAUUCAUUUUUAAUACAAGUCAAAUAAGUACUUUAAUUAAUUUUUUUUAUCAUGAUUUCUUAUGUUUUUUUUUUUUUCUAGAAAUUAUUUUAAGUAAUAUAACUAAUUUUUUUUUUAAUGUUUUAUAAAAAUAAGGAUAUUUGGCAAGUUGUUUUUAUAAAAGGAUUUUAAAAAUAAAUGGAUUUUUUUUUUUUUUAAAAAAAGAACAAAAUGAUUUGUUUGAAUAAAUUGUUUUGAUUUUGUAAAAACAUUUUAAAUUCAAUUUAUAUAAUAUUAAUUAAUUAAAUUAAAUUGAAGUUUUAUUGAAAAUAAAAAUAAUUUUGUAAUUAAAAUUAGAUUAAAAAAUAUAUAGGUUUUAAUAAAUCGUAAAUAGUAAUAUUAUAAUAAAAUUAUAAAUUAUAUUUUUAACAUAAAAUAUACUAUUUAUUACAUAUUAAAAAAAAUAUUUUAUUAUAUUAAUAAUUUUAUGGUAUUAAUGAGUUUAUUAUUUAAGUUUUAAAUUAUUUUUAAAAAUUAAUAAAUUUGUUAACAAAUGCAAUGUACUAAAUGUGGUUUAAUUUGGAGUUAAUUUGUUUAGGGAAAAAAAUAAAAAAUAAAAAUCUUAUGUAAAAGAGAAAUAAUAGAGUGUGUGUGUUUUUUUUUAUUAUUUUUAAAAAUCAGUAAAAAGAACUUUUACUUAUUGCCUAAAAAUUAUUCUCUAUUUUAUUUUAUUUUUUAAAUCUAGAAAUAGAUAACAAUAAUAAAAAAAAUUAAAAAAGAAAAAUGUUUUUUAAAACUCAGACUUAUAAUUGCUUUUGUUUCUCAUUCGCACCCCUGGAUUCCUGGAUUCUAAACACAAAAUUAAGUUGAAUCGUCCAUCUAUCUUGUAAGCCAAGAAUUCACAUAGAAGAAAUAAUCGGAAUUUGAUUUGAUAUCAGAUUUAGAGUGGCUCACUACUCAUGCAUUGUCCCACAAUAGUAAUGCUUUGGGCCGAGAUAAACCCAUUUGUGGGCCCAAAUAAAACCCCUGGUUUGAAAACAUCGAUUUUACAGUGGCCCAAAAGAUUAUCUAUGAGGGGAAGAUAACUUGGAAGUCAAGCAAACACAUUUAUCGCUAACUUUUCUCUAAUUAUAAAAUUAUAACUUGGUCUUCUACACGUCUCACUUAAGAGGCGGAGCCACUUGGCACUACCUUUCCAUAUUGUAAAAGGAGAAGAAGCAGAAGGAGAAGAUUCUUAUGCCAUUCCACACACCAUGGCUAGUACUGCUAUGCUGCUUGGCCCGCCGGCUCUCCGCCAUCCUAAUUCUCCCGCCGGCACUGUCUUUGAAGAUGGGGUCAUUCUAACGGAUUCCCUGAUCGUCCGCACCAGUAAUCUGGAGCUUUCUGAAAAACCGCCACUGGAAUCCCUGGCGUAGUGCUCUGUCAGUGGGGAUAUUGCUAUGGAUUGUUUGGAUUCCCAAGCCCACAAUCUUCAUCUUCCCGGGAAACCGCCGAUGGGCUUAACGGAAAACAAGUCUCCGACCUUUUUGUCUUCCGGGAACCCGUGCUUGGACUUCUUCUUCCAUGUGGUUCCCGAUACGUCGUCUGAUGAUCUGAUCCGACGGUUUGAGUUGGCUUGGGAAUUCAAUCCGCUGACGACGUUAAAACUGAUAUGCAACUUGAGAGAGGUGAGAGGCACCGGAAAAUCUGACAAAGAGGGUUUCUACACGGCGGUUCUCUGGCUCCACGACCACCAUCCCAAAACCCUAGCCUGCAAUGCUAGGGUGUUGGCCAGCUUCGGUUAUUUCAAGGAUUUUCUCGAGAUUCUCUACCGGCUUCUGGAGGGCCCUAAAAUUCGAAGAAUCGAAAAGAAAGACUGGCUGGAUCGAAAAGGAAGGAAGAAAAAUUCCCGGAAAAGGAACUCAAUAUUCAAGCGAGAAAAUAGGCCUGGAGUUGAAUUUCCUGUAGAAGAGAAGGAUGUGGAGUAUAUGGUGGAAGAAUUUGUGGAUAAAGAAAAGGCUAGGGUACUGAGAAAGGAGAGAGAACUUGCUCUUGCCAAAAGAGCCCUGCACAAGUAUUCUACUGAUUCUAAUUAUCAGUUCUUACAUGAUCAGAUUUCAGAUUUAUUUGCUGAACUUCUGAAAUCUGAUAUUCAGUAUUUAAACUCCGGUGAGCUUUACAAGAUUAGUCUCGCAUCCAAAUGGUGUCCCACAAUUGAUUCUUCUUAUGAUAAAUCCACCUUGAUAUGUGAAAAUAUUGCUCGAAAGGUUUAUUCUCGCGAGGAAUAUAUAUCCAGAAUACCAAGGAAUUGAGGAGGCUCACUAUGUUAAUAGAGUCAGGGAUAGGUUGAGAAAACAAGUACUUGUUCCAUUACGUAAGGCCCUGGAGUUGCCAGAGGUUUUCAUGUGUUCGAACCAGUGGGGAUCACUUCCCUACAACCGUGUGGCUUCAGUGGCCAUGAAAUCAUACAAGAGCCUCUUCUCAAAACAUGAUACAGAGCGGUUUGGUGUGUAUCUUGAGAAAGUGCAAACUGGGAAGGCUAAGAUUGCAGCUGGUGCAUUACUUCCCCAUGAGAUUAUAGCUUCAUUGAAUGAGGAGGAUGGCGAGAAAGUUGCAGAGCUUCAGUGGGCGAGAAUGGUGGAAGAUUUAUCAAAGAAUGGGAGGCUCACAAAUUGCAGUGCGGUAUGUGACGUAUCAGGAAGUAUGAGUGGAACUCCAAUGAAGGUGUGUGUGGCUCUGGGGCUGUUAGUUUCAGAGCUCAGUGAAGAUCCAUGGAAAGGUAAUGUAAUUACUUUCAGUGCAAGUCCUGAGCUUCACAAGAUCCAAGGAGACAGCCUUGUAUCCAAGACUGAAUUUGUGAGGAUGAUGGAAUGGGGUGCGAACACUGAUUUUCAGAAAGUUUUUGACAGAAUCUUACAAGUAGCAGUGGAGGGAAAUCUGAGUGAAGAUCAAAUGAUAAAGAGGGUUUUCGUUUUCACUGAUAUGGAGUUUGAUGAAGCUUGUGGGAGGUAUAACUAUUGUGAAUAUGACUAUGAUAUGGAGGAAAUUGAUGAGAGUCAGAAGGCAUCUCAGAAGUGGGAGACAGAUUAUGAAGUGAUACAGCGGAAAUUCCAGGACAAAGGAUAUGGAAAAGUUCCGGAGAUAGUGUUUUGGAACCUUAGAAACUCAUCAGAGACUCCAGUGAUGGCCACAGAGAACGGGGUGGCCUUAGUAAGCGGGUUUUCGAAGAAUCUGUUAGACCUUGUUUUUGGAAGGAGGUGGAAUUCUGACCCCUCAGGAUGUGAUGGAAUUAGCCAUCUCUGGUGAAGAUUACAAGAAACUUGUUCUAUUUGAUUAAGAUAUCAAGAGAUUUAUCAAUAAUAAUAUGUUUUUUUUUUUCUAUGUGAAAUACAUGUAAUAUUAACUAUGGAGUUAUCAAAGUUCUGGAAAUUUAAUUAUUUCUUCUUUUCAAGUUUUGUUUGUCUUUGUUAGGAAUUCCCCUUGGGCGGACCCAGCUGGGGACUUGGAUUGAGGAAGUAAGGAGGCGAAAUUGUGUUCUUCUAUGGACAGAGAAAAAAGAUAAAAAUAAAAAAUAAAAAAGGAGGUUAUUUGCAUUUGGAUGUCAUGUGGUUUCAGGGUACAACUACAAGUUCGAAAUUGUACAUAAUGUGAAAAUUCCUGUGUGGAGAACAGCAUAAAUAUGUAUCUCAGUGUGUUUUGUUUGAGCUAAUUGGCAAAUUCGCUUUAAACAUGGUCACAUGGAUGCAUAUUUAUUUGUGAAAUGAUAGUAGUCGAUUACUUGGUCAGUAAGGUUUGUAUCUCUAACUCCAACAUCUUAUUGUAGUCUUUUAAAAUGUCAAAAGUUUAAUGCUAGCUUGAGAAAUUUUGGAAUGGAGACAUUCUAAACAAAGUUAAUAAUCCAUGAGACUUGGUAAAACCGAUCAGAUGAUGCUUACGUACAUGAAUGCCUUCUUUAAGCCGUAUCCUAUUUUCAUUGAAUGAGACGUGCCAUCUAGUUUUGUUCUUGUCUUGAUUGGAUCAUGAUCCCGGGAAUUGAUUACUGUUCUGAAUUUGCGAAUGUUCAAGGUAUUAGAGAAAGUUAAUAUUAUCGUUAAUUUACAUAUUAGUAUUUAUCUAGUUAUUAUAUAUUAGUUUGAAUUAUAAUAUAAUAUAGAAUUUGAAUCAAGUUUACUAUUAGUUUGAAUUACAAUAGGAAAUAAAGUUUGAAUUAUAGUAUAACUCAAAUAUAUUUGUAUAUAAAUAUCCAUCUUUAUCAAUGAGAAUAGUAAACCAUAUUUUUCUCUAUCUUCUUCUUUCUCUAUAUAUAUGGUAUCAAAGCCUCCAAAUCCUAAACCUAGUCUCAACUUAGAGCAAAUUUAGGGUGCAGGGUUUAGGCCCCGCCUCCCCCAACCCUUACCACAAAUGGUAGUGACCUUGUUAUGCCUAUGUAUUGUCAAUGCCUCAUUUUCUAUGGUCUUCAAUACAAUAUCUAGUUUCAAUGUCUCUUUCCUUACUAUCUCCAAUGCAAUAUAUUGAUUUCAAUAUCUCUUUACAACCAAGAGCUCCAAAUUUUCCUGGUUCAAAUCUACCAUAAUUUUUAUUCUCCUUUGCUUUUUACCAAUAUUAGUUCCCCUAAUUUAAUAUAUAUCUCUUUAUUACCUUCAACUCUACCUCUCUCUUUCUUUAAAAGCUUCCUCAAAGAUUUGAUUGCUUUCUUGCAUGUUUUGGGAAAACAAACAUGCUCAUAUUCUAUUACCUCUACUUGAGAUCUGCCUUAUACUCUACCUUCUUCUUUACCUCCUAUAUCAUCUACUACAUUAGCUUCAAAAACAUUAUUUAGUUUGAUGCUAAAUAAGGCUCCUAAUCCUACCCUUCCUUCAACUAACUUUCUUUUACAAGUCCCUCAAAGUUUUUUUUUUUUUUUUUUUGGAAAUUUGGCUUAGAAAGAUUUCAUUACUCUUACCUAAUCUUUCAACCAUCAAGUCGAAUCCACUUAUCUCUUGAAUCCAAGGAGACUACCCUCCACAAAAACAAGGAGAUUGACCCCCACAAUAACAAAGAGAUUGUCCUCCAUAGAAACAAAGAGAGCUUCCUUCAUGGAAGCCGAAUACAUCGCAAUCUAUUUUCUUUCUCUCAAGAUCAAAUCUCCAAUCGGAGCUCCAUCUUGUGGGGAUAUAUUAGAAAAAGUUAAUAUUAUCCUUAAUUUACAUAUUAGUAUUUAUCUAUAUUAUAUAUUGAAUUAGAAUAGAAUAUAGAAUUUGAAUUAAGUUUACUAUUAGUUUAAAUUACAAUAGGAAAUAGAGUUUGAAUUAUAGUAGAACUCAAAUAUAUUUAUAUAUAAAUAUCCAUCAUUAUCAAUGAGAAUAGUAUUCCAUAUUUUUCUCUUUCCCUGAGGCUUCAGAAUGUGAUCUUGAACAUUUGAUCUUUUGGAUUCUUCUUGUUUCGGUGGUUUAAUAUAAUGGAAUGUUUAAUUAUAGCCUACUUUAUCACCAUGGAUGUGCUCCUGCAGAUUUCUUGAGGGUGAUGGUUAUUUUGUCAUGUUUCUUGAAUGGUUUGCAUCAGCUGCCUGAGCUGUUGUUGCUGGUCACUUUUGCAACCAGGGAAAGAAUCAUGGCUUUGGAGAAGCCAGCUUCUGUUUUUGUUGCCCAGCUGUUAGUUCACUAAGAUUGGGGGUCCUAACAUGUAUGUAUAAUCAUAAGCAAGGAAAUUUUAUGUCUUACGCUAGAUAGGUACCAUGAUAUGAUGUUUGAUUGAUUUAUUAACUCUACCUGUUUCAAAAGGCAUCAACAUUAAUUUUACCCUUUUAACACAUUGGAUUGUUUGACCUUACGAGAUUUUCUAUUUCUGUACUAUUUGAACUGCAAUCGUUAUGGUCCUUAGGUCUCUAAACCUUCGUUUAAAAUAAAAGUAAGGAGCACACAUAGUAAAAGUUAAUUUUGGGUAACUUUUAAAACAAAGAGAAAAGUAAAAGUUGUUUUUGAGAAAAACAUAUAGAAAUUGAAAGAUUUUUUAUUUUGAGAAAAAAAAGUCAUAGAAAAGAAAUAAUAUCCCCAUAUAAGUAGAUAUGAUCUAUCCGAAGUGUAGCUACUCUCCUGGAUUUAUUCUAACAUUUUAAAAUUUUUCUCAAUGGGCAAAGGAAUAUCAAAUCAAGCUUGAGUAGGAUUAAUUUCUUAAUUUUUAAAAUAACUUAUAAUUAAAAUUUUUUGGUGUUUUCUUUUUUGGACAAUUUUUUAUGAAGACUCUGAAUCAUGCAAGAGAUAUGGUUAUUUUAAAAAAAAAAAUAAUUUAAAACUCAAAUACAUAAUCAAUGUCACAAAUUUAUAAACAAAAGGUUUUUAAAAAAUACUAUUAUUUCCCCUCUACACAUAAUUUUACUUUUCCGAUUUAUUUAUUUUUGUUGGAAAACAGUCUUCAAAUCAAGUAAAAUUAAUAUGUUAAAUUUGUUAAACAAAUAAAUUUUAAAAUACAAUUUGGAACUCAAAAAUCAAUUCAAGUAAUGCUAAAAUUCAAAAAAUCAAAUUUGGAAUAAAAUGACUUUGUAAAUUUUUUUACUAAACAAAUGAAUUUUAAAUCAAGUGAGAUUUAAUACAUUGGAUUUUUAUGAGAAUAGUAAUUUUAAAAAUUAAUUUGGAACUCAAAAAUAGACACAAUAAAUACCAAAAAUCAAUGAACCAAAAUUGGUUUGGAAUAACUCCAUAAUUUUUUAUUUAUUUAUAUAUUUAUUUUUUUGUGCACACGAAUUUCUUACUAAGCAUAUUGCUUCCAAAUUGAGAAAAAUUUACUAUUUAGAUUUUUUUAAUGAGUUUAAUGGUAUUUAAAAAUAAUUCAAAAAUUCGAAAAUUGACUAAUUUAAUAUUAUAAAUUCAUAAACCAAGACUAAUUCAAAAUGCAUUGGGGGCUAAGGGGGUUGAAAUUAAUGCUCCAUUUGGUUGUGGCCACCAAUUGGCAAUGGCCACCAAUCAACCAAUCAAGGUGGCUAAGGGGGUUGAAAAUAGGGACAAUGGGGUGGGUUUGGGACAGGACACUCAUAUCCCAUUCCCAUCCCAAUUACACAGUUAUUUCCCAUCCUUAUUCCAAACUUGUGUUGGGGCAAGUUGAUUUGUUCCCAUCUUUGUUAACGAAAUGACUAAUAACCUCAUCCUCUCCUUGUCUUAGAUGUACAUUUUCUCAAAUUUGGUCAGGUAUGAUUGAUUCAAGCCCUAACCUUAAUUGGUAAUGAGUGGAUACCACACCUAAUUGCAUUCUUCUUUCGUUGCAAAAUAAUGAGAUUAUAAUAAUCUAGCAAAUAAGAAAAAAUAGUAUGGAAGUUCAAAUUAACACCAUAACUAUCAAUAAUUUUAAGCUUAUAGAUGACUUAAAUGAUUGAAAACUAAUGCAAAAUACUAAAAAAAAAAAAAAUCAUCUAAAGAAUUCACAAGAGAAUAGAACGAACAAAACCAAAUAGGAACAUGGGUCAACAUUAGUUACAGAUUUUGAUCCCUUUCAAGGCCAAUCUUUGAACCAAGACUUCAUCAAAUCUACUACUUCAAAGGCUUUUGUGUUCUUCUUGAGUUGUACUCUGGAACAAAGACUUCGAGGUGAUGCUUUAGAUGAUUGCAUUACACAUAUUUAGGGUAGGGAGAUUGGAGAAGCUUGAAGAUGCCAACGAUGGGUACAAUUGAGUGGUCAAUAAGAACAAUGUGGCCUAUGACUAGUUUGAUGUCAUGGUAUAGGAGUUUUGGGCAUUGAGGUGAAAGCAAGAGCAACAUGGAAUUGAUUUCAAAGUCUUUCAAUUAGUGUAAAGGAGGAAGAAGAAGUGGUAUUGAUCCUAGAAAUAGUGUUUUAGGUGUUGCAUUAGAGGAAAAGAAAAAGAAAAAGAAGGAACCAUUGGAAUUAGUACGAGUGUGAAGAGAGAAGUGUAUACAUAAGGGGAAGUAAAAGCAAAGUUCUAAAAAUUUAUUUUUUUAUUGGUGGUGUAUGGUUGCAUGAUUAUCCCUAUAAAUAAUAGGAGUUUUUUGGUGUUCUACUAGUAGUUGAAGGAUAAUUUCAUAAGAUAAUAUUUAGAGCGGGGUGGGGUGAGUUGUGACAAAAUCCAUACCCGUCCCAAACAUUGGUUCAGGUUUUUAAAAUAUUUUCAAACUUAUCAUAUACCCAAUUUUAUAUUUCAUACUUGUCCUAAUAGAGACAGGUUAGUCAGGGUUACUUGAGUAGCCUACAAAACUAUCAUCCCUAGUUGAAAUGCUCUUUUUGGCAGUGGCAGCUAGAAGCUCGAUCGAUUGACCUACAAGACUAGUUGUCAUCAUUUUAAAAAGAGUUUUGGCUUUGGUUGUGAGUGCAAUUGAAUCUAAACUAACAUUUCCUUAAUGCAUCUACUUCAAUCCUAAACUUCUUACUUAAGCCUCAAUUGUUGUUAAGAUUUUGGAAAACCCAUUUCCUUAAAUUGUAAAUUUAAGAAAAAAAAAAUUAAAAGUGAGACAUUUCUUGAUUGAAUGUUGUUAAAGGUCCCUUGGAAUUAAGACUUGGUUGAAGCCUUGGAAGAUUAGCAGAACUCUCAACUUAUGUUUGAACCUUGAGGAGAGUGGACGUAGGCCAAAAUUUUGUCAAACCAUUAUACAAAUUGAGUUUGAAUUCUCAUUUCUUGAUUUCUUAUUUAUUUGCUUUUUCUUAUUAUUACUUGAAUUGUCAUUUGCAUUCAUUAAUGUUAAAAUUGGUUAUAAUUAGCCAACACUAAUUCUCUUUCCCCUUCCCUUAAUUUCUUGGGUGUAAACCUAGGUUGGAUUAACUAGAUUUUAUCAAAUCUAUUAAGAUGGUAAAAGAAUAAUUAUUCUUAACAUACAUAAGAUCAUCUUCAAUCAAAUGACUCAUUGGCUGAUAUGUUGAAUUUGCUUAUUACUUGCAACUCAAAAUUGUGUUCUAGUUGAUAUGUCAAGUCCUGAGUGUAUGGACAUUAAAUUUGUAGUACGUGAUGAGUAUUUAGAUGGUCCAAUUCCAAGAAAGUGAUUGAAAACUAGUUCAAGAAAGGUGCAAAAGGGAAUUGUUUUGGUAUUUUCGUUUUUAUUCUUGAAGGUGGCAGAGCUAAAAUUUGAGAAAUCAAGCAAAACAUACUGAAAUUACAUUGAAAGAAAGAAAAUGGGAGUUAAUGUCUUGCAGUACAUGAUAAGGACUUCAUGCAUGUAGUGUGACCCAUGUCUUGGACUGAUGCCACACUCACGGUUACACUUAUACCCUUAGUUCUCUCUUUACUACCUUAGCUAACCUAGAUCAGGUUAUGAGAUAGGCACCUCACCACACCAUUACUUGCCCAUUAAUUAGUGACAUUUUCAAGCAAUGAGGUAACAUGGUGACACCAAGAGGGUAUAUUCCUCACCCCCAACAAGCCUAGACCUGGUCUAAAAAAAAUGGAGAAAAAUGACGUGUUGUUAUGCAGAAAUAUAGCAACCAUGCCUUCCUCAUUACUUAGAUUCAGAAUGUGAAGGUGAAAUUGAGAAACAGAAACUCUUGAAACCAAAAUGAAAAUUGAUACUUUUACGAAGAAUUACAACAACAUUAGAGGAAGACUACAUUCUUCCUCUUUAUUCCUACAUUUCUACACUACUUCUACUCCACUCCAUAUUUCUACAUACAUCUUUAAUCAGUCUUCCCUCCUUUAUAUAGAGCCAUCUUCACACAAAUUCCGCAAGGUAGAAAAGAGGAAUGAAACUUGGAGCAAGGUUCGACUACUGGCUGUAGCUUGUCAAGGCUGAAAGUGAACUUUUUUUCUUGGCUUUUCUGGGCAUAGGUAGUAACUUGUAGGUUCCUUUUUGGAAUGAAAAUGGUACGGCUAGAACAUGUGGCACUCUCUUGUUGGAUGAUGUGUCAAGCAUGUGGCAGCCAUCUAGUGGAGAUUAUGUCAAUUUUGGGAUGGAGAGUUGGCAUCCAAUUGCAAAGAAAUAUGACAUCUACCAACAUGCAAUGUCAACCUAUGUAGAUCAUAUGAAGAUAGAGAGGAAAAAUAUAGAAAUGGAUAUAUAACUAGAACUAGCUUUUUAUUAAAUGAGACGGAGAGCCAACAAUGAAGGAAAAUCAAAAUUUUUGGCUCAUAUCAAAGAAUUCACAUUGUGUUACCCUAGGUUUUCUUAAAACUUACUUUUAUGAUAAUAAAAAAUCAUUAUUGUUUAAUCCUUUGUUUUAAACGCAUGUUUAGCAGGUUGUAAAAUGUAAAUAUCUUUCGAAAUUCAAAUAUGAAGAUAUGACAUCAUUUCAAGCAAUAUAGUCUCUAGGAAUUAAUGUAAAGCUAAAUUAAGGUGCAAUUAAGUUAGUUCAAUGCAUUAUUUUAAGAAACUUGACCUAUCAAAACCUUGUCUUACUUCAAAGCCUCUUUUUCUUUUCUUCCAACUAACAUUUUAAUAAGUGAUCGCAAAAGUACAAAAUUAGAUGAAAUCCAUUUCAAUGGUUAAAAUGAUCAAAUUCAAACUUUUUCUAAGUAUCUUUUAAAAGCAUCAAUAUUGAAAGACAAUUUUAUAUUUAGUCAAAGCUUGGACAGAGCCAAAAAGCACACAAAAAUUUAUAUUUUCUAGCUCUCUACCUUGGAUGGUCUCUUGAUCCUACUUGGAGAUGUGCAUAAAUAAAAGGAUUUGAAAAUGACAAUUGACUAAGUAUGUAGUCAAUCAAUUACUCAUUGAUUGACUAGUUGAUCAAUUAACUUUGCAACAUCAUAUGCAAUCCUAAUAGCUAGUCAUCUAAUCAACUAGGUAGUAAAUCAAUAGGCCAAAAAUAUGUUUAUAAUGACUAUUUUGUACAAAAACCACUUAUAUAGUUAAAUAUAAUGCAUUUCAUUUAUAAAUCUUCUAAUUCUUGAAUAACAAUCCUAUCAUCCUUUGAAAGUUUUUAUUACACCUUUUCUACAUUUGUUCUAAAACUUAUACAUCACCCUUAAUUGUACCAUGAGAACCUAGCAUUUUUUUUUUUUUUUUUGUAUUUCAUCAAAGUUAGCUCUUGUACUCAUUGUUGUAUUAUUUUUAUUGUAACUUAGAGAGCGAGUGUUUUCAAGUGAGUGAAAUUGACUUGUAAAUAUUGUAAAGAUUCAUUGAUAUGUAUCUCAAACUAGGUGUACAAGUUGAAACAUUUGCUAGUAGAUUUUCUCAAGAUUUAGAAUGAGCUUAAGGCUAUCGAAUUAGGUGGGGUUGCGCCAAACCAUAUCACAUCGUUGUUUGCACCUUUUUUUUCACUCUCUUUUACUUAGUUGCUCUAUAUAUAUUGUCUAGCAAUAUCCUAAAGGCUUGAUGGGCUAGGGAGCAUCCCUCUGAAUGAAAAAUUUUCAUUCAAUUCUUAGUUGUAUUACGCAUAUAUAAAAUGCCUCAUUGUUUUAAUGGUAUUCAGUCGUGGCACCACAGAUAUGGACAUCUAAAUUUUAAAAGUUUGAAACUUUUAGCUAAAGAAAAUAUGGUGCUUUGCCUUUUUGGAAAGCAUGUUGAUGAAAUCCAUGAGAAUUGUAUACUUGGAGAGCAACAUCGAGAUAACUUUUUUUUUUUCUUUUUUUAUAAUGCAUUGUUUGUCCAAAUUCCGUACAAAUUAGGCCACCACAUGUUCAUAAUUCUCCCUUCUUGAAUUUGAAAACUCGGACAAUUUGACAAUGCGACACCUAAGUCCGGUUUUUAAAUGCUAAAGUGAAAGGGCAGGUAUGGACCAUUGAAAUGUGAUAACAACUUUUGGCCUUUUCCUUUUCUCUGUAGCCAUGUUGUCUCUUUUUAAUUUCUUUUGCAUGAUUUUCUUACCUAAACAGAAUCAUAGACUUGUUUAAUCUCUAAGUGGGAUUUCAUCCACCUUAAGCUACUGUAUUAUAUCUCGGUGGAGGACAACCGACAUAGAGCACAUGCAAGUGGGUAUAUGGGACAUGAAAUAUCUUCUUAUAAAGCUUGUUUUGCAGUUAAAUUAAUUGGAUAAGUAGACACUGGCGUUUCUAAAUUUCCCACCUAAGAUAAUGACCUUAUCCUUGACUGCUAGAUACACAAACAAUUAUACCUUCAAAAUCUACUGUGAAGUGCUUCAUGUAUGUGUGAAGUAUUAGAAAUUUCUUUCUUGGCAACUUGUUUUUUUCUUUGCGGUCUACUGAUAGGUUUGACUAAAAUUAUAUUCCCUGUCCUGCUAAUUAAUUUUCACGUGCAUGCUCAAAAGAAGAGUAUGACCUUAGUGCACCAAAAUCACUUUCAAUAAUUUGUGAUAAGUUUUUUUGCAUGACAUUAACCUUAUUCAUUUAGAUAAUGUUUAGUUCUCAUAAAUAUUAAGAAAAUGAAAAUAAAUAUUAAGAAAAAUAUUCUUAUAUUUGAUUGUAUUAUGAAAAAUAUCAUAAAAAAUCAAAUAUAAUUAAAAUUAAUUAAUAAUUUAUAUAUUUUAAAAUUAUUUAAUUUUUAUAUUAAAGAUAUAAUAUAAAUGAAAUGAGUUUUAAGUAUUAUAUAAAAAUGAUUUAUUUAUUUAUUUAUAUAUAUAUAUAUAUAUAUAUUUAGUUUUUCUCUUUAUUUUAUUUUCCUUAUGUUUUCCUCACAUUUUCCGGAAUCAAAGAUAGGGAAAUCCACAAUUACCUUCAACUGAGUAGAUUCUAUUGUUUUAGCAAUGUUAGGCUGCUAACUUGUGGUGGUACGAACCAAAUGAUCCAUGUUAAUCUUGGCUUGAUUUAAUUUGGCUCUAUCUCAGAGAACUCAAGGAUCACGUCAACUCUGGUUUCUACUAUUCAGGUCCAUUCCCAGAUGAACUGGUUCAAAUUUGAGAAAAUGGUAACAGACCUUUAGUGAUAUUGGUUUGGAGCCAGUUGCCAAACCUGCCCUGAGCUUUACCACUAAUGUCAAGGGACAAAGCCAUUUGAACAAAAACAAUAGCUUCAAGAGACUGAAUCGUGGAUGAAAUCUGAUCCACAUUUCUUCUCAUUUUGGGAAAAAAUGAGGACUUAACCACAAAGAUUCUACUGCCUCAUAGUGCUUUUCCUGAUCUAAGGUUGGCUCGUUUCCCAAAUUGUGAGGUGCACGUGCCACUCUCACGCUCAGGAGUGUAUCCACGUGGUGGACAUAAGAUGGUGGCUUAAUAUCUGGUGUCGGUGGCUUUACUUUACUAGGAGAGUAGUGUGUCUUCAUCUCAUUCACUGCCAGAGGGUGGCGUAAGCAGUGACGCUAAGGUGGGGCACAGUCAAUAUCAUUUGCAUUUGACCAUUAUAAUUUUCUCCCGGCUUUAAAGUAACCUUAUCGUGAUAAUGGAUUACUAGCACUAGUUCAGAUGACAGUCAUGUUAAAUUCGGACCAUGUUUGUGUCACAUUAUCAGCAACCAUGUGCUUGUGGUUCAUGCUAUCUGCAACUAAACUUGAUAUAUAACCAGGUGAACUUCAAUCUAAAUUCUGGAAGUACUCAUGUGAUAGAUGGUGCCUGUCUGCAGUGAGUGUAUCUAUAAGAGGGAAGGCUUGGCAAAUGUUCAGUUUUCUGGGAAUUCAACAGGGAUCUAAAAUAGAUUGUUUUCUUUGCUGAUUUCAAUGGUUGAAAUUUGAGAAGAUUGUGUCCACAUAACACAACUAUUACUGGUCCUUCUGUUGCAAUUUAUCCUCUAAGGCUCUAACAUGUCUUCCAAUUCCCACUUCCCACUUCCCUGUUACUCCAGGAAAGCUGUUUCUGUCAUUGUGAAGAAGAAAAGAGACUGUACAUAUCGAUGCUUUUAAGUGGACUGGAGAAUUCAUAUCAGGUGGUCUGCAGCCAUACAUGCCACUUUGUGAAGGUUGGAACAGUCAAUCACUAGGCUAUAUUAGUGGGGCCCAGCCACUUCAAUCAAGGACAAGUCUUCAUACUUAAAGUCAAAUUCUGCCUUUAGUCUCAUUAUAAAUUGCUGUUUAAAUAUCAAGCAAACAUUUGUUUAAUGCGAUUAAGACAGCACUAACUCAAUACUUGUUCUAUUUUUGGAUGCAAAUGCUUGAUAGUUUCAUCAUUGGAGGGGAUAAAGGUGCAUUCAUGAUUAUGAAUACUUGUAGUUAUAUUUUCAUUCUCUUUUUUCUCAAUGGGACUUGUUGGCACAAUUUUGCUGUUCAGAAACCUACCUCUCCAUGGAAAAUCAGUUGUGAUUGAUAUUACUGGAUAUAUUCAAGAAAGCUAAAUGUAGAUAGCACAAAAUAUUAUCGACAUAAAUAGCAUUAACAGCGUACGUAUGUCUCAAUGCUCAUCAGCUAUAAGCAAGGGGCAAACACUUACUAUGAGCAACUUACGUCAAAAUUCCGGAAUAGGACAUAGAAGUGACAGGUCAGUAAAUAUAGAACACUGCAUAUGAGUCACAAGAAAGGAAAUUACGGGUACAUAGCAGCUCUUAUUUUACAUCCUACUCAUACUGAUCAAAGUCACUCAGUUGGGAUGGGUGGGAGUGGGAGGUUUGUGGGGUGGCUUGUGCGGAGGAGUUGGCAGCUUCUUUCCAGGACCUGGUUGCUUCUCUGCUGGAGUUGAAGGAGGCUUAAUCUUCCGAGGUGGCUUGUAUGAGUCUUCAGCAUUCUCAGCAGGAGGGUGACCAGGGUUGUGACCACAAUGUGGUGGCUUCUCUCCCUUAGGUGGUUUGCCAACUGGGGUUGGUGGCUUGUGUUCCGGAAGUGGCUUCUCUUUGUGUUCAGGAGGUGGCUUCUCCACUGGAGGCUUGUGUUCAGGAGGUGGCUUCUCCACCGGAGGCUUGUGUUCAGGAGGUGGCUUCUCCACCGGAGGCUUGUGUUCAGGAGGUGGCUUCUCCACCGGAGGCUUAUGCUCUGGUGGUGGCUUCUCCACCGGAGGCUUAUGCUCUGGUGGUGGCUUCUCCACCGGAGGCUUAUGCAAUGGUGGUGGCUUCUCCACCGGAGGCUUGUGUUCAGGAGGUGGCUUCUCUACCGGAGGCUUAUGCUCUGGUGGUGGCUUCUCCACCGGAGGCUUAUGCUCUGGUGGUGGCUUCUCCACCGGAGGCUUGUGUUCAGGAGGUGGCUUCUCCACCGGAGGCUUGUGUUCAGGAGGUGGCUUCUCCACCGGAGGCUUGUGCUCUGGUGGUGGCUUCUCCACCGGAGGCUUAUGCUCUGGUGGUGGCUUCUCCACCGGAGGCUUGUGUUCAGGAGGUGGCUUCUCCACCGGAGGCUUAUGCUCUGGUGGUGGCUUCUCCACCGGAGGCUUGUGUUCAGGAGGUGGCUUCUCCACCGGAGGCUUAUGCUCUGGUGGUGGCUUCUCCACAGGAGGCUUGUGUUCAGGAGGUGGCUUCUCCACCGGAGGCUUAUGCUCUGGUGGUGGCUUCUCGAAUGGGGGAUGCGUAGGGUAAUCAGCUAGUGAGGGGGCGGUGAGAACCACCAGGCCAAGCAACACUACUAGCAAGUAUGUAGGAGACAUCUUUGGGUUUGGGCUCAGAUGGUGCAAAACUAGGAGAAUUGGCUAGCCUUUUAUAGCGGAUCGUACCCAAUAAUGAAAUGACACGUGUCAUUAUGACCCAUGUGUCAUGUGGUCGAUUUGGGUCCUACAGUGUUGAAAACUUCGACAUCCACUUUUUUGGCCUUUUGCUUUCUCUACAGUCGCCUUGCUUUUUCCCUCUUUUCUUUUGUUUUCCUCCUGCCCCAUUCUAUCAACUAAUCACAAUUAUGUAGUUGUUUAAUUCUUAAAUGAGAUAUUAUCCGUCAAUCAUAUUAUCUUUUAUCAAGAGAGAACGGAGUGAAAAGUGGCAAUCCAAAGAAAGAAGAUCCAUAAUGCAGCUGUAAUUUUAUCGUUUACUUUUAUCUCUAGGACCACUGCAUUUUUGUUGAGAGGUGCAAUAAUACACGUCUUUAUCUGCCAUUCAAUGUUUACAGUAAAGAGAGGGCACAAAACUCUUCACUGCUCUGCAUGUGCCCCAAAAAUGCAAUUGGACAAAUUAUGAUUUGCAUGCUAAAAAGAGGCAAAUGAGGUUAAUUAGCACCAAAAUUAUUUUGUUUUCUGGACACCCCGGGGCCCUUUGGUUGGUUUGGGGGUCAGAAAAUGAACAUCAUAGGGGGUUUUUCCCUAAUGUGCAUUUGCAUUUGUAUCUGAUGGCUUUAACUCGCCUUGUUACUACAAAGAAAUUGUCACAGAUAGGAACUUAUUCCAGGCUGAGUAUCUCCGCAUGGACCCUAUAAAAGAAGACAAGUCAUAAUGAACAUCUAACCUUUGUUCAAUUUGAUUCAAUGCCCCUAUUGUGUCCAUCUCACAAAUCUGAAUUAUUAUAUCCAUUGAAUACAUAAAUUAAUGAAGAAAAUAUGAAACCCAAGAUACAUCUCUGCACAACCUCAACCCUGGUUGCUAUGUUUCACUUCUAUUCACAUGAGGAUAUUGAUUACGGAAUAAGGAAACCUAGCAAGGGUUUACUCGGCUCUGGUUUGAUGCUAAUUGCCAAACUUGCAACAAGCCCUGAGUUUGACACCUAAUCGAUGGGCGAAUUAAAAGUCUCCUCCAAACAUAUAUUCCACAGCUUGAAGCUCACAGAAGAUGCUAUACAGGCAGGGAAAAACCUUCAGAGUUAGCUACCAAAGAUAAUUAUCAAGGAGAUAUCACCAAGAGAAUUCCAUGGAGUCUGAAUCAAAGACAAAUUGCUCGCUCGUGGGGGUUCUUACUUAAUUUCUUUUGGGUAUAACUCACUGAGGGCACUGGCUUUGUUAUUUGCAUUUCGCAUUUAGAGUUCUGUUCUGGAAGGUUUGUUCUGGAAACAUAUAAAAGGAGCAUCAUUUUGUUCUAGGGUAACCCAUAGUUGUGAGUGGGUCCAUUUGCAUGCUACUUAGUUGAAAAGUUGGACAAUUUGCUCCGACGCCUACCUCCUGGAUUCCAUGCUCGGAUAAAGCAAGAAUAAUAAAAUAUUUAUAAUUUACAAAUGGGGGAAAGAAAAAAAUGUCAACAACAAACUAGGAAAAAAGAGUAGUAAAAUUUAUGCCACAUGCUAUUGAUAGAAGGGGCAUGUAUUAGAUCCAUCACCAUUUGGUAAGAUUUUAGUAUUAUAUUUUUCAAGGUUCAUUAUUUGAGGGUGUGUUCUUCAUCUCUGUUGCAUUGCUUCUUACUAGGCCCACUGAGGUGGGUUCUUCACCUUUUGUAUAUUCUCUGCACUAGAUCAAUGAGAAAGGGGGAAUUUUGGUGAAUUUGCAGCCGUUGGAUGAUUGAUUCUAGGCUCAGUCCACCAAUGAUGCUCUCUUCACUCUUUCUCAUCUAGUGUCAUUCACAACUAUGUUUUGAUUCAUAUUUGUACUAUCAAAGAUAUCUCAUUAUUCUAGCUCAUUAGGUAGAGUUCCUAAUCUUCCUCCUUUUUGGUCUAUGGACAGUAUUGGCUUCAUAUUAAGAUCAUGUUUCAAUAAUUGCACAUUAAUGAAUGGAUCAUGACCCACAUAAACAGAGUCAGGGUUGAGUCAGUGAACCCUAAAAUUUCACAAUUCUAAAUUUGGGUUCUUUAACAAUGCAGGGUCAAGGACGCGUGGUGAUGAAGGAAAGCUGGUAAGCUCAGUGUUACUUCAAUUCCUGCCAUGUAGGAUGGUGAGGAGAUAUUCACUAUGCAAUUAAUAAUAGACAAUAUUCACUAUGCAAUAAUAAAGCAUAAAUUAAGUUGAAUGAAAAGCAUUUUCUUUGCAAGGAGUUGAUUUUGGUUUCAUAGUUUGUUCAACUGCUAUUUUGGAUAGGAAAGUGUGAGGAGAAGAAAAUAAAAAAUAAAAAUAAAACAAAAAAUAAAAAAUAGAUUUUAUAAAUUCAUUUAAUUUAUUUUUUUUUUAUAAAAAUUAACUAAUUUAAAAUAUAUGUAAAUUUCUAAUUAAUUUAAUUACAUUUUUUUUUUCAGUUUUUCAUAAUAAACCAAAUAUUAGAAAAUUAUUUUUAUUAAGACACCCAAGAUGAGGUAAUAUGCAAUGAAAACAUGAAUUAUAUUAAAAUUCAAAACAAAUUAAGAGAAAUCGGAAAAUAUACAUAGAUAUCUAAACAAAGAAAUUUAAAGAGAAGGAACCACAAACUUUAUUUACAUAAUUUGAAAAUAAAAAACAUAAAACAUACUUAUAGUAAGGAGAAAUUGAAUAUCUUACAAUGGAAGAAGGGAGAAAAGCUUUGAAGAAAGCUUUUGCUUGGAAGCUUACAUGGUGAGAGGUAGAGAAAGGAGAGAGAGAGAAGAAAAUGAAAAAUGAGAAGUGGAGAAAAUUGGAAGUUUUGUGUGCUUACAACUGAGGAUAGAGCCUCCUUAAAUAGCAAAAAAUGGAAUAUUAAAUAGUACCAAUCAGGAGACAAAAUAUUGUUUGCUUUUGAAACCCGUGCAUGAAUAGUAAUCCCGUGAGUGAAUAGUGAAUAAUAAAAGUGAAUAGUAAAAGUCACUUUCUACUAUAGCACUUUAGACUUUUUCAUCGAGAAUCUUACUUUCGGCUGAGUGAUGAUAGCUGAUAGGUUGCUUUGGAUUGUGGAGUCAUAUGUUUGAUGUUUUCGGUGCUGAAACCGCUUAGUUGGAGAAUAAUCUCGUCAGUAGAGCAUCAUGAGAAGCUUGAAUGGAGAGAGCUUAAUGAUGCCAUAUGAUUGGAAGGAAUCCUAUUUUAAUUUCCUUAUUGGAGGGAGAAUACCCUCACAAUCAUCUUCAUUAUCUUGAAGGUAGUUUGAUAUAGAGUCAUCUGACUCAGCAUAAGAGUCCUCUUGGGAGAAGCUUGAACUGCUUUUGUCAAGGAUUUUCUGAAAUUCUUGAGGGGUUUUUGCUAUUGCUAACAUGGUUUGGAGUUGCUGUUUCUUAAGAAGAAACUGUGCAAUAUCAUAAGAUGAUGAAGCUUGUGUAGGAUGCUUUAGGAAAUAUUGCUUUAUUGCUUGUAGUGAGGUAUCAUUUUUCAAGGCAUCCCACCACUUAGACUUGAAAGUCCUUCCAAGGGUUGGAAAGGCUGCUGAUUCAUCUGCUAUAAUGAUAUAAUCCCACUGGACUAUCCAGGCAAGGCCAAAUUCACUAAAAAAGAAUAAUAAUUGGGGAAAACUGAAAGUUCUCUAGGGAUAACAAAAGAACUUUGGAAUAGCUCAAAGCCAUCCAAAAUGGGUUUUGGGAGAAUUUUAAUAGUUGGACCAAAAUAUGUCCACCAAUUGUGGAACCAAAAUGGAAAAGAGGGGAGUUGAUGCUUAGAUGGGAAAUAGAACAUCCCUGAAUGAUGGAAGUCCUUGUUCUGGAUCAGAAAAGCAUUGAACCAUACUCUUUGGUAGUCUCAAUAAUUGAAAAUUUUAGGUUUUGAAGGCUUAGAAAAUUCUCUUGAAAAAUUAGGAUUCCCACCCCACUGCUUAACUGUAAGGAUUUUAUAAAUAUGGUAAGUGGAGAAUGCCAAAUCCAAAUUGCUGAAUUUAUCAGCAUUGUGCUUGAUUUUAACAGAGCCGGUUUCCAUAAGGAUUGCUUCAUAAAAUUCUCUUGUUUUUAAAAGAUCACCAAAGGGAUAAUGAAAAUUUUCAUGAAAAGCUUUUGCUGCAAUAUCUCUAGGGUUUUUAGAGAAAAACUCUUUUUCAAUAACCAAAAGAGGUUGAUUUAAAUCUUUUUGCCAAUAUCUUGCUUUUGCUGAAAGAGGUGUGGGGUUGGCUACCACCACAAUUUGCUUAUUUGAAAAAGAAGAGCUUGAUGCUAAUUCAUUUUGAGAGGGAUUAGCUUUAGUAACCUGCUUAAAGGUCUGAGACACAGUAAUAGUUGGAUACUGAGUAGCCUUGACUGGUUUAGAAGGAUUCGAAGGAUCAUAGUACAAGGACAAAAUCUUAUUAGGCAUAUGGUCAGAAGAAUGAAGCCUUGCUUCUUCUUCUAGCUCAACUUGUUGGCUCCAAAGUAUUUUAUGGGGAGAAGGUUCUUUGCUGGUUUUAGAAGACUAGGAUUCUGGAAGUUUAGGAGCUUGGGUAUUCUUUUUAGGGGCCAUGGUUUCGUGAAUCCUGUAAAAUUCACAAGUUAAGAAAUCAGGGCUCGAAGAAUGUUCUCCUUUAAUAUACUCAAUUUGUAAAUUAAAAUUGCUUAAAAUAGCUUGAUAUAUAGCAAAAAUAUGCUUAGAAGUUAUAUUCUUAACAUCCUUUUGUAAAACUAAUUUUGCAAAUUUACAAUCAACUCUUAAUAAAAACUUUUGAUUCAAAAGAUCAUCUUGAAAUUUUGAAAUGCAUAAAACAACGCUUAAAGUCUCUUUUUUAAUGAUGUUAUGAAUGAGUUGGGUAGUAUUCCAGGUUCUUGAAGUAUACCUAACUAACAUCUCAAGGUUACCAACACUUUGCUUAAGAAUCCCACCAUAACCUAUGUCUGAGGUAUCGAUCCCAACAAACUCAAAGGUUUCUGGAUUGAUAGAGCCUAAACAUGGUAGGGUCUUGACUUUGGACUUAACAUCAAUAAUGAAAACAAUGGUGAAAACAGAAAACUGGUUAAAGUUUUCAUCCAUUAUAUUCUGGAAUUCUGAGGUGCAUUCUUAAGAUCAAAGGGCAUUAUGAACCAUUCAUAAUGUCCAAGAGAUACCACAAAGGUGGUCUUAUUUGGAAUAGGACACCUAAUCCAACUUAAUGUAUCAUUAAGAGGCAUGUAGUUGACGACUAGUCUAGGUGUUCCUUUUUCUGAUUCAACUUGUUCCUGAACAUAGAAGGUUGAACAACUCCAAAGGGACUUAGACUUCCUUAUCAACUUUUUAUCAAGAAGAUCCCAAAUCUCCUUAUCACAAUAGCUUAACAAACCCUUGUUCAUCUGGAUAGGUCUUGAUUUAGUGGGAAUAUUCUUGUCACUAAAGUCUAGUUCAUAAGGUAAUUCUACCUCAUGUUGUUUCCUAUGCCAAAAUGCAUUAGGAAUGUUAGAGCAAACUUCUUCAACAAUCAGAUUAAUUUCUUGCUCAUGACUUUCCUUAGCUUGAAUCACCUGAUCCCUUAAGGUGUUUAUAUUUUUCUUAUUAGGUGGUUGGCAAAUUCAAAAAUAAUUUCCUUAUCUAAGAGCUUUGUUCUUAUACUUUGGUCAUCUACCCACAUGGGAUAGAUGGAGCUUAAAAAGGGGAUUCCAAGGAGAGCUUUCUCCUUAAGAUCCUUAACUAGAAUGAAGGUUUGCUUGAUGCAAAUGCCUUGGUUAUUUAUGUGAGCAUCUGACAGCUUAUACUCAAUGUCAAGCCUUUUACCAUUAGCUCCAAAGAGAGAUUCUUUGGUUUUCUUACAAAACUUAAUAGGACCUAGACCUUCUUGUAGGCAAUUCAAAGCUGUUCCUGAAUCAAUCAAAGCAACAAUAUCAAUGACAAAUUUACUCUUAAUUACUAUAGUAAGGGAGACUUUCCACCUCUGGAAAAUAACCCUACUAACAGUAUUUAAGUAUCCAUCCGUCUUUUCAUCAUUAGCAUGUGAAGAUUCUAGAACCUCUUCAAGGUUUUCCUAGUUAUCAACAAGAUUUUCUAUAACAAUCCUAUUUAUUUGUUCUUGGAGAUCUGAAAAACCUAAGCUUGUGUAUUGUCUUAAAUCUUUAAUUUCCUUCUUAUACUGUCUUACUUCUUCUUGAAGAUCCUUAAUGGUUACGUCUUUGGUAGACUACUGGUUAAAUCUUCCUAAGAUUUCAUUUAAGUUAUAAGAAUUUACUGUCUUCUUAAUCUCUUGCUUAUCGACAAAUUUCUUAAAAACUUCAUAAAGAUCUUGUUUAGUUUUUUCAUCUUCAACUUUCCUUAAAACAUCUAGGACAAGUUCUUGAUCUUGGCUUAUGACAUUUAUAGUCUUAGGUUGGCAAUCACAAUUAUCCUUAAUGUAUUCUUCUUGGUCACUAGAAGUUUGGCUUGAGAUUUCCUCACCACUACUAUCUAGUUGGUUAAUACCAUUUUCAUUAUCUGAAUCAAUCCUUGAUUCAGACUCUGUGGAAUUUAACAUUACUUUACAAAGCAUAUCUUUUAAGUCUUCUGUGACAUUUAAGUUAUUAAUUUUCUGCUUAACCCUACAAUCUUUCUUAUAGUGGCCUAUCUUACCACACUUAAAACAAACUGGCUUAGAUUGUGAAGGAGCUUCUAGCUUUUUAUGGGCUUCUUUGUUCAUCAUUCUUUGGAUGUGCCUUUGUUUCUUAGUUUCAUUCAUCCUAUAGUUGCCAUGAGUUCCUCUCUUGUUGUGAUAGGACUUUUCCUUACUAGGCUUUGUACUUACUUGUUUCUUACGUUGCUUAGAGGGGGGCUUAGUUUCUUUUUGGUUGAAUCCAAACUAGCUACAAAAUGAACCAAACUCAUUCUUGUAGAUCCUUUGUUCAUUUUUCAUCUGUUGCUUAAGCUUAAAGUCAUUGCACAGUUUAAUUGCUUCUGAUGUGACAAUGCUUAUAAUUUCUCCAUAAGAAAGCUUAUCAUAAGGGAUUUGUCCAUUAAACUGUUCCCUUAUCUUAAUCCUAAUCCUCUCAGAGAAAAGUCUAGGUAGUCCUAAGAUGAAUUUUUCUUUCCAAAAAGACUGGUUAUAGUUUGAUCUUAGUAUGACUUUGGUUAGGAAAACUUCUCUAUACCAUCUAAAGUCAUGAAGCUUGGGACACUUAAGGUUGGUUAAGAGAUCUACAAUCUUAUCCUUAAUCUUUGCAGGAUCUCCAAUGAAGUGCUUUGAAAUUGAAUAGAUUAGAGUAGCCACUACAUCCUCUAUAUCUUGUCCAUCUUCAUCCUUAACCACUUCAUUUUCCUCAUUAAUCCUAUAGGCUUUUAGGAUACCAUUUCUAUCCUCAAAGGUGAGAUAAUUAUCCCACCAACCCUAAAGUUGACCUGUAAACCCAACAACAAUUGUUUGAGCUACAGCAUGGCCUGACAAUCUAUUGUUUAACUUAUAGGUUGUACUAACCAUGGUCAUUUCUUGAAGCUUAGUGAGUAUGUUGUACUCAAUCAUACCAUCUAUGUUCCAUUCAUAGAUAGUGUCACUAGUGUAGGAAGCUUGAGUAUGCUGGUUUCUUUCCUCAUACUACAUAUCAGGAAAAGUUGGUCUAGGGUAGUAAUUCCUAGUUCUUGGUUGUUGAUAAUCCUCAUAACUGUUUGGUUAGGAGGUUCCUUAAAAAUCUUAAUUAGUUCAUCAGCCUCUGCUUCAGAACUAAUUUCUCCUUUAACCAUAUUGAUUCUCUUGUGAGAUGGUUGAGGUGUCUCAGAGACAACAAGGCUAUCCUUAACCUUUUGGCUUAUCCUAUCAAUGAGGGCUUGAUCAAUAUGGAGAUUCUCUAGGAAUUUCUUAGAGAAUUCAAAAGGCUUAAAUAAAGACUUAUUAUCUUUCUUAACAAACGUAGUCUUAAUGUAGUCUUGUGUUUCAAUGAUAUCCUCAAACUUGUUGAGUUGAUCGCCUGUAGUCUUAAGAAACAUGUUAGUGUAGUUGUUUUGUUCCAUGAUUCUUCUAACGUCAACAACACUAUCAAUUCCUUUAUUCUUUGGCCUAGUCUUAAAAGGUGAAGCUUUGACUAUGGUUCAAUUAAUGUUCUUUUAUAUCUUAGCUUCUAGAGGGUGGAUGGAUUCUAUGAUAGUAUCGUCACUAGUUUUCCAUAUCUUAGUUUUUUUGGAUGUGUCAUUGACACGCUUACUAGGGUAAUCUAGAUAUUCCUCUUGUUUGAAGAGUUCAAACCAGAUCCAAUACUUAAUGUUCUUCUUUUCUUGUCUUAAGUAUGUGUAGAAUUCUUCUUGGUAGAGGGUUCUAAUGUCUUUAAGGACCUUGCUAAAGAACCAAACUCUCCUUUUCUUAUUGACUUCAGAAUAGAAGUCUUUCCUUAAGAGGUCCUUGUUGAUUCAAAGUCUUCGUUAAUUAGGCUUACAGUGUUAAUCAACUGAGAAUAAGUAGGAGACAUAUCAGGAGAUUCGUCCUGAUGUGAUUCUUGAGUAAACUCAUUUUCCUCCAUGUAAAAGGGUUUGGCCACGUUGGUGUGACUUCUAACACCUGUUAGCUUAAUAUUCUUAGGAUUUGCUGAACUAGAUCCUUCCUCUAUCCUAGUGGUUCUUAUUGGGAUAGAUGAACUUGAAGCUCUAGAGGGCUCAUAAUAUGAAAUUCUAAGGCUGCUAGAAUGAUGAAAAGAGUUGGAGAAAAUUAGAUCUCGUUCUCCAUCAGGAUAUUGAACAAUCUGUUCAAUUCUUUCAGAUCUUUGCUCUAUGGCUGGGACAACAUUAGCAAAAUGCCAAUUUUCUGGAAACUCAACCUCAUUCCACUUGAUUUUCAUGGGGACUAUGAAAUUAGACUUGUUUAUCAUAUCUAAGUGGAAGAUAGUGGUUUCACCCUUGGGACUGGUGCACAAUGCUCCAAAUCCAACGCUUAUGGUCAUGCUCUUAUAGGCAAAUCUGGUGAUGAUGGAAACAUGAUUGUUUCCUUGCUUGAACUUAAAGUCAUGGGUCUUAACAUGAAGGACAACUGAAUCUAAGAUGUUGACAUCUCUUAGUCUAACUGUGAAGUUAGGGAAACACUGGAAAUAAACAGGACCAUCAUUUAAUCCUGCUUGGGUAGCUCCAAUAAUAGAAUCUCGGUAAUCAAGAUGUCUAUUAUCUCUUAAACACAUGACAAUAAAGGUGUUUAGACCUAGUCUUGUCAAGGGCUUAGCUGCAACUUGAAUCAUGCCAAAGUGUAUGAAGUUGUAGUCUCGCUUAUGCUUAUCAAUGGACUUACUAUCCAAGAGUCUUAUGACUUGAUCGUCGUGUUCUAAACUUACUGACAUUUCAGGGGUUUUAAUGGUGUAAUCUGUAAAGAACUUAAAGGUUCCUUUCUUAUAAAUUUCUUGAUUAGGUACCUUGGGUAACUUCCAAUCAUCUAAAUCAUCUUGGAUCUUAGGAUAAUUGAUCUCUUCAUUGUUUACUCUUGAGAAUUUGUGGAUUUCCUAGACAUGGUUCUGAAAAUCAAACUCAUUUUAAGGUUUUAAUCUAGAGCCUAAUAGCAGAUUAACAGACCUAGUGAGUAAUCACCCCAACCCUUUUCCAACCUUAACAAACGCCUAUCUCCAGCUAACAAUGGGCUCAACUCGGCAAGGAUCGCACUCAGGCACACUACUAUCUUUCCUAGGAUAGAUCAAAACACCCAAAACAAACCCGACUUCCUUUUCCUAGGAUAUAUAUAGUAUUUUGGGUUUGAGUAGGAGUUCAUGUUUUGUAUGUAAUUGUAGUCUACGUUGGACUAGGUUGUUUGCUCCUAAUUGAAAUAGGAAUGGUUGGUGUCACAUCUCAUUCAUUUUCUCAUCUAUUUCCAUGUUUAGAUAACUCAAGUAAUCAUAGGAAUGAAAUUAAGAAUGAUUUGAGGGAAAUGAAAUCUCACUUGUAAGUGGGAUCUCAAUUCAUCAUUAAUAGAAGGUAUUUUGAUUACAUAGUGCAAGUUAUUUUUAAAAACACUUUUCAAAAAUUGAAAAACCAAAAACUCUCUUGGAUAAGUUGUUUUUAAAAAGAAUUUUUGUAUUUUUAUUUUGUAAAAAAAAAAAAUAGUAAUUCAAUUUAUAUAAUAUAAAUAGACUUUAAUUUUAUUAAAAAUAAAAAUAAUUUUUUAAUUACAAAUAAAUUAAAAAAUAAAUAUUUGUAAUAAAAUAUGAAUAGUAAUAUUAUAAUAAAAUCAUAAAUAAAUUAAAAAUAUUUUUAAAAACAAAUAAGUUUAAUUUUUUUGAGGUACAAAUGAGCCAAAUUUUUCAUUAGGUACACAACCAACAAUUUUUAUUGGAAACAUUCCUCAAAAAAGAAUUCGUUUCCCAUAUAGCAAAGAUAUUUAUUAUUUAGUAUCUAACCAUCCGUAGUAAUCAUAUCAAUUCUACUAAGUUAUUUAAUAAUUCAUUUAUAUAUAGUACUCAAUUAUGAAUUUUUUUAUUUGAUGUAUAAUUAAUUAAUCAAUGUUUUGAAUUUUGAAUUAUUCUUAAAAUUUAAAACAUUAAUUAUGUCUAUUACUUUUUAUAGUCAUUAUAUAUAUAUAUAUAUAUAUAUAUAGAGAGAGAGAGAGAGAGAGAGAGAGAGAGCUUAAAUUUAUCUUUAAAAAUUAUUAAAUUUAUUAAUAAAUUCAAUACAAAGACUCAUUUGAUUUGAAAUUCAUUUCUUUAGUGAAAAUUUUGAAACUAAAUAGUACUUUGUUUUACUUUGUUUUUAAAUCAUACUCACAAAUAAGUUUUUAUCAUUUAGCCAAAAAAUCUCAAAGAUGUUUCUAAUUUUAUUUAUUUAUUUAUUUGUAAAUGAAAAUAAAAAAUUAGUUUAAACUAAAUAUGCGGAUAUUAUUGUUAAUUUAUUUCAUUUUUUAUUUCCAUUGUUAUUUAACAUUGAAACGGAAACAAAUAAUCAUUCCAAUCUUACAUUCUUAUAUGCAUCUAAACACAAGAAUUGAAAUCACCAAAUUCAUAUUCAAGGCAAAAUAGAAAUGGAAAAAAAAUAUUCAUUUUCAUUCCUCAUUCUCAUGUGCUAAACAUGACAUUAGUUCUACUACCUAUUUCACCAUUCUUCUUGAUAAAUUUGGUAUAUGCAAUAUUGAUCUAAGUGUGAGGUGAAUAAGAAUGAUGAUGGGAUGGGCUUGGAAAUAAGGGCAAAGUUUCUAGGUGCUAUCUAGAGGGGCAACGCGACUUUUUCAAAUUUCGAAUAUUUGUUCUCAACAUAAAGCAAAACUUUACUCACACAAUAGAUAAGACUCUGUUUGUUUUCUUCAUCCACGACUAUAUAAUGUAUAGCUCUUACUCAAGGGAUGAGCUACUUACUAUUAAGGAUUGGGUAAGAUAUUGCCUAAUGGCCAAGAAGGCAUGUCAAAAAAUAAAUCUAAUCACCAUAAAAAAUAAUAGGGGAAAAUUAAUAUAUUAUGAAUGAUGACUUUACUAUUUCUCUAUAUACAUAAUUAUAUAUUUUGAAUUUUCUCACUAGGUAAUGAGAUUCUAAAUCAACUGAAACAUAAUUAAUAAUUUAUAUUUUUAAUGAAUCUUUUAAUUUUUAAAAAUAAUUUAAAAUUUUAAAAAACAAUUCAAUUAAUUACAUAUUAAAUCAAAACAUUUCAAAAUAUUGUGUUUGUAGAUGAGUACUAAAUGCUUGCAUAUAAUAAUAAUAAUAAAAAAAUUGACUCAUUUAGAUGUUAAAAAAGUUAAAUGUUUUUCAUUAUUCAUUUUAAGUAAAAUAUUAUUGACAUUAUUAUUAUAAAAUUAUUAUUAUUCAUUUUUAACAAAAAACAAAAUAAGUUAUUCUUUUACCAAGAUGUCAAUAUCUAUAUUUUUCUAACAUAUAUUAAAAUAGUAUACUUUUCUUUUAUUAAAAAUAAUAAUUAUUAUUAUAUUAUUAUUCAAGUUUUAUUAAAAAAAUUUAUCUUUUAAUUCAUUUGUAAUUACAAAAUAAUUUUAUUUUAUUAAGAAUUUAAUUUAAUUACGCUUUUUUUUUUUAUAAAAAAAACAGUUAUGCUUUUACCAAGAUGUUAAUAUUCAUAUUUUUCUAGCUAACAUAAAUAGAAUAGUACACUUUUUCAUAUAAAAAAAUAAUUUAUGAUUUUAUUAUAAUGUUACUAUUCACAUUUUACUAAAAAUAUUUAUUUAUUUUAUUUAUUUUUAAUUAUAAAAUAAUUUUAUUUUCAAGAAUUUAAUUUUAAAAAAAUAGAAAUCAUUUAUUCUUUUACCAAGAUGUUAAUAAACAUAUUUUUCUAACAUAUACUAAAAUAAAAAAGUUUACUUGUUCAUUAAAAAAUAUAAUUUAUGUUUUUAUUAUAAUACUACUAUCUAUGUUCUACUAAAAAUAUUUAUUUAUAAUUAAAAAAUAAUUUCAUUUUUAAUAAGACUUGAACUAAAUUAAAUUUAUAAUUUUUUUUUAAAAUAAAAUAGAAAAUUAUUUUUUAAAAACAACUUAUUGAAAGAAAUUUUUUAUUCUUUACUUUUAAGAACUGUUUUUAAAAGCAACCUAUAAACCCCUUUGGGUCUGUUUGGCUAUGUUUCAUGCAACUUGUUUUUAAAAAUUGUUUUUUAUUCUUUAAUUUAAUUUUUUUUAAGUUAAAGAAUAAAAAACAACUUUCUAGUGUUUUAUAAAAAUGAGAGCUUUUGACAAGUUGUUUUUAAAAACCAUUUUUAAAAAUAAAAAAUAAAAAACUUAUUUAGAUAAAUUGUUAUAUAUAUAUAUAUAUAUAUAUUUGUAAAAACAUUUUAAAUUCAAUUUAUAUAAUAUAAAUUUAAUUUAAUUUAAGUCUUAUUAAAAAAAAAUUGUUUGGAUAAGUUUUUUUUUUUAAAUAGUUUAUUAUUUUUGUUUUGUAAAAACAUUGCAAAUUCAAUUUAUAUAAUAUAAAUUAAUUUAAUUCAAGUCUUAUUAAAACCAAAAUAAUUUUAUAAUUACAAAUAAAUUUAAAAAUAAUUUUUUUAGUAAAACAUGAAUAAUAAAAUUAUAAAUUAUAUUAUUGUGGACCCUGCAUUUAUGCUCAUGCGCUUCCACUUGUUGGCGAACUCAUUUUUUAUUUGAAAAUGAUUUAUUUUUUUAGAAAAUGACUUAGAGUCGCCACUUAUUUUUGUUUUAUUUUUAAAGGGCAAGCAAAAUAAGAAAGAAAACCCUAAGUGUGACUCCUUAUUCGAAAAAGGUAGUCUGUGUAAAACCGGAUCAGGGUUCAGGGAUCAGGUUACUUAUUGGGAAGGUAUGACAAUGACCGUAGCACUCCUCUAAGUCCUUAAAAACGGGCCUCUACUAAAAAAAAUAAAGUAAUCAUGGCAAUCAGUAAGGAAAUCACUGGAUACCCAGAACAAUUAUGCACAUGUGAGAAUUAAAACAUGCAUAAGAAUGGACAAAGUGAGAGUGGGUGCGUACCUUGACAACGAACCACAAUGCGUUAUCAAGAAAUGGGGUUAGUGCACGAUCAAUGAACAUAAAACACGUCACACAUGUCACUAAGCAGAGUGAGAAAUCAUCAGAUAUUACAAUUCAAUCAAAUUUAUUUUUAGAAGAAACAUCUGUUGAUGUAGAGCCCCUACCAAAGCCUAAUUUAUUUUUGCAUGAAUCAAUUUCAUAAAUUCAAUCGCUUGGAAUUACAGAAUUAAAUUCAUGCUUAUUUUAAAACAUCUUUUUAAAAUCAUGGAAGAUGUGAAAAUGGUUUUCCAAAGAGAAAAUGACAACUGAUUUUAUUGAAAAUGGGAUUUUGGGGACCUAAACGUUAAAGAGGGAUUAGGAAUUGAAAAUUAAAUCAUUUGAAAAUUGAAUUUUUCAAAAAUCAGUUUUGAAAGCAUGCAUGCAAGUAUGGACUGUGAAAGUGGGCCUAGGGAGGGUGGCCAUGCAAAAUGAGGUCAUACACGUGGGCCUUGGGUACAAUUGGGACUACUUUGCUGGUGCCAGUGGUGCUUGCAGCUGUCAUCCAUGAUUUCUUCAUUGGGAUCAAUUUCCAUUCUUACUGCCAAACAUUCCAUAACAAUUGACCAAACUAGUAACCCUGACCUUGCAUGAAAAUGAACGUUACCUAGAAACUCACUGCCAGUGAGAUUCAUUGCUCUUUCAAAAGGUCUCAUUUUCUUUCUCAUCCAAUUGCUUUAAGGAGCAUUCUAGCGUCACGAUUGGUGACUGCGCAUCAUCUAGAGCCUUCUUUCUUCUCAGAAUCAGGUUUGCGUGCAGAGGCCUGUGCUUGUUCAAGGUUGACCUAAAUUCAUCUAGGUUUAGAACCGACCAGUUGAGCUUGGGGAGCAACGACAAGAAUAUCAGUCACUUGCGAAGAGAAAACUCGAGAUCUUUCAAGUAAUGCCUGACAUAGAUUCCUCCAACCUGUGGCCAAUAUCUCAUUCCUUGUUGGCCAGACGCCUAUUAGGGCGUAUCUCAAUCAAUAAUAUGAUUUUUCGUUUGUUCACAAUAAAGACCGGAAGCCAUGGUUGUGAUUUAUGCAGUACAGAAGAAGUUGCCAUGGCUGGUAUCCUUACAAAUUCUGGUGUUUCUGCUAUCUGUUCAAGUGCAAAACACAACAGCUUUAUCAAGUUUGUCCCUAACAACUGAUAUUGAGCCCUCUGGAGGAAACCUUGAUAAAUUCAUAAUCACUUUUGACUCAUGCAUGGGCUGCCCAUCAAAUUUUCCUAGCAACGAGACGACUGCUGUCAUCUACUGCAAAGAGAAUUUCUUCUCGCAAAGACAAGAGGAGUUUAAGAAUACACACUAUUCUGCCAUUUCAUUUCCUCUUUCUCCACAACCAACAUAAACCAUAGUGUCUACAUUAGAGUACUUAGAAAGAGCUUAACUGAUGACCGUUUUUCCACAACCAAAUGCCCCAGGUAUGGCACAAAUUUCACCGAAAACAGAAGGGAAAAGGGCAUCAAGAACACGCUGUCCUGUAAGUAGUGGGGUAUCAGGACUACUCUAGGGAAGUUAUUUCUGUCAUUUUGAAAAAGAAAAAUUAAAGAAUGUACACAUGCUUUCAAGUGGACUGGAGCAUUCUACAUAUCAGGUGGUCUGUAGCCACAUGUGCCACUUUGUGGAAGUUGGAACAGUCGAUCACUAGGCUAUUUAGUGUGGCCAAGCCACGUUAAUCAAGGACAAGUCUUCAUACUUAAAAGUCAAAUGGUGCCUUUAGUCUCAUUACACAUGGCUAUUUAAAGAUGAACUAAUCUUUAGUGUAAUGUGAUUAAGACAGUACUAACUGAUCAAUAUUUUUUCUAAUUUUGGAUGCAAAUGCUUGCUGGCUUCAUCAUUGGAUGGGAUAAAGGUGCAUUCAUGACUCUGAAUACUUGCAGUAAUACUUGCAGUAAUACUUCAUUCUCUUUUUUCUCGAUGAGACUUCUUGGCACAAUUUUGCUUCUCAGCAACCUACCUCUCCAUGGAAAAUGAGUUGCGAUUGAUGGUACUGGAUAUUUUCUAGGAAGCUAAAUAUAGAUAUAUAGCACUCAAUGUCAACGAUAUAUAUAGCAUUAACAGUAUAUGUCUCAAUGCUCAUCAGCUACAAGCAAGGGACAAACACUUACAAUGAAUAACUCACGUCAACAUUCCUAAACAGGACAUAGAAGUGACAGAUCUAUAUAUAGAACACUGCAUAUGAGUCACAAGAAAAGAUAAUACGGGUGCAUAGCAGCUCUUAUAUUACAUAUUACUCAUACCGUUCAAAUUCACUCAGUUGGGAUGGGUGGGAGAAGGAGGCCUCUGGGGUGGCUUGUGCGUGUGAGAAGUGGAAGAAAGUUGAAUGGAAUGAAACUGAAAAACAGGGUAGAAUAGAGGUUUCUUGAAUCUUCUGAAAUCUUUAUUUUUCUGAGAUUUAUUCUCUGUUUUUGUGAGUCGUGACUCUACAUAUAUACAUGUAUUUAAAGUUAGUUAUGCCUUAUAACUAAUUAUCUAACAGUACCAAAACUAAUCAUCUAGUUGCAUGUUUCUAAUUAAUGCUAUUUAGUUACAACUAUAUAUGGCUUAACAUCCUCUCUCAAACUCAAAAGUCUAGCUAGAACAGUGAGUUUGCUUCAUAGAUUGAGAAAUUGUUGAAUAGGUAAGGCUUUGGUAAGAGCAUUAGCAAUCUGGUCAUAAGAAGGAAUGUGUUGAACCACCAAAGUCUUAUUGAGCACCUUUUCCUGAACAAAAUGGCAAUCUAGUUCCACAUGCUUAACUCGAGAAUGAAAAUAGGAUUGGCAGCAAGAAAGGUGGCUGAAAGAUUGUCAUAGAACAAAACAAAAUAGGAGAAUAAGAAGAUGAGAUAGAAAACUCCUGAAGAAGAUGUUGAAUCCAUUGAAGUUCAAAAGCAACAUUUGCUAAGGCCCUAUACUCAGCUUCAUUGCUGGAACGAGACACAACUUUCUGCUUACUGGAGUUCCAGGAGACUAGAUUAGAGCUAAAAAAGAUGCAAUGACCACUUGUACUUCGACGAUCAUCAGGGCAACCAACCCAAUCAACAUCAGCAUAAGCAGUAAGUUGAAAAUCAGGAGAAGAAUAAAAGGAAAGACCAAAGGAAGUAGUGCCCUUAAGAUAAUGCAACAAUCGUUUAACAACUUGCCAAUGAAGAUCAGUUGGUUAUUGCAUGAAUUGGCAAAGUUUAUUGAUAGAGAAAGAGAUGUCAGGCCUUGUAAUGGUACAAUAUUGCAGGGCUUCAACAAUGUUGCGAUAUUGAGAAGGGUCAGCCAAGAGGGAACCUUUAGAGGCAGAUAAAGUGUGAGAGGUAGUCAUUGGUGUAUCAAUAGGUUUAAAAUAUGGAAGACCAGCACGAGUUAACAAGUCCUGAAUAUAUUUGGUUUGGGAAAGAUGAAGAGAAGAUCCUUGCCAACAUACUUCUACACCCAAGAAGUAAUUCAGAAUACCAAGGUCCUUGAGAGCAAACUGAAAGUGUAAAGACGAAACCAUUUGGUGGACUAGCACGGUAUUAAGACCACUAACAAUAAUGUCAUCAACAUAGAUGAGAAUAAUGAUCAUGUCAGUCCCUUUCCGAAGAGGAGCUUGCUUCAGACCCUACAAGGCUUUGCGAAGUUUACAGAAAAAACCGGGUUUAGAAUGAUCAACAAAGCCUGGAGGUUGAACCAUGUAAACCUCUUCUUCUAACUCACCAUUGAGAAAGGCAUUAUUAACAUCUAAUUGUUCCACUAACCAACCAUGAGAAAUAGCAAGAGAAAGAACAAUUCAUAUAGUAGUUGGUUUAACAACAAGGCAAAAGGUUUCAAAAUAAUCAAUACCAUAUGUUUGAUUAAAACCCUUUGCAACUAAGUAGGCUUUAAAACGAUCAAUUGAGCCAUUAGCUUUGAGUUUCAGCUUGUAUAUCCAUUUACAACUAAUAAUGCGUGUAUUAACAGGUUUAGGAACCAAUGUCCAUGUGGAAUUGGUGAGAAGAGCAUCAUACUCAGUCUUCAUAGCAGCUUGCCAAUUAGGAUGCAAUAUUGCUUCUUUGAAAGAGGAGGGUUCGACAACAGUAGUUUGGAUAGCAAGGCUAAAUAUUUUUUUGGGUUUAAAAAUACCAUUUUGGCUACGAGUAACAAUAGUUCGGUUUGGAAGUGAAAGAGGAUCAGUGGAGGAGGCUGGAACAAGGGAUUGUGGUAAAGUAGGAAAGGAAGGUGGAUGAGAUGGAACAAAAUCAGUAGGGACAAUAAUGGGAGAAGAAAAAUUAGGUGGAGAAUGAUGAGGAUUCCUUGAAGAUGGUGUAGGAAUAGAGAGAAUACCAGAAUCAAGAAGUGUUAAAGAAGAGUUGGAUGAUGAUACUGGUUGACAGGAUAAAGACUUUGUUAAAAAUGGAAAUCGAGUUUCAUCAAAUACAACAUGACGAGAAGCAUAUAUCCGAGAGGAAGCCAUAUCCAAACAGAGGAAUCCCUUGUGUUUAGCACUAUAACCCAAAAAACAGCAAACAACAAAUAUAUUUGCUAGCUUGUGAGAAGCAUAAGGGCGAAGAUAAGGAAAACACAAGCAUCCAAAACUUCAAAGAGAUGUAUAAUAAGGUAAACGAUUAUAAAGAACUCCAUAAGGAGAAUUUUGUGAAAGAACAGCAGAGGGAAGGCAAUUUAUGAGAAAAAUGGCAGUUUGAAAUGCAAAUGACCAAUAUUUGAGAGGGUAUACCAGCUUGUAUUAACAAAGAAAGACCAACUUCCACAACAUGACGAUUCUUUCUUUCAACUCUUCAAUUUUGCUAAGGAGUAUAAUGACAAGAGACUUGAUGAAGAAGACCAUUUGUAGCCAAAUAAUUCUGAAAAGCUGAAACUGAAACUCAUCAAAUUGAUUUUUAGUAUCAAAUUUUCUUCAGACUGAACACAUUGAUUUUUAGUAUCAAAUUUUCUUUCAACCAUGGCUUGAAAAUGUUGGAACAUAAGUAAAGCUUCAUCUUUAGUUUCCAAAAGGUACAACCAUGAGAAUAUGCUAAAAUCAUCAAUUAGCAAGAGGAAAUAUUGAGCAUUACCAUUGACAGAAACUAUAGGAGUUGCACCCCAAAGAUCAACAUGGAUGAGACCGAAUGGUUUUAUUGCUCUAGAAGUGGAUAUUUCAAAUGGAAAACGAUGGCUUUUAGCCAACUGACAAGACUCACAUACAGAGUUAUUAUUGUCAUGUUUCAAAGGUAUUUUAUAAAGAGAUAAGAUUUUGGAAACUACAUUAAUAGAGGGAUGACCAAGUCUAUUAUGCCAAAGCCUCAAAGAACCAACGGCUAAAGUACUACUAGUAGAGUAAAAUACUAGUGGAUGACCAACAACUCUUGGUGUAGCAAGAAGUUUAUAGAGACCCUUCUCAAUUUUUCCUUGAAGAAGAGCAAGUCUCGUUUCCUGAUCCUUUACCACAAAAUGAGAAGAACGAAAUUCAAUAAAGGUGCCAUUGUUUGAGUAAAAUCGUUGCACGCUAACUAAGUUGGUGGUAAUAGAAGGAACAUGUAAGACAUCAUUGAAAAACAAAGAACCACUUGAAGAGGCAAGAGAAAAUUUACCAAUAUUUGCAAUGGAUAAACCCUUACCAUCUCCAACAAUUACUUUGUCACCACUGGUAAAUGGAUUAUGGAUUGUUAAAUUGUUAAGAUCAGAUGUGAGAUGAUGGGUAGCCUUUGUAUCAAGAAACCAAUAAGUGUCUCCCAUUGUUGCAGAAGUUGUAGUCAUAGCCUCAGGAUUGUUAGAGGUGGAAUGUUUAGAAUCUUUUGGCUGAUAAUCAGAGUUAAACCGAUACCAGCAUUGUAAAGCGGUGUGUCCGAACUUACAACCGAGAGAAAUAAUCUUUACUUAUUCUCUAAAAACUGUUCUUUAUUCCACACAUUAUUUCUAAAAACUGUUUCUAGAUAACAAUGACAAAAUAGUAUUAGGAAUUUUUAAAAAUAAAAAUUGUUUUUAAAUUACAUGAUCUAUAUCAUUCACAUUUGACCAUUAUAGCUUUGUUCAGGAAAACACUUGAAAGUAACCUUAUCGUGAUAAGAGAUAUAAGUUGGCUGUAGUUUCAAACUGAAAACAGAGGAUGGCAAUAGAAAGCAAAGCAUUAGUUAUCUGCAAUCAGUGGUGAUCAUGCCCCAUGUCAAUUUCGGACCCAUAUCUUAAAACCGUAUAAUUUGCAUUUCAACAUUUCUGAUUUCUCAGAUGUUUCAUACUCCACAGAAGAACAUUGUUUGUGAAAGCAUGCAUUUAUGCUGGAUUUUGGAUGAUGUGGGAACUGGGGCAAGGAUCAUAUGGAAGAGUGGUCGAUUUUUUCUGUACUUUAACAUUUGAAAUAGGAGCAGCACGGGCAUUUGUGGGGCUUAAUUGAUUUUGAAGCCUGAAAUUGCGUUUCUGUCAUUUUGUAAAAAAUAUGGCAGAUUCCAUGCUCUCAUAUGUUUGGUCUGUGGCCAUGUAUAGAUGCCACUUAGUGACCAGUUUGUAACUGUCAAUCAUAGUGUUUUGACUCUGGCUCAACAACAUCAGCCAUUGACGGAUUUUCAUACAUGCAAAUCAAAUAGUCUUCUUCCUCCCUUAGGAAUUUCGGUUUAAAUGUUAUUAAGCAUACAUUUGGCUGACAAUUAUUAACCACUUCAUGAUAUGGUUUCUUACCCUUAAUCAAUGGUUUCUAAGUGAAUAUAUGCAGAAGGAAAUCUGAACUGUAGACAGCAGUAUUGAUAAUUAUCAAUAUUCUUUAUAUAAGAGAAUAAACAACGUCAUAGUGAUCGUCGCCUACAAGAAAGGUACAUUUCCCAACAAGAUGUAGUUGUGACUGGUACAUGGACGUAAUUAACUCGUAGAAAAGGAUAAGACCAGUGCACGGCAGCUCUUAUUUUACAUGCUAAUUAUGCUAACCAAAGUCACUCAGUUGGGAUGGGAGGGAGAUGGAGGUUUGUGCGGUGGCUUGUGGGGCGGAGUUGGUGGCUUCUUUUCAGGAGCUUGUGGCUUUUUCGGAGCUGAAGGAGGCUCAAUCUUAUGAGGCGGCUUGUACGAGUCUUCUUUACUCUCGACAGGAGGGUGGCCAGGGUUGUGACCAUAAUGUGGUGGCUUCUCUCCCUUAGGUGGCUUGCCAACUGGGGUUGGUGGCUUGUGUUCAGGAAGUGGUUUCUCUCCCUUGGGAGGUUUACCAAUUGGGGUUGGUGGCUUGUGUUCUGGGAGUGGUUUCUCUCCCUUGGGAGGUUUAGUGGGUGACUUGUGUUCUGGAGGUGGCUUCUCCACCGGAGGCUUGUGCUCCGGUGGUGGCUUCUUGGUUGGAGGGGGCUUGGGGUAAUCAGCAAGAGAUGGGGGGGUGAGAACCACCACUCCAAGGAACAACACUAGCAAGUAUGUGGGAGACAUUUCUGAGUUUGAGCUGAUCAGAUGAUGCAAAACUAGAAGAAUUACGUGACCUUUUAUAGCAAGUAGCUCCCAAUACCCACAUGACACGUGUUACUGUGACCAUAAAUAUUAUAGGGUCCAUUUGUGCCCUACCGGGUUGAAAACUUGGACGCUUGGCCGAGGACACACCGAACUAUGGAGGACUAUUGACGUGUGAUCACAGCUUUUGGAUUUUUCUUCCUGUGCAGCUGUCUAGCGGUUGGCAUUAUUUUUUUAAUCUUAAAUAAAGGCAUAGUUAUAGAGUACAUUUAUAUAUCUUCAGAUAGCCAUUAAUAUAUUUGAUGAAGAAAGACAAGUGCAUACAACAUGUAUACGGCUUGCUUCAAUCGAGUACAUUUAUGAUCAGUUUUCCAGUGCAAGUAAACCAGUUUUUUGUUCCACAACUAUUUUGGAAUCUUGUUUAUCAGUUUCUAUCAUUAUAAUGUCACAUAGGCUGCAAACUUGGGCACCCAAAGAUCUAGUUGGGCAAAUUUGUUUCAGAAUUUCAAUGGUGGAUUCAGUAAUUGUUAAAAGGUGUUUCUUCAUUAAGGAAAGAGUCCUGUAAAAAUAUUGUUAAAAGGUGUCAUAGAAACUAUAAUAAUUAAAUAACUUCUUUUCCCCGUGGGUGGUGUUUCUUCUGGGGAUACCCAAAAUGAGUUCAGAUUAAAAUUGGUUCGAGUCAAAGCUGUCUCUUUUGUCCAGAAAUCAACUAUUUUGCGCAUUGCAUGAAUCGAUAAAGAAAAAAUGAAAGCCAAAUCACACCUCCCCUGCAAAACCUAAACCCCGGUUGCUAACUUUCUAUGUUUCAGUCCUAUUCAUACAGGAAUAUUGGUUCAAGUUUGAGAAAAAUGGCAACUUACCUAGGGAUUACUUGGUUGUGGUUUGCGACGACUAUUUACGCAACCAACCAUGAGUUUGACUUUAACGUCAUGGGUUGAAGCCUCCUACAAUCGUGUAUGAUAGUUCAAAGCUCGUAGUAGAAAUUAUACAGGAAGGAAGAAACCUCCAAAGCUAGCUCCAAAAGAGAAUUAUCACAUCGAUAGCUCCAGAGAUUCCCAAGGGGACUGAAUCAAAGACAAGUUCCUCACUUUUUCUUCUUUUGAGGCCAAAUAUGAACCAAGGAUCACACGACCUCAUUCAACUUCAUAAGUUUGAUUUCAUGCAGUUGAACACUGGGUGAAGGCCAUGACAAGAAUUGAUUAAAAAAUUCUACCACUGUUUUAAGUAAUGGAAGAUUAUUAUCUCUGAUUGGCACCACAACAGCACAUGCUGCUAGAUCUUUCUAGACACUCCAUGCAAUGAAAGUACAAUGGAUCUUGUAACGAUAGAAACUAAGCCAUGCUACAGUACUAGAUGACGAGGUAAAACUAUUAGACAUGGGUGGCAGCCUAUAUGGGAGGGACACAAGUCUAAUUGAUUUGCAUUUCAGCGUUCUAGAUGGGUAUGUUUUGGAAGAUUUGUUCUGGAAAUACCGCACCAAGUAGGAUUCUUUUUUCUCUUGAGUGGGUCCACUUGCAUGCCAAUUAUCGAGUUGAAAAGUAGAGCACCUACCUCGUGCUCGUGGAACCGAAGGUCAGUGAAGUGGGGCUCCUUUUGGCCUCUUGUGUUUCUGUUCCAACCAAGGCGGCGGAGGGAAAAACAGCAAUAUGUCUCCGCUAAAUAUCAACGCAUGAUAGCGAAUGAGGGAGAAAAAAAGUAAUUGGCAUCUCAAUCUCACAAACUUGGUACAGUAGUGACAUUAAUAGUCUUCCACAUGGUUUUUAUUUUAUUUUAUUUUAUAUUUUAUAUUUUCCAUUUUUUUAUUUUUUUGUAUGUCAAGGCUAAUGAAUAAAAUGCGUUAGCUUGUUUUGUGAUUGGAACUGCAAAUGUCCAAAUUGGAGUUUCUCCAUUUCUCAGUUCGGAUGGUUAACUUUAUAAACAAGAUAUAGGAAACAUGUGAACGUCUUGAGGAACAAUUCGAAUUAUUGAUUAGAACUCCUAGGUUGAGUUCCAAGAUUUAAAUCAGACCCCUCUAGCAGCUUCAGGGGUACCUAGCAAUUAGAACAUAUUAAUGAAGAUUUAGGAUUUAGACUCCGGAAUACAAAUUAAUAUGUAUCUUAUGCUCUGACUAGCUUCCCUGCAUAUGCACAAAAUGGAGAUGACCCAAAAAAUAGCAGAAUCGCCUUAGUUUAUGUGGUUAAGGUGAUUCUCCGGUUAAUAUCCACAUUGGCUCAUUAUGCAAAUCAACUGAGCUAUUUUUUUUUUAAUGUCAAAUAGGAACUCCUAAUUAACCUAACCAUUGGCCUGUGUAAAUUGAUUUCACAUGCACAAUGUUGUAGUAGAAGUCCACAUUUUGAAUUUUAUUUUUGGAAAGGUAAGGAAAAUGAAGCAUUGUGUAAUUAUAAAAAUAACUUCAUUGGAAUUCACAAGGUUCACCCAAAAUGGAGCUACAUCCGUAUUCUAUCUUACAGUAGACUAUAUAGAUUGUACAAUAGUAAAUUGCAAAUACAAUUAAUAAGUCUUGUGUUUCCUUACUAAUAAUCCUUUGACAUAAACAUUGCAGCACUAAGGUCCUCUUGGGCAGACACCUUGCACCCAUGAGAGCACUAAGAGGAAGCAAGGCGGAGUCAUGGGUGCAAUGUCAUGACUUGUUGCACUAAGAGAGGCUUGGUGAUGGCAUAGUGCUGCAGUAGCAAGAAUGUUGCCUUGGCAGGGACACGAUCUAGGGACAGAUGCCAAGAAAGGCUUAGCACUCACAUGAGUUGCACAAAGAUGAAUGAAAUAGAACAUCAAAGAGACAUCUUGGCAAGCUCAAGAAAGACAUGUGGGUUGGUAAAUGAAUGGAUGCAAGAGGCAACAACAUGAGGAGUUUCAAAUGGAUAGGGAAUGAGUCAAAGACAUUUGAAAGCUACAAGUUGGAUUCUAAUUACGAUUGCAAUUUGAGUUUGAGUAGGAGUUUAUAUUAUGAUUGUAAUUGUAGUAUGAGUUGGACUAGGAUUGCUUAUCCCUAGUCAAAAUAGGAGUUGUUCAUGCCACACCCUAUGAAAAGAGUUUGAGUAGGGACUAGGAUUGCUUGCUCCUAGUCAAAUAUGGAGUAGGUGGUGCCACACCUAUAAAAAAAAAAGGGACAACAUGAGAGAGAGAGAGAAUGAAUUCACCAAAGAUAUUGUGGGAGUUUUGCUUUGUUACAUCUUGUAUUAUUAUUUAGAAUAGUAAUAAAAUACAAGUUGGGGCUAGAGCCCCAUAAUCUCGUGUGCCUUUGUGGGUUAUUCUUUAUUUGCCAUCUCGUGUGGAUUGGAUUAGAUUGAUGAGGCGAAAUAUUAUGUGGGAAAUUUAUGUUGGGACACUUACCAUAACCAGGUAAAAUCUACCAAGUCUUUUGUAAUAUCUUCUACAAAUAUUUUAGACCAGUUCUUCACAAAACAUCAUAAUAUGUUUUGUGUUUCUCUUGGAUUUUGAGUUGAAUUGUCUUAGAUCAAUUGAAUGCAUCUCAAUAUUAUUAUCUUGUUUGAAGGCUUGAUGAUUUUCCAUUUAACUUUACUUUCUUUAGGUUAUGCUUGAUUCCUUAAAAGUACUAAGGAAAACAAAAAAUAAAAAAAAAUAAAAAAUGCAGAGGGUUAGGACAUGUGUUAUCUAAUUGUCCUAUCCAAAGAUAUUAAGAAAGUCAUGUAGGAAAGUAAUUGAAAACUAGGUCAAGAAAGGAGCAAAAGGGAAUUGUUUUGGUAUUUUCUUUUUUAUUCUUGAAGGUGGCAGAGCUAAAAUUUGAGAAAUCAAGCAAAACAUACUGAAAUUACAUUGAAAGAAAGAAAAUGGUAGUUAAUGUCUUGCAGUACAUGAUAAGGACUUCAUGCAUGUAGUGUGACGACCCAUGUCUUGGACUGAUGCCACACUCACGGUUACACUUAUACCCUUGGUUCUCUCUUUACUACCUUGGCUAACCUAGAUCAGGCUAUGAGAUAGGCUCCUCACCACACCAUCACUUGCCCAGUAAUUAGUGACAUUUUCAAGCAAUGAGGUAACAUGGUGACACCAAGAGGGUUUAUCCCUCGCCCCAACAAGUCUAGACUCGGUCUCAAAAAAAUGGAGAAAAAUGAGGUGUCGUUAUGCAGAAAUACAACAACCAUGCCUUCCUUAUUACUUAGAUUCAGAAUGUGAAGGUGAAAUUGAGAAACAGAAACUCUUGAAACCAGAAUGAAAAUUGAUACUUUUACGAAGAAUUACAACAUUAGAGGAAGACUACAUUCUUCCUCUAUAUUCCUACGUUUCUACACUACUUCUACUCCACUCCAUAUUUCUACAUACAUCUUUAAUCAGUUUUCCCUCCUUUAUAUAGAGCCAUCUUCACACAAAUUCCGCAAGGUAGAAAAGAGGAAUGAAACUUGGAGCAAGGUUCGACUACUGGUUGUCGCUUGUCAAGGCUGGAAUUGAACUUUUUUUCUUGGCUUUUCUGGGCAUAGGUAGUAACUUGUGGUUCCUUUUUGGAAUGAAAAUGGUACAGCUAGAACAUGUGGCACUCUCUUGUUGGAUUAUGUGUCAAACAUGUGGCAGCCAUCUAGUGGAGAUUAUUUCAAUUUUGGGAUGGAGAGUUGGCAUCCAAUUGCAAAGAAAUAUGACAUCUACCAACAUGCAAUGUAAACCUAUAUAGAUCAUAUGGAGAUAGAGAGGAAACAUAUAGAAAUGGAUAUAUACCUAGAACUAGCUUUUUAUUAAAUGAGACGGAGAGCCAACAAUGAAGGAAAAUCAAAAUUUUUGGCUCAUAUCAAAGAAUUCACAUUGUGUUACCCUAGGUUUUCUUAAAGCUUGCACAAAGCCAAAAAGCACACAAAAAAUUAUAUUUUCUAGCUCUCUACCUUGGAUGGUCUCUUGAUCCUACUUGGAGAUGUGCAUAAAUAAAAGGAUUUGAAAAUGACAAUUGACUAAGUAUGUAGUCAAUCAAUUACUCAUUAAUUGACUAGUUGAUCAAUUAACUUUGCAACAUCAUAUGCAAUCCUAAUAGCUAGUCAUCUAAUCAACUAGGUAGUAAAUCAAUAGGCCAAAAAUAUGUUUAUAAUGACUAUUUUGUACAAAAACCACCUAUAUGGUUAAAUAUAAUGCAUUUCAUUUAUAAAUCUUCUAAUUCUUGAAUAACGAUCCUAUCAUCCUUUGAAAGUUUUUAUUACACCUUUUAUACUUUUGUUCUAAAACUUACACAUGUACAUCACCCUUAAUUGUACCAUGAGAACCUAGCUUUUUUUUUUUUUUUUUUUGUAAUUCAUCAAAGUUAGCUUUUGUAUUCAUUACUGUACUAUUUUUAUUGUAACUUAGAAAGCGAGUGUUUUCAAGUGAGUGAAAUUGACUUAUAAAUAUUGUAAAGAUUCAUUGAUGUGUAUCUUAAACUAAGUGUACAAGUUGAAACAUUUGCUAGUAGAUUUUCUCAAGAUUUAGAAUAGAGCUUGAGGCUAUUGAAAUAGGUGGGGUUGCACCAAACCACAUCACAUUGUUGUUUGCACCUUUUUUUCACUCUCUUUUACUUAGUUGCUCUAUAUUUGUUGUCUAGUAAUAUCCUAUAGGCUUGAUGGGUUAGGGAGCAUCCCUUUGUGAAAAAUUUUCAUUCAAUCCUUAGUUGUAUCACGCAUAUAUAAAAUGCCUCAUUGUUUUAAUGGUAUUCAGUCGUGGCAUCACAGAUAUGGGCAUCUAAAUUUUAAAAGUUUGAAACUUUUAUCUAAAGAAAAUAUGGUGCUUUGCCUUUUUGUAAAGCAUGUUGAUGAAAUCCAUGAGAAUUGUGUACUUGGGAAGCAACAUCGAGAUGACUUUUUUUUUUUUCAUUUUUUAUAAUGCGACACCUAAGUCCGGUUUCUAAAUGCUGAAGUGAAAGGGUAGGUAUGGACCAUUGAAAUCUGAUCACAACUUUUGGCCUUUUCCUUUCUCUGCAGCCAUGUUGUCUCUUUUUUCUUUUGCAUGAUUUUCUUACCUAAACAGAAUCAUAGACUUGUUUAAUCUCUAAAUGGUAUUUCAUCCAGCUUUAAGCUACUGUAUUAUAUCUUGGUGGAGGACUUUUAAGAGUGAAACCGACAUAGAGCACAUGCAAGUGGGUAUAUGGGACAUGAAAUUUCUUCUUAUAAAGACUGCAUGGUUUUUAUAUUAGAGUUGUUGAGGCGCAAUGUAUUUAGCUUGUUUUGCAGUUAAAUUAAUUGGAUAAGUAGACAUUGUCGUUUCUAAAUUUCCCACCUAAGAUAGUGACCUUAUCCUUGACUGCUUGAUGAGAUACACAAACAAUUAUACCUUCAAAAUCUACUGUGAAGUGCUUCAUGUAUGUGUGAAGUAUUAGAAAUUUCUUUCUUGGCAACUUGUUUUUUCUUUGCCCUCUACUGAUAGGUUUGACUCAAAUUAAAUUCCCUGUCAUGCUAAUUAAUUUUCACGUGCAUGCUCAAAAGGAUCACGUCAACUCUGGUUUCUACUAUUCAGGUCCAUUCCCAGAUAAACUGGUUCAAAUUUGAGAAAAUGGCAACAGCCCUUUAGUGAUGUUGGUUUGGAGCCAGUAGCCAAACCCGCCCUGAGCUUUACCACUAAUGUCAAGGGACAAAGCCAUUUGAACAAAAACAAUAGCUUCAAGAGACUGAAUCGUGGAUGAAAUCUGAUCCACAUUUCUUCUCAUUUUGGGAACAAAUGAGAACUUAACUACAAAGAUUCUACUGCCUCAUAGUGCUUUUCCUGAUCUAAGGUUGGUUCGUUUCCCAAAUUGUGAGGUACGUGCCAUUCUCACGCUCAGGAGUGUAUCCACGUGGUGGACAUAAGAUGGUGGCUUAAUAUCUGGUGUCGGUGGCUUUACUUUACUAGGAGAGUAGUGUGUCUUCAUCUCAUUCACUGCCGGAGGGUGGCGUAAGCAGUGACGCUAAGGUGGGGCACAGUCAAUAUCAUUUGCAUUUGACCAUUAUAGUUUUCUCCCGGCUUGAAAGUAACCUUAUCGUGAUAAAGGAUUACUAGCACUAGUUCAGAUGACAGUCAUGUUAAAUUCGGACCAUGUUUGUGUCACAUUAUCAGCAACCAUGUGUUUAUGGUUCAUGCUAUCUGCAACUAAACUUGAUAUAUAACCACGUGAACUUCAAUCUAAAUUCUGGAAGUACUCUUGUGAUAGAUGGUGCCUGUCUGCAGAGUCCAUCAAUUGAAAAAUGGAGUGAGUGUAUCUAUAAGAGGGAAGGCUUGGCAAAUGUUCAGUUUUCUGGGAACUCAACAAGGAUCUAAAAUAGAUUGUUUUCUUUGCUGAUUUCAAUGGUUGAAAUUUGAGAAGAUUGUGUCCACAUAACACAACUAUUACUGGUCCUUCUGUUGCAAUUUAUCCUCUAAGGCUCUAACAUGUCUUCCAAUUCCCACUUCCCUGUUACUCCAGGAAAGCUAUUUCUGUCAUUGUGAAGAAGAAAAGAGAAUGUACAUAUCGAUGGUUUUAAGUGACUGGGGCAUUCAUAUCAGGUGGUCUGCAGCCAUAUAUGCCACUUUGUGAAGGUUGGAACAGUCAAUCACCAGGCUAUAUUAGUGUGGCCCAGCCACUUCAAUCAAGGACAAGUCUUCAUACUUAAAGUCAAAUUCUGCCUUUAGUCUCAUUAUAAAUUGCUGUUUAAAUAUUAAGCAAACAUUUGUUUAAUGCGAUUAAGACAGUACUAACUCAAUACUUGUUCUAUUUUUGGAUGCAAAUGCUUGAUGGUUUCAUCAUUGGAUGGGAUAAAGGUGCAUUCAUGAUUAUGAAUACUUGUAGUUAUAUUUUCAUUCUCUUUUUUCUCAAUGAGACUUGUUGGCACAAUUUUGCUGUUCAGAAACCUACCUCUCCAUCGAAAAUCAGUUGUGAUUGAUAGUACUGGAUAUAUUCAAGAAAGCUAAAUAUAGAUAGCACCAAAUAUUAUCGAUAUAAAUAGCAUUAACAGCGUACGUAUGUCUCAAUGCUCAUCAGCUAUAAGCAACGGGCAAACACUUACUAUGAGCAACUUGCGUCAAAAUUCCAGAAUAGGACAUAGAAGUGACAGAUCUAUAUAUAUAUAGAACACUGCAUAUGAGUCACAAGAAAGGAAAUUACGGGUGCAUAGCAGCUCUUAUUUUACAUCCUACUCAUACUGAUCAAAGUCACUCAGUUGGGAUGGGUGGGAGUAGGAGGUUUGUGGGGUGGCUUGUGCGGAGGAGUUGGCAGCUUCUUUCCAGGACCUGGUUGCUUCUCUGCUGGAGUUGAAGGAGGCUUAAUCUUCCGAGGUGGCUUGUAUGAGUCUUCAGCAUUCUCAGCAGGAGGGUGACCAGGGUUGUGACCAUAAUGUGGUGGCUUCUCUCCCUUAGGUGGUUUGCCAACUGGGGUUGGUGGCUUGUAUGAGUCUUCAGCAUUCUCAGCAGGAGGGUGACCAGGGUUGCGACCAUAAUGUGGUGGCUUCUCUCCCUUAGGUGGUUUGCCAACUGGGGUUGGUGGCUUGUGUUCUGGGAGUGGCUUCUCCCCCUUGGGAGGUUUUUCCAAUGGGGUUGGUUUGUGUUCAGGAGGUGGCUUCUCCACUGGAGGCUUGUGUUCAGGAGGUGGCUUCUCCACCGGAGGCUUGUGUUCAGGAGGUGGCUUCUCCACCGGAGGCUUGUGUUCAGGAGGUGGCUUCUCGAAUGGGGGAUGCUCAGGGUAAUCAGCAAGUGAGGGGUUGGUGAGAACCACCAUGCCAAGCAACAGGACUAGCAAGUAUGUAGGAGACAUCUUUGGGUUUGGACUUAAGACAGUGGAAAACUGCGAGAAUUCUCUAGCCUUUUAUAGCGGGUCGACCCAGUACUCACAUGACACGUGUCAUUAUGACACAUGUGCCAUGGGGUCGAUUUGGGUCCUACAGUGUUGAAAAGUUGGGCAUUUGAGGUGUGAGCACAACUUUUGGCCUUUGCUUUCUCUACAGCCGCCAUGCUUUUCCCUUUUUUCCUUUUCCUUUUGUUUUCCUCCUGCCUCGUGUUCUCAACUAAACACAAUUAGGUUGUUUAAUUGUUAAAUGAGAUUUUUGUCUGUCAAUCAUAUUAUAUCCUAUCAAGAGAGAACAGAGUGUAAUGUAGUACACAUAACACGAGGCAGUAGUAAUUUUAUCAUUUAUUUUUAUAGCUUGGACCACCGCAUUUUUUCUUCUAAAAUAUUCUGUCUUGUUAAGAGACGCAAUAAUACACAAUUUUAUCUGCCAUUCAACAUUUACUGUAAAGUUCUUUUAUCUCUUUGUAGUUCUAGAAAAGUACAAAAUGGAACAUCAUGUAUAUGGUGCCUUCUGUCCUAAAAAAGAAACUGGACAAAUUAUGAACUGCAUGCUAAAAAGAGGCAAAGGAGCUUAAUUCGCAGCAUAAUUAUUUUGGUUUCUAGAGAGCCCGGGGCCUUUUGGUUGGUUUGGGGUCAGAAAAUGAACAUCAUAGGGAUUGUGCCCUUAACUGGCCUUGUUACUACAAAGAAAUUGCCAUAGAAAUUUAUUCCAGGCUGAGUAUCUCCGGAUAGACCCCAGAAAAGAAGAGUCAUAAUGAGAAUCAACCUUUGUUGAGUUUGAUUCCAUGCCUCCAUUGUGUUCAUUUCAUGAAUCUGAUUUGCAUUUAACAUUACAGUUUUGUUCUGGAAACAAUCAAAGGAGCAUCGUUUGCUUCUUGGGUGACCCAUAGUGGUGGGUGGGUCGAUUUGCUUAGUUGAAAAUUGGACAAUUGGCUCCAUCGCCUACCUCUUGGAUUCCAUGCUCGGAUAAAACGACAACAAAUAAAUAUUUAUAACUUACAACUGGGGAAAGGAAAAAAUAGUACUAAAUUCAUGGUACAUGAUAGUGAGAGAAGGGGGUGUUACACUCAGCUAAAGUUCUUUUCUAAAUAUUGCAUGGUGUUUAAUUUUAUGUGUCGGCGCGCGUGUGAAUGGAACCUGCAAAAGUCCAAAUUGGCGUUUCUCCAUUUUCCACAUAGGAUGGUGACGUUAAUAGACAAAGAUACAAUAUCUGUAGACAUUGCUUAAAAAUCGAUGUGAAGUAUUAGAAAUUACAGGCCACUGUACUGGGGGAGCGGCUGCCCCGCCAAAGGAAGAAUGUAGCAAUUUCUUCUGUUAGCCAGGCCUUAGGAUUUAUGCAUGGGAUGCCUAAUAACAAACAGAGAAAAUAUGCUUUUGGGGAAGGUAUCCAACAACAGACACCAUCAUUCAGAUGGUGGGAAGGUAUCCAACAGAUGCCAUCAUUCAGAUGGUAACAUAUAUAUACAUUUAUUAGUGAGUUUUUUUAAUACCUAUAAAAAAAAUAUACACUUUGAUAUUGUGGCUGAAUCCAUUACAUACUCAACUAACCUUGCUCAUUAGGGAUUUGACGUAACAAGGGCAACGUUGCAGUAAAAGCUCGAAACUUUAUGCAGGUGACAUUACAUUUGGUAAAGAAGAGGAAAAUAAGGAAAGCCAUCCAUAAAAGCAAAAUUCCUCAUGGGAUGAAAUUCACAAACUUCAUUUACGUUAGAGUCGCAUCCAGGCAAUUAAUUCCACAUUAGACCGCCUUUUGACAUGUGUACGGAUCUUUUUUCAAAAAUUAUUUAUAAAUAAUUGAUACUUACAAAAAUAAUUUAAGAUUUAUAAAGGAUAAAAAAAUAUUUUCAAAUCUAUGACAAUUUAUAAAAUAUUAAUAAAAAAUUAUCUCUUAAACUUAGUAUAGUUUUAUCGUAUUAAACUUUUAUUUUGAACAAAUAAUUUUAAUCUAAGUUUUAAAUUCUAAAAUUAUUUCCUUAAAAUAAAAUUUUAAAAUUCAACACUUCAAUUGAAAUUGUCUUUUAAAAAAAAUAUCUUCUUAUUUUAAUCCUUAUAAACUAUAGUUGAUUGAAAAUACUAUUGAAGUUCUCUCUUCAAAAAAAGUCUUAUUUUAAUCUUCAUAAAUUGCCCUUGAUUUGAAAAUAAACUUUGGGUUAUCAUAUUUUAAAUAAUAUAUAUAUAUAUAUAUAUAUAUAUAUAUAUAUAUAACAAAUACUCUAUUUUUUUUUUAAAUGAACUAAUUUUAAUUAUAUUUUAUUUUAUUUUUUUAUAUAUUUUUAAUGAUAAACCAAACAUAGAAAAUCAUUUUUCUAAAUAUUUUAAAAUUUCUAAGCAACCAAACAUAAUCUUCAAAAUAAAAGGAGAAUAAGGAGGGACAAGUGAGAAAUGGCGAUUAAAAAAAAGUGUACAAAAGCUCAAUUAAUUUUCUUCUAGUCUUUUAUAUAAAAAAGUAUUGGUAUGUAAAUUAAUAUUUGGAUUUUAAUAGUAUUUUAUUUGUCUUUCUCUAUCUCAUGUAAAAGAGAAUUUAAGAUAUUUCCUAAAGCAAAGCAUUAGUUAUCUGCAAUCAGUGGUGAUCAUGGUCCAUGUCAAUUUCGGACCCAUAUCUUAAAACCGUAUAAUUUGCGUUUCAACAUUACUGAUUUCUCAGAUGUUUCAUACUCCACAGAAGAGUAUUGUUAGUGAAAGCAUUUUGUAACUGUUACUCAUAGUGUUUUGACUCUGGCUCAACAACAUCAGCCAUUGACGGAUUUUCAUACAUGCAAAUCAAAUAGUCUUCUUCCUCCCUUAGGAAUUUCGGUUUAAAUGUUAUUAAGCAUACAUUUGGCUGACAAUUAUUAACCACUUCAUGAUAUGGUUUCUUACCCUUAAUCAAUGGUUUCUAAGUGAAUAUAUGCAGAAGGAAAUCUGAACUGUAGACAGCAGUAUUGAUAACUCUCAAUAUUCUUUAUAUAAGAGAAUAAACAACGUCAUAGUGAUCGUCGCCUACAAGAAAGGUACAUUUCCCAACAAGAUGUAGUGGUGACUGCUACAUGGACGCAAUUAACUCGUAGAAAAGGAUAAGACCAGUGCACGGCAGCUCUUAUUUUACAUGCUAAUUAUGCUAACCAAAGUCACUCAGUUGGGAUGGGAGGGAGAUGGAGGUUUGUGCGGUGGCUUGUGGGGCGGAGUUGGUGGCUUCUUUUCAGGAGCUUGUGGCUUUUUCGGAGCUGAAGGAGGCUCAAUCUUAUGAGGCGGCUUGUACGAGUCUUCUUUACUCUCGACAGGAGGGUGACCAGGGUUGUGACCAUAAUGUGGUGGCUUCUCUCCCUUAGGUGGCUUGCCAACUGGGGUUGGUGGCUUGUGUUCAGGAAGUUGUUUCUCUCCCUUGGGAGGUUUACCAAUUGGGGUUGGUGGCUUGUGUUCUAGGAGUGGUUUCUCUCCCUUGGGAGGUUUAGUGGGUGACUUGUGUUCUGGAGGUGGCUUCUCCACCGGAGACUUGUGUUCUGGAAUUGAUUAAAAAAAUUCUACCACUCUUUUAAGUAAUGGAAGAUUAUUAUCUCUGAUUGGCACCACAACAGCACAUGCUGCUAGAUCUUUCUAGACACUCCAUGCAAUGAAAGCACAAUGGAUCUUGUAACGAUAGAAACUAAGCCAUGCUACAGUACUAGAUGACGAGGUAAAACUAGUAGACAUGGGUGGUAGUUGAUUACUACUCAAAAAGUACUCUUUUAUAGUUUGAAACUAACUGUUUUAAACACUUUUGAGUAGUAGUUAAUAAAUUUUAACUCAAUUGGCACAUUAAGGAACCUAGCAAGGGUUACUAAUAAACUUUUGGCAAGUUUUGGUGUUUUUGGUAGUUAUUCGAUCAUUGAAACAAGCCAAGAAUGAGGGAGAAUUUUGUGAAGUCCAUGGCAAUGCAAGUUAAAGCUCAAAUACACGAAGAAUCCAAGCUUUGGAGCACUACAUAGCCCUUUGCCAAGCCAAUUAGAGAUGCAAGGAACAAAACCAAAGGAAGAAAUCCAACAACCAACAUUUUCGCAUGGUUGUGUGAAAUUUCGCACACCAUGCGAAACCACAAGAGGUAGCCAAAGAAUUUCACAUGGUAUGCGAAAUCUUCUCAUGCACCGACUCCGUUAGAUUUUUAUCUUCAGAUAUUUUGUGUAAUUUCCUAGUUUCUCCUUGUAACCAACCUAGAUAUUUUCUUUUAUAUCUUUUUUUAUAUUUUUUAGGUAACAUCAUAUAUAAGGGGAGAGACAUAAGGAGGAUAUGGAUGUUUUUCAUAGAACACUUGUAAAUUUUCAGUAGUAAGAAAUAUACAAAGCUUUUUGCUAUGCCUUACCUUCUCAUUUUGUUUUCACCUGUCUUUCUAGCCAAACAACCUCUAAGGAUGAUUUCUCAGGGGAUGAGUGGCUAGGUUUUACGUUUCUUGGAGUGAGGGAAGCUAGGUGAAGGACCUGAAUGCAAAGAUGAGAGUUUUCCUUGCUUUAAAUGAAAGUAGUUGUUAAACAUUAAUGGUUUUUAUUUUAAGGUUUAGCUUUAAAUCCCUUAAAAACACCUUGAAUGACCAAUACUUGGUAAGCUUUUCGGAUUCUAUGGAUGCUUAUUGCUAGAUCCAUGGAUGUCUAUUAGUUAUCAUUUACGAGCCUUUGGAAGGUGAUUCAAGGUGAGGGUCUUUAGUGUUUGAAGCCAUUAAUGGGAAGCAAUUACCAUUUUUUCAUGAAUCCUUUGGAUCAAAUCUUAAUUGCUAAAUAUAAAACCGAUUUGGGAAAUAACCAUCCUUUAUGUUAUUAUCCCCAACGCAAGGAGAAGAUCCGGAAUCUUCCCUUUUGUCUAAGGAACCCGAUCCUAGUGACCUAAAGCUCCAAGAGACCUUUUCUUUGUAGUUAACUUCAUUUAUUGUUUUUGCUUAACUUAAAAUCAAUCUUUGCAACCACAAUUCCAUUUUCUUUAAAAGCUAAUUUUUAUAAGGAAAAACACCAUUUUAUUUCCUUCACUAAGUCAACUGUACGAUGAAAACCCAUCCCUGUGGACGAUCCUAGAGCCAUUAUACUAUGUUAGCUAUGCUACCCUAGUGUGAGGUGAUUUAGGUUUUAUAAAUUUUGUUGAUAACACCCAUCUGAGCCAGAAUCAAAUGGCACAACUGAACCAGGGACGAAUCAAAUGGCGCCGCUAUCGAGGAUGGUGCCAAAGUACAUUGACAUGACUUUUGGUGAACACUUGUGAUCUUCAUCACAAGUUUGGUGAUUUUUCUAUUACUAAUUUUUUUCUUUGUUUUUAUUUUAGCUUAUCUUUUAUUUAGUUUUUAGCUAACCUUAACUUUUUCUUAGAAUUGUAUUUCUUCUAUUUUCUUUGUUUUUGUUUCAGUGAUCUUUAGUUGUGCAUGCCCUAUUGGAUAAGAAAUAUUGAGGGAAUACUUGUGAAGAUUGAAAAUCCUCGAGAAACUGAGUUGGAAGUGUGAUUGAACAUCAUGGAUGUUCCACCUGAAGACCAGAAUAGCCAACAUGGUUAAGAGGAUAAUUUCAAAGCAUACCGAUCCAUGAGGGACUGCAUGCAUCCACCUCGUAUGAGUGCACCGUCAUGCAUAGUGCCUCCCACUGAGCAACUAGUAAUCUGACCUCACAUUGUGCCACUCCUACCUACUUUCCAUGGGAUGGAGAGUGAGAAUCUCUACUCGCAUAUUAAGAAAUUCGAGGAGGUUUGUAAUACAUUCCAAGAAGGAGGAGCUUCAAUUGACUUGAUGAGGCUCAAGCUAUUUCCUUUCACUUUGAAGGAUAAGGCUAAGAUUUGGCUUAAUUCUUUAAGGCCAAGGAGUAUCCGAACUUGGACUAAUUUGCAAGCCGAUUUUCUUAAGAAGUUCUUCCUUACCCAUAGGACCAAUGGUUUGAAAAGGCAAAUUUCGAACUUCUCAGCUAAAGAGAAUGAGAAAUUCUAUGAGUGAUGGGAGAGGUACAUGGAAGCUAUUAAUGCUUGUCCUCACCAUGGCUUUGACACAUGGCUCUUAGUGAGUUAUUUUUACGAUGGUAUGUCUUCUUCAAUGAAGCAACUCCUAGAAACUAUGUGUGGAGGAUACUUCAUGAGUAAGAAUCCGAAGGAAGCCAUGGACUUUUUGAGUUAUGUGGCUGAAGUUUUAAGAGGAUGGGAUGAACCAAAUGCUAGAGAGGUGGAAAGAAUGAAGUCUCAACCUAAUGCUAAGGGUGGGAUGUAUGUUUUGAAUGAAGACAUUGACAUGAAAGCAAAGGUUGUAGCUAUGGCAAGGAGAUUGGAAGAGCUAGAAAUGAAGAAGGCACAAAAAGUGGAAGCCAUUUCUGAGACAUCAGUGCAAGCUAUGCCUUGUUCCAUUUGUCAACCUAAUGCUAAGGGUGGGAUGUAUGUUUUGAAUGAAGACAUUGACAUGAAAGCAAAGGUUGUAGCUAUGGCAAGGAGAUUGGAAGAGCUAGAAAUGAAGAAGGCACAAAAAGUGGAAGCCAUUUCUGAGACAUCAGUGCAAGCUAUGCCUUGUUCCAUUUGUCAAUCUUAUGAGUACCUAGUGGAGGAGUGUCCUACAAUUCCAGUAGUGAGAGAGAUGUCUGGUGAUCAAGCAAAUGUUAUUGAUCAAUUCAAGCCUAAUAAAAAUGCUUCAUAUGGCAACACCUACAAUUCAAAUUGGAUGAACCAUCCAAAUUUCUCUUGGAAACCAAAGCUACCUCAAUACACACAACCUGCUCAAGCACCUUAGCAAUCCUCGAAUCUUGAACAAGCUAUUGUGAACCUUAGUAAGGUUGUGGGAGAUUAAAAGUCCAUCAAUGCUCAACUGAAUCAGAGAAUUGACAGUGUAGAGAGUACAUUGAACAAAAGGAUGGAUGAGAUGCAAAAUGAUCUGUCUCAAAAGAUAGACAAUGUCCAAUAUGCAAUCUCAAGGCUUACCAACCUCAACACAGUGCAAGAGAAAGGAAAGUUUAUUUCUCAACCUCAUCAAAAUCCCAAGGGUAUCCAUGAAGUGGAGGCUCAAGAGAGAGAAUCUUCAAAGGUGAGGGAAGUCAAAGCAGUUAUCACCUUGAGGAGUGGUAAAGAGGUUGAUCAACCCACAUCCAAGCCAAAGCAUAAUGAAGAGAGUUUUGUAGAAAAAGAAAAGAGAGGAAAAUAAAGGAAAGAGAAUAGAGAAAAGUACAAAGAAAGAUGACCAUGAGUCUAGUGUGGAUGAAGAGCCCAAGAGGAUAGUGAUCAAGGAAAAUAUGAUGAAGAAACACAUGCCUCCACCUUUCCCCUAAGCUUUGCAUGACAAAAAAGGAACCAAUAAUACAUCGGAAAUUUUUGAAGUAUUGAGGCAAGUGAAGGUCAAUAUCCCUUUGCUAGAGAUGAUCAAACAAGUGCCGACAUAUGCAAAAUUCUUGAAGGACUUGUGCACUGUAAAGAGAGGGUUGAAUGUGAACAAGAAAGCUUUCUUGACCGAGCAAGUGAGUUCCAUCAUACAGUGCAAGUCUCCAGUGAAGUACAAAUAUCCGGGCUACCCUACCAUCUCAGUGAGUAUUGGAGGUACUUGUGUGGAAAAAGCUUUGUUGGACUUGGGAGCAAGUGUGAAUUUGCUACCCUACUCUGUCUAUAAGUAGUUGGGACUUGGAGAGUUGAAGUCAACAUCCAUCACCCUAUCUCUGGCAGAUAGAUCAGUGAAGAUUCCAAGAGAGAUGAUAGAAGAUGUCUUGGUUCAAGUUGACAAAUUCUACUAUCCAGUGGAUUUUGUUGUUCUUGAUACGGAUCCGAUUGUCAAAGGAACUAAUUAUGUUCCUAUCAUACGAAGACCCUUCCUAGCUACAUCAAAUGCAAUCAUCAAUUGUAGGAAUGGAGUCAUGAAACUCACGUUUGUCAACAUGACAUUAGAGCUCAACAUCUUCCAUUUGUACAAGAAGCAUAUCCAUUCAGAAGAAAAAGAAGGUCUAGAGGAAGUGUGCAUGAUUGACACUUUAGUGGAGGAGCAUUGUGAUCGACAAUGCAAGAAGAUUUAGUUGAGAGUUUUGGGGAUCUUGAUGAAGGGUUACUUGAACCCUCAGAUUUGCUUGCUACCCUACUCCAUUGGAGGAAGAGAGAAGAAAUUCUACCCUUAUUCAAUGAGGAGGAGACACAAAGAGCUGCUAAAGAUAAGCCCCCAAAGCUUAUUCUUAAGCCACUACCCACAGAGUUGAAGUAUGCAUACUUGGAAGAAGACAAGAAGUGCACUGUUGUUAUAUCUUUAGCUCUUACCAUUCAUCAGGAGGAUUGUCUACUUGAAGUCCUUAGAAGAAGUAAGAAGGUAAUAGGGUGGCAAAUUUCUGAUUUGAAAGGGAUCAGCCCUUUUGUCUGCACCCAUCAUAUUUACAUGGAGGAUGAAGCUAAGCCAAUUCAUCAACCUCAGAGAAGGUUGAACCCUCACAUGCAAGAAGUGGUGAGAGUUGAAGUUCUUAAGCUACUUUAGGCUGGUAUUAUUUACCCCAUAUCAGAUAGCCCAUGGGUGAGUCCUACUCAAGUUGUGCCAAAGAAGUCGGGGAUCACGGUGGUGCAAAAUGAUAAGGGAAAAGAUGUCUCUACAUGUCUCACUAUAGGUUGGAGGGUGCGUAUCAAUUACAGGAGGUUGAAUGUAGUGACAAGGAAUGACCAUUUCUCGUUGCCCUUUAUUGAUCAAGUGCUUGAGAGGGUCUCUGGGCAUCCUUUUUAUUGUUUCUUGGAUGGCUACUCGAGGUAAUUUAAGAUAGAAAUUGAUGUUGAAGACCAGGAGAAGACCAUUUUCACAUGCCCAUUUAGAACCUAUGCAUAUAGGAGAAUGUCUUUCGGCUUAUGCAAUGCACCCACAACUUUCCAAAGAUGCAUGUUAAGCAUUUUCAAUGAUAUGGUGGAGCAUAUUAUGGAAGUCUUUAUGGAUGAUAUCACCAUAUAUGGAAGUGCAUUUGAUGAAUGCUUGGUCAACUUAGAAGUUGUUCUGAACCGAUGCAUUGAGAAAGACUUAGUGCUUAAUUGGGAGAAGUGCCAUUUCAUGGUACACCAAGGGAUUGUCCUUGGGCACAUCAUCUCCAAGCAAAGCAUUGAAGUUGACAAAGCAAAGGUUGAACUCAUUGUUAAGUUGCCAUUCCCAACAAAUGUCAAAGGAGUAAGGCAAUUCCUUGGCCAUGCCGGGUUCUAUAGGAGGUUUAUCAAGGAUUUCUCUAAGCUUGCAAGGCCUCUUUGUGAAAUAUUGGUGAAGGAUGUUAAAUUCAUAUGGGAUGAUAGAUGCCAAAGGAGUUUUGAAGAAUUGAAGCUAUUUUUGACAACCUCACCAAUAGUGAGGGCUCCCAACUAGCAACUGCCCUUUGAGGUAAAGUGUGAUGUCAAUGACUUUGCUAUAGGAGCUGUUCUUGGGCAAAGAGAAGAUGGAAAACCUUAUGUGAUCUACUAUGCGAGCAAGACAUUGAAUGAGGUGCAAAGAAACUACAUAACCACCGAGAAAGAAUUGUUAGCUGUAGUUUUUGCCUUGGAUAAGUUUCGUGCUUACUUGGUGGGAUCCUUCAUCGUGGUUUUUAUUGAUCACUUUGCUUUGAAGUAUCUAUUGACUAAGCAAGAUGCUAAAGCAAAACUGAUUAGAUGGAUUUUCUUGCUUCAAGAGUUCAAUCUCCAGAUCAAAGACAAGAAAAAAAUGGAGAAUGUGGUAGUAGACCACAUUUCAAGGCUAGCUAUCGCACAUAAUUCCCAUGCUUUGCCCAUUAAUGACGAUUUUCUAGAGGGGUCUCUCAUGUUGGUGGAAGUUGUCCCUUGGUACGCUCACAUUGCUAACUACCUGGUCACAAGAGAAGUUCCAAGUGAGUGGAAAGCACAAGAUAAGAAGCACUUCUUUGCAAAAAUUCAUGCCUACUAUUGGGAAAAGCCAUUUCUAUUCAAGUAUUGUGCGGAUCAGAUAAUAAGGAAGUGAGUUCCUGAAGAAGAGCAACAGGGGAUCCUCAGUCAUUGCCAUAAAAAUGCAUGUGGAUGCCACUUUGCUUAUCAGAAGACAACCAUGAGGGUGCUGCAAUCGGGUUUCUGUUGGCCAUCACUUUUCAAAGAUGCCCACACCAUGUGCAAGAGUUGUGAUCGAUGCCAGAGGCUUGGGAAGUUAUCAUGUAGGAACAUGAUGCCUUUGAACCCCAUUUUAAUAGUUGAUCUUUUUUAUGUUUGGGGCAUUGACUUCAUGGGACUUUUCCCUAUAUCUUUUGGCUACUCUUACAUCUUGGUGGGAAUAGAUUAUGUUUCUAAGUGGGUUGAGGCAGUCCCAUGCAAACACAAUGACCAUAGAGUGGUUCUCAAGUUUCUUAAGGAGAACAUCUUCUCAAGAUUUGGGGUGCCCAAAGCCAUAAUUAGUGAUGGGGGUACUCAUUUUUGCAACAAGCCUUUUGAAACUCUCCUAGCCAAGUAUGGGGUGAAGCAUAAGGUAGCUACACCUUACCACCCUCAAACUAAUGGGCAAGUUGAGUUAGCAAACAAGGAGAUUAAAAACAUAUUGAUGAAGGUGGUGAACACAAACAGAAAAGAUUGGUCAGUCAAGCUCUUCGAUUCACUAUGGUCAUGUAGAACAGCUUACAAGACCAUUAUCGGGAUGUCUCUUUAUCACCUAGUCUAUGGAAAAAAUGCCAUCUCCUUGUGAAAUUGGAAUACAAAGCUUGGUGGUCAAUCAAGAAGCUCAACAUGGAUUUGAGCAGAGCUGGGUUGAAGAGGUUCUUAGACCACAAUGAGAUGGAGGAAUUGAGAAAUGAUGCCUACAUCAAUUCAAAAAUUGUAAAAGAAAAAUUGAAGAGGUGGCAUGAUCAGUUGAUUUCCCGCAAGAAUUUUCAAAAUGGAUAAAGAGUCUUGCUCUAUGACUCUAAACUCCACAUCUUUCCGAGCAAGCUGAAAUCAAGGUGGAUAGGUCCUUUUACCAUUCACCAAGUGCAUUCAAAUAGAGUAGUGGAACUACUCAACUCCAACAACAUCGGGAGCUUCAAAGUGAAUGACCAUUGUCUCAAGCCCUUUGUAGAGUCUUUUUUCUCGCGACAAGGAGGAAUUCAUCCUCCUUGAUCCACAUCAAGCUUGACAAGACCAGUUUUUUUUUAUGGACUUAGUCUUUCUAAAGACUAUCGAGUCCAUAACUUUUUAUUUUAUUUUUUAUUUGAGAGUUUUUCGGUAUUAUUACUUGUUUUGUUUUUUAUUUUUCGUUUUACUUUUAUUUGGUUUGAUUUAACUUAGAUUUUUUAUGAUCAAUUGCAGGGGGGAUUUCAAAUAGAGGAAAAACCAAGAUAAUUCGCACACCCUGCGAAAAUUUCGCAAGGCAUGCGAAAUUUAUGGCUCAUUUCGCAUGGGAUGCGAAAUUUCGCACACCCUACGAACCAAUUUCGCACACUUUGUGAAAAUAAACCAACCCUACGAAAUCAUUUCAAAUACUCUACGAAAUUUUCGCAGAGCAUGUAAAAAAUUUCGCAGACCAAACACCAUUUCGCAUACUAUGCGAAAAUGUAAGGGGUCUACAAAACCAUUUCGCACCUCCAAAGCCAUUUCGCACAUUGUGCAAAAAUGAAAAGUCGCCCUAUCAUCCAUUUUUAAACCCCUUGAGCCCUGAAAUCCCCAUUUCGCAAGCACCCCUGUCCUUGCGAAUCCCUCAUUUUCCUCUGCCACCUUGCGACCUUGUCCCUCUCCAUUUGAUAUCGUGCCCUGCGCACAUCUCAUUUCAAAGACUCGCACUCUGCGCCCUCUCAAAGCACGAACCCAAGGCUCACAUUCCAUUUCCGACAUGGCACAGACCCGAGGAGCCCUUCCCGCCCCUUCAUCGAGACGCACACCAAGGUAGAGAGCCUCUUUUGCUCAGAUGCCAAGUGAUUCUCCAUUUCAGGCCACGGAGGCCCUGCGGAUUCCACAUUCCAAGGGUAGAACAGCCACUGGUCCUUCCUCUUCUAUUCCUCAGCGUAGAUAUGAGACGAGGAGACCACCUACUACACAAAGGGCGACUACUUCGCGCCAUGAGAAUUCGGUACGACACCCUCCUGCCAAGAGGGCCAGGACUUCAGGCCCAGGCGAGUCAUCCAAAGCUUCACAGCCUGAGCCUCCUGCAGAUUCCGAGGUUCCUACUGACAUAUCAUCGGAGUCUAUUAUCAAACGCCCGAUGCUCACAGCACCGCCCAUUGAGGGCAACUCUGAUUGUAGAGCGAGACCUUUCCACUUGGAGCUAUAUUUUAAUUAAGAGGCCAUGCCACAGCAGCCUGAGCUCCAAGACUCUUAUGGCUUACUACAGAGGUACCAUCUUGAGGACCUUAUGACUCCUCGUGAGUUCUUUUAUCCCAGAGUAGCACUAGACUUUUACCAGUCCAUGACUACUCGUGGCGUCCCGAGUCCUACCGCGAUGCACUUCACCAUUAAUGGACGUCAUGGUAUCCUCGAGGCCAGACAUAUUGGAGAGGCUCUACAGAUUCCUUUCGAGCUAGAGGACCCAUCUGUUUUCUGCCAAUGGUCCCCAAUAUCUCAGAGGGACAUGGUCCAUAUUUUAUCCAGGGGGACAUCUACAUAUUCGAUCCUUCUACGGAAGGAGCUUCGACCUGGGAUACUCCUCGUAGAUGUGGUGCUACUUUCCAACCUCUUUCCCUUUUAGCAUUCGAUACAUAGGCGAGGAGCUAUUUUGGACGCUUUAUUCUGUAUAUCAGAGGGCUUCUACUUUGGCCCGCACCACUUGAUCAUGGUUUCCCUCAUCCAUUUUGAGGAGAAGGUCCAUAGAAAGAAGCUUCAGAGGGCGAACACCAUUCCAUUACUAUUCCCGAGGUUGCUCUACUAGAUCUUGGAGUACAUGGGCUUUCCUACUGAGCCUCGGCUUGUGUGCCGCCGCCUUUGUCAAGAGCGAUCCACUCUCGACAAAUGGAAUCAGUUGGCGGGCUAUUCUACACCUCCAGGAGCCCCUCCCAUGGUAGCACCUCUAGUGUCCCCACAGGCAGAGUAGGGCAAGCUCCCGGUAGAGACUGCACCCCUAGUGCCCACACCUGAGGCUACUUCUGCUGUUCCGCCUACGACUCCUACUGUUCCACCAGUUGGUCCUUUUACAUCUGAGUCUUCCAUCAACAUCUCGACUUCGGAGUUUCGCGCCCUUGUGCAUACCUUUCAGACACUCACCACCACACAUACUGCUCUCUUCUAGAAAAUGGCUGAGAUGCGUGCCCAUCAGGACCAGCAGACUACUAUACUCCGCCAAAUUCAACAGCACCUGGGACUUCUGCCUCUGCCUCAGCUUGACCUUCCCACAUCAUCAGAGCCUCUAGCUCCAGUUGAGGAUACUAUUCCACCUGAGGACACUACCACAGUAGAGGUUCAGAUUCCACCACCUCAGGAGGCCACCACAGCUACAUUAGAGGAUGCAUCAUCUCCACCUGAGGCUCCCACUACUUGAUCAUAGGACAUCUCUUUAUCUUAUUGUAUUUACAUAUUAUAUUACUGGAGAUUUGUCUUUGUUUUGAUACUUUAUAUUCUGGCAUUGAAUGUAUUGCCUAAUGAUAUCUCAAUUGUACUUUCUCAUAUUAAUAUAUAGACAUCAAUUUUUUUUAGUAUACUUAGGAUUUUUCUAUUUACUCUACUCAUUACUCUUUUGUUUUUUUUUUUUUACUCAUGUGGUUUCUCCUAUACGACUCAGACUCCAUUUCACUCAGGAGGUACCACUUCUUCCCUUUAUUUUCAAUUGCUCUUGAAACAUUGAGGGCAAUGUUGAUCUUGGUUGGAGGGAGAGUUGAGGAAGGAAGUGAUUACUACUCAAAAAGUGCUAUUUCAUAGCUUGUAAUUAACUCUUUUAAAACACUUUUGAGUAGUAGUUAUCACCUUUUAACCCAAUUAACAUAUUAAGGACCCUUGCAAUCAAUUCUAAUCAAAUUGUGUUAAGUUUUGGUAUUUUGAUAGCUUUUUUAUCACCAAAGCAAUCCGAGAUUGAGGAUAUUUAUUUGGAAUCCAUGGCAAAAGAUGUUUGGACAGGACGUCCGGACACACCAUCGGAGGGCGGCGGAACGUGGGCUGUGGCAGGCUGUCGGAAUGACGUAGCAAGGCUUGUGCACUUUAGCCAAUGAUCGGGAUAACAUAUCCGAAAUUCUGCUCCGCCGACAUUCCACCCGGAUGUCUCACAUCCGGAAUUCUGCUCCGCCGACAUUACACCCAGAUGUCUCACAUCCAAAAUUCUUCUCCGUCGACAUUCCAUCCGAAUAUUUCACAUCCGACGCUUGACGCCGGAUGGGAGAGGAGGGCGUUUCAACUUCCCCGGUCAGACAUAUCCGAAUCCUUUGAUAACGCUUACCCGGAGAGUUUCGCAGCCAUUUUGCACAGUGCCGCGGUGUUCUCUUGAAGCUUCCCGAUAUGUGCGACCGACAUUUUGAGAUAUUUUGCUUUAGAUAUUUGAUGUCUAAAUCCCCAAACUCUCCUUGUAACCCACCAAUUAUAGGAUUCCUUAGUUAUUAAGUUUGGAAAAAUGGUGAAUAACCCCUUAUAUAUAGUUUGCAAUUUUCAUAAAAAAGAUAUGUAGAAUCUCGGGAGCUUGUUCCCAGAGAGACGCAUCCUUUGUACAGUUUUGGAAGGAAGUAAAAUACAGAGCACUUGCUCUGCUUUUCAUAUAUAUUUUUGUUUUCUCGUUCUUUUUAUUUCUAGCCAAUCAAAGUCUGAGGAUUUUUCCUCAGAGGAUGAGAGGCUAGGCUCUUCGUCUCUUGGAGUGAAGAAAACUAGGUAAGUUUCCACAUGCAUAAAUUGAAAGUUUUGUUGUUUUAGUUUUUAAUGAAGAGAAAGUGUGACCCGUUAAUGGUUUUUAUCUUUUUAGUUAACUUAAAACGCCUUUAAAUCACCCGGGCCAACACUUGAUAAGGCAAGUGGUCUCCAUCCAUUGAGAUGCACUAGUUUAUCUCUUGCGAGCCUUUGGGAGGUGGUUUGAAGGUAGGAUUUUCUAGAAUAACCAACACUUGAUAAGCUUUUGGACUCUAAGGAGACAUCCAUUAGUUAUCUCUUGCGAGCUUUUGACGGGUAAUCCAAGGUUAAAGAUCACCUUGAAUGGCAAGUACUAGGUGAGAGGUAUGAGCCAUUGCAAGAUGCAUUAGUGAGAGGGAUUUAGUGUUUGAACCCAUUAAAGGGAAGCAUCUGUACCACACCGGUUCGGGAAAUAACUAUAUGUUAAAUCCCCAAUGAGAGGAAAAGAAACAAGUGACCGGAACUCCCUUUUUGUAUAAGGAACCUGAGCCUAGUGAUCUAAACUCCAAGAAACACUUUUCUUUGUAAGUAAAAUCAGUUACUAUUUUUGGUUAGUUUAAAACCAAACCUUUUUCAUUCAAACAUCUUUAUGUUUUCUUUUAAAGCUAACCUUGAAAUGAAAAGGCACCAAUUCAUAUUUGAAUUAAUAUCAAUUGUGAAGUGAAAACCCAUCCCAGUGAACGAUCCUAGAGCCACUAUGCUAUAGUAGCUUUGUCUUUGCUACCCUAGUUCAUGGUUUAAUAGGUUAUAAAUUUUGUUGAUUACUCCCACAAUCAAAGGAGCACCAGUUGGACAUGAAUCAACUGAGACACUAAUUGGGCACAAAUCAGGAAGUUUUGUUAAUAAUGCUAGGUUAAUUUGUUAAUUUAGUUACUUUCUGCUUAAUUUUAAAAGUUUUCACUUUACUUUCCAUAGUUAUUAAGGAAAAAUUCUCAAAAUGAAAUGGGAGAAAUUGAAUUCUUACAUUUUUACUUGAAUUUUAGAAUUUGUAUUAUGCUUAUUGAAGCUGAUGAAUUAUUGAAACUCCUAUUGAAUUCAACCUUAUUUCUUCCACUUUAAUCUUACCACACACGGUGCACAUUAGGUUCCGAUUAUAAGAGGUGCGUUCUUAGCCUAUUGGAGGUUGGUCAAUUUGUUAAAGUUUGAGAAAGAUCUAGGUUAGGGGAGAGAGAAUAGUCUGACAUACUAUAAUCGAAAACUAAUAAACUUAACACUUAGAUCUUUGUGGAAGAGUAAGGAUUGGACCUUUGGGAGUGGAAAUUCGUUUGAUGCUUAAAUUUGCAUAAUGCUUACACUUUAUAAAUUGUGAUUAGGCAAGAGAUUUGAUGACUCUUGUUCAAGGUUGGGUUUUGCCUCUUUGAUGUUCCAUGAGAGAGUAUAAUCCUCAUCAUGCCACUUGAAAUUUUUUUUGGAGUGAUUAACAUGAUUUUGUAAAUUACUUUACUGUCUAUUUUUUUUUUAUCUCUCCUUCAUUGCUAAUGGACUAGCAAUAUGUCAGUUGAGGGGAGUGAUUACUACUCAAAAAGUACUCUUUUAUAGCUUGAAACUAACUGUUUUGAACACUUUUGAGUAGUAGUUAAUACCUUUUAACUCAAUUGGCACAUUAAAGAACCUAGCAAGGGUUACUAAUUAGUUUUUGGCAAGUUUUGGUGUUUUUGGUAGCUAUUUGAUCAUUGAAACAAGCCAAGAAUGAGGGAGAAUUUUGUGAAGUCCAUGGCAAUGCAAGUUAAAGCUCAAAUACAUGAAGAAUCCAAGCUUUGGAGCACUUCAUAGCCCUUUCCAAAGCCAAUCAGAGAUGCAAGGAAGAAAACCAGAGGAAGAAAUCCAACAAUUAGCAUUUUCGCAUGGCUGUGCGAAAUUUCGCACACCAUGCGAAACCACAAGAGGCAGCCAAAGAAUUUUGCACACUAUGCGAAAUUUCGCAUGGUAUGCAAAAUCUUCUUGUGCACCAACUCCGUUAUAUUUUUAUCUCAAAUAUUUUGUGUAAUUUCCUAGUUUCUCCUUGUAACCAACCUAGAUAUUUUCUUUUAUAUAUUUUUUAGGUAACAUCAUCUAUAGGGGGAGAGACAUAAGGAGGAUAUGGAUGUUUUUCAUAGAACACUUGUAAAUUUCCGGUAGUAAGAAAUAUACAGAGCUUUUUGCUCUACCUUACCUUCUCAUUUUGUUUUCACUUGUCUUUCUAGCCAAACAACCUCUGAGGAUGAUUUCUUAGGGAAUGAGUGGCUAGGUUUUACGUUUCUUGGAGUGAGGGAAGCUAGGUGAAAGACCCGAAUGCUAAGGUGGGAGUUGUCCUUGCUUUAAAUGAAAGUAGUUGUUAAACAUUAAUGGUUUUUAUUUUAAGGUUUAGCUUUAAAUCCCUUAAAAACAUCUUGAAUGGUCAAUACUUGGUAGGCUUUUUGGAUUCUAUGGAUGCUUAUUGCUAGAUCCCUGGAUGUCUAUUAGUUAUCAUUUAUGAGCCAUUGGAAGGUGGUUCAAGAUGAGGGUCUUUAAUGUUUGAAGCCAUUAAUAGGAAACAAUUACCAUUCUUUCAUGAAUCCUUUGGAUCAAAUCUUAAUUGCUAAAUAUAAAACUAGUUCGGGAGAUAACCAUCCUUUAUGUUAUUAUGCCCAACGCGAGGAGAAGAUUCGGAAUCUUCCCCUUUGUCUAAGGAACCCGAUCCUAGUGACCUAAAGCUCUAAGAGACCUUUUCUUUAUAGUUAACUUCACUUAUUGUUUUUUCUUAACUUAAAAUCAAUCUUUGCAACCACAAUUCCAUUUUCUUUGAAAGCUAAUUUUCAUAAGGAAAAUCACCAUUUUAUUUUCUUCCCUAAGUCAACUGUACGAUGAAAACCCAUUCCCAUGGACGAUCCUAGAGCCACUAUACUAUGUUAGCUAUGCUACCCUAAUGUGAGGUGAUUUAGGUUUUAUAAAUUUUGUUGAUAACACCUGUUUGAGCCAGAAUCAAAUGGCGCAACUGAACCAGGGACGAAUCAACAACUUAUAUGGGAGGGACACAAGUUUAAUUGAUUUGCAUUUCAACGUUAUAUAUAGGUAUGUUUUGGAAGAUUUGUUCUGGAAAUACUGCACCAAGUACGAUUCUUUUUGUCUUGAGUGGGUCUACUUGCAUGCCAAUUAACGAGUGGAAAAGUAGGAGCACCUACCUCAUGCUCGCGGAACCGAAGGUCAGUGAAGUGGGGCUCCUUUUGGCCUCUUGUGUUUCUAUUCCAACCAAGGCGGCGUAAGGAAAAACAACAAUAUGUUUGUGCUAAAUAUCAACGCAUGAUAGAUGUUUUUGUUUUUUGGUAUGUCAAGGCUAAUGAAUGAAAUGCUUUAGCUUGUUUUGUGACUGGAACUGCAAAUGUCCAAAUUGGAGUAUCUCCAUUUCUCACUUCGGAUGGUUAACUUAUAAACAAGAUAUAGGAAACAUGUGAACAUCUUGAGGAACAAUUUGAAUUAUUCAUUAGAAGUCCUGGGUUGAGUUCCAAGAUUUAAAUUAGACCCCUCUAGCAGCUUCAGGGGUACCUAGCAACCUAUAGCAUAUUAAUGAAGAUUUAGGAUUUAGACUCUAGAAUACAAAUUAAUAUGUAUCUCAUGCUUUGACUAGCUUCCCUACAUAUGCACAAAAUGGAGAUGACCUAAAAAAAUAGCAGAAUCUAGCUUCCCUACAUAUGCACAAAAUGGAGAUGACCCAAAAAAUAGCAGAAUUUCCUUAGUUUCUGUGGUUAAGGUGAUUCUCCGCUUAAUAUCACAUUGACUCAUUAUGCAAAAUCAACUGAGCUAAUUUUGUUUAUUUAUUUAAUGUCAAAUAGGAACUCCUAAUUAACCUAACCCUUGGCCUGUGUAAAUUGAUUUCACAUGCCCAAUGUUGAAGUAGAAGUCCAUAUUUUGAAUUUUAUUUUUGUAAAGGUAAGGAAAAUGAAGCAUUGUGUAAUUAUAAAAAUAACUUCAUUGGAAUUCACAAGGUUCACCCAAAAUGGAGCUACAUCCGUAUUCUAUCCUGCAGUAGACUAUAUAGAUUGUACAAUAGUAAAUUGCAAAUACAAUUAAUAAGUCUUGUGCUUCCUUACUAAUAAUCCUUUGACAUGAACAUUGCAGCACUAAGGUCCUCUUGGGAAGACACCUUGCACCCAUGAGAGCACGAAGAGGAAGCAAGGCAGAGUCAUGGGUGCAAUGUCAUGACUUGUUGUUGCACCAAGAGAGGCUUGGUGAUGGCAUGGUGUUGCAGUAGCAAGAAUGUUGCCUUGGUAGGGACAUAAUCUAGGGAUAGAUGCCAAGAAAGGCUUAGCACUCACAUGAGUUGCACAAAGAUGAAUGUAAUAGAGCAUCAGAGAGACGUCUUGGCAAGUAAAUGAAUGGAUCCAAGAGGCAACAACAUGAGGAGUUUCAAAUGGAUAAGGAAUGAGUCAAAGACAUUUGAAAGCUACAAGUUGGAUUCUAAUUACGAUUGCAAUUUGAGUUUGAGUAGGAGUUUAGAUUCUGAUUGUAAUUGUAGUAUGAGUUGGACUAGGAUUGCUUAUCCCUAGUCAAAAUAGGAGUGGUUCGUGUCACACCCUAUGAAAAGAGUUUGAGUAGGGACUAGGAUUGCUUACUCCUAGUCAAAUAUGGAGUAGGUGGUGCCACACCUAUAAAAAAAAAGGGACAACAUGAGAGAGAGAGAGAGAGAGAGAGAGAGAGAGAGAGAGAGAGAGAGAGAGAGAAAGAGAUAAUGAAUUCACUAAAGAUAUUGUGGGAGUUUUUCUUUGUUACGUCUUGUAUUAUUACUUAGAAUAGGAAUAAAAUACAAGUUUGGGCUAGAGCCCCAUAAUUAAUCUCGUGUGCCUUUGUGGUUAUUCUUUAUUUGUCAUCUCGUGUGGAUUGGAUUACAUUGACUUAGAGGGCUUCUAAGCACCACCUUUGUGGGUUAUUAUUUAUUUUCCAUUUCUUGUGGAUUAGAUUAGGUUGACUUUGAGGGCUUUUAAGCACCACCUUUGUGGGUUAUUCUUUAUUUUCCAUAUCGUGGGGAUUGGAUUAGGUUGACGAUGAGAAAAAUUAUGUGGGAAAUUUGUGUUGGGACACUUAUCAUAACCAGGUAAAAUCUGCCAAGUCCUUUGUAAUAUCUUCAACAAAUAUUUCAGACUAGUUCUUCACCAUAAACAUCAUAUUGUGUUUUGUUUUUCUCCUGGAUUCUGAGUUGAAUUGUUUCAAGUCAAUUGAAUGCAUCUGAAUAUUAUUAGCUUGUUUGAAGGCCUGGUGAUUUUCCAUUUAACUUUACUUUCUUUAGGUUAUGCUCACUAUAAGAAAAAUGAGAAAUAAUGACGCUUUUUACGCGUUAAGAAAGGCAACAGAUGAUGCUUCUCUAAAGCGUCCUCUUCGGCUCUGUCAUUAUAUGUGUUAGCCAAUAAUGACGCUUCUAGGAAGUGCCAUCUUUGAAUAAUGUUAAUAACGACACUCGUAAAAAGUGUCAUCUUUAAACAUAUUCUGGUCAAAUAAUUUUUACAAAAUUAGUAAUCUUCAAGCCGUUUCUGAAUCAUAUCUGAGCCUAUUUCUGGGGACCAGAAAACCAUCUUUUUUCCAUUCGCCUGAGAGGUCUGAUUAGCAUUUCUGGAAUCAAUCUCUAAACCCAAGCUUCCCUCAUCUACCCAUUUAACCCUCAUGCCCUCCUGUUUGAACAACUUUCCCACUAUAUACACAAAUUUUUUACCUUCUGUUGUUGGUAUUCGACCUCUUCCCAUUCCCAGCACAGAAUCCACCAUUAGUGCCACUUUGUGAAUAAAAUCAUCGAACCAGAUCUUUCGGGCGGAAGAUGAGCUCCAGAGAAAUAAAAUUUUUGGGGUCUUCCCAGCAUGAAAGUCAUAGGUAGCAUUAAUGACAUCAAGAAAUGGGGCACUGUUGAGAAAAAACAUGUUCCCAUCAACCACCCAAGAAUUGUACCAGACUCCAAACACUUCUGGAUUACAUAUGCCUUUACUAAGAUAUAUUUCUUGAUCUCCAUAUCAGAAUCUUGGAGACUCUUCAUUUUAUGAGCUCUGACACUACUGUGAAAUUGGUCCACAUCAAUCACAGGAUGACCCCUUCUAGCAAGAUCAAGCAGGAAGUCUGAAUUCGGGCCCAUAAAAAUGUAGUUCUGAAUAUUGAAACUCUCAAAGUGGCACAACAAAUUCCUUAUGACUCUUUCAGAUGCUCCAAACAGGCUCACAAGUAUAAUGGUAUCCUGUUUUUGCACAGAGUAAAGAAAAUAUCCGAGUUCUUCAAAACUCCUUACAACUAUUCCAGGAUGUACUUCUUUGAAACAGAAAUCGUACCACUUUAGCUUAGUCAGAGGUUGAAUCUAAAAUAACAAAACCCAAACUGAAAUCAAAAUCGAAAUCAACCCUAAUAGAUUUCAGAAACAACAAAUUAAAAGAGUAAAGCACAAAAGGGGGAAAACACAUAUGAAGCAAUCUCCAUACAAGCCCUAACCUUAGAUAAACCCAAAAAAAAAAAUCAAAGCAGAGAGUUACCAUAGAGCAUCUCUGUUUCAAGCUUAGAAAAUGUUUAAUGCCAUUGAUAACUAGUUGGCUAGUGGUGGACUUCAAGCUUCUCUAUUUCGGUGUUAGUAGCUCUCAAUGGCUAUGGUGAGAACAAAGAAAUGAGAGGCUUAGGGUUUGGGAUGUGAGGUUAUUGAUGAUGAUGAGGAUAAAGUUAUGGGCUCUUGGAGGGGUUAGGGAAAUUGAAGAUGGCUGAGAGUAAAGGCUAGGGUUUUUGAGAUAGUUAAUAGCUUUUUAGGGUGUGACUGUCCAUAGAUAGAAGAUAAAUGAGGGUGUGAGAAUUUAUAGAUCUCUAGGUGAUAUGGCGGGUGUGAGAAUGAAAUUUUAGAGGGAAUUGUGUGUUUGGUAGAAAUUUCACACAUGCAUAUAUAAUGUUUCAGAACAUGGCACUUUAAAAAUACGACAAGGAAGAAAUUAUUUAUUGACGCUUAAAUAAAGCGCCAAGGUCUCCAACAUUUUUGCAAUCAAUGACGUUUGUAAAAGGUGCCAUUGAAUAGGAGUGCCAUUGCUUUCCCACAAAGCAUCAUUGUUAAUCAAGCCUUUAAAAAACGCCAAGAUAUGUUGCCACUUAGGUUAAAUAUUGACGCUUUUAAAAAACGCCAAGGAAAAAAACGUCAUUAUUCAUGUUUUUUGUAGUAGUGGCUUGAUUCCUAAAAAGUAAAGGAAAGCAAAAAGUAAAAAAAUAAAAAUGUGGAGAGUUAGGACAUGCGUUAUCUAAUUGUCCUAGUCCCAAAUAUAUUAAGAAAGUCAUGUAGGUUACUUGGAGUAACGAGUCAAGUAAAGCAAGCCUUCUAGUGUUUAAGACAUUAGAUAUUACCGAACUGAUUAUGUCAUUAAUGUAUUGCAUUUGUUGUUUCUAAUAUAUAGAAGAAGAUGAAAUUAUUGGAAUAAGUGGGAAAUAGGAAUAAAUCCAAGGUACCAAAAAGUCACUUUAUCUUAGAUGUUGUUGGAAACAUAAGUGAUUUCACAAUAACGACUAUGAGACAAUCAAGGAUUAAUAAGAUAGACUUUAUAUGAUAUACCUCCCAAUUAGAGCCUAAAAAUAUGGAUGAAGCACUUAGAGAUGAAUCUUCAAUUUUUGUACUAUAGGAAGAAUUAAAUCAAUUUGUUAGCUAUUCUUUGGAUAUUUGAUUCAUCACAAGCUACAAAUCACUUUUGAUGACCAAACACGAAACUAAGAGGAUUGGGCCCAAUUCGAUGCCUAUCAACAAUGAUUUGUAUUCCACCUCAUUAAUUAUUCAAAGUUGGGAAGCUAGGUCUAACCACUUUCUCUACCUGUUCACCCUUAGAGGAGCAGAAGAAAAUUCUAACUUUGGUGCCUAAUGCCUUUGACAAUCUUUCGACAAAGAGAGUUCACUAAUUACUUUGAUUAUUUCUCUGUUGGUCACUGGGGGACAAGACUUUUGUAAUGAAGUCAACUAGAACUUGCCCUUUGAGGGCCAUUCAUGGACGAUAUUACACCAUGAAUUCCCUUAGGUCAUGUUUGGUAUGUGAGAAUGAGGAGUGGAAUGGACAUCUUAUUCAUUUUUUCAUCUAUUCAAAUGUUGGGAUAACUCAAGUGACCAUGAGAAUGAAAUCAAGAAUGAUUCAAGGGAAAUGAAAUCUUACUUAUAAGUGUGAUUUCAAUUAAUCUCUAAUAGAAAUUAUUUUGAAUCAAUAGUGCAAGUUAUUUUUAAAAACAUUUUUCCAAAAUUAAAAAAAUCAAUUUUUUUUUUUUCGAUAAGUUGUUUUUAAAAGGAUUUUUUUUAUUUUGUAAAAAGAAAAUUGUAAUUCAAUUUAUAUAAUAUAAACUAAAUUUUAUUUUAUUCAAAAAGAAAUAAUUUUUUAAUUAUAAAUAAAUUAAAAAUAAAUACUUUUAAUAAAAUAUAAAUAGUAUUAUUAUAAUAAAAUCAUAAAUAAAUUUAAUUUUUUUUAUAAAUAUUAUAAAAAUAUGGAUAUUAACAUUGGAUAAUUGAUUUAUUUUGUUAAAAUAAAAAAUAAUAAUUUUUAAUAUUAUUUUAUGUUAAAUGAAUUUUAAAAUAAAGAAAGUUUAAUUAUUUUAAGGUAUAGAAGAGCCAAAUUUUGCAUUACAUACAUAACAAACAAUAUUUAUUAGAAACAUUUCUCAAGGAGAAUCUUAUUCCAUCUCACAAAGAUACUCGUUUAUUCGAUGUUUGACCAUCCGUAACAAUCAUGUCAAUUCUACUGAUUUAAUAAUUCCUUUACAUUUAUUACUCACUUAUGAACAUGGUAUUGUGAUUUAUUUAUUUAUUUGAUGUAUAAUUAAUUAAUCAAUUUUUUAAAUUUCAAAUUAUUUUUAAAAACUAUUCAUUAAGGAAUUUAAAGCAUUAAUUAUGUCUAUUAUUUUUUAUAGUCAUUAUAUAUAUAUUGAGUUUUAAUUUAUUUUUAAAAAUUAUUAAACUUAUUAAUAAAUUCAAUAUAAAGUCUCGUUUCAUUUGAAAUUCAUUUCUUUAGUGAAAAUUUUGAAAAAAAAAUUGUUAUUUAUUUUACUUUGUUUUAAAAAAAUUGUUUCUAGAGAACAAUAAUCAAAUAAUGGUAUGAAUUUUUAAAAACAAUUUUGUUUUUAAAUCAUAUGCCCAAAUAAUUUUUUUUUAUUUAGCAAAAAACUUUGUUGUAGUAUGUGGCUCAUAUUGAGGGAAAGACAUAUAUGGAGAAAAAUGUGCAAAUGUUGGAGUGGAGCGGAGUGGAAUGACGACAUUUGUCAUUCAAACUUGUAUUUUUAUUGUUAAGGGUGACCGAUAGGUUGGUACGGUUUAGGGGUAUUUUUGGAAUUUCAUUACCUGAGGGUUAGUAUAAAUACCAUUUUAUGUAACCCUAAUUUUACAUAUAAUGUAAGUUUUCUUCCUUGUUCUUGUGGACAUAGGCAAUCCGUCGAACCACGUUAAAUCUGUGUGUUUUUUUUUCUUUUUUCUUUUUCUCUAAUUUCUUCACCAGGAAUCGUUACACUAAGAUCAACAAACUCUCAAAGAUGAUUUUUAAAAUGAAAAAAAUAAUGUAUAGUGUGAGAAUUUUUUAUUUUUUAUUUUUUUAAAAUGAAAAUAAAAAAUUGCUUUAAGGUAAAAGUGUGGAUAUUAUUGUUAAUUUAUUUCAUUUUUCAUUUUCAUUUCCAUUGUUACCUACAAUUGAAAUGGAAACAACUAAUCAUUACAACCUUACAUUCUUAUAUGCAUCCAAAUACAAAAAUUGAAAUCACCAAAUUCAUAUUCAAGGCAAAAUAGGAAUGAAAACAAAUAUUCAUUCUCAUUCUUUAUUCCCACGUGUCAAACAUGACCUCAAAGUUAUAAACAUGAACAAGAAGUCCUUGAAACACCAAUGAUCUCUUCUGGUAUAUAUAUGAGCUUGAUUGACAACUGUUUUAAAUACAGUUUUUUUUUUUUUUGUUUUCAAAAUCAAAACAAAUUUAUUUUUAUUUUUUAUAAAUAGUAGUUUUUUAAUAUUUUUUUUAAACCUUAUUAUGAAAAUAGGAUGUUUUCUAAUAUCAUAUUUUAAUUAUUUUCAAUUAUUUUCCCUUCUUUUAAGGAGGGCUAUUUUAAAAAUAUGAAAAAUGAUACAAAAUAAAGCAUUACAAAUAAAAAUCAUUUUUAAGAAAUAUAUGAAAAUAAUUUGAGAACAUUUGAAGUUCCUUAAUUAAACUUUUGUUCUAGAAAAUGCAAGAAAACUGUUUUUGAAAAUUGUUUUCAUAAUGAUAUGCAUUGAUCGUUUAAAAUUUAAUUACAUGAUAAAAAGACCUAUGUAAAAACCAGAGUUAUAUAAUCAGUCAUAGAUCAAAUCUACUAAAUAUGAAAAGUAAGUACAUAGUUGUAUAUGACUUAGAUGGAGCCUUCUCCGAAUGACAUUCUUUAGUCGGUACUCAUAUUUUUUUGUUUCGUGUCUUCAACAUAACACCUCAUGAUCCUUAAUAAAUCACCUGAAAACUAUAUUAGCACCUUAUUGUUUAAUAUUUCUCUAAAUUUUUUUAUUAAGCAAAUAAAUUCCAAAUUUAAAAUGACAAAUAAAAUUUAUUAAUUUUUAAAAAUAAUUUAAAACUCAAAAACCAAUUUAAUUGAUAUUAAAAGUCAUGAAACUUAAUAAUAUUAGAAAGUCAUGUAUCCAAAUUUAUUUUAAAUGACUUGUUUAAUUUCUUGUUUAUAUAUAUUAUAUUUUUAUAAUUUUUUUUACUAUACAAAUAAAUUUUAAAUUAAACAAAACUUAAUGCGUUGAAUUCAUUAACGAGUCUAAUAAUUUUUAAAAGUUACUUAAAAUUUAAAUACUAAAUCAAUUAGUACCACAAAUUCAUGGAAAAAAAUUGAUUUAUUACUACUAUAUUGUUUCUCUAUUGCAUAGAACCAUUAUUUUUCAAUUUUUUCAUUUGGCAAAUGAACAUCAAAUUAAACAAGACUAAGUGUAUUAAAUUCAUUAAUGGGUCUAGUAAUUUUUUAAAAUAAUUUAAAAUUCAAAUAUUGAUACUCCAAAUUAAACAAGACUUAGGUGGUGUUUGUUUUUUGGUUGAAUAGAAAAAGGUAAAAUAUUUGACUUUUUCUAUUUAGUUAAAAGUAACUUGUUGACAUCGUCCAAUAUAAUUAAAGUAAACCUAUUGAGGGCAAGUUCACUUUAAUUAUGUUGGACGAUGUCAACAGGUUACUUUUAACUCAAUAGAAAAAAUCAAAUAUUUUGACUUUUUUUUUAACUCAAAUAAUAAAUCCAUUAAUACAAAAAAAUUAUGGAUAAUUUGAAACUUUCUUUCUUUUUUUUUUUUUUUUUGCUACACAUAGCUAUAUUUUUAUAAAUUUUAUCAUUAGAGAAAUGGAUUUCAAAUCAAGUGAAACUUUGUAUUGAAUUAAUGGAUUUAACAUUUUUUAAAAAUAAUUUGGAACUAAAAAAAAAAGAUUUAAUUACUAAGAAAAUCAUAGAUCAAAACUAAUAUAUUCUGAUCCAUGAUUUUAUUAUUUUUCCUAUACAUACAAUUAUAUUUUUAUAAUUUUCUCACUAGGUAAAGAUAUUAUAAAUUAAGUGACACAUAAUUAAUAAUUUAAAUUUUUGAAUGAAUCUUUUAAUUUUAGGAAUAAUUUGAAAUUUAAAAAGUUGAUCCAAUUAAUUGUAAAUUAACUUAAAAUAUUAUAAAAUAUUAUGUUCAUAAUUAAGUACUAAAUGUAUAUAUGUAAUGAAAACUUAACUAGUUACAUGUUACAAAAGCCAAAAUUUAUUCAUUCUUUAUUUUAAAUAAAAUAUUAUUAAUAAUUAUUUUUUUUAAAAUAAUAUUUAGUAAUUAUUGUUUUUAAAUUAUUAUUAUUAAUUUUUAAUAAAAAAAUUGCAAAGUUAUUAAUAUCAUUAUAUUUCUAACAUAAAUUUAAAUAGUAUAUUUUUUAAUAUAUAUAUAUAUAUAUAUAUAUAUAUAUAUAUAUAUAUAUAUAUAUAUAUAUAAUUUAUGAUUUCAUUAUAAUAUUUUUAUUCAUGAUUGACGAAAAAUUAUUUAUUGUUUAAUUUAUUUGAAUUGCAAAACUAUUUUUCAAAAUUCAAGCGAGAAAAUAGGCCUGGAUUUGAAUUUCCUGUAGAAGAGAAGGAUGUGGAGAAUAUGUUGGGAGUAUUUGUGGAUAAAGAAAAGGCCAGGGUACUGAGAAAGGAGAGAGAACUUGCUCUUGCCAAAAGAGCCCUGCACAGGUAUUCUACUGAUUCUAAUUAUCGGUUCUUACAUGAUCAGAUUUCAGAUUUAUUUGCUGAGCUUCUGAAAUCUGAUACAGUAUUUAAACUCCGGUGAGCUUUACAAGAUUAGUCUCGCAUCCAAUUCCAAAUGGUGUCCCACAAUUGAUUCUUCUUAUGAUAAAUCCACCUUGAUAUGUGAAAAUAUUGCUCGAAAGGUUUAUCCUCGCGAGGAAUAUCCAGAAUACUAAGGAAUUGAGGAGGCUCACUAUGUUUAUAGAGUCAGGGAUAGGUUGAGAAAACAAGUAGUUGUUCCAUUACAUAAGGCCCUGGAGUUGCCAGAGGUUUUCAUGUGUUCGAACAAGUGGGGAUCACUUCCCUACAACCCUGUGGCUUCAGUGGCCAUGAAAUCAUACAAGAGCCUCUUCUCAAACCAUGAUACAGAGCGGUUUGGUGAGUAUCUUGAGAAAGUGCAAACUGGGAAGGCUAAGAUUGCAGCUGGUGCAUUACUUCCCCAUGAGAUUAUAGCUUCAUUGAAUGAGGAGGAUGCCGAGAGAGUUGCCGAGCUUCAGUGGGCAAGAAUGCUGGAAGAUUGAUCAAAGAAAGGGAGGCUCACAAAUUGCAUUGCAGUAUGUGACGUAUCAGGAAGUAUGAGUGGAACUCCAAUUGAGGUGUGUGUGGCUCUGGGGCAGUUAGUUUCAGAGCUCAGUGAAGAUCCAUGGAAAUUAAGGUAAUGUAAUUACUUUCAGUGCAAAUCCUGAGCUUCACAAGAUCCAAGGAGACAGCCUUGUAUCCAAGACUGAAUUUGUGAGGAUGAUGGAAUGGGGUGCCAACACUGACUUUCAGAAAGUUUUGACAGAAUCUUACAAGUAGCAGUGGAGGGAAAUAUGAGUGAAGAUCAAAUGAUAAAGAGGGUUUUCGUUUUCAGUGAUAUGGAGUUCGAUGAAGCUUGUGGGAGGUAUAACUAUUGUGACUAUGACUAUGAUAUGGAGGAAAUUGACGAGAGUCAGAAGGCAUCUCAGAAGUGGGAGACAGAUUAUGAAGUGAUACAGAGGAAAUUCCAGGAGAAAGGAUACAGAAAAGUUCCAGAGAUAGUGUUUUGGAACCUUAGAAACUCAUCAGCGACUCCAGUGACGGCCACAGAGAACGGGGUGGCCUUAGUAAGCGGGUUUUCAAAGAAUCUGUUGACCUUGUUUUUGGAAGGAGGUGGAAUUCUGAUCCCUCAGGAUGUGAUGGAAUUCGCCAUCUCUGAUGAAGAUUACAAGAAACUUGUUCUAUUUGAUUAAGAUAUCAAGAGAUUUAUCAAUAAUAAUAUAUUUUUUUUCUAUGUGAAAUACAUAUAAUAUUAACUGUGGAGUUAUCAAAGUUCUGGAGGUUUAAUUAUUUCUUCUUUUCAAGUUUUGUUUAUUUAAGGUUUUCUUUGUCUUUGUUAGGAAUUCCCCUUGGGUGGACCCAGCUGGGGAGUUGGAUUGAGGAAGUAAGCAGGCGAACUUGUGUUCUUCUAUGGACAGAGAAAAAAAAUAAAAUAAAAAAAUAAAAAAGGAGGUUAUUUGCAUUUGGAUGUCGUGGUUUGAGGGUACAACUACAAGCUCGAAAUUGUACAUAAUGUGAAAACUCCUGUGUCCAUUGCUGAGAACAGCAUAAAUGAUGGUGAUUUUCAAGUUGUGCCUGGUAUUCUACAGGAUGAAACAAGAAAGGAUCCAGGUGGUAUAUUGAACAAUAUCCCAAUCAUGUUGGUGGCAUCUUUAUUUAGUUAAUGGUAUUCAUUUGGUGGAAGCUGGUUGUUUAUGAUGUUUUUAAUUUUUUUUAACAUGAAGUUCGAUCAAAUACGUAUCUUAGUAUGUUUUGUUUGAGCUAAUUGGCAAAUGCGCUUUAAACAUGGUCACAUGGAUGCAGUUUUAUUUGUGAAAUGAUAAUAGUCGAUUACUUGGUCAGUAAGGUUUAUAUCUCUAACUUCAACAUCUUAUUGUAGUCUUUUAAAAUGUCAAAAGUUUAAUGCUUGAGAAAUUUUGGAAUGGAGACAUUCUAAACAAAGUUAAUAAUCCACAAGACUUGGUAAAACCGAUCAGAUGAUGCUUACGUACAUCAAUGCCUUCUUUAAGCCAUAUCCUAUUUUCAUUGAACGGGAUGUGCCAUCUAGUUUGGUUCUUUAAGCCUCCAAAUCCUAAACCUAGUCUCAAUUUAGAGCAAAUUUAGGGUGCAGGGCCUGCAUGCCUCCCCCUCCCCCUUCCACAAAUAGUAGUGACCUUGCUAUGCCUAUGCAUUGUCAAUGCCUCAUUUUCUAUGGUCUCCAAUGUAAUAUCUUAGUUUCAAUGUCUCUUUCCUUACUAUCUCCAAUGCAAUAGAUUGAUUUCAAUACCUCUUUACAACUAAGACCUCCAAAUUUUCUUGGUUCAAACCUACCAGAAUUUUUCUUCUCCUUUGCUUUCUAUCAAUAUUAGUUCCCCUAAUUUAAUAUAUACUUCUUUAUUACCUUCAACUCUACCUCUCUUUCUUUCUCUAAAAGCUUCCUCAAAGAUUUAAUUGCUUUCUUGCAUGUUUUAAGAAAACAAACAUGCUCAUAUUACAUUACCUCUACUUGAGAUCUACCUUAUACUCUACCUUCUUUCUUUACCUCCUAUAUCAUCUACUACAUUAGCUUCAAAAAUAUUAUUUAGUUUGAUACUAAAUAAGGCUCCUAAUCCUACUCUUCCUUCAACAAACUUUCUUUUUACAAGUUCCUUAAACUUUAUUUUUUAUUUUUUAUUUUUUGGAAAUUCGGGUUAGAAAGAUUCCAUUACUCUUACCUAAUAUUUCAACCAUCAAGUUGAAUCCACUUAUUGCCUAAAUCCAAGGAGUCUGCCCUCCACAAAAACAAGGAAAUUGAUCCCACAAUAACAAGGAGAUUGCCUUCCACAGAAACAAAGAGAUCUCCCUUCACAGAAGCCGAAUACAUUGCAAUCUAUUUUCUUUCUUGUAAGAUCAAAUCUUCAAUCGAGCUCCAUCUUAUGGGGGCAUAUUAGAGAAAUUUAAUAUUAUCCUUAAUUUACAUAUUAAUAUUUAUCUAUUUAUUAUAUAUUGAAUUAAAAUAGAAUAUAGAAUUUGAAUCAUAGUAGAAGUUUACUAUAAGAUUGAAUUACAAUAGUUAAUAGAGUUUAAAUUAUAAUAACUCAAAUACAUUUAUAUAUAUUUGACCUUACGAGAUUUUCUAUUUAUGUAUUUGAACUACAAUCCUUAUGAUCCUUAGGUCUCUAUACCUUCGUGAUGGGCUCCUUGACAUUUCAUAGGUUGUGCUACACAUGCAUUUGAAAUUUAGAGUGCAUUUGACAGUGAUUCUGGGAAGUGUUUUUGGCAUUUCUAACACUUAAAAUUUUUUAUUUUUCAAGUAUUAGAAAUGCUACAAACACUUUUGAAAAUUACUGUCAAACACACUCUUAGGAGCGCAUAUAGUAGAAAACUAGAAAUUGUGGUUUUUUUAGGAUUUACUGUAAUGUCAUUAGGAGGGUAGUAAGUUGAAACUGAGUAUGAAUAAAUAUUUCUUUCUUUGGGAUGUUCUUCUGGUAGGUGCUGAUGAAACUGUUCUUUUUACUGCCAAUGUCACAUAUCAGCCAGAAAUUGAAAAUUUCAGUCAAGGUGUCCUCGGUUUUAGUGGUGAGGAAAGCUAGAAAUUUUAAGGUGAAGUUCUGUUAAAAACCUUAAGUAGCUGGGAUAUCAGGCCUGUUUUGCUUGAAAAAAAAAGUUGCAAGAUAACUCAUAUGCCAAACAGGUUCUGAUAUUGUGAAUCUAUCGGCAGACAUCAGUAAUCUCAUCUUCUGAGAUGGAUGUUGGGGGUGCAUGUGGUGGUGGAGGGGCAAGGUUUCAUUUGGUUUAUUUUGUUGAUGGAUAUUGUCUAGCCCCCUGCGCCAAGUUUGAGGGGUGGUGGGUUGUGAUGGCCCUACAAUUACUAUUAAUUUCUUCCUCUUUUACCGAUUAAAGUGUCCGAACAGUCGAAGUUACCCUUAUGCAUGUCAACUUGAUCACUUACCUCUUCAAUGGAGUUUAUGCUGGUUCAUUUAGGAACUGAUUUUUAUUGUUAUGCAUUCUAUGCUGAUGUUUAGGCCUCUCCAUCAUCACUAUAUACAAAAAUUCUAGGUUGAUACUAUAGGUUGAGAUUUAUUUUUUAAAUAAAAAAUAAUAAAAAUAAAAAUUAUGGUGAUGUUUAGUUGUUUUAUGGAAAAUUUUAACAAGUUAUUUUUGGGCAAGUUUUCAAACAAAAAGAAAAGUAAAAGUUGUUUUGACAAAAACAUAUAGAAAAAAAAAAUCAUAGAAAAGAAAUAAUUUCCCCAUAUUCUAACUUUUUUUAAUUUUUCUCAAUGGGCAAAGGAAUAUCAAAUCAAGUUUGAGUAGGAUUUCUUAAUUUUUAAAAUAACUUACAAUUAAAAAAUUUUGGUGUUUUCAUUUUUGGACAAUUUUUUAUUAAGCAAAUGGACUCUGAGUCAUGCAAGAGAUAUGGUUGAUUAAUGGGUCAAACAAUUUUUUUAAAAUAAUUUAAAACUCAAAUACAUAAUCAAUGUCACAAAAUUUAUAAACAAAAAUAGGUUUAGAGAAGAUCUACACAUAAUUUUACUUUUCUAAUUUUAUUUUAUUUUAUUUUUUUGUUGGAAAAUAGUCUUCAAAUCAUGUAAGAUUUAAUAGGUUAAAUUUGUUAACAAUAAAUUUUAAAUUAUAAAAUAUAAUCUGGAACUUAAAAAUCAAUUCAAGUAAUGCUAAAAAAAAUCAAAUUUGGUAUAGAAUGACUACGUAAAAUUUUUUACAAAACAAAUGAAUUUUAAAUCAAGUGAGAUUUAAUGCAUUAGAUUUUUAUCAAAUAUAGUAAUUUUAAAAUUUAAUUUGGAACUCAACAAUAGACACAAUAAAUACCAAAAAAUAAUGAACCAAAAUUGGUUUGGAAUAACUCCACAACCUCUUUUUUUUUUUUUUGGUGCACACGAAUUUUCUUACUAGGUAUAUUGCUUUCAAAUUGAGAAAGAUUUACUAUUUAGAUUUUUUUUUUUAAUGAGUUUAAUGGUAUUUUAAAAUAAUUCAAAAUUUCAAAAAUUGACUAAUUACUAUUAUAAAUUCAUAAACCAAGACUAAUUCAAAAUGCAUUGGGGGCUAAGGGGGUUGAAAAUAGGGACAAUGGGAUGGGUUUGGGACAUGACACUCAUAUCUCAUUUCCAUUCCAAUUACAUAGUUAUCUCCCAUCCUUAUCCCAAACUUGUGUUGGAGCAAGUUGAUUUGUUCCCAUCUUUGUUGAUGAAAUGACUAAUAACCUCAUCCCCUCCUUAUCUUAGAUGUACAUUUUGUCAAAUUUGAUCAGGUAUGAUUGAUCCAAGCCCUAACCCUAAUUGGUAAUGACUGGAUACUACACCUAAUUGCAUUCUUCUUUCGUCGCAAAAUAAUGAGAUUAUAAUAAUCUAGCAAAUAAGAAAAAAUAGUAUGGAAGUUCAAUUUAACACCAUAACUAUCAAUAAUUUUAAGCUUAUAGAUGACUUAAAUGAUUAAAAACUAAUGCAAAAUACCAAAAAAAAAAGUUCAUAUAAAGAAUUCACAAGAGAACAAAAUGAACAAAAACCAAAUAUGAACAUGGGUCAACAUUAGUUAUGGAUUUGGAUUCCUUUCAAGGCCAAUCUUUGAACCAAGACUUCAUCAAAUCUACUACUUCAAAGGCUUUUGUGUUCUUCUUGGGUUGUGCUCUCAAACAAAGACUUCAAGGUGAUGCUCUAGAUGAUUGCAUUACACAUAUUUAGGGUGGAGAGAUUGGAGAAGCUUGAAGAUGCCAACGAUGGGUACAAUUGAGUGGUCAAUAAGAACAAUGUAGCCUAUGACUAGUUUGAUGUCGUGGUACAAGAGUUUUAGGCAUUGAGGUUAAAGCAAGAGCAACAUGGAAUUGAUUUUGGAGUCUUUCAAUUAGUGUAAAGGAGGAAGAAGUGGUAUUGAUUCUAGAAAUAGGGUUUUAGGUGGUGCGUUAGAGGAUGAAGAAGAAGAAAAAGAAGGAUCUGUUGGAAUUAGUGUGAGUGUGAAGAGAGAAGUAUAUAAAUAAGGGGAAGUAAAAGCAAAGUUCUAAAAGCUAUAUUUUUUUUUAUUGUUGGUGUAUGGUUGCAUGAUUAUCCCUAUAAAUAAUAGGAGUUUUUUUGGUAUUCUACUAGUAGUUGAAGGAUAAUUUCAUAAAUUUAUAUUUAGAGUGGGGUGGGGUGAGUUGUGACAAAAUUCAUACCCGUCCUAAACCUUGGUUCAGAUUUUUAAAAUAUCCUCAAACUUAUCAUAUACCCAACUUUUAUAUUUCAUACUUGUCUUGAUAGAGGCAGGUUAGGCCGGGUUACUUGAGUAACCUACAUAAUUGUCAUCCCUAGUUGAAAUACACUUUUUUGGCAGUGGCCACCAACUGAGCUAGAAGCUUGAUCGAUUGACCUACAAGAUUAGUUCUCAUCAUUUUAAAAAAAGUUUUGGCCUUGGUUGUGAGUGCAAUUGAAUCUAAACUGGCAUUUCCUUAAUGCAUCUACUUCAAUCCUAAAUUUCUUACUUCCUAAGCCUCAAUUGUUGUUAGGAUUUUGGAAAGCCCAUUUCCUUAAAUUGUAAAUUUAAGAAAAAAUAAAAUAAAAGUGAGACAUUUCUUGAUUGAAUAUUGUUAAAGGUCCCUUGGCAUUAAGACUUGGUUGAAGCCUUGGAAGAUUAGUGGAACUCUCAACUUGUGUUUGAAUCUUGAGGAGAGUGGACGUAAGCCAAAAUUUUGUCAAACCAUUAAACAAAUUGAGUUUGAAUCCUCAUUUCUUGAUUUCUUAUUUAUUUGCUUUUUCUUAUUAUUACUUGAAUUGUCAUUUGCAUUCAUUAAUGUUAAAAUUGGUUAUAAUUAACCAACACUAAUUCUCUUUCCCCUUCCCUUUCUUGGGUGUAAACCUAGGUUGGAUUAACUAGAUUAAUUUAUAAAAUCUAUUAAGAUGGUAAAAGAAUAAUUAUUCUUAACACACAUAAGAUCAUCUUCAAUCAAAUGACUCAUUGGCUAAUAUGUUGAAUUUGCUUAUUACUUGCAACUCAAAAUUGUGUUCUAGUUGAUAUGUCAAGUCCCCAGUGUAUGGACAUUAAAUUUGUAGUACGUGAUGGUAAUUAGAUGGUCCAACUCCAAGAAAGUGAUUGAAAACUAGUUCAAGAAAGGUGCAAAAGGGAAUUGUUUUGGUAUUUUCGUUUUUAUUCUUGAAGGUGGCAGAGCUAAAAUUUGUGAAAUCAAGCAAAACAUACUGAAAUUACAUUGAAAGAAAGAAAAUGGGAGUUAAUGUCUUGCAGUAGAUGAUAAGGACUUCAUGCAUGUAGUAUGACCCAUGUCUUGGACUGAUGCCAACUCACGGUUACACUUAUACCCUUGGUUCUCUCUUUACUACCUUGGCUAACCUAGAUCAGGCUAUGAGAUAGGCUCCUCACCACACCAUUACUUGCCCAUUAAUUAGAGACAUUUUCAAGCACUGAGGUAACAUGGUGACACCAAGAGGGUUUAUUCCUCGCCCUCCUCGCCCUCAACAAGUCUAGACUUGGUCUCAAAAAAAUGGAGAAAAAUGAGGUGUCGUUAUGUAGAAAUACAACAACCAUGCCUUCCUCAUUACUUUGAUUCAGAAUGUGAAGGUGAAAUUGAGAAACAGAAACUCUUGAAACCAAAAUGAAAAUUGAUACUUUUACGAAGAAUUACAACAACAUUGGAGGAAGACUACAUUCUUCCUCUUUAUUCCUACAUUUCUACACUACUUCUACUCCACUCCAUAUUUCUACAUACAUCUUUAAUCAGUCUUCCCUCCUUUAUAUAGAGCCAUCUUCACACAAAUUCCGCAAGGUAGAAAAGAGGAAUGAAACUUGGAGCAAGGUUCGACUACUGGCUGUAGCUUGUCAAGGCUGGAAGUGAACCUUUUUUCUUGGCUUUUCUGGGCAUGGGUAGUAACUUGUGGGUUCCUUUUUGGGAUACAAAUGGCUAGAACAUGUGGCACUAUCUUGUUGGAUGAUGUGUCAAGCAUGUGGCAGCCAUCUAGUGGCGAUUAUGUCAAUUUUGGGAUGGAGAGUUGGCAUCCAAUUGCAAAGAAAUAUGACGUCUACCAACAGGCAAUGUAAACCUAUGUAGAUCAUAUGAAGAUAGAGAGGAAAAAUAUAGAAAUGGAUAUAUACCUAGAACUAGCUUUUUAUUAAAUGAAACGGAGAGCCAACAAUGAAGGAAAAUAAAUUUUUUUGGCUUAUAUCAAAGAGUUCACAUUGUGCUACCCUAGGUUUUCUUAAAACUUACUUUUAUGAUAACAAAAAAAAAAAAAAACAUUAUUGUUUAAUCCUUUGUUUUAAACGCAUGUUUAGCAAGUUAUAAAAUGUAAAAAUCUUUCUAAGUUCAAAUAUGAAGAUAUGACAUCAUUUCAAGCAAGAUAGUCUCUAGGAAUUAAUGUAAAGCUAAAUUAAGGUGAAAUUAAAUUAGUUCAAUGCAUUAAUUUAAGAAACUUGACCUAUCAAAAGUACAAAAUUAGAUGAAAUCCAUUUCAAUGGUUAAAAUGAUCAAAAUCAAACUUUUUCUAAGUAUUUUUUAAAAGUAUCAAUAUUGAAAGACAAUUUUAUAUUUAGUCAGAGUUUGGACAAAACCAAAAAGCACACAAAAUCCAAGCGACCAUCUCUAGCUUGGAUGGUCGCUUGAUCUCUAGCUUGUGUACUUGGAAAGCAACAUCGAGAUGAUAUAUAUAUAUAUAUAUAUUUUAUAUAAUAUUGUUUGUCCAAAUUCCCUAAAAAUUAGGCCACCACAUGUUCAUAAUUCUCCCUUCUUGAAUUUGAAAACUCGGACAAUUGGACAAUGCGACACCUAAGUCCGGUUUCUAAAUGCUAAAGUGAAAGGGUAGGUAUGGACCAUUGAAAUGUGAUCACAACUUUUCUCUGUAGCCAUGUUGUCUCUUUUUUCUUUUGCAUGAUUUUCUCACCUUAACAGAAUCAUAGACUUGUUUAAUCUCUAAAUGGGAUUAAUUUCAUCCAGCUUUAAGCUACUAUAUUAUAUCUAGGUGGAGGACUUUUAAGAGUGCAACCGACAUAGAGCACAUGCAAGUGGGUAUAUGGGACAUGAAAUUUCUUCUUAUAAAGAUUGCAUGAUUUUUAUAUUAGAGUUGUUGGGGCGCAAUGUAUGUAGCUUGUUUUGCAGUUAAAUUAAUUGGAUAAGUAGACAUUGGCGUUUCUAAAUCUACUGUGAAGUGCUUCAUGUACGUGUGAAGUAUUAGAAAUUUCUUUCUUGGCAACUUGUUUUUUCUUUGCGGUCUACUGAUAGGUUUGACUAAAAUUAUAUUCCCUGUCAUGCUAAUUAAUUUUCACGUGCAUGCUCAAAAGAAGAGUAUGACCUUAGUGCACCAAAAUCACUUUGAUUAAUUUGUGAUAGGUUUUUGUGCAUCAUGACAUUAGCCUUAUUCAUUUAGAUAAUGUUUAGUUUUUAGAAAGUAUUAAGAAAAGGAAAAUAAAUAUUAAGAAAAAUAUUCUUAUAUUUGAUUGUAUUAUGAAAAAUGUCAUAAAAAAAUCAAAUAUAAUUUAAAUUAAUUAAUAAUUUAUACAUUUUCAAAUUAUUUAAUCUUUAUAUUGAAGAUAUAAUAUAAAUGAAAUGAGUUUUAAGUAUUAUAUAAAAGUGAUUUAUUGAUCUUGCAUAUAUGUAUUUCUUUUUUUUUUCUUCUAUUUUUUUUCUUUAUUUUAUUUUCCUUAUGUUUUCCUCAACAUUUUCCGGAACCAAACAUAGCCUUAGGAAAUCCACAAUUACCUUCAACUGAGUAUAUUCGGUUGUUUUAGCAAUGUUAGGCUGCUAACUUGUGUUGGUACGAACCUGUUAAGCCUAAAGAUGUAAUUAGUUAGGAUAUUCUUUUCCCUCUAGUCUUGUAGCUCCACGUGUAUAGUUGGUUAGGACCUCAUUGUAUAUAAUGCCUGCCCUGUUAUUGUUGAAGACAACAGAGAUAAAUAAUAUUAACAUUUUUCCUCUCAUCUCUCUUUGUUUCCCUCUGUUUUCAUCUCCUCUCUCAUCUUGGUAUCAGAGCCUCCAUGGAUUCUUUCAAAGAAACCUCCGAAUCACCUUCUGCUAGCAUUGUUAAUGUGCAAAACCCAUUAUCUCAGUCAAACAACCUUCCUUCACCAGCAGCCACACCCUCUUUUUCUUUCUUGUCUAUGAAUCAACCUCUCACAGUGAAGCUGGAUAAUGGAAACUACCUCAUCUGGAAGAAUUAGCUUCUGAAUGUCAUCAUUGCGAACAGACUCGAUGAUUUCAUUUAUGGAACUCGACCCUGCCCUCCUUGAUUUCUCAAUCUGCAACAACAAACCCUCACUCCAGAGUACUCGGUCUAGCAGAGAUACAAUCGACUUCUAAUGAGUUGGCUGUACGCAUCCUUGUCCGAAGAUAUAAUGACUCAGAUUGUUGGGUAUUCAACAACUGUGGAGAUUUGGAACGUCCUUAAUCAGAUUUACUCUGCCUCUUCAAUGGCGUGGGUUACCGAGCUUCACACCAAGCUUCAAACGCUCAAGAAAGAUGGACUCUCAGUUGGUGAAUAUAUUCAAAGGCUCAAAUCCAUUUGCAAUAGUCUUGCAGCAAUAGGAGAACUAGUUUCUGAGAAAGACCAGCUUAUCUAUUUGUUCAAUGGAUUAUAUUGUGAGUAUAAUUCUUUUGUUACCUCCAUUCAAAAUCGAUCUGACCAACCAACUAUUGAGCAAAUCCAUAGCCUAUUGCUUAGCUAUGACUUUCGGCUUGAACAACAAAACUCUGUUUCUCUCCAUUAUGCCCAAGUCCGUAUGGCUCAUCUGAACAAGAAACCUUAUAAAUCAACUCCUCAACCUACAUUCAAUCAUAUUCACAUUCAACCUAGAUACUCUUCUCCACCUUUUAAGCCAACCACUAGUCAAUAUCAACCCAGGAUUUUGGGCAAACCACAACCACAACCAUGACAGCCUCAACCUCAAUGGAAACCACAUUUUUCAAUCCAGAAUCAAAAGCCUCAGUGCCAAAUUUGUGGUAAAUUUGGACACACUGCUCUUAUUUGCUUCCAUUGCACAAAUUUGAACUAUUCACCCCAACCUUCUCCUAAAUCUUUCAAUACUGUUCUCACCACAAAUUCCCAGCUCCCUAAUCCUCCAAAAUUUUCUUACCCUACAAUGGCUCAUCCUGCUGCUACGCAUAACACGAUUCCUGAUACAAAUUGGUACAUGGACUCAGGUGCUACACAUCACUUUACUCCGGACAUCAACAUGCUUGACACUGUGACACCAUUUAGUGGUUUAGAACAGGUGACAGUUGGGAAUGGUAAGCAACUCUGUAUCUCACAUCUUGGUACUGCAAAACUACCAUCCUCGUAUUCUCCUCUUGUUCUACAUCAGGUAUAUCACACUCCAAAAAUUUCAAAUAAUCUUAUUAGUGUUAGAAAAUUGUGUUCUGAUAAUAAAGUUUUUGUUGAAUUUUAUGCCACUCAUUUUCUUAUCAAAGAUCAAGUUUCGAAGAGAGUUCUCUUUCAAGGUCAACUUGAUAAUGGCUUAUACAAAGUUCAGUCGUCAUGCUCUCCUUCUACUAUUUCCUUUCAUCCUCAAGUUUUCAUAGCCAACAUCAAGGAUCAAAAUUUGUGGCACAAGAGACUAGGCCACCCAGCUUUAUCUGUUAUUAAUCAAAUCUUGGAUUCUUGUAACAUUGCUCGAACACAGAAAAUUGGUUUUAAUUUUUGUAGUUCUUGUCAAUUAGCAAAAAGCCACAGGCUUCCUUUUUCUCUGUCUCCAUCCAUUGCAGAAAAACCUUUUGAGUUAAUUCAUACAGACCUAUGGGGUCUUUCUCCUGUUCGCUCUAUUUCUGGUGCUCGUUAUUUUUUACUUUUCAUUGAUGAUCAUACUCGUUUUACUUGGUUUUAUUUGCUCAAAACAAAAGAUGAAGCAUAUCCUACUUUUCUCAAGUUUCAAGCUCUCAUUGAAAAUCAAUUUAAUACCAAGAUUAAGGUUGUCCAAUCUGAUUGGGGAGGUGAGUUUCGAUCUCUCUCCAUACUGUUUUCAAAUAUGGGCAUUGUCUAUCGUUUAUCAUGUCCAUACACCUCACAACAGAAUGAGUGGGUUGAGCGAAAAAAUCACCAUGCGGUUGAAAUGGGAUUGUCCUUUCUUGCUCGCUCGGGUAUGCCCUUAUCUUAUUGGCCUUAUGCCUUUCAAACUGCCACUUACCUUAUUAAUCGUCUCUCUACCCCUGUGCUGCACCAUCAAUCCCCUUACUUCGCACUCUAUCACAAAUUCCCAGCUUAUACUCAUCUUAAGGUCUUUGUUCCUCUUGUUUUCCAUAUUUACGCCCUUAUAAUACCCAUAAACUCCAAUACAGGUCACUGGAGUGUGCUUUUCUUGGUUGCAGUUCACACCACAAAGGUUAUCUAUGUCUUGACAUUCAUUCUAGCAGGGUGUAUAUUUCUCGCCAUGUGAUUUUUAAUGAAGAUUCUUUUACAUUCAAGAAUUUGAAAUCUUCUCUCUCUUAGUCUAUUUCUUCUUCCUCUUCUUUAUUAGUUCCUCUGUUCAUUUCCUUGCCUCCCCUCUCCCCAUAUCCUCCUAUUUCUCCAUCUAUAUCUCAUUCUUUUCUCUCUUCUUCUUCUACCUCUAGUACUUGUUCCCCUCUCGUUGCUCCUACCUCUCUUCCUCCCUCUUCACACUUUGUGUCCCAUCUAUUCCACCUCCUUCUCCACCUUCUUCGAGUGUGGACCUGCUUGUACCUUGUGUGAAUACAAAUUUACUUACUUUUUCUCGCACUCACAAUAUUCAUCCUAUGGUGACCAGAUCUAAGGGUUUGUAUCUAUAAACCUAAGUUGCUAUUGAGUGUCUCCAUAGGUUCUCUCACUAAGCCUACUUCCUUUCUUCAAGCUAUUAAAGAUCCUUCAUGGAAGCAAGCCAUGGAAUUGGAGUUUGCUGCCCUUCAACACAACAAGACCUGGCAUCUAGUUCAUUCACCUUCCUCAGGCAAAGUAAUUGGUUGUAAAUGGGUCUAUAAGAUAAAGCUUUAGCCUGAUGGCUAAUUGAGAGAUACAAGGCCCGCUUAGUAGCUUAGGGUUAUCAUCAAACUGAAGGUAUUGACUACUUCGAAACAUUCAGCCUGGUUGUCAAGCCUUCUACUACCGUAUUGUGCUCAGUCUUACUUUUUCCCAGAAUUGGUGUAUUAGACAGCUGGAUGUUCAUAAUGCCUUCUUACAUGGUGACUUAGCUGAAGACGUUUUCAUGGAACAACCACCUGGAUUUGUUGAUCCUCUCUAUCCUACUCAUGUCUGCAAGUUGGAUAAGUCUCUCUACGGUCUUAAUAGUCACCUCGGGCUUGGUAUACUAAGCUGAGUACUUCUCUACUACACUUGGGAUUUGUUACUUCUAAGAAUGACUCUUCCUUAUUUAUUUGUCAUUCGUCUCAUGGGUUACUUCUUGUUCUUGUCUAUGUGGAUGAUAUAAUCGUCACUGGGAGCCACUCUCCUCAAGUUACUCACCUUAUCCAAUAGUUGCAUCAUCAGUUUUCUUUAAAGGAUCUUGGUCAUUUACACUAUUUUCUGGGCUUGGAGGUUCAUCACACCCCUACUGGUAUUCACCUCAGCCAAGCAAAGUAUAUCACUGAUCUCCUUACCCGGGCGGCUAUGUUGGAUGCCAAGCCAUGUCCCACUCCUAUGUCCUCCAACACAUAUCUUUCUCUUCAUGAUGGAGUGGCUCUUGAAAAUGGUUCAGAUUAUUGAAGUUUUGUUGGUGCCCUUUAGUAUUGUACCAUGACACGCCCAGAUAUAGCUUUUGCAGUAAAUAAAGUGUGUCAAUUCAUGCACCAUCCCUCUGAUGUUCACUGGCAGGCUAUAAAACGUAUUCUCCAGUACUUAAAGGGCACAUCUCAUUUUGGUCUCUUCCUACAGCCUUCCUAUGACUUCAACAUCACUUGCUAUACAGAUGCCGACUGGGCUUCCUGCCUUGAUGACAAGUGUAGCACCAGUGGCUACUGCCUCUUUCUUGCCUCUAAUCUGGUUUCUUGGUCAUCUUCCAAACAAAAAGUGGUCUCCCGCUCCAGCGCCAAAUCAGAGUACCGAGGGGUAGCAAAUGGGGCUGCUGAAAUUGCUUGGACUGAAUCUCUUCUUUGUGAACUUUCCACCCACUCGACCUCCCCUCAUUGUCUGUGACAAUAUCAGUGCCACAUACUUAGCUGUCAAUCCUAUUUUGCAUGCCCGCACCAAAACAUGUGGAAAUCGACUAUCACUUUGUCUCGGAACGUGUUCUUCAACGCUCUCUCUCUCUCCAGUUUACACCUUCGGAUGAUCAACUUGCUGAUUGCAUGACCAAGCCUCUCUCCACCCAACGUUUCAUCACUCUACGCUCCAAGCUCACUGUUCUCACUAGACCAAUGAGCUUGAGGGGGGAUGUUAAGCCUAAAGAUGUAAUUAGUUAGGAUAUUCUUUUCCCUCUAGUCUUGUAGCUCCACGUGUACAGUUGGUUAGGACCUCAUUGUAUAUAAUGCCUGCCCUGUUAUUGUAGAAGACAACAGAGAUAAAUAAUAUUAACAUUUUUCCUCUCAUCUCUCUCUCUGUUUCCCUCUGUUUUCAUCUCCUCUCUCAUCUGAACCAAAUGAUCCAUGUUAACCUUGGCUUGGUUUGAUUUGGCUCUAUCUUAGAGAGCUCAAGGAUCACGUCAACUCUGGUUUCUACUAUUCAGGUCCAUUCCCAUAUGAACUGGUUCAAAUUUGAGAAAAUGGUAACAGACCUUUAGUGAUGUUGGUUUGGAGCCAGUUGCCAAACCCGCCCUGAGCUUUACCACUAAUGUCAAGGGAGAAAGCCUUUUGAACAAAAACAAUAGCUUCAAGAGACUGAAUCGUGGAUGAAAUCUGAUCCACAUUUCUUCUCAUUUUGGAAACAAAUGAGAACUUAACUAAGAAGAUUCUACGGCCUCAUAGUGCUUUUCCUGAUCUAAGGUUGGUUCGUUUCCCAAAUUGUGAGAUGCACGGGCCAGACUUCAGAACUCUCACGCUCAGGAGUGUAUCCACGUGGUGGACAUAAGAUGGUGGCUUAAGAUCUGGUGUCGGUGGCUUUACUUUACUAGGAGAGUAGUGUGUCUUCAUCUCAUUCACUGCCGGAGGGUGGCGUAAGCAGUGACGCUAAGGUGGGGCAUAGUCAAUAUCAUUUGCAUUUGACCAUUAUAGUUUUCUCCCGGCUUGAAAGUAACCUUAUCGUGAUAAAGGAUUACUAGCACUAGUUCAGAUGACAGUCAUGUUAAAUUCGGACCAUGUUUGUGUCACAUUAUCAGCAACCAUGUGUUUAUGGUUCAUGCUUUCUGCAACUGAAAUUGAAAUUGAUAUAUAACCAGGUGAACUUCAAUCUAAAUUCUGGAAGUACUCAUGUGAGCGAUGGUGCCCAUCUGCAGAGUCCAUCAAUUGAAAAAUGGAGUGAGUGUAUCUAUAAGAGGGAAGGCUUGGCAAAUGUCCAGUUUUCUGGGAAUUCAACAAGGAUCUAAAAUAGAUUGUUUUCUUUGCUGAUUUCAAUGGUUGAAAUUUGAGAAGAUUGUGUCCCACAUAACACAACUAUUACUGGUCCUUCUGUUGCAAUUUAUCCUCUAAGGCUCUAGCAUGUCUUCCAAUUCCCACUUCCCUGUUACUCCAGGAAAGCUAUUUCUGUCAUUGUGAAGAAGAAAAGAGAAUGUAGAUAUCGAUGCUUUUAAGUGACUGGAGCAUUCAUAUCAGGUGGUCUGCAGCCAUAUAUGCCACUUUGUGAAGAUUGGAACAGUCAAUCACUAGGCUAUAUAUUAGUGUGGCCCAGCCACUUUAAUCAAGGACAAUUCUUCAUACUUAAAAGUCAAAUUCUGCCUUUAGUCUCAUUAUAAAUUGCUGUUUAAAUAUUAAGCAAACAUUUGUUUAAUGCGAUUAAGACAGUACUAACUCAAUACUUGUUCUAUUUUUGGAUGGAAAUGCUUGAUGGUUUCAUCAUUGGAUGGGAUAAAGGUGCAUUCAUGAUUAUGAAUACUUGUAGUUAUAUUUUCAUUCUCUUUUUUCUCAAUGAGACUUGUUGGCACAAUUUUUCUGUUCAGAAACCUACCUCUCCAUGGAAAAUAAGUUGUGAUUGAUAGUACUGGAUAUAUUCAAGAAAGCUAAAUAUAGAUAGCACAAAAUAUUAUCGACAUAAAUAGCAUUAACAGCGUACGUAUGUCUCAGUGCUCAUCAGCCAUAAGCAUGGGGCAAACACUUACGAUGAGCAACUUACGUCAAAAUUCCAGAAUAGGACAUAGAAGUGACAGAUCUAUAUAUAUAGAACACUGCAUAAGAGUCACAAGAAAGGAAAUUACGGGUGCAUAGCAGCUCUUAUUUCACAUACUACUCAUACUGAUCAAAGUCACUCAGUUGGGAUGGGUGGGAGUAGGAGGUUUGUGGGGUGGCUUGUGCGGAGGAGUUGGCAGCUUCUUUCCAGGACCUGGUGGCUUCUCUCCCUUAGGUGGUUUGCCAACUGGGGUUGGUGGCUUGUAUGAGUCUUCAGCAUUCUCUGCAGGAGGGUGACCAGGGUUGUGACCAUAAUGUGGUGGCUUCUCUCCCUUAGGUGGUUUGCCAACUGGGGUUGGUGGCUUGUGUUCUGGGAGUGGCUUCUCCCCCUUGGGAGGUUUUUCCAAUGGGGUUGGUUUGUGUUCAGGAGGUGGCUUCUCCACUGGAGGCUUGUGUUCAGGAGGUGGCUUCUCCACCGGAGGCUUGUGUUCAGGAGGUGGCUUCUCCACCGGAGGCUUAUGCUCUGGUGGUGGCUUCUCCACCGGAGGCUUAUGCUCUGGUGGUGGCUUCUCGAAUGGGGGAUGCUUAGGGUAAUCAGCAAGUGAGGGGGCGGUGAGAACCACCAGGCCAAGCAAGACCACUAGCAAGUAUGUAGGAGACAUCUUUGGGUUUAGACUCAGAUGGUGCAAAACUAGGAGAAUUGUCUUUUAUAGCGGAUCGCACCCAAUAAUGAAAUGACACGUGUCUUUAUGACCCAUGUGUAAUGGGGUCGAUUUGGGUCCUACAGUGUUGAAAACUUCGACAUCCACUUUUGGCCUUUUGCUUUCUCUACAGCCGCCUUGCUUUUUCCCUCUUUCCUUUUGUUUUCCUCCUGCCCCAUUCUAUCAACUAAACACAAUUAUGUAGUUGUUUAAUUCUUAAAUGAGAUAUUAUCCGUCAAUCGUAUCAUAUUUUAUCAACAGAGAACGGAGUGCAAUGUGGCAAUCCAAAGAAAGAAGAUCCAUAAUGCAGCUGUAAUUUUAUCGUUUACUUUUAUCUCUUGGACCACUGCAUUUUUGUUAAGAGGUGCAAUAAUACACGUCUUUAUCUGCCAUUCAAUGUUUACAGUAAAGAGAGGGCACAAAACUCUUCACUGCUCUGCAUGUGUCCCAAAAAUGCAAUUGGACAAAUUAUGAUUUGCAUGCUAAAAAGAGGCAAAUGAGGUUAAUUCGCACCAUAAUUAUUUUGUUUUCUGGACCCCGGGGCCCUUUGGUUGGUUUGGGGGUCAGAAAAUGAACAUCAUAGGGGGUUUUUCCCUUAUGUGCAUUUGUAUCUGAUGGCUUUAACUCGCCUUGUUACUACAAAGAAAUUGUCACAUAUAGGAACUUAUUCCAGGCUGAGUAUCUCCGCAUAGACCCUAUAAAAGAAGACAAGUCAUAAUGAACAUCUAACCUUUGUUCAAUUUGAUUCAAUGCCCCAUUGUGUCCACCUCACAAAUCUGAAUUAUUAUAUCCAUUGAAUACAUAAAUUAAUGAAGAAAAUAUGAAACCCAAGAUACAUCUCUGCACAACCUCAACCCUGGUUGCUAUGUUUCCCUUCUAUUCACAUGAGGAUAUUGAUUACGGAAUAGGGAAACCUAGCAAGGGUUUACUCGGCUCUGGUUUGAUGCUAAUUGCCAAACUUGCAACAAGCCCUGAGUUUGAAGCUCACAGAAGAUGUUAUACAGGCAGGGAAAAACCUUCAGAGUUCGCUGCCAAAGAUAAUUAUUAAGGAGAUAUCACCAAGAGAAUUCCAAGGAGUCUGAAUCAAAGACAAAUUGGUCGUUCGUGGAGGUUCUUACUUUCUUUUGGGUAUAACUCACUGAGGGCACUGUCUUUUUUAUUUUCAUUUCACAUUUAGAGUUCUGUUCUGGAAACAUAUAAAAGGAGCAUCAGUUUGUUCUUGGGUAACCCAUAGUCGUGAGUGGGUCCAUUUGCAUGCUACUUAGUUGAAAAGUUGGACCAUUUGCUCCGACGCCUACCUCCUGGAUUCCAUGCUCGGAUAAAACAAGAAUAAAAAAAUAUUUAUAAUUUACAAAUGGGGGAAAGAAAAAAAUGUCAACAACAAACUAGGAAAAAAGAGUAGUAAAAUUCAUGUCACAUGCUAGUGAGAGAAGGGGUUGUUACACUCACUCGAAGUUCUUUUCAAAAUAUCGCAUGGUAUUUUAUUUUAUGUGUGAGCGCAGUUGUGAAUGGAACGUGCAAAAGUCCAAAUUGGUGACCUUUAAUAAAUAUUUAAAACAAAAAACGAAAAAAAGGAGGGAAAAGGGAUCAGAAAAGAUAAAACAAUGUGUACAAAAGCUCAAUUAGUUUGCAAAUUACUGUUUGGAUUUUGAUAGUAUUUUAUUUGAUGUAAAAGAGAAUUUAAGAUAUUUCCGAAACAAAAGCAUUAGUUUGCUCCAUGUCAAUUUCGGCAUUUCUCAUAUGUUUCACACAUACACAGAAGAGCAUCGUUUUUUAAAGCAUGCAUUUAUGUUGGAUUAAUUUGGAUUUUGUGGGAACUGGGGCAAGGAUCACAUGGAAGAGAGGUUGACUUUUUUCAGUACUUCAAUGGUUGAGACAGGUGAAGGCCUGAUUGAUACUGAAGCCUGAAAUUGCGACUCCGUCAUUUGUCAAAACAUAUGACAGCUUCCAUGCUCUCGUUUGGUUGCAUUGUUCUGUGGUCAUGCAUACAUGCCACUUAGUGAUCAGUCUGUAACUGUCAAUCAUUGGGCUUUGACUGAACAACAUCAGCCAUGUAUAAAUACUUGCAAAUCAAACGGUCUUCUUCCUCCCAUAAGGAAUUUCGGUUUAAUUAUGAAGCAUGCAUUUGGCUGACCAUCAUAAACCACUUCUUUAAAUUGAUGAAUGAUAGUUUUUCAUUCAUUCUUUCAUUCGUUCAUAUACAGAGUAUAUAUAGAGGGUAAUCAUCAUUCUAAGAAUGGGAAAGAAUGAUACAAGGAAAUAAUGAUAUAAAGAAAUAACAACUAAUAUUCUAAUAUCUCAACUUUCCUAAUAUCUAAACAUUCCUAAUAUCUCAACACUAAAUGAUAUAAAGAAAGAAUGAUAUAAGGAAAGCAUUCCUAAUAUCUCAACACUCCUCCUCAAGUUGGUGCAUAGAUGUCAAACAUGUCCAACUUGUCUAAAAAUUUUGAGAACAGUUGACUUGAGACAUCUUUGGUGAGGAUAUCGGUCAAUUGAUCUUCUGAUCGAAUCUUAGGCAAUUCCACAAUCUUAUCAUCCAACUUUUCCUUAAUGAAAAAUCUAUCCAUCUCGACAUGCUUUGUACGAUCAUGUUGUACUAGAUUAUGAGCAAUGUCACAUGCUGCUUUAUUGUCACAAAACAAUCGGAUUGGUUGCCUAGAUAGGUAACCUAAAUCCUAUAAGAGGAGUCUUAGCCAUAAUGCCUCACAAAGUCCUAAAGUCAUACCUCUAAAUUCCGCUUCUGCACUUGAACGAGCGACGACAUUUUGCUUCUUACUUUUCCAUGUCACAAGAUUACCACCUACAAAGGUAAAGUAACCAGAUGUAGAUCGCCUAUCAUCCACUGCACCGACCCAAACAGCAUUAUACUUCUAUACUCUGAUGAUCAACAUUUUUAGCGAACAAAAUUCCCUUCCUAGGAGCAUUCUUCAAAUACCUCAAAAUACGCAUGACUACAUUCAUAUGUUGCUCUCCAGGAUUAUGCAUGUAUUGACUCACUACACUCAAUGUAUAAGCAAGAUCUAGUCUUGUAUGAGCUAAGUACAUUAAUCUCCCCACAAGUCUCUGGUAUCUUCCCUUAUCGAUUGAUACUUGAUUAGGCUCAACACACAAUUUCAGACCUUCUUCUAUUGGUGUAUUAAUAGGUUGACAUCCCGACAUUCCAGUUUCCUGUAGAAGAUCUAAGGCAUACUUUCUUUGAGACAGAAAAAUUCCUUCACUUGAUCGAGAAACUUCAAUCCCAAGAAAGUAUUUCAGACGACCAAGAUCUUUCAUUUCAAAUUCUCUAGAUAGAUACUUUUGCAAAGCUUUUCUUUCUUCAGGAUCAUUUCCUGUAACUACAUGUCAUCCACAUAUAUCAUAAGUGUCGUAAUCUUACCAUGUUGCUUUUUCAAGAACAAAGUGUGAUUUGAAUUACUUUGAUGAUAGCCAAAAGCUCUCAUUGAUUUUGUGAACCUUCCAAACCAUGCUCUCGGGGAUUGCUUCAACCCAUACAAUGACUUCUUCAAUUCGCACACCUUCUGACAUUGCUUUUCUGACACCAUGCAUCCUGGUGGAAGAUCCAUAUAUACUUCUUCAGAUAAAUCGCCAUGCAGAAAGACAUUUUUUACAUCGAACUAUUGUAAUGGCCAAUCUAGGUUUGCAGCUAAAGACAAUAAUACUCGAACUGUGUUGAUCUUAGCUACAGGUGCAAAUGUCUCUGUGUAGUCAAUUCCAUAAGUUUGAAUGUACCCACUAGUCUUGCUUUAAAUCGUUCAAUACUACCAUCUGCCUUGUACUUCACAGUAUAGAUCCAACGACACCCAACUAGCUUCUUUCCUGGUGGACAUUCUACGAGUUCCCAUGUUUCAUUUUUCUGCAAUGAUUUCAUCUCUUCAUUCAUGGUUGCUUUCCACUUUGGAUCAGCUAAAGCUUCCUGCACACUAUUAGGAAUAGCUACAGUAGAUAAUUGAUUUACAAAUGACUUAUUUGAUUCAGACAAACCAUGGUGUGGACCCGCAUUUUUCACGUGCGCCUCUACUCGAUCGGCGAGACUCGCUUUCUAUUUGUGAAAAAUUAAUUUUAGAAAAGUUGGAGUCGCCACCUAUUUUAUUUUUAUUUUGAAGGGAAAAUAAAACAAGAAAGAAAAACCCUAAAAAGUGACUCCAUAGUUUUGGAAAAAGCAUGUCUUUGGGAAACCUGAGUCUAGGUCCGGGGAUCAUGUUACUUAUUGGGAAGGUACCUCUAGGAGGUAGCACCCCUCUAAGCCUUAUGAAGGUCUCUACUAACUAAAUUAAGGGAAGUGUGGCAAUAAAUCGAUUGAUCAUAGAUACCUAAGUAGACUAGGUGAUUUUAAAGUGUGGCAUGUCAAACACAAUCAAAUUGCAAUAAAGGAGAGUUAGGGCGCGUACCUGAACCGCUUCUCAAGCGCUAUCAUAAAACAUCAAUGGUUAAUUUAAAUAAUAUAUCAUCCAGCAUGUAUUUUAUUAGAAAUAAUCAAACAAUGAAACAUGUAUAUCAGAACACUCAAGCAUUAUUAGACAUAAGCAUUAUUUCACUAUUCACAGAAUUCAGAAAGUAGGUGAUAGAGGACAUACCUGGAUAGCAUAGAUAAUUUGUAAUGUGCUUCCUCAAGUUGUAAGGGGUUAGAUAACAAAUAAUAAAAUAUAGAAAUCCUAGCAUGCUCGUUAUCUAAUUAGCAUAGCAAAAGUGAUCACAGUAUACAGAAUCAUCAAUUAUCACAUACAUCUUGUAUAUAAUUCCUAAAAAAAAUAGAUAGACAUGAUUUCAACAAGUGUCAAAUGUGGCAACAAAAAUAAAUUUUGAAAAGAUUUUCUUAUGUAGGGGUUUCACCAAUUCCCCAAAUUAAUAUACACGAAUUUAGCUUAGAAUUAUCCCAUUUAUUUGGGACUACAAGCUUUGAUUCGUGUUUUUGUUCAAAACCAAAAAUUUUUGUUGAAAAUCAAGAAGGAUGCGAACCGAACAAGAUAUGGUUGCAUAUUAUUUUUAAAUAAAUAAAUAAAUAAAUAAAGGAGAUUUUGAUCCUGAGGACUUUAAUGAGUUUUUUUUUUUAAAAUAGAUUUUUAAAAUGAUUUUUUUGAGAAAAGUAUUUUAUUUUAAAAUAAAAGGGAUUAAUUUGGGAAAAAAAUAAAAUAUAAGAAAUAAAAUACCAAACAAAACAAAAAUGAAACCUCAAAGUAAAAUUUUUUUAGUAAUUAACAAAAAUGAUAAUGGUGAUGGUAGAGGGCAAUCUUCAUGAUUUUCCAAUGGCCUCAGAAAGAAAAUCAAAUUAAAUGAAGGAUCACUAACAGGCAAGACAUUCUAAAUUAGACAAACUAACAAAGUAUCAAUUCAUGAACUAACCGCUAGGAUUUUGAAAGCAUAUAAGCUAAGAUAAGGGUGAUCAGGAACUAAUAUUAAUGAUUUUGAAAUAAAAACUAAAAAAAAGGAUCAAUUCGGGUAAGGAACUAAAAUUAUAAAAGUACCUAAACUAAUUAUGACGAGUUUGACUAAAUUAAACUAAAAACAUGAACUUUCAAACAUAGAAUUAAUUUUACUAAUGAACCAAAGCAAACUAAAAAUAUGUACUUUCAAGCAUAGAAUUAAUUUUAUUGAUGAACUAAACUAUAACAAAUAUCUAAACUAAAUAUAAUGAAUCAAAUUAAAUUAAAGCAACUUAAAAACGCAAACUUUCAAACAUAGAAUCAAUUUUAUCAAUGAAUUAAAACUAUAAAUGUAUUUGAACUAAAUAGAUGAAUCAAACUAAAUCAGAGCAAAAUUAAAAAAAAAAAAGAACUUUCUAACAUGAAAUCAAUUUUAUCAACAAAUAAAUGAAUGAAUAACAAGUAAUUAAAAGAAUAGCUACUACAUGAAUAACUGAAUGAAUAAAAUUCAAAUGUUUUCAAUCUGAAGCAAUCAAUCAAAAUUAAAUAGGGAUCAAAUCAAAAUAAUCGAAAUCGGAAAAACAAUAUGCAAUCUUUCUAAAGGUUUAACCAGACAAUUGAAUUAAAAUUAUGAAUAGAAUAAAUUAAUAAACCAAAUCGAAACCUAAAUUGUACCUAAAAAGAUUAAUUAAUUAAACUAAGAAAUCAAAAUCAAUAACAAAACUAAACUAAGGAGUAAAUUAAGACAAGACUAAUUAAAUUAAACUCACAAACACGUUUUAACUAUCAUAUGGAUUAAAACAAAAUUAGCAUGGACUUAUGAAUUACGAACAAAAAUAAUCAAAACUAUUUUAAAAAACUCACCUCUAUUAUAAGAAAAAAUCUGCCUUUGAUGCGUUGAGGUGGCUCCCCUCUCUGUGUGGAUCUCUCUGCUCCCCAGAAAAAAAAUGUCUCUUCCUCCGUUCUCUUUUGUUUCAGCAAAAUAAUAUAUCCCCUGCUGUGGAUCUCUCUACUCCCAGAAAAUAAUAUAUUCUCUCCGUGUCCUAAAGUGGACCUAGGGUGCCUAAGUGGACCUAGGGUGCCUAAAUGGGCCUAGGGUGCCUAAAUGGGCCAAGUGUAUCUAAAUAGGCUUAGGGUGCCUAAGUGGGCCUAAGUCUAAGUGAGCCUAAGUCUAAAUCAAGACUACCAAGGAUCAUAAUAAGGGGUUAGGCAAUCCCUUAACCAAAGUCUCCAAGGUGGCUAAAAAAAAGUAAGUAGUAUGAGUAGCUAUGGGUCACCAAGGAACUACUGUGGAGCAUUGAAAACGAAUUUAAAGACAUGUGCCAAAGGGACAAAAUUGAGGGUCUACAGAUGGUUAGACACAUAGUUGCUCAUGGGAUAUUUGACUUUGGUAAACAAUUCAGAUUCAUAUGUGGGUUUAGGAAUACCUUUAUUAUGACGGUGUGGUAAUCGUUUCAUGAAUGGAUCAGGUUGCAAAUUAAGAACACCCUCAGCAAACAACGAUUGGUUUGGUAUUUCAGUGAAGACAUCUUCGAACCCAAAUUGUUGACCACUCAUAUCCAACUCACCCGCUUCCUGGUUCACUAGUUCAGAUUGUCCAAAUUCAUCAUUCUCAUAGAUAUGAUAAUCAUAAUCGAGAGUCUGAAUUUCCUUAUGGUACUCCCCCUGAAGUUCAGACUUAGAUGAAAAAUACAUCGAAUAUUCAUGAAACAGCNNNNNNNNNNNNNNNNNNNNNNNNNNNNNNNNNNNNNNNNNNNNNNNNNNNNNNNNNNNNNNNNNNNNNNNNNNNNNNNNNNNNNNNNNNNNNNNNNNNNNNNNNNNNNNNNNNNNNNNNNNNNNNNNNNNNNNNNNNNNNNNNNNNNNNNNNNNNNNNNNNNNNNNNNNNNNNNNNNNNNNNNNNNNNNNNNNNNNNNNNNNNNNNNNNNNNNNNNNNNNNNNNNNNNNNNNNNNNNNNNNNNNNNNNNNNNNNNNNNNNNNNNNNNNNNNNNNNNNNNNNNNNNNNNNNNNNNNNNNNNNNNNNNNNNNNNNNNNNNNNNNNNNNNNNNNNNNNNNNNNNNNNNNNNNNNNNNNNNNNNNNNNNNNNNNNNNNNNNNNNNNNNNNNNNNNNNNNNNNNNNNNNNNNNNNNNNNNNNNNNNNNNNNNNNNNNNNNNNNNNNNNNNNNNNNNNNNNNNNNNNNNNNNNNNNNNNNNNNNNNNNNNNNNNNNNNNNNNNNNNNNNNNNNNNNNNNNNNNNNNNNNNNNNNNNNNNNNNNNNNNNNNNNNNNNNNNNNNNNNNNNNNNNNNNNNNNNNNNNNNNNNNNNNNNNNNNNNNNNNNNNNNNNNNNNNNNNNNNNNNNNNNNNNNNNNNNNNNNNNNNNNNNNNNNNNNNNNNNNNNNNNNNNNNNNNNNNNNNNNNNNNNNNNNNNNNNNNNNNNNNNNNNNNNNNNNNNNNNNNNNNNNNNNNNNNNNNNNNNNNNNNNNNNNNNNNNNNNNNNNNNNNNNNNNNNNNNNNNNNNNNNNNNNNNNNNNNNNNNNNNNNNNNNNNNNNNNNNNNNNNNNNNNNNNNNNNNNNNNNNNNNNNNNNNNNNNNNNNNNNNNNNNNNNNNNNNNNNNNNNNNNNNNNNNNNNNNNNNNNNNNNNNNNNNNNNNNNNNNNNNNNNNNNNNNNNNNNNNNNNNNNNNNNNNNNNNNNNNNNNNNNNNNNNNNNNNNNNNNNNNNNNNNNNNNNNNNNNNNNNNNNNNNNNNNNNNNNNNNNNNNNNNNNNNNNNNNNNNNNNNNNNNNNNNNNNNNNNNNNNNNNNNNNNNNNNNNNNNNNNNNNNNNNNNNNNNNNNNNNNNNNNNNNNNNNNNNNNNNNNNNNNNNNNNNNNNNNNNNNNNNNNNNNNNNNNNNNNNNNNNNNNNNNNNNNNNNNNNNNNNNNNNNNNNNNNNNNNNNNNNNNNNNNNNNNNNNNNNNNNNNNNNNNNNNNNNNNNNNNNNNNNNNNNNNNNNNNNNNNNNNNNNNNNNNNNNNNNNNNNNNNNNNNNNNNNNNNNNNNNNNNNNNNNNNNNNNNNNNNNNNNNNNNNNNNNNNNNNNNNNNNNNNNNNNNNNNNNNNNNNNNNNNNNNNNNNNNNNNNNNNNNNNNNNNNNNNNNNNNNNNNNNNNNNNNNNNNNNNNNNNNNNNNNNNNNNNNNNNNNNNNNNNNNNNNNNNNNNNNNNNNNNNNNNNNNNNNNNNNNNNNNNNNNNNNNNNNNNNNNNNNNNNNNNNNNNNNNAACCAAAGGAAGCAUGUUCCAGACGUCGAUGCCACAACCAAAUUUCAGACUUUUUCUUCUCCUCCUUAGAUCCAUCUGCCAUCAAGGCUUGUUGCAACUUAUUUGAAUCCUUUGAUUGCAAGUCCAAGUAUAGAGUUUCCCCCGCUUAAUACGACAACCAAUCGUCUGUCUUGUUUGAAUGUCCUUAAUCACACAAAAUUCAGGCCAAAAAAUGACAAUACAAGAUAAGGCUGCAGUGAUUUGAGAAACUAACAAAAGAUUGUAAUCUAAAGAUGGAACAACUAAAACAGAAUCCAAAUUCAAAGUAUCAGUAAGAGUUAAGGAUCCUUCCCCAAUGACUGGGGUUGUGUUACCAUUGGCUGUGGAAACAAUUUUUUGUGAGGAAGGUCUAAGGGGUGAAACCUGUCUAGAAUCAAAAGUCAUAUGAUCUGUAGCACCAGAAUCAAUUAUCCAUGCACUAUUAAUAACAGGUGUAAAAGUAUUUAAAAACUUACCACAAUGAUCUGUAGCGGCUACUAAUGCAGAGACUUUCUCAACAACAUUAGUCUUUGUUUUUAUUUCGGUAACAGUUGCAAUCAAGGUUUUCUUGGAAUUCUUCUUCCGUUGAUCACGAUUAUUAUCAUUAAUAACAAAGUGUUGAUAGCCUAAACAUGAUCUAAAGGUCCAUGGUGCAAACCCUCGGUUCCUCAUUGUUUUCCUGGUCAUACCAAGAGUUGUUGCUUUGAAAUUGUGGGAUAUCCAGACUGGUGGGAUCAGUUUUAUUGCAGUGAGUGCAUUUGAAUGUUGACUUAUCAAUAUUAGGGCUUGUCUUCGGAUGGUUGAUUGCUGUUGGACUACCAUAGCGACAAAAUAUCCAGGAUUUCAAUUCCAGGGCUCUGAUACCAUCUUCAAAUUGAUGAAUGAUAGUUUUUCAUUCAUUCUUUCAUGUACAGAGUAUAUAUAGAGGGUAAUCACCAUUCUAAGAAUGGGAAAGAAUGAUACGAGGAAAUAAUGAUAUAAGGAAAUAAUAACUAAUAUCCUAAUAUCUCAACUUUCCUAAUAUCUCAAUAUUCCUAAUAUCUCAACUUUCCUAAUAUCUAAACAUUCAUAAUAUCUCAACACUAAAUGAUACAAGGAAAGAAUGAUAUAAGGAAAACAUUCCUAAUAUCUCAACACCACUUCAUGAUAUAUAUAGUUUCUUACCCUUAAUCAAUGGUUUCUAAGUGAAUUUAUAUAGAAAGAAAUCCAAACUGUAGACAGCAGUAUUGGUAACACUCAAUAUUCUGUAUAUAAUAGAAUAAAUAGCGUCACAGUGAUCGUCGCCUACAAGCAAGGUACAAAUACCACAAAGAGUGACCCACAUAGACAUUCCCCAACAAGAUGUAGUAGUGACUGACACAUAGCCACAAUUAACACGUAGAAAAGGAUAAGACCGGUGCACAGUAGCUCUUAUUUUACAUACUACUUAUGCCAACCAAAGUCACUCAGUUGGGAUGGGAGGGAGAUGGAGGUUUGUGCGGUGGCUUGUGGGGCGGAGUUGAUGGCUUCUUUCCAGGAGCUUCUGGCUUUUUCAUCGGAGCUGAAGGAGGCUCAAUCUUAUGAGGCGGCUUGUACGAGUCUUCUUUGCUCUCGAAAGGAGGGUGGCCAGGGUUGUGACCAUAAUGUGGUGGUUUCUCUCCCUUGGGAGGUUUACCAAUUGGGGUUGGUGGCUUGUGUUCUGGGAGUGGUUUCUCUCCCUUGGGAGGUUUAGUGGGUGACUUGUGUUCUGGAGGUGGCUUCUCCACCGAAGGCUUGUGCUCCGGUGGUGGCUUUUUGGUUGGAGGGGGCUUGGGGUAAUCAGCAAGAGAUGGGGUGGUGAGAACCACCAGUCCAAGGAACAACACUAGCAAGUAUGUGGGAGACAUUUUUGAGUUUGGGCUGAUCAGAUGAUGCAAAACUAAAGCAUUACGUGACCUUUUAUAGCAAGUAGCUCCCAAUACCUACUUGACACGUGUUACUGUGACCCAUAAAUAUUAUGGGGUCUAUUUGUGCCCUACCGGGUUGAAAACUUGGACAAUUGGGCAAGGACCCGCCUGACUAUGGAGGACUACUGAGGUGUGAUCACAGCUUUAGGAUUUUUCUUCCUCUGCAGCCGUCUUGCCGUUGGCAUGAUUUUCUUAAUCUCAAAUAAAGGCAUAGUUAUAGAGUUGUUUAAUCUCUAAAUGGGAUUUUAUAUAUCUUCAGAUAGCCAUUAAUACAUUUGAUGAAGAAAGAAAGACAAGUGCAUACAACAUGUAUACGACUAGCUUUCAUGGAGUUCAUUUAUGAUCAGUUUUCCUGUACAUGUAAACCAAGAUCAUAUAUGUUUUUGUUCCACAACAAUUUUGGAAUCUUGUUUAUCCGUUUUUAUCAUUAUAAUGUCACAUAGGCUGCCAACUUGGGCGCUAAAUUAAAGAUCCAGUUGGGCAAGUUCGUUUCAGAAUUUCAAUGGUGGAUUCAGGAAUUGUUUUAUAAGAUAUGCAAAAUAGUAGAGGGAUGAAUAGUGUUUCAUUAAGAAAAGAGCCCUGUAAAAAUAUUGUUUAAAGGUGCCAUAGAAACUAUAAUCAAUAAAUAACUUUUUUUCCCCAUGGGUGGUGUUUCUUGUGGGGAUCAGUGACUGGUUUGAGUCAACGCCGUGUCUCUUUAGUCCAGAAAUCAACUAUUUUAUGCAUUGAAUACAUCAACAAAGAAAAUAUGAAAGCCAAAUGACACCUCCCCCGCAAAAACUAAACCCUGGUUGCUAACUUUCUAUGUUUCAGUUCCAUUCACACAAGAAUAUUAGUUCAAGUUUGAGAAAAAUGGCGACUUACCUAGUGAUAACUCGGUCUUGGUUUGCGAUUUGACUUUAACGUCAUGGGUUGAAGCCUCCUACAAUCAUCGUGUAUGCUAGUUCAAAGCUCGUGGAAGAAGUUAUACAGGGAGGGAGAAACCUCCACAGCAAGCUCCAAAAGAGAAUUAUCACAUUGAAAGCUCCAGUUGAACACUGGGUGAAAGCCAUAACAAGAUUGGUUUUCUAUCGCUCUUUUAAGUAAUGGAAGAUUAUUAUCUCUGCUUGUCACUACAACCGUGCAUGCUGCUAGAUCUUUCUAGACACUUCAAACAGUGAAACCAAGUAUGAUUCUUUUUCUCUUGAGUGGGUCCACUUGCAUGCCAAUGAACGAGUUGAAAAGUUGGACAAUUGGCCACAGCGCGCACUUACCUUCUGGAACCGAAGGUCAGUGAAGUGGGGUUCCUUUUGGCCCCUUGUGUUUCUGUUCCAACCUACUCCAGGAACCGAAGUUCAGUGAAGUGGGGCUACUUUUGGCCUCUUGUGUUUCUGUUCCAACCAAACAAAAAUGGGAGGGAAAAAUAGCAUUAUGCUUGUGCUAAAGAUCAACGCAUGAUAGCUGAAUAAGGGAGAAAAAGGCAUUGCUAUCUCAAUUUCAUAAACUUGAUAAGUAGUGACAUUAAUAGUCUUCCUCAUAGAUGGAUACAUGGUUUUAUUUUAUUUAUUUAUUUUUAUUUUUUUGUUUUAUGUCAAUGCUAAUGAAUGAAGUGCAUUAGCUUGUUUUGUGACUAGAACUACAAAUGUCCAAAUUGGAGCUUCUCCAAUAUAUUUCUCAGUGAGUUAUUGAUUAGAACUCUUGGAUUGAGUUCCAAGAUUUGAAUCAGACCCCUCUAGCAGCUUCAGGGGUACGUAGCAACCUAUAGCAUAUUAAUGAAGACUUAGGAUUUAGACUUAGGAAUACAAAUUAAUAUGUACCUCAUGCUCUGACUAGCUUCCCUGCGUAUGCACAAAAUGGAGAUGACUCCCAAAAAAAUAGCAGAAUCGCCUUAGUAUGUUUUUGUGGUUAAGAUGAUUCUCCACUUUAUAUAUCCACAUUGGUUCAUUAUGCAAAUUAAUCAACUAAGCUAUUUUUAUUUUUUCUUAAAUGUGAAAUAGGAGCUCCAAAUUAACCUAACCAUUGGCCUGAUUGAAUUGAUUUCACUUGCAUAAUGUUAUAGUAGAAGUCCGUAAUUUGAAUUUUAUUUUUGCAAAAGGUAACGUAAAUGAAGCAUUGUAAUUAAAUUUAUUUGUAAUUACAAACUAAUUUUAUUUUAUUAAGAAUUAAUUUAAUUACUCAUUUAAAAUAAAAAUCAGUUAUACUUUUACCAAGAUGAUAAUAUUCAUAUUUUUCUAGUUAACAUAUAUAAAAUAGUACACUUUUUCAUAUAAAAAAAUAAUUUAUGAUUUAUUAUAAUGUUACUAUUCACAUUUUACUAAAUUGAUGGUACAUGAUAGUGAGAGAAGGGGGUGUCACACUCAGCUAAAGUUCUUUUCAAAAUAUUGCAUGGUGUUUAAUUUUAUGUGUCGGCGCGCGUGUGAAUGGAACCUGCAAAAGUCCAAAUUGGCGUUUCUCCAUUUUCCACAUAGGAUGGUGACGUUAAUAGACAAAGAUACAAUAUCUGUAGACAUUGCUUAAAAAUCGAUGUGAAGUAUUAGAAAUUACAGGGCACUGUACUGGGGGAGCGGCUGCCCCGCCAAAGGAGGAAGAAUGUAGCAAUUUCUUCUGUUAGCCAGGCCUUAGGAUUUAUGCAUGGGAUGCCUAAUAACAAACAGAGAAAAUAUACUUUUGGGGAAGGUAUCCAACAACAGACACCAUCAUUCAGAUGGUGGGAAGGUAUCCAACAGAUGCCAUCAUUCAGAUGGUAACAUAUAUAUACAUUUAUUAGUGAGUUUUUUUAAUACCUAUAAAAAAAAAUAUACACUUUGAUAUUGUGGCUGAAUCCAUUACAUACUCAACUAACCUUGCUCAUUAGGGAUUUGACUUAACAAGGGCAACGUUGCAGUACAAGCUCAAAACUUUAUGCAGGUGACAUUACAUUUGGUAAAGAAGAGGAAAAUAACGAAAGCCAUCCAUAAAAGCAAAAUUCCACAUGGGAUGAAAUUCACAAGCUUCAUUUACGAUAGAGUCGCAUCCAGGCAAUUAAUUCCACAUUAGACCGCCUGUUGACAUGUGUACCAAUCUUUUUUCAAAAAAUAUUUAUAAAUAAUUGAUACUCACAAAAAUAAUUUAAUAUUUAUAAAGGAUAAAAAAAUAUUUUCAAAUCUAUAACAAUUUAUAAAAUAUUAAUAAAAAAUUAUCUCUUAAACUUAGUAUAGUUUUAUCAGAUUAAACUUUUAUUUUGAACAAAUAAUUUUAAUCUAAGUUUUAAAUUCUAAAAUUAUUUCCUUAAAAUAAAAUUUUAAAAUUCAACACUUCAAUUGAAAUUGUCUUUUUAAAAAAUAUCUUCUUAUUUUAAUCCUUAUAAACUAUAGUUGAUUGAAAAUACUAUUGAAGUUCUCUCUUAAAAAAAAGUCUUAUUUUAAUCUUCAUAAAUUGCCCUUGAUUUGAAAAUAAAUUUUCAGUUAUCAUAUUUUAAAUAAUAUCUAUAUUUAAAAUACUCUAUUUAAAAAAAAAUGAACUAAUUUUAAUUAUAUUAUAUUUUAUUUUUUUAUAUAUUUUUAAUGAUAAACCAAACAUAGAAAAUCAUUUUUCUAAAUAUUUUAAAAUUUCUAAGCAACCAAACAUAAUCUUCAAAAUAAAAGGAAAAUAAGGAGGGACAUUUGAGAAAUGGCGAUUAAAAAAAAGUGUACAAAAGCUCAAUUAAUUUUCUUCUAGUCUUUUAUAUAAAAAAGUAAAGGAAUUGAAAAGUAUUGAUAUGUAAAUUAAUAUUUGGAUUUUAAUAGUAUUUUAUUUGUCUUUCUCUAUCUCAUGUAAAAGAGAAUUUAAGAUAUUUCCUAAAGCAAAGCAUUAGUUAUCUGCAAUCAGUGGUGAUCAUGCCCCAUGUCAAUUUCGGACCCAUAUCUUAAAACUGUAUAAUUUGCAUUCAAACAUUACUGAUUUCUCAGAUGUUUCAUACUCCACAGAAGAGCAUUGUUUGUGAAAGCAUGCAUUUAUGUUGGAUUUUGGAUGAUGUGGGAACUGGGGCAAGGAUCAUAUGGAAGAGUGGUCGAUUUUGUUCUGUACUUUAACAUUUGAAAUAGGAGAAGCUCGGGCAUUUGUGGGGCUUAAUUGAUUUUGAAGCCUGAAAUUGCGUUUCUGUCAUUUUGUAAAAAAUAUGGCAGAUUCCAUGCUCUCAUAUGUUUGGUCUGUGGCCAUGUAUAGAUGCCCCUUAGUGACCAGUUUGUAACUGUCAAUCAUAGUGUUUUGACUCUGGCUCAACAACAUCAGCCAUUGACGGAUUUUCAUACUUGCAAAUCAAAUAGUCUUCUUCCUCCCUUAGGAAUUUCGGUUUAAAUGUUAUUAAGCAUACAUUUGGCUGACAAUUAUUAACCACUUCAUGAUAUGGUUUCUUACCCUUAAUCAAUGGUUUCUAAGUGAAUAUAUGCAGAAGGAAAUCUGAACUGUAGACAGCAGUAUUGAUAACUCUCAAUAUUCUUUAUAUAAGAGAAUAAACAACGUCAUAGUGAUCGUCGCCUACAAGAAAGGUACAUUUCCCAACAAGAUGUAGUUGUGACUGGUACAUGGACGCAAUUAACUCGUACAAAAGAAUAAGACCAGUGCACGGCAGCUCUUAUUUUACAUGCUAAUUAUGCUAACCAAAGUCACUCAGUUGGGAUGGGAGGGAGAUGGAGGUUUGUGCGGUGGCUUGUGGGGCGGAGUUGGUGGCUUCUUUUCAGGAGCUUGUGGCUUUUUCGGAGCUGAAGGAGGCUCAAUCUUAUGAGGCGGCUUGUACGAGUCUUCUUUACUCUCGACAGGAGGGUGGCCAGGGUUGUGACCAUAAUGUGGUGGCUUCUCUCCCUUAGGUGGCUUGCCAACUGGGGUUGGUGGCUUGUGUUCAGGAAGUGGUUUCUCUCCCUUGGGAGGUUUACCAAUUGGGGUUGGUGGCUUGUGUUCUGGGAGUGGUUUCUCUCCCUUGGGAGGUUUAGUGGGUGACUUGUGUUCUGGAGGUGGCUUCUCCACCGGAGGCUUGUGCUCCGGUGGUGGCUUCUCCACCGGAGGCUUGUGCUCCGGUGGUGGCUUCUUGAUUGGAGGGGGCUUGGGGUAAUCAGCAAGAGAUGGGAUGGUGAGAACCACCACUCCAAGGAACAACACUAGCAAGUAUGUGGGAGACAUUUCUGAGUUUGAGCUGAUCAGAUGAUGCAAAACUAGAAGAAUUACGGGACCUUUUAUAGCAAGUAUCUCCCAAUACCCACAUGACACGUGUUACUAUGACCAUAAAUAUUAUAGGGUCCAUUUGUGCCCUACCGGGUUGAAAACUUGGACGCUUGGCCGAGGACACACCUGACUAUGGAGGACUAUUGACGUGUGAUCACAGCUUUUGGAUUUUUCUUCCUGUGCAGCUGUCUAGCGGUUGGCAUUAUUUUCUUAAUCUUAAAUAAAGGCAUAGUUAUAGAGUUGUUUAAUCUCUAAAUGGGAUUUUAUAUAUCUUCAGAUAGCCAUUAAUAUAUUUGAUGAAGAAAGACAAGUGCAUACAACAUGUAUACGGCUUGCUUCAAUCGAGUACAUUUAUGAUCAGUUUUCCUGUGCAAGUAAACCAGUUUUUUGUUCCACAACUAUUUUGGAAUCUUGUUUAUCAGUUUCUAUCAUUAUAAUGUCACAUAGGCUGCAAACUUGGGCACCCAAAGAUCUAGGUGGGCAAAUUUGUUUCAGACUUUCAAUGGUGGAUUCAGUAAUUGUUAAAAGGUGUUUCUUCAUUAAGGAAAGAGUCCGGUAAAAAUAUUGUUAAAAGGUGUCAUAGAAACUAUAAUAAAUAAAUAACUUCUUUUCCCCAUGGGUGGUGUUUCUUCUGGGGAUCAGUGACUGGUUAGGGUCACCCAAAAUGAGUCCAGAUUAAAAUUGGUUCGAGUCAAAGCAGUCUCUUUUGUCCAGAAAUCAACUAUUUUGCGCAUUGAAUGAAUCGAUAAAGAAAAAAUGAAAGCCAAAUCACACCUCCCCUGCAAAACCUAAACCCCGGUUGCUAACUUUCUAUGUUUCAGUCCUAUUCAUAUAGGAAUAUUGGUUCAAGUUUGAGAAAAAUGGCAACUUACCUAGGGUUUACUUGGUUUUGGUUUGCGACUAUUUACGCAACCAACCAUGAGUUUGACUUUAACGUCAUGGGUUGAAGCCUCCUACAAUCAUGUAUGAUAGUUCAAAGCUCGUGGAAGAAAUUAUACAGGAAGGAAGAAACCUCCAAAGCUAGCUCCAAAAGAGAAUUAUCACAUCGAUAGCUCCAGAGAUUCCCAAGGGAACUGAAUCAAAGACAAGUUCCUCACUUUUUCUUCUUUUGAGGCCAAAUAUGAACCAAGGAUCACACGACCUCAUUCAACUUCAUAAGUUUGAUUUCAUGCAGUUGAACACUGGGUGAAGGCCAUGACAAGAAUUGAUUAAAAAAUUCUACCACUCUUUUAAGUAAUGGAAGAUUAUUAUCUCUGAUUGGCACCACAACAGCACAUGCUGCUAGAUCUUUCUAGACACUCCAUGCAAUGAAAGCACAAUGGAUCUUGUAAUGAUAGAAACUAAGCCAUGCUACAGUACUAGAUGAGGGGGUAAAACUAGUAGACAUCUUUCUAGACACUCCAUGCAAUGAAAGCACAAUGGAUCUUGUAAUGAUAGAAACUAAGCCAUGCUACAGUACUAGAUGAGGUGGUAAAACUAGUAGACAUGGCUGGCAGUUGAUUACUACUCAAAAAGUACUCUUUUAUAGCUUGAAACUAACUGUUUUAAACACUUUUGAGUAGUAGUUAAUACCUUUUAACUUAAUUGGCACAUUAAGGAACCUAGCAAGGGUUACUAAUCAACAUUUGGCAAGUUUUGAUGUUUUUGGUAGCUAUUUGAUCAUUGAAACAAGCCAAGAAUGAGGGGGAAUUUUGUGAAGUCCAUGGCAAUGCAAGUUAAAGCUCAAAUACAUGAAGAAUCCAAGCUUUGGAGCACUUCAUAGCCCUUUGCCAAGCCAAUCAAAGAUGCAAGGAAGAAAACCAAAGGAAGAAAUCCAACAAUCAGCAUUUUGGCAUGGCUAUGUGAAAUUUCGCACACCAUGCGAAACCACAAGAGGCAGCCAAAGAAUUUCGCAUGGUAUGCGAAAUCUUCUUGUGCACUGACUCUGUUAGAUUUUUAUCUUCAGAUAUUUUGUGUAAUUUCCUAGUUUCUCCUUGUAACCAACUUAGAUAUUUUCUUUUAUAUCUUUUUUUAUAUUUUUUAGGUAACAUCAUAUAUAAGAGGAGAGACAUAAGGAGGAUAUGGAUGUUUUUCAUAGAACACUUGUAAAUUUUUGGUAGUAAGAAAUAUACAAAGCUUUUUGCUCUGCCUUACCUUCUCAAGGGAUGAGUGGCUAGGUUUUCUUGGAGUGAGGGAAGCUAGGUGAAGGACCUGAAUGCAAAGGUGGGAGUUUUCCUUACUUUAAAUGAAAGUAGUUGUUAAACAUUAAUGGUUUUUAUUUUAAGGUUUAGCUUUAAAUCCCUGAAAAACACCUUGAAUGGCCAAUACUUGGUAAGCUUUUUAGAUUCUAUGGAUGCUUAUUGCUAGAUCCAUGGAUGUCUAUUAGUUAUCAUUUACGAGCCAUUGGAAGGUGAUUCAAGGUGAGGGUCUUUAGUGUUUGAAGCCAUUAAUGGGAAGCAAUUACCAUUUUUUCAUGAAUCCUUUGGAUCAAAUCUUAAUUGCUAAAUAUAAAACCGGUUUCGAGAGAUAACCACCAUCCUUUAUGUUAUUAUCCCCAACGCGAGGAGAAGAUCCGAAAUCUUCCUUUUUAUCUAAGGAACCCGAUCCUAGUGACCUAAAGCUCCAAGAUACCUUUUCUUUGUAGUUAACUUCAUUUAUUGUUUUUGCUUAACUUAAAAUCAAUCUUUGCAACCACAAUUCCAUUUUCUUUAAAAGCUAAUUUUUAUAAGGAAAAACACCAUUUUAUUUCCUUCACUAAGUCAACUGUACGAUGAAAACCCAUCCCUGUGGACGAUCCUAGAGCCACUAUACUAUGUUAGCUAUGCUACCCUAGUGUGAGGUGAUUUAGGUUUUAUAAAUUUUUUUGAUAACACCCAUCUGAGCCAGAAUCAAAUGGCACGACUGAACCAGGGACGAAUCAAAUGACGCCGCUACCAAGGAUGGUGCCAAAGUACAUUGACAUGACUUUUGGUGAACACUUGUGAUCUUCACCACAAGUUUGGUGAUUUUUCUUUUACUAAUUUUUUUUAUUUUAGCUUAUCUUUUAUUUAGUUUUUAGUUAACCUUAAAUUUUUCCUAGAAUUGUAUUUCUUUUGUUUUCUUUGUUUUUGUUUCAGUGAUCUUUAGUUGUGCAUGCCCUAUUGGAUAAGAGAUAUUGAGGGAAUACUUGUGAAGAUUGAAACUCCUCGAGAAACUGAGUUAGAAGUGUGCUUGAACAUCAUGGAUGUUCCACCUGAAGACCAGAAUAGCCAACAUGGUUAAGAGGAUAAUUUCAACACAUACCGAUCCAUGAGGAACCGCAUACAUCCACCUUGUAUGAGUGCACCGUCAGGCAUAAUGCCUCCCACUGAGCAGCUAGUAAUCUGACCUCACAUUGUGCCACUCCUACCUACUUUCCAUGGGAUGGAGAGUGAGAAUCCCUACUCGCAUAUUAAGGAAUUCGAGGAGGUUUGUAAUACAUUCCAAGAAGGAGGAGCUUCAAUUGACUUGAUGAGGCUCAAGCUAUUUCCUUUCACUUUGAAGGAUAAGGCCAAGAUUUGGCUUAAUUCUUUAAGGCCAAGAAGUAUCCAAACUUGGAUUGAUUUGUAAGCCGAGUUUCUUAAGAAGUUCUUCCCUACCCAUAGGACCAAUGGUUUGAAAAGGCAAAAUUUGAACUUCUCAGUUAAAGAGAAUGAGAAAUUCUAUGAGUGUUGGGAGAGCUACAUGGAAGCUAUUAACGUUUGUCCUCACCAUGGCUUUGACACAUGGCUCUUAGUGAGCUAUUUUUACAAUGGUAUGUCUUCUUCAAUGAAGCAACUCCUAGAAACUAUGUGUGGAGGAGACUUCAUGAGUAAGAAUCCGGAGGAAGCCAUGGACUUUUUGAGUUAUGUGGCUGAAGUUUCAAGAGGAUGGGAUGAACCAAAUGCUAGAGAGGUGGGAAGAAUGAAGUCUCAACCUAAUGCUAAGGGUGAGAUGUAUGUUUUGAAUGAAGACAUUGACAUGAAAGCAAAGGUUGCAGCUAUGGCAAGGAGAUUGGAAGAGCUAGAAAUGAAGAACAUACAAAAAGUGCAAGCCAUUUCUGAGACAUCAAUGAAAGCUAUGCCUUGUUCCAUUUGUCAAUCUUAUAAGCACCUAGUGGAGGAGUGUCCUACAAUUCCAGCAGUGAGAGAGAUGUUUGGUGAUCAAGCAAAUGUUAUUGAUCAAUUCAAGCCUAAUAACAAUGCUUCAUAUGGCAACACCUACAAUUCAAAUUGGAGGAACCAUUCAAAUUUCUCUUGGAAACGAAAGCCACCUCAAUACACACAACCUACUCAAGCACCUUAGCAAUCCUCGAAUCUUGAACAAGCUAUUGUGAACCUUAGCAAGGUUGUGGGAGACUUUGUGGGAGAUCAGAAGUCCAUCAAUGCUCAACUGAAUCGGAGAAUUGACAGUGUGGAGAGUACAUUGAACAAAAGGAUGGAUGAGAUGUAAAAUGAUCUGUCUCAAAAGAUAGACAAUGUCCAAUACGUAAUCUCAAGGCUUACCAACCUCAACACAGUGUAAGAGAAAGGAAAGUUUCCUUCUCAACCUCAUCAAAAUCCUAAGGGUAUCCAUGAAGUAGAGGCUCAAGAGGGAGAAUCUUCAAAGGUGAGGGAAGUCAAAGUAGUUAUCACCUUGAAGAGUGGUAAAGAGGUUGAUCAACCCACAUCCAAGCCAAAGCAUAAUGAAGAGAGUGUAGCAGAAAAAGAAAAGAGAGGAAAAUAAAGGAAUUAGAAUAGAGAAAAAUACAAAGAAAGAUGACCAUGAGUCUAGUGUGGAUGAAGAGCCCGAGAGGAUGGUGAUCAAGGAAGAUAUGAUGAAGAAACACAUGCCUCCACCUUUCCCCUAAGCUUUGCAUGACAAAAAAAGAACCAAUAAUACAUCAGAAAAUUUUGAAGUAUUGAGGCAAGUGAAGGUCAAUAUCCCUUUGCUAGACAUGAUCAAACAAGUGUCGACAUAUGAAAAAUUCUUGAAGGACUUGUGCACUGUAAAGAGAGGGUUGAAUGUGAACAAGAAAGCUUUAUUGACCGAGCAAGUGAGUUCCAUCAUACAGUGCAAGUCCUAGUGAAGUACAAAGAUCCGGGUUGCCGUACCAUCUCAGUGAGUAUUGGAAGGACUUGUGUGGAGAAAGCUUUGUUGGACUUGGGAGCAAGUGUGAAUUUGCUAUCCUACUCUGUCUAUAAGCAGUUGGGAUUUGGAGAGUUGAAGCCAAUAUCCAUCACUCUAUCUCUAGCGGAUAGAUCAAUGAAGAUUCCAAGAGGGAUGAUCGAAGAUGUCCUGGUUCAAGUUAACAAAUUCUACUAUCCAGUAGAUUUUGUUGUUCUUGAUAUGGAUCCGGUUGUCAAAUGAACUAAUUAUGUUCCUAUCAUACUUGGAAGACCCUUCCUAGCUACAUCAAAUGCAAUCAUCAAUUGUAGGAAUGGAGUCAUGCAACUCACAUUUGUCAACAUGACAUUAGAGCUCAACAUCUUCCAUUUGUACAAGAAGCAUAUCCAUCAGGAGGAAAAAGAAGGUCUAGAGGAAGUGUGAAUGAUUGACACUUUAGUGGAAGAGCAUUGUGAUCGAGAAUGCAAAAAGAUUUAGUUGAGAAUUUUGGGGAUCUUGAUGAAAGGUUACUUGAACCCUCAGAUUUGCUUGCUACCCUACUCCAUUGGAAGAGAAGAGAAGAAAUUCUACCCUUAUUCAAUGAGGAGGAGACGCAAAGAGCUGCAAAGGAGAAACCCCCAAAACUUAUUCUUAAGCCACUACCCACAGAGUUGAAGUAUGUAUACUUGGAAGAAGACAAGAAGUGCCCUAUUGUUAUAUCUUCAACUCUUACCAUUCAUCAGGAGGAUUGUCUACUUGAAGUCCUUAGAAGAUGUAAGAAGACAAUAAGGUGGCUAAUUUCUUAUUUGAAAGGGAUCAGCCCUUUAGUCUGCACCCAUCAUAUUUACAUGGAGGAUGAAGCUAAGCUAAUUCAUCAACCUCAGAGAAGGUUGAACCCUCACAUGCAAGAGGUGGUUCGAGCUGAAGUUCUGAAGCUACUUCAGACCAGUAUUAUUUACCCCAUAUCAAAUAGCCCAUGGGUGAGUCCUACUCAAGUUGCGCCAAAGAAGUCUGGGAUCAUGGUGGUGCAAAAUGAUAAGGGAGAAGAUGUCUCUACACGCCUCACUACAGGUUGGAGGGUGUGUAUCAAUUACAGGAGGUUGAAUGCAGUGAUAAGAAAGGACCAUUUCUCAUUGCCCUUUAUUGAUCAGGUGCUUGAGAGGGUCUCUGGGCUUUUUUUUUUAUUGUUUCUUGGAUGGCUACUCCGGGUACUUUCAGAUAGAAAUUGAUGUUGAAAACCAAGAUAAGACCAUUUUCACAUGCCCAUUUGGAACCUAUGCAUAAAGGAGAAUGCCUUUCGGCUUAUGCAAUGCACCCGCAACUUUCCAAAGAUGCAUGUUAAGCAUUUUCAGUGAUAUGGUGGAGCGUAUUAUGGAAGUCUUUAUGGAUGAUAUCACCAUUUAUGGAAGUGCAUUUGAUGAAUGCUUGGUCAACUUAGAAGCUGUUCUGAACCGAUACAUUGAGAAAGACUUAGUGCUUAACUGGGAGAAGUGCCAUUUCAUGGUACACCAAGGGAUUGUCCUUGGGCACAUUAUCUCCAAGCAAGGCAUUGAAGUUGACAAAGCAAAGGUUGAACUCAUUGUUAAGUUGCCAUCCUCAACAAAUGUCAAAGGAGUAAGGCAAUUCUUUGGCCAUGUCGGGUUCUAUAGGAGGUUUAUCAAGGAUUUCUCUAAGCUUGCAAGGCCUCUUUGUGAAAUAUUGGUGAAUGAUGUUAAAUUCAUAUGGGAUGAUGGAUUUGAAAGGAGUUUUGAAGAAUUGAAGCUAUUUUUGACAACCGUACCAAUAGUGAGGGCUCCCAACUGGCAACUGCCCUUUGAAGUAAUGUGUGAUGUCAAUGAUUUUGCUAUAGGAUUUUUUCUUGGGCAAAGAGAAAAUGGAAAACCUUAUGUGAUCUACUAUGCGAGGAAGGCAUUGAAUGAGGCACAAAGAAACUACACAACCACCGAGAAAGAAUUGUUAGCUGUAGUUUUUGCCUUGGAUAAGUUUCGCGCUUACUUGGUGGGGUCCUUCAUCAUGGUUUUUACUGAUCACUUUGCUUUGAAGUAUCUGUUGACUAAGCAAGAUGCUAAAGCAAGGCUGAUUAGAUGGAUUCUCUUACUUCAAGAGUUCAAUCUCCAUAUCAAAGAUAAGAAAGGAGUGGAGAAUGUGGUAGCAGACCACAUUUCAAGGCUAGCUAUCGCACAUAAUUCCCAUGCUUUGCCCAUUAAUGACGAUUUUCUAGAGGGGUCUCUCAUGUUGGUGGAAGUUGUCCCUUGGUACGCUCACAUUGCUAACUACCUGGUCACGGGAAAAGUUCCAAGUGAGUGGAAAGCACAAGAUAAGAAGCACUUCUUUGCAAAAAUUCAUGCCUACUAUUGGGAAGAGCCAUUUCUAUUCAAGUAUUGUAUGGAUCAGAUAAUAAGGAAGUGCGUUCCUGAAGAAGAGCAACAGGGGAUCCUUAGUCAUUACCAUGAAAAUGCAUGUGGAGGCCACUUUGCUUAUCAAAAGACAGCCAUGAGGGUGUUGCAAUCGGGUUUCUGUUGGCCAUCACUUUUCAAAGAUGCCCACACCAUGUGCAAGAGUUGUGAUCGAUGCCAGAGGCUUGGGAAGUUGACACGCAGGAACAUGAUGCCUUUGAACCCCACUUUAAUAGUUGAUAUUUUUUAUGUUUGGGGCACUAACUUCAUGGGACCUUUCCCUAUGUCUUUUGGCUACUCUUACAUCUUGGUAGGAGUAGAUUAUGUUUCUAAGUGGGUUGAGGCAGUCCCAUGCAAACACAAUGACCAUAGAGUGGUUCUCAAGUUUCUUAAAGAGAAUAUCUUCUCAAGAUUUGGGGUGCCCAAAGCCAUAAUUAGUGAUGGGGGUACUCAUUUUUGCAACAAGCCUUUUGAAACUCUCCUAGCCAAGUAUGGGGUGAAGCAUAAGGUAGCUACACCUUACCACCCUCAAACUCAUGGACAAGUUGAGUUAGCAAACAGGGAGAUUAAAAACAUAUUGAUGAAGGUGGUGAACACAAACAGAAAAGAUUGGUCAGUCAAGCUUCUUAAUUCACUAUGGGCAUAUAGAACAACUUACAAGACCAUUCUCGGGAUGUCUCCUUAUCGCCUAGUUUAUGGCAAAGCAUGCCAUCUCCCUGUGGAAUUGGAAUACAAAGCUUGGUGGGCAAUCAAGAAGCUCAACAUGGAUUUGAGCAGAGCUGGGUUGAAGAGGUUCUUAGACCUUAAUGAGAUGGAGAAAUUGAGAAAUGAUGCCUACAUCAAUUCAAAAAUUGCAAAAGAAAAAUUGAAGAGGUGGCAUGAUCAGUUGAUUUCCCGCAAGGAUUUUCAAAAUGGACAAAGAGUCUUACUUUAUGACUCUAAACUCCACAUCUUUCCGGGCAAGCUGAAAUCAAGGUGGAUAGGUCAUUUUACCAUUCACCAAGUGCAUUCAAAUGGAGUAGUGGAACUACUCAACUCCAACAAUAUCGAGAACUUCAAAGUGAAUGGCCACCGUCUCAAGCCCUUUGUGGAGUCUUUUUCUCACAACAAGGAGAAAUUCAUCCUCCUUGAUCCACAUCAAGCUUAACAAGACCAAUUUUCUUGAUGGACUUAGUCUUUCUAAAGACUAUCGAGUCCAUAACUUUUUGUUUUAUUUUUUAUUUGAGAUUUUUUCGGUAUUGUUACUUGUUUUGUUUUUUAUUUUUCGUUUUAAUUUUAUUUGGUUUGAUUUAACUUAGGUUUUUGAUGAUCAAUUACAGGGGGGAUUUCAAAUAGAGGAAAAACCAAGAUAAUUCGCACACCCUACGAAAAUUUCGCAAGGCAUGCGAAAUUUAUGGCUUAUUUUGCAUGGGGUGAAAAUUUUCGUACAUCUUACGAACCAAUUUCGAACACUUUGCGAAAAUAAACCAACCCUGCGAAAUCAUUUCGAUUACUCUACGAAAUUUUCGUAGAGCAUGCGAAAAAUUUAGCACACCAAACACCAUUUCGCAUACUAUGCAAAAACCUAAGGGGUCUGCGAAACCAUUUCGCACCUCCAAAUCCAUUUCGCACAUUGUGCGAAAACCAAGAGGCGCUGUGCGAAAAUGAAAAGUCGCCCUGUCAUCCCUUUUUAAACCCCUCGAGCCCUAAAAUCUCCAUUUCGCAAGCACCCCUGUCCUUGCGAAUCCCUCAUUUUCCUCUACUACCUUGCAACCUCGUCCCUUUCCAUUUGAUAUUGUGCCCCGCGCACAUCUCAUUUCAGAGACUCGCACUCCGCGCCCCCUCAAAGCAUGGACUCGAGACCCACCUUCCAUUUCCGACGUGGCACGGACCCAAGGAGCCCUUUCUGCCCCUUCACUAAGACACACACCAAGGCAGAAAGCCUCCUUUGCUCAAGUGCCUAGUGAUUCUCCAUCUUAGGCCUCAGAGGCCUCGGAGGCCCCGUGGAUUCCACCUUCCGAGGGUAGAGCAGCCAUUGGUCCUUCCUCUUCUACUCCUUAGCGUAGAUACGAGACGAGGAGACCACCUACUACACAAGGGGCGACUACUUCGAGCCUUGAGAAUUCAGUACGAUGCCUUCCUGCCAAGAGGGUCAAGACUUCAGGUCCAAGUGAGUCAUCCAGAGCUUCAUAGCCUAAGCCUCCUGUAGAUUCCAAGGUUCCUACUGACAUAUCACCGGAGUCUAUUAUCAGAAGCCCGAUGCUCAUAGCACCGCCCAUUGAGGGCAACUCAGAUUAUAGAGCGAGAUCUUUCCACUUGGAGCUAUAUUUUGAUCAGGAGGCCAUACGACAGCAGCCUGAGCUCCGAGACUCUUAUGGCUUACUGCAGAGGUACCAUCUUGAGGAACUUAUGACUCCUCGUGAGUUUUUUUAUCCCAGAGUAGCACUAAACUUUUACCAGUCCAUGACUACUCGUGGCGUCCCGAGUCCUACCACGAUUCACUUCACCAUUGAUAGACGUCAUGGUAUCCUCAAGGCCAGACAUAUUACAGAGGCUCUACAAAUUCCUUUCGAGCUAGAGGAUCCAUCUGUUUUUCGCUAAUGGUCCCCAGUAUCUCAGAGGGACAUGGUCCGUAUUUUAUCUAGGGGAACAUCUACAGAUUCGAUCUUUCUACGGAAGGAGCUUCGACCUGGGAUGCUCCUCUUAGAUGUGGUGCUAUGCUCCAACCUCUUUCCCUUACAACAUUCGGUACAUAGGUGAUGAGCUAUUUUGGACGCUUUAUUCCGUAUAUCAGAGGGCUUCUACUUUGGCCCGCACCACUUGAUCAUGGUCUCCCUCAUCCACUUUGAGGAGAAGGUUCAUAGGAAGAAGCUUCAGAGGGUGGACACCAUUCCAUUACUAUUCCUGAGGUUACUUUGCCAGGUCUUGGAGUACAUGGGCUUUCCUACUGAGCCUCGGCUCGAGCUUUGCCGCCUUUGUCGAGAGUGAUCCACUCUCGACAAAUGGAAUUAGUUGGCGGGCUAUUCUGCACCUCCAGGAGCCCCUCCCAUGGUAGCACCUCCAAUGUCCCCACAGGCAAAGUAGGGCGAGCUCCCGGCAAAGACUGUACCACCAAUGCCCACACUUGAGGCUAUUUCUGCUGCUCUGCCUAUGACUCCUACUGUUCCACCAGUUGGUCCUUUUACAUCCGAGCCUUCCAUCACCAUCUCGGCUUCGGAGUUUCGCGCCCUUGUGCAUACCUUUCAGACACUCACCACCACACAUACUCCUCUCUUCUAGCAAAUGGUUGAGAUGUGUGCCCAUCAGGACCGGAAGACUACUAUACUCUGCCAAAUUCAGCAGCACCUAAGACUUUUGCCUCAACCUCAACCUAACCAUCCCAUAUCAUCAGAGCCUCUAGCUCCAACUGAGGAUACUAUUCCACCUGAGAACACUACCACAGUAGAGGUCCGGUUUCCACCACCUUAAGAGGCCACCACAGCUACAUCAGAGGAUGUGUCAUCUCCACUUGAGGCUCCCACUACUUGAUCAUAGGACAUAUCUUUAUCUUAUUGUAUUUACAUAUUAUAUUACUAGAGAUUUGUCCUUGUUUUGAUACUUUAUAUUCUGGGAUUGGAUGUAUUGCCUGAUGAUAUCUCAAUUGUACUUUCUCAUAUUAAUAUAUAGACAUCAAUUUUUUUUAGUAUACUUAGCAUUUUUCUAUUUCCUCUACUCAUUACUCUUUUGUUUUUUUUUACUCAUGUGGUUUCUCUUAUACAACUCAGACUCCAUUUCACUCAGGAGGUACCACUUCCUCCCUUUAUUUUCAAUUGCUCUUGAAAUAUUGAGUGCAAUGUUGAUCUUGGUUGGGGGGAGAGUUGAGGAAGGAAGUUUUGUUAAUAAUGCUAGGUUAAUUUGUUAAUUUAGUUACUUUCUGCUUAAUUUUAAAAGUUUUCACUCUACUUUCCAUGGUUAUUAAGGAAAAAUUCUCAAAAUGAAAUGGGAGAAAUCGAAUUCUUGCAUUUUUACUUGAAUCUUAGAAUUUGUAUCAUGCUUAUUAAAGUUGAUGAAUUAUUGAAACUCCUAUUGAAUUCAACCUUAUUUUUUCCACUUUAAUCUUACCACACACGGUGCACAUUAGGUUCCAGUUAUAAGAUAAAAAACUAUCUCACCCCCUAAACUUAGAAAAAUUUACACUUGGUACCUUUGACAUCGUUUUAAUAGUGUUGGGACACCUUAUAAAAGGCCAAUGAGCCUUUAAAAAAAAAAAAAAAAAAAAAAAGAGAAAGAACAAAGUAUUGCACUUGCCUUGAAACCUGAGCAAGAUCCGAGGGGUAUACAGUGAAAGUCUUUAAAACCUGGUGCCCUAAGCCUUGAUUGGUUGGGAGUCACCGACCUCAAUGCUCGUUAUAAGGGUGAAUAGGUGGAGUUUAACAUAUUGUAGGUGCUUGGGUAUUGAAUUUCAAUCUCAAAAGUCCGGGAAAAAAUCUAAGGAGUUAGUGGUCAAAAGAUCCUUAAAGCUUGAUGCCCUAAACCUUGAUUGGUUGAGAGUCAUUGAUGGAUCCCCGCUACAUGGACAUUUUAGAAAACAAUACCUUUAGCAUUGCACGCCUACAAUGAAAAAAAAAUGUGAAAUAAAAGAGGUGCGUUCUUAGCCUAUUGGAGGUUGGUCAGUUUGCUAAAGUUUGAGAAAUCUAGGUUGGGGGGAGAGAAUAGUCCGACAUACUAUAAUAAAAAACUAAUAACCUUAACACUUAGAUUUUUGUGGAAGAGUAAGGAUUGGACCUUUAGGGGUGGAAAUUCUUUUGAUGCUUAAAUUUGCAUAAUGCCUACUCUUUAUAAAUUAUGAUUAGGCAAGAGAUUUGAUGACUCUUGUUCAAAGUUGGGUUUUUCCUCUUUGAUGUUCCAUGAGAGAGUAUAAUCCUCAUCAUGCCACUUGAAAUCUUUUUGGAGUGAUUAACAUGAUUUUGUAAAUUAUUUUACUGUCUAUUUUUCUUUAUCUCUCUUUUAUUGCUAAUGGACUAGCAAUAUGUCAGUUGGGGGGAGUGAUUACUACUCAAAAAGUACUCUUUUAUAGCUUGAAACUAACUGUUUUAAACACUUUUGAGUAGGUGUUAAUACAUUUUAACUCAAUUGGCACAUUAAGGAACCUAACAAGGGUUACUAAUAAGUUUUUGGCAAGUUUUGGUGUUUUUGGUAGCUAUUUGAUCAUUGAAACAAGCCAAGAAUGAGGGAGAAUUUUGUGAAGUCCAUAGCAAUGCAAGUUAAAGCUCAAAUACAUGAAGAAUCCAAGCUUUGAAGCACUUCAUAGCCCUUUGCGAAGCCAAUCAGAGAUGCAAGGAAGAAAACCAGAGGAAAAAAUCCAACAACCAGCAUUUUCGCAUGGCUGUGCGAAAUUUUGCACACCAUGCGAAACCACAAGAAGUAGCCAAAGAAUUUUGCACACCAUGCGAAAUUUCGCAUGGUAUACGAAAUCUUCCUAUGCACCAACUCCGUUAUAUUUUUAUCUUCAGAUAUUUUGUGUAAUUUCCUAGUUUCUCCUUGUAACCAACCUAGAUAUUUUCUUUUAUAUCUUUUUUUUAUAUUUUUUAGGUAACAUCAUAUAUAGGGGGAGAGACAUAAGGAGGAUAUGGAUGUUUUUCAUAAAACACUUUUAAUUUUCUGGUAGUAAGAAAUAUACAAAGUUUUUUGCUCUGCCUUACCUUCUCAUUUUGUUUUCACCUAUCUUUCUAGCCAAACAACCUCUGAGAAUGAUUUCUCAGGGGAUGAGUAGUUAGGUUUUACGUUUCUUGGAGUGAGAGAAGCUAGGUGAAAGACCCAAAUGCUAAGGUGGGAGUUGUCCUUGCUUUAAAUGAAAGUAGUUGUUAAAUAUUAAUGGUUUUUAUUUUAAGGUUUAGCUUUAAAUCCCUUAAAAACACCUUGAAUGGCCAAUACUUGGUAAGCUUUUCGGAUUCUAUGGAUGCUUAUUGCUAGAUCCAUGGAUGUCAUUAGUUAUCAUUUAUGAGCCAUUGGAAGGUGGUUCAAGAUGAGAGUCUUUAGUGUUUGAAGCCAUUAAUGGGAAACAAUUACCAUUUUUUCAUGAAUCCUUUGGAUAAAAUCUUAAUUGCUAAAUAUAAAACUGGUUCGGGAGAUAACCAUCCUUUAUGUUAUUAUGCCCAAUGCAAGGAGAAGAUUUCGAAUCUUCUCAUUUGUCUAAGGAACCCGAUCCUAGUGACCUAAAGCUCCUAGAGACCUUUUCUUUGUAGUUAACUUCAUUUAUUGUUUUUGCUUAACUUAAAAUCAAUCUUUGCAACCACAAUUCCAUUUUCUUUAAAAGCUAAUUUUUAUAAGGAAAAGCACCAUUUUAUUUCCUUCACUAAGUCAACUGUAUGAUGAAAACCCAUCCCUGUGGACGAUCUUAGAGCCACUAUACUAUGUUAUCUAUGCUAUCCUAGUGUGAGGUGAUUUAGGUUUUAUAAAUUUUGUUGAUAACACCCGUCUGAGCCAGAAUCAAAUGGAACCACUGAACCAGGGACAAAUCAACAGCCUAUAUGGGAGGGACACAAGUUUAAUUGAUUUGCAUUUCAGCGUUAUAGAUAAGUAUGUUUUGGAAGAUUUGUUCUGGAAAUACUGCACCAAGUACGAUUCUUUUUCUCUUGAGUGAGUCCAUUUGCAUGCCAAUUAACGAGUUGAAAAGUAGGAGCACCUACCUCGUGCUCAUGGAACCGAAUGUCAGUGAAGUGGGGCUCCUUUUAGCCUCUUGUGUUUCUGUUCCAACCAAGGCGGCGUAGGGAAAAACAACAAUAUGUCUGUGCUAAAUAUCAACGCAUGAUAGAUGUUUUUUUUUUUUUUUUUGGUAUGUCAAGGCUAACGAAUGAAAUGCAUUAGCUUGUUUUGUGACUAUAACUGCAAAUGUCCAAAUUGGAGUAUCUCCAUUUCUCACUUCGGAUGGUUAACUUUAUAAACAAGAUAUAGGAAACAUGUGAACAUCUUGAGGAACAAUUCAAAUUAUUCAUUAGAAGUCCUGGGUUAAGUUCCAAGAUUUAAAUCAGACCCUUCUAGCAGCUUCAAGGGUACUUAGCAACCUAUAACAUAUUAAUGAAGAUUUAGGAUUUAGACUCCGGAAUACAAAUAAAUAUGUAUCUCAUGCUUUGACUAGCUUCCCUACAUAUGCAUAAAAUGGAGAUGACCCAAAAAAAAUAGCAGAAUCUAGCUUCCCUACAUAUGCACAAAAUGGAGAUGACCCAAAAAAUAGCAUAAUCGCCUUAGUUUCUGUGGUUAAGGUGAUUCUCCGCUUAAUAUCCACAUUGACUCAUUAUGCAAAAUCAACUGAGCUAAUUUUAUUUAUUUAUUUAAUGUCAAAUAGGAACUCCUAAUUAACUGAUUACUGUCGAAAAGUGCUAUUUUGUAGACCUAAUUAUAAGGGUUUUAAGCACCUUUGAGUAGUAAUCAUAUUCAUUUAACCUAAUUAAUUCAUUAAGCUCCUUAGUAAUUAGUUCUAACCAUUUUUAGUGGCAAGUUUACAUGUUUUUCAUCAGCUUAUGAACCAAUUCAAGCAUGCCAAUUGAUGGAGGAGCUACUUGGGCGAGUUAAGCAAGGAUUUUGGACGUUUACAGGCUUGAAUUUCAAGUGGAAACACGAGCACAAGCAAUGGGAACACCAUUUCGCAAGGGGAGGCAAUUCACCUUGCCAAAUGACCAAUUUCGCAAGGGGAUUUUCCUCAUGGUGCAAAAUUUGGUCAUUUCGCACCAUGAAGAAACCACCUUGCAAAAUUUCGCAAGGUGGAUUUAGGCACCUUGCGAAAUGCCAAAUUUCACAAGGUGGCUUUUCACCUUGCGAAAUUUGGACCUUUCAUCUUCCCCCCUUGCGAAAUGCCUUUGAAAUCCCCUGUUUUGAGACGCUGUUGAUGAUAUUCCACUGCCGGUUCUCCAAGAUAUUUUGCUUGACUUUUAGCUUUAUAAAUACCUAUUUUACCCUUGUAAUCAACCAAUGAAAAGGUUGCUUUUGUAAUAGCUCUUGUAAUUUAGCUUUUUAUUGUCUUUAAAUAGAGGUGAAGAGCCUCAGACACGAUCAUCUUGUAACCUGUAACUUUAUAAGUUAUAAGAGCACUUUUGUUCAUACGCUUCUUUUCUCUUUUCUUUCUCAUUUUCUUAGUAGCCAAACAUCCUUGGAGGAUGAAAUCCCCAAGGAUGAGAGGCUAAAACCUUUUAGUUUCUUGAAGUAAUGGAUGCCAUGUGAAGCUCCCGUGUCAGGAUGGAGAUUUCCAAGCCAUAAAUGUAAGUAGCUGAGCGUCAUAAAUGUUUUCAUUCAAAGUAAAGCUUUUAAUCCCUCUGACUUGCUUUGAAUGGCCAAUACUUGAUAACCUUUUGGUCUCAAUGGAUUCUUAUUGUUAGAUCCACUGACGUUCAUUAGUUAUCUCCUACGAGCCAUUGUAUUGCAAGUCGAGGAGAUGACCUAUACCAAUAAAAGAGCAUUUAUGAGGUUCAACUACCCUUUUUGUAAGUUUUCAAGGACUAAAACUCAGUUGUUAAACUCAUACCGGUUCGAGAAGUAAGCAUCACCUUAGUUGCUUCCCCAACUCGAGGUGAAAAGUCCCAAAAUCUCCAUUUUUACACAGUGAGUUAAGCAUGGCUAUCCAAAGCUUUAAGAAACUUCUUUUUCCAUCUUUUAACCUAUUUUCAUGUUAGUUUAGUUUACAACACCUUCAUCUUUUUAUGUUUUCAUCUUAACCUAAUUUUUAUUAAGAAAAGUUCACUCCAUCCUCCGAACUUCACCAGUUAAAGUAAAAACCCUUCCCAGUGUUCGAUCCUAGAGCCACUAUGCUAUAGUAGCUUUGCUACUUUAGUGUAAGGACCUUAGGUAUAAAUUUUGUUGAUACCCUUACAUGCCAAGCUACCAAGAGUCGGGUUAUCAUUAACCUAACCAUUGGCCUGUGUAAAUUGAUUUCACAUGCACAAUGUUGUAGUAGAAGUCCAUAUUUUGAAUUUUAUUUUUGUAAAGGUAAGGAAAAUGAAGCAUUGUGUAAUUAUAAAAAUAACUUCAUUGGAAUUCACAAGGUUCACCCAAAAUGGAGCUACAUCUGUAUUCUAUCCUACAGUAGACUAUAUAGAUUGUACAAUAGUAAAUUGCAAAUACAAUUAAUAAGUCUUGUGCUUCCUUACUAAUAAUCCUUUGACAUGAACAUUGCAGCACUAAGGUCCUCUUGGGAAGACACCUUGCACCCAUGAGAGCACUAAGAGGAAGCAAGGCAGAGUCAUGGGUGCAAUGUCAUGACUUGUUGUUGCACCAAGAGAGGCUUGGUGAUGCCAUGGUGUUGCAGUAGCAAGAAUGUUGCCUUGGCAGGGACACGAUCUAGGGAUAGAUGCCAAGAAAGGCUUAGCACUCACAUGAGUUGCACAAAGAUGAAUGUAAUAGAGCAUCAGAGAGACGUCUUGGCAAGUAAAUGAAUGGAUCCAAGAGACAACAACAUGAGGAGUUUCAAAUGGAUAAGGAAUGACUCAAAGACAUUUGAAAGCUACAAGUUGGAUUCUAAUUACGAUUGCAAUUUGAGUUUGAGUAGGAGUUUAGAUUUUGAUUGUAAUUGUAGUAUGAGUUGGACUAGGAUUGCUUAUCCUUAGUCAAUAUAGGAGCGGUUCGUGUCACCCUAUGAAAAGAGUUUGAGUAGGGACUAGGAUUGCUUACUCCUAGUCAAAUAUGGAGUAGGUGGUGCCACACCUAUAAAAAAAAGGGACAACAUGAGAGAGAGAGAGAGAGAGAAAGAGAGAGUGAAUUCACUAAAGAUAUUGUGGGAGUUUUGCUUUGUUACGUCUUGUAUUAUUACUUAGAAUAGGAAUAAAAUACAAGUUGGGGCUAGAGCCCCAUAAUUAAUCUCGUGUGCCUUUGUGGUUAUUCUUUAUUUGUCAUCUCGUGUGGAUUGGAUUAGGUUGACUUAGAGGGCUUCUAAGCACCACCUUUGUGGGUUAUUAUUUAUUUUCCAUCUCUUGUGGAUUAGAUUAGGUUGACUUAGAGGGCUUCUGAGCACCACCUUUGUGGGUUAUUAUUUAUUUUCCAUCUAUUGUGGAUUAGAUUAGGUUGACUUAGAGGGCUUUUAAGCACCACAUUUGUGGGUUAUUCUUUAUUUUCCAUAUCGUGUGGGUUGGAUUAGGUUGACAAGGAGAAAAAUUAUGUGGGAAAUUUGUGUUGGGACACUUACCAUAACCAAGUAAAAUCUACCAAGUCCUUUGUAAUAUCUUCAACAAAUAUUUUAGACUAGUUCUUUCAGUUAGUGUAAAGGAGGAAGAAGUGGUAUUGAUUCUAGAAAUAGGGUGUGUGUAUUUGAACUACAAUCCUUAUGAUCCUUAGGUCUCUAAACCUUCGUGAUGGGCUCCCUGACAUUUCAUAGGUUGUGCUACACAUGCGUUUGAAAUUUAGAGUGCGUUUGACAGUGAUUCCGGGAAGUGUUUUUGGCCUUUCUUACACUUGAAAAUUUUUAUUUUUCAAGUAUUAGAAAUGCUACAAACACUUUUGAAAAUUACUGUCAAACACACUCUUAGGAGCGCACAUAUAUAGUAGAAAACUAGAAAUUGUGGUUUUUUUAGGAUUUACUGUAAUGUCAUUAGGAGGGUAGUAAGUUGAAAUUGAGUAUGAACAAAUAUUUCUUUCUUUGGGAUGUUCUUCUAGUAGGUGCUGAUGAAACUGUUCUUUCUACUGCCAAUGUCACAUAUCAGCCAGAAAUUGAAAAUUUCAGUCAAGGUGUCCUCUGUUUUAGUGGUGAGGAAAGCUAGAAAUUUUAAGGUGAAGUUUUGUUAAAAACCUUAAGUAGCUGGGAUAUCAGGCCUGUUUUGCUUGAAAAAAAAAGUUGCAAGAUAACUCAUAUGCCAAACAGGUUCUGAUAUUGUGAAUCUAUCGGCAGACAUCAGUAAUCUCAUCUUCUGAGAUGGAUGUUGGGGGUGCAUGUGGUGGUGGAGGGGCAAGGUUUCAUUUGGUUUAUUUUGUUGAUGGAUAUUGUCUAGCCACCUGCGCCAAGUUUGAGGGGUGGUGGGUUGUGAUGACCCUACAAUUACUAUUAAUUUCUUCAUCUUUUACCGAUUAAAGUGUCCGAACAGUCGAAGUUACCCUUAUGCAUGUCAACUUGAUCACUUACCUCUUCAAUGGAGUUUAUGCUGGUUCAUUUAGGAACUGAUUUUUAUUGUUAUGUAUUAUAUGCUGAUGUUUAGGUCUCUCCAUCAUCACUAUAUACAAAAAUUCUAGGUUGAUACUAUAGGUUGAGAUUUAUUUUUUAAAUAAAAAAUAAUAAAAAUAAAAAUUAUGGUGAUGUUUAGUUGUUUUAUGGAAAAUUUUAACAAGUAAAAGUUAUUUUUGGGCAAGUUUUCAAACAAAAAGAAAAGUAAAAGUUGUUUUGACAAAAACAUAUAGAAAAAAAAAUCAUAGAAAAUAAAUAAUUUCCCCAUAUUCUAACUUUUUUGAAUUUUUCUCAAUGGGCAAAGGAAUAUCAAAUCAAGUUUGAGUAGGAUUUCUUAAUUUUUAAAAUAACUUACAAUUAAAAAAUUUUGGUGUUUUCAUUUUUGGACAAUUUUUUAUUAAGCAAAUGGACUCUGAGUCAUGCAAGAGAUAUGGUUCAUUAACCGGUCGAACAAUUUUUUUAAAUUAAUUUAAAAGUCAAAUACAUAAUCAAUUUCACAAAAUUUAUAAACAAAAAUAGGUUUAGAGAAGAUCUACACAUAAUUUUACUUUUCUAAUUUUAUUUUAUUUUAUUUUUUGUUGGAAAAUAGUCUUCAAAUCAUGUAAGAUUUAAUAGGUUAAAUUUGUUAACAAUAAAUUUUAAAUUAUAAAAUAUAAUCUGGAACUCAAAAAUCAAUUCAAGUAAUGCUAAAAAAAAAUCAAAUUUGGUAUAGAAUGACUUUGUAAAUUUUUUUACAAAACAAAUGAAUUUUAAAUCAAGUGAGAUUUAAUGCAUUAGAUUUUUAUCAAAUAUAGUAAUUUUAAAAAUAAAUUUGGAACUCAACAAUAGACACAAUAAAUACCAAAAAAUAAUGAACCAAAAUUGGUUUGGAAUAACUCCACAACCUUUUUUUUUUUUUUUUGGUGCACACGAAUUUUCUUACUAGGUAUAUUGCUUUCAAAUUGAGAAAGAUUUACCAUUUAGAUUUUUUUUUAAUGAGUUUAAUGGUAUUUUAAAAUAAUUCAAAAUUUAAAAAAUUGACUAAUUAAUAUUAUAAAUUGAUAAACCAAGACUAUUUCAAAAUGCAUUGGGGGCUAAGGGGGUUGAAAAUAGGGACAAUGGGAUGGGUUUGGGACAUGACACUCAUAUCUCAUUUCCAUUCCAAUUACACAGUUAUCUCCCAUCCUUAUCCCAAACUUGUGUUGGAGCAAGUUGAUUUGUUCCCAUCUUUGUUGACGAAAUGACUAAUAACCUCAUCCCCUCCUUAUCUUAGAUGUACAUUUUGUCAAAUUUGAUCAGGUAUGAUUGAUCCAAGCCCUAACCCUAAUUGGUAAUGAGUGAAUACUACACCUAAUUGCAUUCUUCUUUCAUUGCAAAAUAAUGAGAUUAUAAUAAUCUAGCAAAUAAGAAAAAAUAGUAUGGAAGUUCAAAUUAACACCAUAACUAUCAAUAAUUUUAAGCUUAUAGAUGACUUAAAUGAUUAAAAACUAAUGCAAAAUCCUAAAAAAAAUAAAAAUCAUAUAAAGAAUUCACAAGAGAACAGAAUGAACAAAAACCAAAUAUGAACAUGGGUCAACAUUAGUUAUGGAUUUGGAUUCCUUUCAAGGCCAAUCUUUGAACCAAGACUUCAUCAAAUCAACUACUUCAAAGGCUUUUGUGUUCUUCUUGGGUUGUGCUCUCAAACAAAGACUUCGAGGUGAUGUUCUAGAUGAUUGAAUUACACAUAUUUAGGGUGGAGAGAUUGGAGAAGCUUGAAGAUGCCAACGAUGGGUACAAUUGAGUGGUCAAUAAGAACAAUGUAGCCUAUGACUAGUUUGAUGUCAUGGUACAAGAGUUUUAGGCAUUGAGGUUAAAGCAAGAGCAACAUGGAAUUGAUUUCGGAGUCUUUCAGUUAGUGUAAAGGAGGAAGAAGUGGUGUUGAUUCUAGAAAUAGGGUUUUAAGUGGUGCGUGAUUACUACUCAAAAAGUGCUAUUUGAUAGCCUUUAAUUAAUCCUUUUUAACACUUUUGAGUAGUAGUUUAGGCCUUUUAACUCAAUUGGCAUGUUAAGGAUCCUUUAAAGCAAUUUUGAUCACUUUGUGCAAGUUUUGGUGUUUUUGUUAGUAUUUUGAUCACCAAAGCAAGUCAAGAAUGAGGAGAACUAUGAGGAAUCAUGGGCAAAGCUUAGAAUUCAAUUGCCAAGAGUGAAUCCGGAUUGCAAGGAGAAAAAGCAAAGAGAAUCUGUCAUGAAGCCUAUUCUUGAUGACAGUCGUAGCAGCCACUUUUGGAGCACUUUCUGAAGUCCAAAUGAUGCAAGCUAUAUACCAUUUCAAAGAUCAGGAAGUCAACAAUCCAAUGCUUCAAACGGUGCGCGAUUCGGAGUUGAAACGAAGAAGUUGCAGCCAUUACAAGCCAGUCACUCUAAAGUGUUGCGGAAUCAGCCUUUUGUUGCGAGAAUUUCGCAGCACUUUUGUACAGUAAGGUGUUUCUCCUUCUGACGAUGCACGAACCAUGCCGCGAGAGGGAAGCUAGGAACUUCAAGAUGGAAGCCAACUUUGCAGCCUGGUGAAGAUAGCUUGGUCUUGCGAAAUAAUUUCGCAGCCCUCUUGGGUGUCUGCGAAAUUUCGCAGGCACCACUUUUUUCCUGCGAAAUGGCUCCGGAAGCCUCCCGAAGCUUGCUACCGACAUUGGGAGAUAUUUUCCAUUAGAUUUUUGUUGUCUAAAUUCCAAAAUACUCCUUGUAAACCACCAAUUACAUGAUUCCUUAGUUUUUAAGUUAGUAAAAAGACCAAAUAUCUAUGUAAUAAUUAGUUUUAUAUUAGUUUGCUAUAAAUACCUCUCGGGAGCAUGUUCUCAGAGAGGAGUUCCUUCUGUAACCAUUUUGGUAAGCAAGUAAAGUCUUUUCUUUCUACUGCCUUACCUUCUCACUUUGUAUUUUCAUUUUAUUUCUAAGUUAUGAAUUCUCUGAGGAGCUUUCCCCAGAGAAUGAGUAACUAAACCUCCAAUUCCUUGGAGCUAAGGUUGCCGGGGAAGGUUCCAAGUGCAAGAAUGCAAAGCUCUGUGGUUUUAGCUAGUAAUGAAGAGGAAGUGAAAUCCUUUAGUGAUUUCAAUGUUUUUAGUUAACUUAAAACACCUUGGAGUCACCUGGGCCAACACUUGGUAAGGCAAGUGAUUUCCAACCGUGGAAAUGCACUAGUUUACCCCUUGCGAGCCUCUGGUAGGUGACUUCAAGGUAGGAUUUUCUGGAAUUACCAACACUUGGUAAGCUUUUGGACUCCUAGGAGACAUCCAUUAGUUAUCUCUUGCGAGUUUGUGAAGGGGAAUCCAAGGUUAAAGAUCACCUUGAAUGGUAAGUGCUCGUGAGAGGCAUGAACCAUUGCAAGUUGUAUCAGUGAGAGAAUUAAAGUGAAAUCUAAUUGAAGGAGUCUCUGUACAUCACCGGUUAGAGAAUUGACUAUAAGUUGAAUCUCUAAUGCGAGGAAAUGAACCAUCUGACCGGAGCUAUGUCUUUUGCAUGAGGAACCACCCCAGUGAACCUAAAUCUCCAAGGAAUGCUUUUCUUCCUAAAUUAUUCCAAACUUCUGUUAAGUUAGUUAGUUUAAGUCUAAACCUUUACCAAUCAAACUUUGUGUUUUAUUUCUUAAGCUAACCGUGAAAUGAAACAAAACCAAUUCACUUGGAAUUGGUAUCCUUGAUUGCUUGCAAAUCAUUCCCAGUGAACGAUCCUUAGAGCCACUAUACUAUAGUAGCUUUGUAUUUGCUACCCUAGUGUAUGGUGUUAUAGGUAUAAAUUUUGUUGAUCACUUCCUCAAUCAAGGAACACCAGCUGAACACAAAUCAGCUGAGACACCAAUUGGGCAUGAGUCAAAUGGCGCCGUUGCCGGGGAAUGAGUGUCAAGAUCAUUGUGAUACCAUUUUUGAGCACUUGUGAUUUUCAUCACAAGUUGGUAAAGUUUCUUUCACUUUACUAAUUUUCAUUCUCUCUUUGUUUAUUUACAAUCUAAGUUUAUCUUUUUAAAAUUUAGUCUAGUUUAAUUUUGCUAUUGUAGCCUUGUUUCUCUUGUUGUCCUCUGUUCUUGUUGUCCUCUGUUUUCAUUUUAGUUGCAGCUGAAUACUAGUUGUGUAUGCCAAAGUGGAUACGAGACAUUGGAGGUAGGCUUAUUAAGUGUGAUACACCUCAGAGAGGAGAAUUGGAAGUAAUCUUGAAUAUCAUGGAGGCUGCACCUGAAGAUCAGCAUAGUCACCAAGGUCGUCAAGACAAUCUCAAUGAAUUCAGAUCAAUGAGGGACCGUAUGCAUCCACCUCGUAUGAGUGCACCAUCAUGUAUAGUGCCCCCUACAGAGCAACUAGUGAUCAGACCAUAUCUUGUUCCACUUCUACCAACUUUCCAUGGGAUGGAAAGUGAGAAUCCGUAUGCACACAUCAAGGAAUUUGAAGAUGUUUGUAAUACAUUCCAAGAGGGAGGAGCUUCAAUUGAUUUGAUGAGGCUUAAGUUAUUUCCUUUUAAUUUAAAGGAUAAGGCCAAAAUUUGGCUUAAUUCUUUAAGGCCAAGGAGUAUCCGCUCUUGGACUGAUUUACAAGCUGAAUUCCUCAAGAAAUUUUUUCCUACUCAUAGAACAAAUGGCUUGAAAAGGCAAAUUUCAAACUUCUCAGCUAAAGAGAAUGAGAAAUUCUAUGAGUGUUGGGAAAGAUACAUGGAAGCUAUAAAUGCUUGUCCUCACCAUGGCUUUGAUACUUGGCUACUGGUGAGUUAUUUUUAUGAUGGUAUGUCCUCCUCAAUGAAGCAACUCCUCGAGAAAAUGUGUGGAGAAGAUUUCAUGAGCAAAAAUCCAGAGGAAGCUAUGGAUUUCUUGAGCUAUGUAGCUGAUGUUUCAAGGGGAUGGGAUGAACCAACUAAAGGAGAAGUGGGAAAGAUGAAGUCUCAGUUGAAUGCUUACAAUGCAAAGGCUGGGAUGUAUACUUUAAAAGAGGAUGAUGACAUGAAAGCAAAGUUGGCAGCUAUGACAAGAAGAUUGGAGGAGCUGGAGCUGAAAAGAAUGCAUGAAGUGCAAGCUGUUGCUGAAGCACCAGUGCAAGUGAAGUUGUGUCCCAAUUGUCAAUCGUUUGAACAUUUGGUAGAGGAAUGCCCUGCAAUUUCAGCUGAAAGGGAAAUGUAUAGAGAUCAAGCAAAUGUUGUUGGACAAUUCAGGCCCAAUAACAAUGCUCCUUAUGGAAAUACCUACAAUUCAAGUUGGAGGAAUCAUCCAAAUUUUUCAUGGAAGGCCAGAGCAACUCAAUACCAACAGCCGGAUCCACCAUCUCAACAAUCUUCAAGUAUUGAACAAAUAAUAGCUAAUCUCAGCAAGGUAGUGGGAGAUUUUGUGGGAAAGCAAGAAGCCACCAAUGCUCGAGUGGAUCAAAGAAUGGACAGAGUGGAUCAAAGAAUGGACAGAAUGGAGAGUAUGUUGAACAAAAGAAUGGAUGGAAUGCAAAAUGAUAUGAAUCAAAAAUUUGAUAACAUCCAAUAUUCAAUUUCAAGGCUUACAAAUUUGAAUACACUGCAAGAAAAGGGAAGAUUUCCUUCUCAACCUAACCAAAAUCCCAAAGGUGUCCAUGAAGUGGAAAGCCAUGAGGGAGAAUCAUCACAGGUGAAAGAUGUGAAAGCUUUGAUCACUCUAAGGAGUGGUAAGAAAAUUGAGCAGCCAACACCCAAGCCACAUGUUGAGAAAGAAGAAGAGAUGAAGAAAGGGAAGGAAAUGGAAGAUAAAGGCAGUGAGAUCAGUGAAGAAAAGAAGGACUCUGAUGCAACAAUGAAAGUAAUUCCAGAGAAGGAGCUUCUGAAGGAAGAAAUGCUGAAGAAAUCAACUUUUCCACCUUUUCCUCAAGCAUUACAGGGGAAAAAGGGGGUUAGAAAUGCAGCUGAAAUCCUAGAAGUAUUGAGGCAAGUGAAAGUUAAUAUUCCACUGCUGGAUAUGAUCAAACAAGUUCCAACGUAUGCAAAAUUCCUAAAGGACUUGUGUACUAUCAAAAGAGGGUUGACUGUAAACAAGAAAGCCUUCUUGACUGAGCAAGUAAGUGCAAUCUUACAGUGUAAGUCUCCUUUGAAGUACAAAGACCCUGGAAGUCCUACCAUUUCAGUCAUGAUUGGAGGAAAGGUAGUGGAGAAAGCCUUGCUAGACUUGGGAGCAAGUGUGAAUUUGCUUCCAUAUUCUGUCUACAAGCAACUGGGACUUGGAGAGUUGAAGCCAACAGCAAUCACUUUGUCUCUGGCAGAUAGAUCAGUGAAAAUUCCAAGAGGGGUAAUUGAGGAUGUAUUGGUUCAAGUAGAUAAUUUCUACUAUCCUGUAGAUUUUGUUGUUCUUGAUACAGAUCCUACUGUAAAGGAAGCUAAUUUAGUUCCUAUCAUCCUUGGAAGGCCAUUUCUUGCAACUUCAAAUGCAAUCAUCAACUGUAGAAAUGGGCUUAUGCAACUCACUUUUGGUAACAUGACACUGGAUCUAAAUAUUUUCUAUAUGUCUAAAAAGCAAAUCACUCCAGAAGAAGAAGAGGGUCCAGAAGAGCUAUGUAUUAUUGAUACUUUGGUGGAGGAGCACUGCAAUCAACAUAUGCAAGAUAAGUUGAAUGAAAGUUUUGUGGAUAUUGAGGAAGGUUUUUCUGAAUCUCCUAAUGGGCUUGCUACUCUACAAAGUUGGAGAAAGAUAGAAGGAAUUCUACCUUUGUUCAAUGAAGAAGAGGAGGCAGCUGUUGAAAAAGAAAUUCCAAAACUCAAUCUGAAGCCUUUACCUAUGGAGCUGAAAUAUACAUAUCUUGAAGAAAAUAAUCAAUGUCCUGUCGUAAUAUCUUCAUCUCAAACCAAGUCUCAAGUGAAGGAUGCAAGCUUCAAAUGGGAUCCGGGCAAACUGAAUCAGGAAGGGCAAAAAGUUUUGAUGUAUGACACAAGACUCCAUAUCUUUCCUGGGAAGCUCAAGUCAAGGUGGAUUGGUCCAUUUGUUAUUCACCGAGUAUAUUCCAAUGGAGUGGUGGACUUAUUGAAUUCCAAUGGCAAGGACAGCUUUAGAGUCAAUGGAUAUCGUCUUAAGCCGUUCAUGGAGUCAUUCAAAUCAGAAAAGGAGGCAAUCAACCUCCUUGAACCUCAAAAAGCCUAAGUGAAAUGGGUUUGCUGGACGUGGUUUUACCACAGUCCAAAAAUUUUUGUAAAUUUUGUAAAUUUUCAAGUUGUUUCCAUGCUUUUAAUCUUAGUUUUUGAUUUUAAAUCAUGUUUUUAGGUGUGUUUUAAUCGUUUUAUAUGAUCCCAGGCGGAAGAAAUUUCAAGGGGAUUGAAAAGAAAAAAAUCGGGUCGAAAUUGGAGCCGAAACAGAGCAAAAACAGGGGAAAAACAGAGCUCUGCGAAAUUUCGCAGGGUGAAGGAAACUUCUGCGAAAUUGGCAUUUUGCUGCCAAACCAUUCCGCAGCACUGUAGAAGCCUCUGCGAGUGUAUUUCGCAAUUGCGAAAGUGGAUUUGGCACACGAGUGCCACUUCGCAGCACAGUGACAUCAAUUUCGCAGCUGCGAAACUCACUGCGAAGUUGCUGCGAAAAUGGCAAGUUGCUGCGAAAUUGGCGUUUUGUUGCGAAACGUAAUCUGACCCCUGGGCUUCCGUUUUUCCUAUUUAUACCUGUCAAAAGUGCUGCGAAAAAGGUUUCAAAAAUUAGAGCACCAUUCUCGCAGCCCUUUCAUCUUCUUCGCCAAGCCACGCCGUCCGUUUCUCCGGUCGUCUUCUCCGUUUAGCAGCGCCGGCCAAAGAUCGAUAGCCCAAAAAUGGCACGAACGCGAGGGGCAAAGUCUUCAUCCCCUUCGAACCGCAAAAGGAGUCUGCGAAAGGAGCCAAGUUCAGGCUCUGUUCCAGAACCUGCUCCAAAGCCUUCGCCGUCGAGACCACAACCUUCUCCAGUGAAGCCGGCGCCACCAAAGCCGCCGGCAAGGCGAUAUUUAACCAGGUCAGGUGGUCAGCCAUUGAAGAAGAAAGCCAGAGUUGAGAGCUCUGAACCAAUCGAUUUGACUGAGCAAUCCCCUGAGAAAUCACCAAAUCCUUCACCGGUACAAAUUCCAGUGCCAUCACCGGUUCCCUCGCCAAUUCCCUCACCAGAAGCAACUCCAAUUCCAUCGCCGGUACCAUCUCCGGCACCCCAAGAAAAAGCUCAGGAGCCUCAAGCGCCAAUUCCAGAGCCCCAAAUUGCAGCUGAAGCACCUCUGGAAGAAGUGAUCCGAAGGCCAAUGCUGCCUCAGCCCCCAAUCGAAGGAAACCUGGAUUGCCGAACUCGGGCAUUCCAUUCUGAGCUUUGCUUCGAUUUAACAGCAUUCAGAGUGAGGCCAGAGCUUGCCCAAUCCUUCCAACUGCUGAGGAGAUAUCAUAUGGAGCAUCUGCUAGCUCCAAGGGAUUUUUUCUAUCCCCGGGUAGUCACGGAUUUCUACCAAACCAUGACAACCAAAGAAGUAAGAAAUCCAACUCUGAUUCAUUUCAUAAUUGAUGGAAGGCAUGGUAUUUUGGGAGCAAGACAUAUUGCUGAAGCCCUGCAAAUUCCUUUUGAGCCAACUCAAUUCGACAAUUUUAAAGCUUGGACAAAUCCUACUGAGUUAGAGAUGGUUAGCACACUAACCAGAGGAGCUGCAAAUCGAUCGCAUUUGUUGAGGGGGGAGCUACCUCCAGUUAUGUUUUUGAUUGAUGCCUUUUUGAGGCAUAAUAUCUAUCCCCUGCAGCAUUGGACCCAAAGAAGGGGAAUUCUCCUAGAAGCCUUGUACAAAAUGUCUGAAGGAUUCUUCUUUGGGCCUCAUCAUCUGAUCAUGGCAGCCCUUCUAUACUUUGAGGAGAAGGUUCACAAGAAGAAGCUUCAAAGAGCAGAUUGCAUUCCACUCCUCUUCCCAAGGCUGCUAUGCCAAGUUUUGGAGCAUCUCGGAUACCCCUCUGAGCCUCAGCAGGAAAGAAAGAGAAUAUGCCGUGAGCCUUUUACCCUUGAUAAAUGGAAUAAUAUGACGGCCUACAAAAUUGAUCAGCCUGGGCAGCCUCAGCCAGCAGCAAGGAGAGUCUCCCCAAGACAUAUACCUGAAGGUAUAACACUUGCUACUCCUGCCAUCCCUCGAGCUCCACCAGCUGCACCUGCUCCAUCACAGCCAUCCACAUCAGCUGAGCCGAGGAUGGCCAUCCCUAUAUCCGAAUAUCGAGAGCUGUGCCGUGCAUUGGAGACUCUUACAGCUUCUCAGAGCAAUCUUGCUCAGGAGUUGGCAGCCAUUAAAGCAUGCCAGGAGCAGAUGUUAGCCUCUCAGACUCAACAAGCUGCCAUCCUAAGGCAGCUUCAAGUCCAUUUCGAUCUGCCACAAGCUGUAGAGCCCUCUAUUCCUACUCCACCAGAGCCACACUCUCAGCCUUCAGAGUCUCAUCCUCCAGAACCCGAAGCACCAGCUGAUCCACCUACUGAGGAGGCAGAUCCUUCUGCCUAGCACCAUCACCCCCCUCAUCAGACAUUAUAUAUAUAUUUGCUGUUUAUGUUUUUAUGCAUGUUUGUUUUGUUUUAGUUGAAAAGAAAUCCCAGUAUUUUGGUACUAUAUAUGGGAUUCCUUGUGUUACUUGUCUUUAGUAUUGUAAUCACAUGAACUCAAAGUAAUACAAGUUGACUAUUUCUUGUUAAAAGUUAGCAUUAAAGUUUCCUUAUUUCCUUUUCUCACAUAUUCUAUUCUUUUUGAAACAUGUGGUUUUCCCCAAUCAAUAUUCGAAUUUGAUAUCAGCAUGGAGGUACCACUUCCUCCCUUUUAUUACAGUCACUCAAAUCACAUUGAGGACAAUGCUCAGUUCGGUUGGGGGGUAUGAGGAAGGAAGUAUUCUAAACCUUUUUGGUAUUGCAAUUAUAUUGGUUAAUUAGUUGUAGAUUUUACUUUUUACUAGUGUUACUCUAUUCUCCAUGAAUUUUGAGGAAAAAUUUUCAAAUUAAACCAAGAGAAAUUGAACUGUUGUUUUUCACUUGACUUAGAGUAUGGAUUAUGCUUACUAAAGUGGUUCAAUUGUUGAAACUUCUACUGAAAUUGAAUUGAGUUCUUCCACUUUAAGCUAUCCACACACUGUGCACAUUAGUUUCCGAUUAUAAGAUGAAAAGCUAUUUCCCUCUUGACUUAGUAUAUUUUUGGGACUUGGUAUAUUUGACCUCAUUUGAUAAAAAUUGAAACACCCUGCAAAAGGCCAAUGAGCCUUUGAAAUAAAGAAAGUUGUUUGCUUGCCUUGAAACCCGAGCAAGGUCUGAGGGGUAUAUGGUGAAAAUCUUUAAAGCCUGGUGCCCUAAGCCUUAAUUGGUUGGGAGUCACCGACCUCAAUGCUCGUUACAAGGGUGAAUAGGUAGAGUUAGCAUAUGGUAGAUGCUUGGGUAUUAGAAAUUCAUUCUUAAAAGUCCGGGGAAAAAUCCGAGGAGUUAGUGGUUGAAAGAUCCUUAAAACUUGGUGCCCUAAACCUUAAUUGGUUGGGAGUCAUCGAUGGACCCCCAUUACAUGGACAAGUCAGAAAGAGUACCCCAUAAAGCUACCUUAAAAAAAAAAAAAAAAAAAAAAAAAAAAAAAAAGAUGAAAGUGUGUUCUUUUCUUAUUGAUUUUGGUCAGUUUGCUAAAGUGUUGAAAAGAGAUAGGUUGGGGGGUGAGAUUAGUAGCAUAUUAUUCUCGGAACCUAAGGAACCAAUACACAUAGAUUUUUGUGGAAGAUUGAAGUUUAGUUCUUAGAAAAUGAAAUGAUUUUAAAACUUCAGUUUGCAUAAUGCACUCCCUUGAUUGACAGUGUUUAGCAUAGGUGUUAUGACUCUUGUUGAGAUUUGGGUUUGUAUUUCUUUAAUGAUUCAUGUGAGAAAUAGAUCAUCAUGCCACUUGAGAAUUAUUUUCCUUUUAGCAUGAUGUUGUAAAUUUUAGAUUAGUUUGCUAUUUAUUUUUUAUUUUCUCUCCUAUAUUGCUAAGGGACUAGCAAUAUGUCGGUUGGGGGGAGUGAUUACUACUCAAAAAGUGCUAUUUGAUAGCCUUUAAUUAAUCCUUUUUAACACUUUUGAGUAGUAGUUUAGGCCUUUUAACUCAAUUGGCAUGUUAAGGAUCCUUUAAAGCAAUUUUGAUCACUUUGUGCAAGUUUUGGUGUUUUUGUUAGUAUUUUGAUCACCAAAGCAAGUCAAGAAUGAGGAGAACUAUGAGGAAUCAUGGGCAAAGCUUAGAAUUCAAUUGCCAAGAGUGAAUCCGGAUUGCAAGGAGAAAAAGCAAAGAGAAUCUGUCAUGAAGCCUAUUCUUGAUGACAGUCGUAGCAGCCACUUUUGGAGCACUUUCUGAAGUCCAAAUGAUGCAAGCUAUAUACCAUUUCAAAGCUCAGGAAGUCAACAAUCCAAUGCUUCAAACGGUGCGCGAUUCGGAGUUGAAACGAAGAAGUUGCAGCCAUUACAAGCCAGUCACUCUAAAGUGUUGCGGAAUCAGCCUUUUGUUGCGAGAAUUUCGCAGCACUUUUGUACAGUAAGGUGUUUCUCCUUCUGACGAUGCACGAACCAUGCCGCGAGAGGGAAGCUAGGAACUUCAAGAUGGAAGCCAACUUUGCAGCCUGGUGAAGAUAGCUUGGUCUUGCGAAAUAAUUUCGCAGCCCUCUUGGGUGUCUGCGAAAUUUCGCAGGCACCACUUUUUUCCUGCGAAAUGGCUCCGGAAGCCUCCCGAAGCUUGCUACCGACAUUGGGAGAUAUUUUCCAUUAGAUUUUUGUUGUCUAAAUUCCAAAAUACUCCUUGUAAACCACCAAUUACAUGAUUCCUUAGUUUUUAAGUUAGUAAAAAGACCAAAUAUCUAUGUAAUAAUUAGUUUUAUAUUAGUUUGCUAUAAAUACCUCUCGGGAGCAUGUUCUCAGAGAGGAGUUCCUUCUGUAACCAUUUUGGUAAGCAAGUAAAGUCUUUUCUUUCUACUGCCUUACCUUCUCACUUUGUAUUUUCAUUUUAUUUCUAAGUUAUGAAUUCUCUGAGGAGCUUUCCCCAGAGAAUGAGUAACUAAACCUCCAAUUCCUUGGAGCUAAGGUUGCCGGGGAAGGUUCCAAGUGCAAGAAUGCAAAGCUCUGUGGUUUUAGCUAGUAAUGAAGAGGAAGUGAAAUCCUUUAGUGAUUUCAAUGUUUUUAGUUAACUUAAAACACCUUGGAGUCACCUGGGCCAACACUUGGUAAGGCAAGUGAUUUCCAACCGUGGAAAUGCACUAGUUUACCCCUUGCGAGCCUCUGGUAGGUGACUUCAAGGUAGGAUUUUCUGGAAUUACCAACACUUGGUAAGCUUUUGGACUCCUAGGAGACAUCCAUUAGUUAUCUCUUGCGAGUUUGUGAAGGGGAAUCCAAGGUUAAAGAUCACCUUGAAUGGUAAGUGCUCGUGAGAGGCAUGAACCAUUGCAAGUUGUAUCAGUGAGAGAAUUAAAGUGAAAUCUAAUUGAAGGAGUCUCUGUACAUCACCGGUUAGAGAAUUGACUAUAAGUUGAAUCUCUAAUGCGAGGAAAUGAACCAUCUGACCGGAGCUAUGUCUUUUGCAUGAGGAACCACCCCAGUGAACCUAAAUCUCCAAGGAAUGCUUUUCUUCCUAAAUUAUUCCAAACUUCUGUUAAGUUAGUUAGUUUAAGUCUAAACCUUUACCAAUCAAACUUUGUGUUUUAUUCCUUAAGCUAACCGUGAAAUGAAACAAAACCAAUUCACUUGGAAUUGGUAUCCUUGAUUGCUUGCAAAUCAUUCCCAGUGAACGAUCCUUAGAGCCACUAUACUAUAGUAGCUUUGUAUUUGCUACCCUAGUGUAUGGUGUUAUAGGUAUAAAUUUUGUUGAUCACUUCCUCAAUCAAGGAACACCAGCUGAACACAAAUCAGCUGAGACACCAAUUGGGCAUGAGUCAGUGCGUUAGAGGAUCAAGAAGAAGAAAAAGAAGGAACUGUUGGAAUUAGUAUGAGUGUGAAGAGAAAAGUAUAUAAAUAAGGGGAAGUAAAAGCAAAGUUCAAAAAGCUAUAUUUUUUUAUUGUUGGUGUAUGGUUGCAUGAUUAUCCCUAUAAAUAAUAGGAGUUUUUUGGUAUUCUACUAGUAGUUGAAGCAUAAUUUCAUAAAUUAAUAUUUAGAGCGGGGUGGGGUGAGUUGUGACAAAAUUCAUACCCGUCCCAAACCUUGGUUCAGAUUUUUAAAAUAUUCUCAAACUUAUCAUAUACCCAACUUUUAUAUUUCAUACUUGUCCUAAUAGAGGCACGUUAGGCCGGGUUACUUGAGUAACCUACAUAAUUGUCAUCCCUAGUUGAAAUACACUUUUUGGCAGUGGCCACCAACUGAGCUAGAAGCUUGAUUGAUUGACCUACAAGAUUAGUUCUCAUCAUUUUAAAAAAAGUUCUGGCUUUGGUUGUGAGUGCAAUUGAAUCUAAACUGGCAUUUGCUUAAUGCAUCUACUUCAAUCCUAAACUUCUUACUUCUUAAGCCUCAAUUGUUGUUAGGAUUUUGGAAAACCCAUUUCCUUAAAUUGUAAAUUUAAGAUAAAAUAAAAUAAAAGUGAGACAUUUCUUGAUUGAAUAUUGUUAAAGGUCCCUUGGCAUUAAGACUUGGUUGAAGCCUUGGAAGAUUAGUGGAACUCUCAACAUGUGUUUGAAUCUUGAGGAGAGUGGAUGUAAGCCAAAAUUUUGUCAAACCAUUAUACAAAUUGAGUUUGAAUCCUCAUUUCUUGAUUUCUUAUUUAUUUGCUUUUUCUUAUUAUUACUUGAAUUGUCAUUUGCAUUCAUUAAUGUUAAAAUUGGUUAUAAUUAACCAACACUAAUUCUCUUUCCCCUUCCCUUUCUUGGGUGUAAACCUAGGUUGGAUUAACUAGAUAAAUCUAUUAAGAUGGUAAAAGAAUAAUUAUUCUUAACAUACAUAAGAUCAUCUUCAAUCAAAUGACUCAUUGGCUAAUAUGUUGAAUUUGCUUAUUACUUGCAACUCAAAAUUGUGUUCUAGUUGUGUCAAGUCCCCAGUGUAUGGACAUUAAAUUUGUAGUACGUGAUGAGUAAUUAGAUGGUCCAACUCCAAGAAAGUGAUUGAAAAGUAGUUCAAGAAAGGUGCAAAAGGGAAUUGUUUUGGUAUUUUCGUUUUUAUUCUUGAAGGUGGCAGAGCUAAAAUUUGAGAAAUCAAGCAAAACAUACUGAAAUUACAUUGAAAGAAAGAAGAUGGGAGUUAAUGUCUUGCAGUACAUGAUAAGGACUUCAUGCAUGUAGUGUGACCCAUGUCUUGGACUGAUGCCAACUCACGGUUACACUUAUACCCUUGGUUCUCUCUUUACUACCUUGGCUAACCUAGAUCAGGCUAUGAGAUAGGCUCCUCACCACACCAUUACUUGCCCAUUAAUUAGAGACAUUUUCAAGCAAUGAGGUAACAUGGUGACACCAAGAGGGUCUAUUCCUCGCCCGGAACAAGUCUAGACUUGGUCUCAAAAAAAUGGAGAAAAAUGAGGUGUCGUUAUGUAGAAAUACAACAACCAUGCCUUCCUCAUUACUUAGAUUCAGAAUGUGAAGGUGAAAUUGAGAAACAGAAACUCUUGAAACCAAAAUGAAAAUUGAUACUUUUACGAAGAAUUACAACAACAUUAGAGGAAGACUACAUUCUUCCUCUUUAUUCCUACAUUUCUACACUACUUCUACUCCACUCCAUAUUUCUACAUACAUCUUUAAUCAGUCUUCCCUCCUUUAUAUAGAGCCAUCUUCACACAAAUUUCGCAAGGUAGAAAAGAGGAAUGAAACUUGGAGCAAGGUUCGACUACUGGUUGUAGCUUGUCAAGGCUGGAAGUGAACUUUUCUUGGCUUUCUGGGCAUGGGUAGUAACUUGUGGGUUCCUGUUUGGCAUAAAAAUGGCUAGAACAUGUGGCACUAUCUUGUUGGAUGAUGUGUCAAGCAUGUGGCAGCCAUCUAGUGGCGAUUAUGUCAAUUUUGGGAUGGAGAGUUGGCAUCCAAUUGCAAAGAAAUAUGACGUCUACCAACAUGCAAUGUAAACCUAUGUAGAUCAUAUGAAGAUAGAGAGGAAAAAUAUAGAAAUGGAUAUAUACCUAGAACUAGCUUUUUAUUAAAUGAAACGGAGAGACAACAAUGAAGGAAAAUAAAAUUUUUUGGCUUAUAUCAAAGAGUUCACAUUGUGUUACCCUAGGUUUUCUUAAAACUUACUUUUAUGAUAACAAAAAAGAAAAAACCAUUAUUGUUUAAUCCUUUGUUUUAAACGCAUGUAAGGUGUAAUUAAGUUAGUUCAAUGCAUUAAUUUAAGAAACUUGACCUAUCAAAAGUACAAAAUUAGAUGAAAUCCAUUUCAAUGGUUAAAAUGAUCAAAAUCAAACUUUUUCUAAGUAUUUUUUAAAAGCAUCAAUAGUGAAAGACAAUUUUAUAUUUAGUCGGAGUUUGGACAAAACUGAAAAACACACAAAAUCCAAGCGACCAUCUCUAGCUUGGAUGGUCGCUUGAUCCCACCUAGAGAUGUGCAUGAGUAAAAGGAUUUGAAAAUGGAAAUUGACUAUGUAGUCGAUCAAUUAACUUUGCAACAUCAUAUGCAAUCCUAAUUGCUAGUCAUCUAAUCAAUUAGGUAGUCAAUCAACAGGCCAAAAAUAUGUUUAUAAUGACUAUUUUGUACAAAAACCACCUGUAUAGUUAAAUAUAAUGCAUUUCAUUUAUAAAUCUUCUAAUUCUUGAAUAACGAUCCUAUCAUCCUUUGAAAGUUUUUAUUACACUUUUUUUACUUUUGUUCUAAAACUUACACAUCACCCUUAAUUGUACCAUGAGAACCUAGCUAUUUUUUAUUUUUUUUUUUGUAAUUCAUCAAAGUUAGCUUUUGUAUUCAUUGUUGUAUUAUUUUUAGUAUAACUUAGAAAGCUAGUGUUUUCAAGUGAGUAAAAUUAACUUGUAAAUAUUGUAAAGAUUCAUCGACAUGUAUCUUAAACUAAGUGUACAAGUUAAAACAUUUGCUAGUAGAUUUUCUCAAAAUUUAGAAUAGAGCUUGAGACUAUUGAAAUAGGUGGGGUUGCACCAAACCACAUCACAUCGUUGUUUGCACCUUUUUUCACUCUCUUUUACUUAGUUGCUCUAUAUUUGUUGUCUAGUAAUAUCCUAUAGGCUUGAUGGGUUAGGGAGCAUCCCUUUGUGAAAAAAUUUUAUUCAAUCCUUAGUUGUAUCACGCAUAUAUAAAAUGCCUCAUUGUUUUAAUGGUAUUCAGUCGUGGCAUCACAGAUAUGGGCAUCUAAAUUUUAAAAGUUUGAAACUUUUAUCUAAAGAAAAUAUGGUGCUUUGCCUUUUUGUAAAGCAUGUUGAUGAAAUCCAUGAGAAUUGUGUACUUGGGAAGCAACACCGAGAUGACUUUUUUUUUUUUUUUAUAAUAUUGUUUGUCCAAAUUCCCUACAAAUUAGGCCACCAGAUGUUCAUAAUUCUCCCUUCUUGAAUUUGAAAACUCGGACAAUUGGACAAUGCGACACCUAAGUCCGGUUUCUAAAUGCUAAAGUGAAAGGGUAGGUAUGGACCAUUGAAAUGUGAUCACAACUUUUCUCUGUAGCCAUGUUGUCUCUUUUUUCUUUUGCAUGAUUUUCUUACCUUAACAGAAUCAUAGACUUGUUUAGUCUCUAAAUGGGAUUAAUUUCAUCCAGCUUUAAGCUACUAUAUUAUAUCUAGGUGGAGGACUUUUAAGAGUGCAACCGACAUAGAGCACAUGGAAGUGGGUAUAUGGGACAUGAAAUUUCUUCUUAUAAAGAUUGCAUGAUUUUUAUAUUAGAGUUGUUGAGGCGCUAUGUAUUUAGCUUGUUUUGCAGUUAAAUUAAUUGGAUAAGUAGACAUUGGCGUUUCUAAAUCUACUGUGAAGUGCUUCAUGUACGUGUGAAGUAUUAGAAAUUUCUUUCUUGGCAACUUGUUUUUCUUUGCGGUCUACUGAUAGGUUUGACUAAAAUUAUAUUCCCUGUCAUGCUAAUUAAUUUUCACGUGCAUGCUCAAAAGAAAAGUAUGACCUUAGUGCACCAAAAUCACUUUGAUUAAUUUGUGAUAGGUUUUUGUGCAUCAUGACAUUAGCCUUAUUCAUUUAGAUAAUGUUUAGUUUUUAGAAAGUAUUAAGAAAAGGAAAAUAAAUAUUAAGAAAAAUAUUCUUAUAUUUGAUUGUAUUAUGAAAAAUAUCAUAAAAAAAUCAAAUAUAAUUUAAAUUAAUUAAUAAUUUAUACAUUUUCAAAUUAUUUAAUCUUUAUAUUGAAGAUAUAAUAUAAAUGAAAUGAGUUUUAAGUAUUAUAUAAAAGUGAUUUAUUGAUCUUACAUAUAUAUAUUUCUUUUUUUUUUCCUUCUAUUUUUUCUCUUUAUUUUAUUUUCCUUAUGUUUUCCUCAACAUUUUCCGGAACCAAACAUAGCCUUAGGAAAUCCACAAUUACCUUCAACUGAGUAGAUUCUGUUGUUUUAGCAAUGUUAGGCUGCUAACUUGUGUUGGUACGAACCUAUUAAGCCUAAAGAUGUAAUUAGUUAGGAUAUUCUUUUCCCUCUAGUCUUGUAGCUCCACGUGUACAGUUGGUUAGGACCUCAUUGUAUAUAAUGCUUGCCCUGUUAUUGUAGAAGACAACAAAGAUAAAUAAUAUUAACAUUUUUCCUCUCAUCUCUCUCUGUUUCCCUCUGUUUUCAUCUCCUCUCUCAUCUUGGUAUCAGAGCCUCCAUGGCUUCUUUCAAAGAAACCUCCGAAUCACCUUCUGCUAGCAUUGUUAAUGUGCAAAACCCAUUAUCUCAAUCAAACAACCUUCCUUCACCAGUAGCCACACCCUCUUUUUCUUUCUCGUCUAUGAAUCAACCUCUCACAGUGAAGCUGGAUAAUGGGAACUACCUCAUAUGGAAGAAUUAGCUUCUAAAUGUCAUCAUUGCUAACGGACUCGAUGAUUUCAUUGACGGAUCUCGACCCUGCCCUCCUCGAUUUCUCGAUCUGCAACAACAAACCCUCAAUCCAGAGUACUCAGCUUGGCAGAGAUACAAUCGACUUCUGAUGAGUUGGCUGUACGCAUCCUUGUCCAAAGAUAUAAUGGCUCAGAUUGUUGGGUAUUCAACAGCUAUGGAGAUUUGGAAUGCCCUUAAUCAGAUUUACUCUGCCUCUUCUAUGGCGCGGUUUACUGAGCUUCGCACCAAGCUUCAAACGCUCAAGAAAGAUGGACUCUCAGUUGGUGAAUAUAUUCAAAGGCUCAAAUCCAUUUGCAAUAGUCUUGCAGCAAUAGGAGAACCAGUUUCUGAGAAAGACCAUCUUAUCUAUUUGUUCAAUGGAUUAGAUUGUGAGUAUUAUUCUUUUGUUACCUCCAUUCAAAAUCGAUCUGACCAACCAACUAUUGACAAAAUCCAUAGCCUAUUGCUUAGCUAUGACUUCCGGCUUGAACAACAAAACUCUGUUUCUCUCCAUUCUGCCCAAGUCCAUAUGGCUCAUCUGAACAAGAAACCUUAUAAAUCAACUCCUCAACCUACAUUCAAUCAUAUUCACAUUCAACCUAGAUACUCUUCUCCACCUUUUAAGCCAACCACUAGUCAAUAUCAACCCAACAUUUUGGGCAAACCACAACCACAACCAUGACAGCCUCAACCUCAAUGGAAACCACAUUUUUCAAUCUAAAAUCAAAAGCCUCAGCGCCAAAUUUGUGGUAAAUUUGGACACACUGCUCUUAUUUGCUUCCAUCACACAAAUUUGAACUAUUCACCCCAACCUUCUCCUAAAUCUUUCAAUACUGUUCUCACCACAAAUUCCCAGCUCCCUAAUCCUCCAAAAUUUUCUUACCCUACAAUGGCUCAUCCUGCUGCUACGCAUAACACGGUUCCCGAUACAAAUUGGUACAUGGACUCAGGUGCUACACAUCACUUUACUCUGGACAUCAACGUGCUUGACACUGUGACACCAUUUAGUGGUUCAGAACAGGUGACAGUUGGGAAUGGUAAGCAACUCUGUAUCUCACAUCUUGGUACUGCAAAACUACCAUCUUCGUAUUCUCCUCCUGUUCUACAUCAGGUAUAUCACACUCCAAAAAUUUCAAAUAAUCUUAUUAGUGUUAAAAAAUUGUGUUCUGAUAAUAAAGUUUUUGUUGAAUUUUAUGCCACUCAUUUUCUUGUCAAGGAUCAGGUUUCGAAGAGAGUUCUCCUUUAGGGUCAACUUGAUAAUGGCUUAUACAAAGUUCAGUCGUCAUGCUCUCCUUCUGCUGUUUCCUUUCCUCCUCAAGUUUUCAUAGCCAACAUCAAGUAUCCAAAUCUGUGGCACAAGAGACUAGGCCACCCAGCUUUAUCUGUUGUUAAUCAAAUCUUGGAUUCUUGUAACAUUGCUCGAACACAGAAAAUUUGUUUUAAUUUUUUAAAUUCUUGUCAAUUAGCAAAGAGCCACAGGCUUCCUUUUUCUCUGUCUCCAUCCAUUGCAGAAAAACCUUUUGAGUUAAUUCAUACAGACCUAUGGGGUCUUUCGCUCGUUCGCUCUAUUUCUGGUGCUCUUUAUUUUUUACUUUUCAUUGAUGAUCAUACUCGUUUUACUUGGUUUUAUUUGCUCAAAACAAAAGAUGAAGCAUAUCCUACUUUUCUCAAGUUUCAAGCUCUCAUUGAAAAUCAAUUUAAUACCAAGAUUAAGGCUGUCCAAUCUGAUUGGGGAGGUGAGUUUCGAUCUCUCUCCAUACCGUUUUCAAAUAUGGGCAUUGUCUAUUGUUUAUCGUGUCCAUACACCUCACAACAGAAUGGGCGAGUUGAGCGAAAAAAUCGCCAUGCGAUUGUCCUUUCUUGCUUGCUCUAUGCCCUUAUCUUAUUGGCCUUAUGCCUUUCAAACUGCCACUUACCUUAUUAAUCGUCUCUCUACCCCUGUGCUGCAUCAUCAAUCCUCUUACUUCGCACUCUAUCACAAACUCCCAACUUAUACUCAUCUUAAGGUCUUUGGUUCCUCUUGUUUUCCGUAUUUGCACCCUUAUAAUACCCAUAAACUCCAAUACAGGUCACUAGAGUGUGCUUUUCUUGGUUACAGUUCACACCACAAAGGUUAUCUAUGUCUUGACAUUCAUUCUAGCAGGGUGUAUAUUUCUCGCCAUGUGAUUUUUAAUGAAGAUUCUUUUCCAUUCAAGAAUUUGAAAUCUUCUCUCUCUCAGUCUAUUUCUUCUUCCUCUUCUUUAUAAGUUCCUCUGUUCAUUCUCUUGCCUCCCCUUUCCCCAUCUCCUCUUAUUUCUUCAUCUAUACCUCAUUCUUUUCCCUCUUCUUCUUCUACCUCUAGUACUUGUUCCCCUCUCGUUGCUCCUACCUCUCUUCCUUCCUCUUCACACUCUGUGUCUCCAUCUAUUCCACCUCCUUCUCCACCUUCUCCGAGUGUGGACCUGCUUGCACCUUGUGUGAAUACAAAUUUACAUACUUCUUCUCGCACUCACAAUAUUCAUCCUAUGGUGACUAGAUCUAAGGUUUGUAUCUAUAAACCUAAGUUGUUGUUGAGUGUCUCCAUAGGUUCUCUCACUAAGCCUACUUCCUUUCUUCAAGCUAUUAAAGAUCCUUCAUGGAAGCAAUCCAUGGAAUUCGAGUUUGCUACCCUUCAACACAACAAGACCUGGCAUUUGGUUCCUUCACCUUCCUCAGGCGAAGUAAUCGGUUGUAAAUGGGUCUAUAAGCUAAAGCUUCAGCCUGAUGGCUAAAUUGAGAGAUACAGCCUGCUUAGUAGCUAAGGGUAUCAUCAAAUUGAAGUAUGGACUACUUCGAAACAUUCAGCCUGAUNNNNNNNNNNNNNNNNNNNNNNNNNNNNNNNNNNNNNNNNNNNNNNNNNNNNNNNNNNNNNNNNNNNNNNNNNNNNNNNNNNNNNNNNNNNNNNNNNNNNAGCUUCAGCCUGAUGGCUAAAUUGAGAGAUACAAGGCCUGCUUAGUAGCUAAGGGUUAUCAUCAAAUUGAAGGUAUUGACUACUUCGAAACAUUCAGCCUGAUUGUCAAGCUUUCUACUAUCUGUAUUGUGCUCAGUCUUACUUUUUCCCAGAAUUGGUGUAUUAGACAGCUGGAUGUUCAUAAUGCCUUCUUACAUGGUGACUUAGCUAAAGACGUUUUCAUGGAACAACUGCCUGGAUUUGUUGAUCCUCUCUAUCCUACUCAUGUCUGCAAGUUGGAUAAGUCUCUCUACUGUCUUAAAUAGUCACCUCGGGCUUGGUAUACUAAGCUGAGUACUUCUCGCUACACUUGGGAUUUGUUACUUCUAAGAAUGACUCUUCCUUAUUUAUUUGUCAUUCGUCUCAUGGGUUACUUCUUGUUCUUGUCUAUGUGGAUGAUAUAAUCGUCAUUGGGAGCCACUCUCCUCAGGUUACUCACCUUAUCCAACAGUUGCAUCAUUAGCUUUCUUUAAAGGAUCUUGGUCCUUUACAUUAUUUUCUGGGCUUGGAGGUUCAUCACACCCCUACUGGUAUUCACCUCAGCCAAGCAAAGUAUAUCACUGAUCUCCUUACCCGGGCGGCUAUGUUGGAUGCCAAGCCAUGUCCCACUCCUAUGUCCUCCAACACAUAUCUCUCUUUUCAUGAUGGAGUGGCUCUUGAAAAUGGUUCAGAUUAUCGAAGUUUUGUUGGUGCCCUUUAGUAUUGUACCAUGACACGCCCAGAUAUAGCUUUUGCAAUAAAUAAAGUGUGUCAAUUCAUGCACCAUCCCUCUAAUGUUCACUGGCAGGCUAUAAAACGUAUUCUCCGGUACUUAAAGGGCACAUCUCAUUUUGGUCUCUUCCUACAGCCUUCCUAUGACUUCAACAUCACUUGCUAUACAAAUGCCGACUGGGCUUCCUGUCCUGAUGACAAGUGUAGCACCAGUGGCUACUGCCUCUUUCUUGCCUCUAAUCUGGUUUCUUGGUCAUCUUCCAAACAAAAAGUGGUCUCCCGCUCCAGCGCCGAAUCAGAGUACCGAGGGGUAGCAAAUGGGGCUGCUGAAAUUGCUUGGACUGAAUCUCUUCUUUGUGAACUUUCCAUUACUCCCCCUCCCCUCAUUCUCUGUGACAAUAUCAGUGCCACGUACUUAGCUGCCAAUCCUAUUUUGCAUGCCCGCACCAAACAUGUGGAAAUCGACUAUCACUUUGUCACGGAACGUGUUCUUCAAUGCUCUCUUUUUGUCCAGUUUACACCUUCUGAUGAUCAACUUGCUGAUUGCAUGACCAAGCCUCUCUCCACCCAACGUUUCAUCACUCUACGCUCCAAGCUCACUGUUCUCACUAGACCAAUGAGCUUGAGGGGGGAUGUUAAGCCUAAAGAUGUAAUUAGUUAGGAUAUUCUUUUCCCUCUAGUCUUGUAGCUCCACGUGUACAGUUGGUUAGGACCUCAUUGUAUAUAAUGCCUGCCCUGUUAUUGUAGAAGACAACAGAGAUAAAUAAUAUUAACAUUUUUCCUCUCAUCUCUCUCUCUGUUUCCCUCUGUUUUCAUCUCCUCUCUCAUCUGAACCAAAUGAUCCAUGUUAACCUUGGCUUGGUUUGAUUUGGCUCUAUCUUAGAGAGCUCAAGGAUCACGUCAACUCUGGUUUCUACUAUUCAGGUCCAUUCCCAUAUGAACUGGUUCAAAUUUGAGAAAAUGGUAACAGACCUUUAGUGAUGUUGGUUUGGAGCCAGUUGCCAAACCCGCCCUGAGCUUUACCACUAAUGUCAAGGGAGAAAGCCAUUUGAACAAAAACAAUAGCUUCAAGGGACUGAAUCGUGGAUGAAAUCUGAUCCACAUUUCUUCUCAUUUUGGAAACAAAUGAGAACUUAACUAAGAAGAUUCUACGGCCUCAUAGUGCUUUUCCUGAUCUAAGGUUGGUUCGUUUCCCAAACUGUGAGAUGCACGUGCCAGACUUCAGAACUCUCACGCUCAGGAGUGUAUCCACGUGGUGGACAUAAGAUGGUGGCUUAAGAUCUGGUGUCGGUGGCUUUACUUUACUAGGAGAGUAGUGUGUCUUCAUCUCAUUCACUGCCGGAGGGUGGCGUAAGCAGUGACGCUAAGGUGGGGCACAGUCAAUAUCAUUUGCAUUUGACCAUUAUAGUUUUCUCCCGGCUUUAAAGUAACCUUAUCGUGAUAAAGGAUUACUAGCACUAGUUCAGAUGAUAGUCAUGUUAAAUUCGGACCAUGUUUGUGUCACAUUAUCAGCAACCAUGUGUUUAUGGUUCAUGCUUUCUGCAACUAAAAUUGAUAUAUAACCAGGUGAACUUCAAUCUAAAUUCUGAAAGUACUCAUGUGAUAGAUGGUGCCCGUCUGCAGAGUCCAUCAAUUGAAAAAUGGAGUGAGUGUAUCUAUAAGAGGGAAGGCUUGGAAAAUGUUCAGUUUUCUGGGAAUUCAACAAGGAUCUAAAAUAGAUUGUUUUCUUUGCUGAUUUCAAUGGUUGAAAUUUGAGAAGAUUGUGUCCACAUAACACAACUAUUACUGGUCCUUCUGUUGCAAUUUAUCCUCUAAAGCUCUAGCAUGUCUUCCAAUUCCCACUUCCCUGUUACUCCAGGAAAGCUAUUUCUGUCAUUGUGAAGAAGAAAAGAGAAUGUACAUAUCGAUGCUUUUAAGUGACUGGAGCAUUUAUAUCAGGUGGUCUGCAGCCAUAUAUGCCACUUUGUGAAGAUUGGAACAGUCAAUCACUAGGCUAUAUAUUAGUGUGGCCCAGCCACUUUAAUCAAGGACAAGUCUUCAUACUUAAAGUCAAAUUCUGCCUUUAGUCUCAUUAUAAAUUUCUGUUUAAAUAUUAAGCAAACAUUUGUUUAAUGCGAUUAAGACAGUACUAACUCAAUACCUGUUCUAUUUUUGGAUGCAAAUGCUUGAUGGUUUCAUCAUUGGAUGGGAUAAAGGUGCAUUCAUGAUUAGGAAUACUAGUAGUUAUAUUUUAAUUCUCUUUUUUCUCAAUGAGACUUGUUGGCACAAUUUUGCUGUUGAGAAACCUACCUCUCCAUGGAAAAUAAGUUGUGAUUGAUAGUACUGGAUAUAUUCAAGAAAUCUAAAUAUAGAUAGCACAAAAUAUUAUCGACAUAAAUAGCAUUAACAGCGUACGUAUGUCUCAGUGCUCAUCAGCUAUAAGCAUGGGGCAAACACUUACUAUGAGCAACUUACGUCAAAAUUCCAGAAUAGGACAUAGAAGUGACAGAUAUAGAACAUUGCAUAUGAGUCACAAGAAAGGAAAUUACGGGUGCAUAGCAGCUCUUAUUUUACAUACUACUACUCAUACUGAUCAAAGUCACUCAGUUGGGAUGGGUGGGAGUAGGAGGUUUGUGGGGUGGCUUGUGCGGAGGAGUUGGCAGCUUCUUUCCAGGACCUGGUUGCUUCUCUGCUGGAGUUGAAGGAGGCUUAAUCUUCCGAGGUGGCUUGUAUGAGUCUUCAGCAUUCUCAGCUGGAGGGUGACCAGGGUUGUGACCAUAAUGUGGUGGCUUCUCUCCCUUAGGUGGUUUGCCAACUGGGGUUGGUGGCUUGUAUGAGUCUUCAGCAUUCUCAGCAGGAGGGUGACCAGGGUUGUGACCAUAAUGUGGUGGCUUCUCUCCCUUAGGUGGUUUGCCAACUGGGGUUGGUGGCUUGUGUUCUGGGAGUGGCUUCUCCCCCUUGGGAGGUUUUUCCAAUGGGGUUGGUUUGUGUUCAGGAGGUGGCUUCUCCACUGGAGGCUUGUGUUCAGGAGGUGGCUUCUCCACCGGAGGCUUGUGUUCAGGUGGUGGCUUCUCCACCGGAGGCUUAUGCUCUGGUGGUGGCUUCUCGAAUGGGGGAUGCUUAGGAUAAUCAGCAAGUGAGGGGGCGGUGAGAACCACCAGGCCAAGCAACACCACUAGCAAAUAUGUAGGAGACAUCUUUGGGUUUGGGCUCAGAUGGUGCAAAACUAGGAGAAUUGGCUAGCCUUUUAUAGCGGAUCGUACCCAAUAAUGAAAUGACACGUGUCAUUAUGACCCAUGUGUAAUGGGGUCGAUUUGGGUCCUACAGUGUUGAAAACUUCGACAUCCACUUUUGGCCUUUUGCUUUCUCUACAGCCGCCUUGCUUUUUCCCUCUUUCCUUUUGUUUUCCUCCUGCCCCAUUCUAUCAACUAAACACAAUUAUGUAGUUGUUUAAUUCUUAAAUGAGAUAUUAUCCGUCAAUCGUAUUAUAUUUUAUCAAGAGAGAACGGAGUGCAAUGUGGCUGUAAUUUUAUCGUUUAGUUUUAUCUCUUGGACCACUGCAUUUUUGUUAAGAGGUGCAAUAAUACACGUCUUUAUCUGCCAUUCAAUAUUUACAGUAAAGAGAGGGCACAAAACUCUUCACUUCGCACCAUAAUUAUUUUGUUUUCUGGACACCCCGGGGCCCUUUGGUUGGUUUGGGGGUCAGAAAGUGAACAUCAUAGGGGGUUUUUCCCUUAUGUGCAUUUGUAUCUGAUGGCUUUAACUCGCCUUGUUACUACAAAGAAACUGUCACAGAUAGGAACUUAUUCCAGGCUGAGUAUCUCCUCAUAGACCCUAUAAAAGAAGACAAGUCAUAAUGAACAUCUAACCUUUGUUCAAUUUGAUUCAAUGCCCCCAUUGUGUCCAUCUCACAAAUCUGAAUUAUUAUAUCCAUUGAAUACAUAAAUUAAUGAAGAAAAUAUGAAACCCAAGAUACAUCUCUGCACAACCUCAACCCUGGUUGCUAUGUUUCCCUUCUAUUCACAUGAUUUGAUGCUAAUUGCCAAACUUGCAACAAGCCCUGAGUUUGACACCUAGUAUCGAUGGGCGAAUUUAAAGUCUCCUCCAAACAUAUAUUCCACAGCUUGAAGCUCACAGAAGAUGUUACAGGCAGGGAAAAACCUUCAGAGUUCGCUACCAAAGAUAAUUAUUAAGGAGAUAUCACAAAGAGAAUUCCAAGGGGUCUGAAUCAAAGACAAAUUGGUCGUUCGUGGGGGUUCUUACUUUCUUUUGGGUAUAACUCACUGAGGGCACUGUCUUUGUUAUUUGCAUUUCACAUUUAGAGUUCUGUUCUGGAAACAUAUAAAAGGAGCAUCAUUUUGUUCUUGGGUAACCCAUAGUCGUGAGUGGGUCCAUUUGCAUGCUACUUAGUUGAAAAGUUGGACCAUUUGCUCCGACGCCUACCUCCCGGAUUCCAUGCUCGGAUAAAACAAGAAUAAAAAAAAUAUUUAUAAUUUACAAAUGGGGGAAAGAAAAAAAUGUCAACAACAAACCAGGAAAAAAGAGUAGUAAAAUUCAUGUCACAUGCUAGUGAGAGAAGGGGUUGUUACACUCACUCGAAGUUCUUUCCAAAAUAUCGCAUGGUAUUUUAUUUUAUGUGUCAGCGCAGUUGUGAAUGGAACGUGCAAAAGUCCAAAUUGGCGUUUUUCCUUUUCCCGUGUAGGAUGGCGACCUUUAAUAAAUAUUUAAAACAAAAAACGAAAAAAAGGAGGGAAAAGGGAUCAGAAAAGAUAAAACAAUGUGUACAAGAGCUCAAUUAGUUUGCAAAUUACUGUUUGGAUUUUGAUAGUAUUUUAUUUGUCCAUCUAUAUUUGAUGGAAAAGAGAAUUUAAGAUAUUUCUGAAACAAAAGCAUUAGUGUAAAACUAAAUUAAGGUAUAAUUAAGUUAGUUCAAUGCAUUAAUUUAAGAAACUUGAUCUAUCCAAAGUACAAAAUUAGAUGAAAUCCAUUUCAAUGGUUAAAAUGAUCAAAAUCAAACUUUUUCUAAGUAUUUUUUAAAAGCAUCAAUAUUAAAAGACAAUUUUAUAUUUAGUCGGAGUUUGGACAAAACCAAAAAGCACACAAAAUCCAAGCGACCAUCUCUAGCUUGGAUAGUCACUUGAUCCCACCUAGAGAUGUGCAUGAGUAAAAGGAUUUGAAAAUGGAAAUUGACUAAAUAUUUAGUUGAUCAAUUAAAUUUGCAAUGUCAUAUGCAAUCCUAAUAGCUAGUCAUCUAAUCAAUUAGGUAGUCAAUCAAGUGUUUGUAAUGACUAUUUUGUACAAAAAACCACAUGUAUAGUUAAAUAUAAUGCAUUUCAUUUAUAAAUCUUCUAAUUCUUGAAUAACGAUCCUAUCAUCCUUUGAAAAUUUUUAUUACACCUUUUUUACUUUUGUUCUAAAACUUACAUAUCACCCUUAAUUGUACCAUGAGAACCUAGCUAUUUUUUUUUUUUUUGUAAUUCAUCAAAGUUAGCUUUUGUAUUCAUUGUUGUAUUAUUUUUAGUAUAACUUAGAAAGCUAGUGUUUUCAAGUGAGUAAAAUUAACUUGUAAAUAUUGUAAAGAUUCAUUGAUAUGUAUCUUAAACUAAGUGUACAAAUUAAAACAUUUGCUAGUAGAUUUUCUCAAAAUUUAGAAUAGAGCUUGAGGCUAUUGAAAUAGGUGGGGUUACACCAAACCACAUCACAUCGUUGUUUGCACCUUUUUUCACUCUCUUUUACUUAGUUUCUCUAUAUUUGUUGUCUAGUAAUAUCCUAUAGGCUUGAUGGGUUAGGGAGCAUCCCUUUGUGAAAAAAUUUCAUUCAAUUCUUAGUUGUAUUACGCAUAUAUAAAAUGCCUCAUUGUUUUAAUGGUAUUCAGUCGUGGCAUCACAGAUAUGGGCAUCUAAAUUUUAAAAGUUUGAAACUUUUGUAAAGCAUGUUGAUAAAAUCCAUGAGAGUUGUGUACUUGGGAAGCAACAUCGAGGUGACUUUAUUUUUUUUUCCUUUUAUAAUGCCACACCUAAGUCCGGUUUCUAAAUGCUAAAGUGAAAGGGUAGGUAUGGACCAUUGAAAUGUGAUCACAACUUUUGGCCUUUUCCUUUCUCUGCAGCCAUGUUGUCUCUUUUUUCUUUUGCAUGAUUUUCUUACCAAAACAGAAUCAUAGACUUGUUUAGUCUCUAAGCUACUAUAUUAUAUCUCGGUGGACUUUUAAGAGUGCAACCGACAUAGAGCACAUGCAAGUGGGCAUAUGGGACAUGAAAUUUCUUCUUACAAAGAUUGCAUGAUUUUUAUAUUAGAGUUGUUCACGUGCAAUGUAUUUAGCUUGUUUUGCAGUUAAAUUAAUUGGAUAAGUAAACAUUGGCAUUUCUAAAUCGACUGUGAAGUGCUUCAUGUACGUGUAAAGUAUUAGAAAUUUCUUUCUUGGCAACUUGUUUUUUCCUUGCCAUCUACUGGUAGGUUUGACUAAAAUUAUAUUCCCUGUCAUGCUAAUUAAUUUUCAUGUGCAUGCUCAAAAGAAGAGUAUGACCUUAGUGCACCAAAAUCACUUUGAUUAAUUUGUGAUAGGUUUUUUUGCAUCAUUUAGAUAAUGUUUAGUUCUAAGAAAAAUUUAUAUAAAAAUGGUUUAUUUAUCUUACAUAUAUAUAUAUAUAUAUAUAUUUUUUUUUUUUUCAUUUUUUUUUCUUCUAUUUUAUUUAUUUAUUUUAUUUUCCUUAUGUUUUCCUCACAUUUUCCGGAACUAAACAUAGUCUUACGAAAUCAACAAUUGCCUUCAACUGAGUAGAUUCUGUUGUUUUAGCAAUGUUAGGCUGCUAACUUGUGGUGGUACGAACCAAAUGACCCAUGUUAAUCUUGGCUUGGUUUGAUUUGGCUCUAUCUCAGAGAGCUAAAGGAUCACGUCAACUCUGGUUUCUACUAUUCAGGUCCAUUCCCAGAUGAACUGGUUCAAAUUUGAGAAAAUGGUAACAGACCUUUAGUGAUGUUGGUUUGGAGCCAGUUGCCAAACCCGCCCUGAGCUUUACCACUAAUGUCAAGGGAGAAAGCCAUUUGAACAAAAACAAUAGCUUCAAGAGACUGAAUCGUGGAUGAAAUCUGAUCCACAUUUCUUCUCAUUUUGGGAAAAAAUGAGAACUUAACUACAAAGAUUCUACUGCCUCAUUCAUAGUGCUUUUCCUGAUCCAAGGUUGGUUCGUUUCCCAAAUUGUGAGGUGCACGUGCCACUCUCACGCUCAGGAGUGUAUCCACGUGGUGGACAUCAGAUGGUGGCUUAAUAUCUGGUGUCGGUGGCUUUACUUUACUAGGAGAGUAGUGUGUCUUCAUCUCAUUCACUGCCGGAGGGUGGCGUAAGCAGUGACGCUAAGGUGGGGCACAGUCAAUAUCAUUUGCAUUUGACCAUUAUAGUUUUCUCCCGGCUUGAAAGUAACCUUAUCGUGAUAAAGGAUUACUAGCACUAGUUCAGAUGACCGUCAUGUUAAUUCGGACCAUGUUUGUGUCACAUUAUCAGCAACCAUGUGUUUAUGGUUCAUGCUAUCUGCAACUAAACUUGAUAUAUAACCAGGUGAACUUCAAUCAAAAUUCUGGAAGUACUCUUGUGAUAGAUGGUGCCUGUCUGCAGAGUCCAUCAAUUGAAAAAUGGAGUGAGUGUAUCUAUAAGAGGGAAGGCUUGGCAAAUGUUCAGUUUUCUGGGAAUUCAACAAGGAUCUAAAAUAGAUUGUUUUCUUUGCCGACUUCAAUGGUUGAAAUUUGAGAAGAUUGUGUCCACAUAUCACAACUAUUACUGGUCCUUCUGUUGCAAUUUAUCCUGUAAGGCUCUAACAUGUCUUCCAAUUCCCACUUCCCUGUUACUCCAGGAAAGCUAUUUCUGUCAUUGUGAAGAAGAAAAGAGAAUGUACAUAUCGAUGCUUUUAAGUGACUGGAGCAUUCAUAUCAGGUGGUCUGCAGCCAUAUAUGCCACUUUGUGAAGGUUGGAACAGUCAAUCACUAGGCUAUAUAUUGGUGUGGCCCAGCCACUUCAAUCAAGGACAAGUCUUCAUACUUAAAGUCAAAUUCUGCCUUUAGUCUCAUUAUAAAUUGCUGUUUAAAUAUUAAGCAAACUUUUGUUUAAUGCGAUUAAGACAGUACUAACUCAAUACUUGUUCUAUUUUUGGAUGCAAAUGCUUGAUGGUUUCAUCAUUGGAUGGGAUAAAGGUGCAUUCAUGAUUAUGAAUACUUGUAGUUAUAUUUUCAUUCUCUUUUUUCUCAAUGAGACUUGUUGGCACAAUGUUGCUGUUCAGAAACCUACCUCUCCAUGGAAAAUAAGUUGCGAUUGAUAGUACUGGAUAUGUUCAAGAAAGCUAAAUAUAGAUAGCACAAAAUAUUAUCGAUAUAAAUAGCAUUAACAGCGUACGUAUGUCUCAAUGCUCAUCAGCUAUAAGCAUGGGACAAACACUUACUAUGAGCAACUUACGUCAAAAUUCCAGAAUAGGACAUAGAAGUGACAGAUCUAUAUAUAUAGAACACUGCAUAUGAGUCACAAGAAAGGAAAUUACGGGUGCAUAGCAGCUCUUAUUUUACAUACUACUACUCAUACUGAUCAAAGUCACUCAGUUGGGAUGGGUGGGAGUAGGAGGUUUGUGGGGUGGCUUGUGCGGAGGAGUUGGCAGCUUCUUUCCAGGACCUGGUUGCUUCUCUGCUGGAGUUGAAGGAGGCUUAAUCUUCCGAGGUGGCUUGUAUGAGUCUUCAGCAUUCUCAGCUGGAGGGUGACCAGGGUUGUGACCAUAAUGUGGUGGCUUCUCUCCCUUAGGUGGUUUGCCAACUGGGGUUGGUGGCUUGUAUGAGUCUUCAGCAUUCUCAGCAGGAGGGUGACCAGGGUUGUGACCAUAAUGUGGUGGCUUCUCUCCCUUAGGUGGUUUGCCAACUGGGGUUGGUGGCUUGUGUUCUGGGAGUGGCUUCUCCCCCUUGGGAGGUUUUUCCAAUGGGGUUGGUUUGUGUUCAGGAGGUGGCUUCUCCACUGGAGGCUUGUGUUCAGGAGGUGGCUUCUCCACCGGUGGCUUGUGUUCAGGAGGUGGCUUCUCCACCGGAGGCUUAUGCUCUGGUGGUGGCUUCUCCACCGGAGGCUUAUGCUCUGGUGGUGGCUUCUUGAAUGGGGGAUGCUGAGGGUAAUCAGCAAGUGAGGGGGCGGUGAGAACCACCAGGCCAAGCAACACCACUAGCAAAUAUGUAGGAGACAUCUUUGGGUUUGGGCUCAGAUGGUGCAAAACUAGGAGAAUUGGCUAGCCUUUUAUAGCGGAUCGUACUCAAUAAUGAAAUGACACGUGUCAUUAUGACCCAUGUGUAAUGGGGUCGAUUUGGGUCCUACAGUGUUGAAAACUUCGACAUCCAGUUUUGGCCUUUUGCUUUCUCUACAGCCGCCUUGCUUUUUCCCUCUUUCCUUUUGUUUUCCUCCUGCCCCAUUCUAUCAACUAAACACAAUUAUGUAGUUGUUUAAUUCUUAAAUGAGAUAUUAUCGGUCAAUCGUAUUAUAUUUUAUCAAGAGAGAACGGAGUGCAAUGCAGCUGUAAUUUUAUCGUUUACUUUUAUCUCUUGGACCACUGCAUUUUUGUUAAGAGGUGCAAUAAUACACGUCUUUAUCUGCCAUUCAAUGUUUACAGUAAAGAGAGGGCACAAAACUCUUCACUGCUCUGCAUGUGUCCCAAAAAUGCGAUUGGACAAAUUAUGAUUUGCAUGCUAAAAAGAGGCAAAUGAGGUUAAUUCGCACCAUAAUUAUUUGGUUUUCUGGACACCAUAAAAAGAUGUUAUACAGGCAGGGAAAAACCUUCAGAGUUAGCUACCAAAGAUAAUUAUCAAGCAGAUAUCACCAAGAGAAUUCCAUAGAGUCUGAAUCAAAGACAGAUUGCUCGCUCGUGGGGGUUCUUACUUUCUUUUGGGUAUAACUCACUGAGGUCACUGUCUUUUUUAUUUGCAUUUCACAGUUAGAGUUCUGCUCUGGAAGGUUUGUUCUGGAAACAUAUAAAAGGAGCAUCAUUUUGUUCUUGGGUAACCCAUAGUCGUGAGUGGGUCCAUUUGCAUGCUACUUAGUUGAAAAGUUGGACAAUUUGCUCCGACGCCUACCUCCUGGAUUCCAUGCUCGGUAAAACAAGAAUAAAAAAAAAUAUAUAAUUUACAAAUGGGGGAAAGAAAAAAUGUCGGAAAAAAUAGUAAAAUUCAUGUCACAUGCUAGUGAGAGAAGGGGUUGUUACACUCACUCGAAGUUCUUUUCAAAAUAUCGAAUGGUAUUUUACUUUAUGUGUCAGCGCAGUUGUGAAUGGAACGUGCAAAAGUCCAAAUUGGCGUUUUUAUUUUUCCCAUGUAGGAUGGUGACCUUUAAUAAAUAUUUAAAACAAAAGACGAAAAAAAAAAGGAGGGAAAAGGGAUCACAAAAGAUAAAAUAAUGUUUACAAAAGCUCAAUUAGUUUGCAAAUUACUGUUUGGAUUUUGAUAGUAUUUUAUUUGUCGUUCUAUAUUUGAUGUAAAAGAGAAUUUAAGAUAUUUCCGAAGCAAAAGCAUUAGUUUGCUCUGUGAUGUCCCACAUCGAAUAGGGGAGAAAGUUUCUGGCGCUAUAUAUGUAGAGGCUCCUCUUAACCAAGUAGAUGCGUUUUAAAACCAUGAGGGCCCCCUUAGGUCCAAAGCGGACAAUAUCUACAUGAUUGGGUGUAAGUCAUUACAAAUGGUAUCAGAGCCGAUCCCCGACCCCGGUGUGGGGGUUUGUUUGGCCCUGUAAGGGGUGUUUGUCUGUUUGACCCCACAAUCCCAUGGGACACAACGAGGACGUUGUGUCUGCAUGGGGGGGCGUUUGUGAUGUCCCACAUCGGAUAGGGGAGAAAGUUCCUAGUGCUAUAUAUGUAGAUGUUUCUCUUAACCAAGUAGAUGCAUUUUAAAAUUGUGAGGGCCUCUUUGGGCCCAAAGCGGACAAUAUCUACAUGGUUGAGUGUAAGUCAUUACAUGCUCCAUGUCAAUUUCAGCAUUUCUCAUAUGUUUCACACAUACACAGAAGAGCAUCGUUUUUUAAAGCAUGCAUUUAUGUUGGAUUAAUUUGGAUUUUGUGGGAACUGGGGCAAGGAUCACAUGGAAGAGAGGUUGACUUUUUUCAGUACUUCAAUGGUUGAAAUAUGUGAAGGCUUGAUUGAUACUAAAGCUUGAAAUUGCGACUCUGUCAUUUGUAAAAAAAUAUGACAGCUUCCAUGCUCUCGUUUGGUUGCAUUGUCCGGUCGAGAGGUGCAAAAAGCAUUCUCUCUCUUCUAAUAGUCUUUUCGUUUAAAUCAAGGGAUUUGCCUUCCCGGUCGAGGUCCAAUAGAGGGUAACGGUCACCUACUAAACAUUAAAUGCUCCAACAACUAGUGAACUGAUCGACCCCAGCUCGACUAGUUGAGGUUACUUUUUGGUUUUCUUGUCUCCCGAGGUUAGAAACCUAUAAAUAGAGAGCUUCACUUCAUUUAUGAGUAAGAGAACACCUAAAUUUAUUUGUUUACCUACUUGUUUUUGCCAUAAAAGCUCUCAUUUCUUUUCUUGGUGUAUUAAAUCUCCAUUUGCAUAUCCUUUAGUGCACCUUUGUGAUUCAUUCUAGCCUUGAGUUGUAUUUAAGCCUUUGUUGAGCUAGGUUGAGAGUUUCAUACUUGUUUAUUGAGUGUUAAAGCCUUCAAGUGAGUUAAAACUUGAAGAGAUUGUGUAAGAGCCCAUUGGAGUCGGAAUCCAAGUGUAAAGGUGAUUAAAAGCUUGGUUGAAGCUUCAAGUUAGUGGAACUCUCACUCGGUUAUGAGCUUGAGAAGAGUGGACAUAGACAAGGCAGUGUCGAACCACUAUAAAAUCUGAGUUUGAUUUCUCUAACCUUAUCUCUUUAUAUUUGCUUCUCUUGUGCUUAAAUUUUUUGUGUUUAAAAAGAAUUUUUAAAAACUCAAUUCACCCCCUUCUUGGGAGUUUUUCUCUUUUAAGAUCAGCUUUUAUUUUCUCAAUUGGUAUCAGAACUAUGCCUCUUGUUUAAGACUUAAUCGUCUAAGAGGAAAUGGCUAAUCCAUCAAGUUCAUCUCACAUUGAAAGUUUUGCAACCAAUAGACUUCUUUUUUUUUUUUUGCGGGAACUGAUUAUCCCUAUUGGAAAACUAAAAUGACUUGGUUUUUACAAUCAAUUGAUUUAGAUGUAUGAGAUGCCAUUGAAGAUGACCUAACUUUUCCUUCAAAACUAGUUGAUGGAGUCAUGGUUCCAAAACCUAAGCAAGAAUGGGAUGAGCGUGAUUGAAGAAAUUUUCAAUUAAAUGCUAAAGUCGUUUAUACUUUGCAAUGCUCUAUGGACAGAAAUGAAUAUAAUAGAAUAUGUCAAUGCAAAUCGGUUAAAGAAAUUUGGAGAUUGCUUGAAAUAACUCAUAAAGGAACAAAUCAAGUUAAAGAGUCAAAAAUCAAUUUACUUGUUCAUAGAUAUGAAUUGUUUUUUAUGAAAGAUAAUGAAACUAUUGUUAAGAUGAUCACUAGGUUCACCAACAUUGUUAAUGGUCUUAAAGCCUUGGGAAAGACCUACAAGGAAUCCGAAAACGUGAUGAAGAUCUUGAGGUCACUUCCAUCAAAGUGGCAUACCAAGGUCACCGCAAUUUAAGAAGCAAAAGACUUGAUCAAGCUACCUUUGGAGGAGUUCAUAGGGUCAUUGAUGACAUAUGAAAUCAAUUUGGCAAAGAAGUAACAAAAAGGUGAAGACAAAAAGAAGAAGAACAUAACUCUCAAAGCUACAACUAAGGAAGAAGAAGUUGAAGAAGAAAAACAAAUUGAAGAAGAUGAAGAUUUAGCCCUCAUCACAAGAAAGUUCAACAAAUUCAUGAGGGGUGAAAGGUUUAGAAGAAGAAGGUUCACUUCUAGAAGAGACUUUUCUAAAAAGGAAUCUUCAUCUAAUGGUGACAAAAAGAGAUGGGAAGAGAAAAGAGACUUGGUGUGUUUCAAGUGCAAGAAACCGGGACACAUUAAAUAUGAUUGUCCUCUCUACAAAAGUGAAGUCAAGAGGAAAAAGAAUAAGGCAAUGAUGGCCACUUAGAGUGAAAGUGAAGAUGAAUCAUCCGAAGAAGAAAAUGAGAAAGAAGUGGCAAACAUGUGUUUCAUGGCAAUAGAUGAACUUGAUGAGGUAAAAUCUAACCUUAGUGAUUAAGAUAUACAUGAUGCAUUUGAAGAAUUGUAUGAGGAUUUUUAAAAACUUAGUUUGAAAAAUAUUUCUCUUAAAAAGAAAGUUCAACAACUUGACAAAGAACUUAGAGAAGUAAAAGAAAAAUUUUCAAAUGUUAAAGUUUCUAAAACUCAUCUUGAAAAAGAAAAUGAGAUUCUAAGAAAGAAAAAUGAAUAGUUGAACUCCUCUCUUUCAAUCUUUUCUUCUAGACAAAAAUCUUUUGAAAUGAUUCUAACUAGCUAAAAAUGUGUUUUUGACAAACAAGGGUUAAGAUUUAAAUCUUCAAAAAAUCAAAAGUAUUUUAAAAACUAUUUUGUAAAGGAAUCCACAAGUGCAAGUCCUUCCACUACUUGCAACUUUUGUGGAAGAGAAUGGCACAUUAGUAGUACGCCCUUUAAGAAAUGGUUCUCAAAAGAAUUUAAAUGCAAAAACUAAAAAAGAUUUGGAUUGAGAAAUCCAAGGUCACUAACCCUCAAGGACCCAAAAAGAUAUAGGUACCUAAAUCAACUUGAGUUUUAUGUUGUAAGGUUCAAAGAAUGAUAAGUGGUUCUUAGAUAAUGGUUGCUCAAGACACAUGACCGGAGAUGAAUCCAAGUUUGCUUUUCUUAAAAAGAAAAAUGGAGGAUAUGUUACCUUUGGAGACAAUGCAAAAGAAAGGAUGAUUGGUCAAGGCAACAUUGGUAAUGGCACAUCCUCUCUCAUUGAAAGUGUUUUAUUAGUAGAUGGUUUCAAACAUAACCUUUUAAGCAUUAGUCAAUUUUGCGACAAAGGUUUUUAAGUGAUUUUUUAAGCAUCUCAUUGCAUCAUCAAGGAUAUUCAAAAUGAUAAAACCAUUUUCAUGGGCCAUAGAUGUGAUAAUGUUUAUGCUAUAAAUAUUUCAAAAUAUGAUGGCCAUGAUAGAUGUUUUUCAAGCAUGCAUGAUCAAAGUUGGUUGUGCCAUAGGAGAUUGAGACAUGCUAACAUAGACCUCAUUUCCCAACUCAACAAAGAUGAACUUGUUAGAGGCCUUCCCAAAAUAAUUUUUUAAAAAGAUAAAGUUUGUGAAGCUUGUCAAGUGGGAAAGUAAAUCAAAAACUCUUUUAAAAACAAAAACUUCAUUUCCACAUCUAGGCCACUUGAGUUGUUGCAUAUGGAUUUAUUUGGUCCCUCUAGGACACCAAGUCUUAGAGGAAAUUCUUAUGCAUAUGCUAUUGUGGACGACUUCUCUAGAUACACAUGAGUCUUGUUUUUUAGUCAAAAGAAUAAAGUUUUUUAUGAGUUUUCAAAGUUUUGCAAUAAGAUUCAAAAUGAAAAAGGUUUUUCAAUUACUUAUAUAAGAAGUGAUCAUGGGAGAGAAUUCGAAAAUAUUGAUUUUGAAGAGUAUUGCAAUGAGCAUGGAAUUGACCACAAUUUUUUGGCUCUUAGAACUCCUCAACAAAAUGGGGUAGUUGAAAGGAAAAAUAGAACUCUUCAAAAAAUGACAAGAACCAUACUAAAUGAAAACAACUUACCAAAAUAUUUUUAGGCCAAAACGGUUAACACUUCUUGUUAUGUUUUAAAUAGAGUAUUAUUGAGGCUCAUACUUAAGAAAACUCCCUAUGAGCUUUGGAAAAACAAAAAACCCAACAUUAGUUAUUCCAAAGUCUUUGGAUGCAAUAUUUUAUAAUAAACACCAAAGACAAUCUUGGAAAAUUUGAUGCAAAAUUGGAUGUUGGAAUUUUCCUUGGUUACUCAACUUCAAGUAAAGCUUUUCGAGUUUUAACAAAAGAACCAUGGUUGUAGAGGAGUCCAUCCAUGUUAUUUUUUAUGAAUCUCCAAGAAAGAGAGAGGAUUGAUGAUGAUUUAGGUUUGAAGACCUCUAUAGGAAGAUUGCAAAUCGAAGAUAGAAGACAACAAGAAGAAAAUGGAGAGAAUCCAAAGAAAGAAGGAUCACCAUUGGCACUACCCCCUCAUCAACAAGCGCAAGGUGAAUCAAGUCAAGAGCUUCCUAAAGAAUGGAAGUUUGUCAUCAAUCACCCACAAGAUCAAAUUAUAGGCAAUCCAUCUAGUGGGGUAAGAACUAGAUCCUCUCUUAGAAAUAUUUGCAAUAAUCUAGCUUUUAUCUCUCAAAUUGAGCCUAAAAAUAUAAAUGAUGUUUUAGAUGAUGAAAAUUGGAUAAUUGCAAUGCAAGAAGAGUUAAAUCCAUUUGAAAGAAGUGGAGUAUGGGAAUUAGUACCAAGACCUUCAAAUCAAAGUGUUAUUGGAACUAGAUGGAUCUUUAGAAAUAAAAUGGAUGAAAAUAGCAUAAUUGUUAGAAAUAAAGCAAGAUUGGUAGCCCAAGGUUUUAAUCAAGAAGAAAUGAUAGAUUAUGAAGAAACCUUUGCCCCCGUAGCUAGGUUGGAAGCCAUUAGGAUGCUACUUGCCUUUGCAUGUUUUAAAGACUUUGUUUUAUAUCAAAUGGAUGUGAAAAGUGCUUUUUUAAAUGGUUUUAUAAAUGAAGAAGUAUAUGUUGAACAACCACCCGGUUUUCAAAGUUUCAACUUUCCUAACCAUGUUUUUAAACUUAAAAAGACACUUUAUGGUUUGAAACAAGCACCUAGAUCAUGGUAUGAAAAAUUGAGUAAAUUUCUUUUGAAAAAAAUGUUUUAAAAUGGGAAAAAUUGACACAACUCUUUUUAUAAAAACCAAAGAAAAUGAUAUGCUCUUAGUUCAAAUAUAUAUUGAUGAUAUCAUUUUUGGUGCUACUAAUGUCUCUCUUUAUGAAGAAUUUUCUAAGUGCAUGCAUAGUGAGUUUGAAAUGAGCAUGAUAGGAGAACUCAACUUCUUCCUUGGACUUCAAAUCAAGCAACUAAAGGAAUGAACCUUCAUCAAUCAAGCAAAGUAUAUAAGAGAUCUUCUCAAAAGGUUCAACAUGGAAGAAGCCAAAACAAUGAAGACUCUAAUGAGCUCAUCCAUUAAGCUUGAUAAGGAUGAGAAAGGUAAAUCCAUUGACUCUAUUAUGUAUAGAGGCAUGAUAGGUUCUUUGCUCUAUUUGACCACUAGUAGACCUUACAUUAUGUAUAGUGUGUGUUUGUGUACUAGAUUUCAAUCUUGUCUUAAAAAAUCUCACUUAAGUGUCGUGAAAAGAAUCCUCAAAUAUUUGAAAGGGACAAUGGACAUAGGCUUAUGGUAUCCUAAGAGUGAUAACUUUGAAUUAAUUGGUUUUUUGGAUGCUGAUUUUGUCAGUUGUAGGGUUGAAAAAUAAAACACUAGUGGCACUUUUCAUUUCUUAAGACACUUACUUGUCUCAUGGCAUAAUAAGAAGCAAAAUUUGGUAGCUUUGUCAACAGCAGAAGCUAAAUACAUAGCAACUGGUUUAUGUUGUGCACAAAUCCUUUGGAUGAAAUAAACACUUAGUGAUUUUGAUUUAUCUUUUGAGCAUAUUCCUAUUAAAUGUGAUAAUAGUAGUGCCAUAAGUAUAUCAAAAAAUCUCGUGCAACACUCUAGGACUAAGCAUAUAGAGAUUAGACAUAAUUUUCUUAGAUAUCAUACACAAAAGGAUGAUAUAACACUUGAAUUUGUAAGCAUAAAAGACCAACUUGCCGAUAUCUUUACAAAACCUCUAAGAACAUUUUGUUGAUAUUAGAGGACAAUUAGGAGUGAUUUCUUUAUGAUCUAAUGUGAUGAAUUCUUGAUGAAUAUACUUUUUGAUUGCAUGAAUUUCAUGUCAUAUAUGCAUCAUAUAGAAAUAUACUUAGAUAAUGGUCAAAUUUCGACCAAAAAUCAAAAUUCCCAUGGCAUUAGGCAUAAAAAUUUUGGAAUUUCAACUGAAAAUGGUAGGAGGAGGAUCACAAAAUGAGAAAGUAUGCAAAAAUUGAAAAAUCAAAACGUUGACCAAGCGGUCAAUCGGACUAGACCGAUCGACUAGUUUGUCGAGAUUUAGGAUUUUUAAGAGACUCCAACGCUUCAAUUUUUGCACCGUUCUCCUCUAUUUCUUCACGGUUUCUCUGAUUUUGUCUUUUAGAGACUAAUUUGAGUGCGUUUUGGAUCAAUUGAAGCAUUUUGGAUUGGAUUUUAGGAAGAUUGAAAGUUAAGGUUUCGGAUUUGGGUCGCCUUCUCUUCCUCUCGCGUGUCACAAUCAGCUUUAGCAUUGUUCUCUUUCCAUUUUCACACACCUAGGGUUUCAGUUGUGAGCAUCUCUCUCUCUUUACCAACCACUACUCCCUUGCUUCUUCCAUAUGGCUCCUAGGCGAGAGUCCGCUACUUCUAGGGCACAAGGCAAGCACCCAACUGAGUCGUCUCAGUCAAAGGCACGUCGAAAAGUGAGAUUUGACAUUGCCUUGUUCAGUUCCAUGGAGGACUACCAACUAUACAAGCAACACUUUGCUUAGAGACGAGUAGUUCCCAAGAGAAAUAUUAAUUUUCCUCAACUUCAGCAUUUCGAAUUUAAGGGUCUAUUUACUAGGAUGGUUGGUUGUCUAUUGUCACAAUUUCGGAGCCGGUUUUCCUGACCUUAGUGCGAGUUUUUUACUCGAGGGCGACUUAUGGCAUGGGUGGCAUGAUCAUUUCUACUGUUGGAGGAGUUGAGAUCUGUCUGGACCCAGAGAGCAUCUGCCAUAUUUUCGAUAUUGCUCUGGUUGGACUCAAAGUAUACAAGUCCAAAAUGUGGCCCAUUGUGCCAGGAUUUGAGCUUAGAGAGGUCAUUCAGAGGAUUUGUGAACUUCCAGACGCCCAGGAGAUGGGCAAACCAUUGCCACACAGUUUGACGGUCAUCAACAGGGUGCUACACCAUAUAUUGUGCUCUAUCUUUCUACCACGAAGUGGACAUUGAGAUGAGGUCUCUUAUUAUGAGGCAUUCCUUAUUGACUCCAUUCUAACGGAGAGACGAAUUCAUCUACUAUGUCAUCAUUCACUAAGCCUCCUCACAGUGACAUACCACCUCAUCAGGCACCUCUUGCUCCUGACCAUGCUCCAUUGAUGGAUUUAUUUACUCAUAUUAGCUCUCUAGGCACUCGCAUGAAGGAGUUUGUUGUAGUUAGUGAUACAUGGUUCUACUCCAUAGAGGAUCGCAUGGAUCAGUAUCAGACUGGCUUCACGUCACAGUUUGAGUAUCUCCAAUAGAGGAUUGAGCAUAUUGAGGAUCACUUGAGCAUGAGAAGAUGAUGGCUUUUCUAUGCUCUGUGUUUCCACCUCCACCUCGUCAACCUUGAUUUCUUAGAGACCCAUUGUUUUCAUUUUGUAAUGUUGCCAAAAGGGGGAGAUAUUUAGGAUCUAGGACUCUAUAGGAGACUUACAUGCAUAUCAUUUUCAUAUCAUUGUUUGGAUCGUACAUAUUGGAUAGUGAUACUUUUUACUUAUAUAUGAUAUGCCUAUAUGUUUCAUGUCUUACAUUGUUUCUUAUUGCAAAUUAUCUCUAACAUGUCUUGAUUAUCUUUUUUUUAACUUCAUAAAUUUUGAUUGUUAACCCAUGAUUGGUUUGAGGGGAAGAUUCUUCUUCUCCUAGAUAACCAAGGUUUGUCAUCAUAAAAAAAUUGGAGAUUGUUAGCCCAAGGGUUCUCCUAAUCAUGUUUUGAUGAUAACAAACCAUGCUUAAGUUACUAAUUGGUUUGAAUUAUAAAGAAUUUCAAGUGUUAAUUUGAAAAUUCAUCAAAGAACCUAAUGGAUGCAAGAUCAAGAUUUUUGGAAGACCUUUAAUCAUAAGAAACAUAUGUAAGAUGAAUGCAUGGGUGCACUUAAGAUUUGCAUAUCAUUUCAUGCAUAUUUGGAAAACACGGUUUAUGCUUUAAAGUUACAUUUCCAUCAAAAUUUGAGAUCCAUCAAAUGAACCUUAGGAAAAAUGUUUUAAAAUUGGCAUAUAAUUUUACCUAAAGACCUUGCCUAAGUGUUAGAAGCAAAAGGACAAAAAAAAUAUAGGUUUUCUGGUCAAAAAUGGUGAACCAGUCAAGGCAUUGUCUAAAUCAGCUCAAUCGGCCAAGGUACCGGUCGAUCGGUUUCCCUUUCCCUGUCGAGAUCUAGUCAAGAGGUACAAAAAUCACAAUCUCUGUCUCUUUCUCUCUUUGUCUAUCUUCCAGUAGUCUUUCCUUCCCGGUCGAGGGAUUUGCCUUCCCGAUUGAGGUCCGAUUGAGAGUAAUAGUCACUUGCCAAAUAUUAAAUGCUCCAACAGUUAGUGAACUGGUCGACCCCCACCUUGCCCAGUUGAGGUUACUUUUUGGUUUUCUUGGCUCCCGAUGUUAGAAACCUAUAAAUAGAGAGUUCCACUUCAUUUAUGAGCAAGAGAACACUUGCAUUUAUUUGUUUACCUACUUGUUCUUGCCUUAAAAGCUCUCAUUUCUUUUCUUGGUGCAUUAAAUCUCCAUUUUGAUAUCCUUUAGUGCACCUUUGUGAUUCAUCUUAGCCUUGAGUUGUAUUUGAGCCCUUUUUUUAGCUAGGUUGAGAGUUUCAUACUUGUUAAUUGAGUGUUAAAGCCUUCAAGUGAGUUGAAACUUGUAGAGAUUAUGUGAGAGUCGAUUGGAGCCGAAAUCCAAGUGUAAAGGUGAUUAGAAGCUUGGUUGAAGCUUCAAGUUAGUGGAAUCCUCACUCAAUUAGGAGCUUGAGGAGAGUGGACGUAGCCAAGGAAGUGUCGAACCACUAUAAAAUUUGAGUUUGAUUUCUCUAACAUUGUCUCUUUAUAUUUGUUUAUCUUGUGCUUAAAUUUAUUGUGUUUAAAAAGAAUUUUUAAAUACCCAAUUCACCCCCCUCUUGGGUGUUUUUCUCUUUUAAAAUUAGCCUUUAUUUUCUCACAAACUAUUGUAGUAUAGUGGUUUUUAGGUGUCAUCCAUUAGGAUGAAUUGUUCUCGGUAAUUAAGGCGUGAAUGAGAGGAGAAUUAAUGAUUGUGAUUAAGUAAAAUUGAUUUGAAAAUUCAUGGUGAAAAAUCAAUUUAACAAUGGUUUCUAAUUGAGAAAAACAAUGAAAUGUGAAAUAAAAUAAAAUUAAUAGGAAAUGAAAUUCUCGAAGUUAGAAUUUUCUAAAAAACAAAUUCCAUGGUGAAUGGAUGUUGAGAUCUAAUUUUCAUCAAGUUAGAUUGAAAACCGAAAUUUUCAUAUAAACUGAUUUUUUAUUUAGUUUUAGGUCUAGAUUUAAUUUCCCUUAAAAUUAGGUUAUUUAAUCCAAGAAAUCAAUUCAAAUCAUAUAUUCAAUUCAUCUUAAAUUAUCUUCCAAUUAUUCACACAAUGCAACUAUUCAAUCUCAUCAAAUCUAGCUUUUAAGAAUUUAAUGAAUCUACCUAGUUUGCAUUGUAAUAGUCAUCCAUGACAAUUUGAAGAGAAAAAUAAUUCAAUUAAUCAAUCACUUGGAUCAAAUUACCUUUGCAAUUAAAGUUCAUUUCUCUAAUUCACCACAGAUUUUGUCUCUAGAUCCUCCUUUCUCAAAGAAAAAUGAGAUUUAGCCACACAUGAUUGGAGAUUUGGUCUCAUAAGGCAUGUUUAGCUAGUGAUAAAAUGAGAGAAAAUAAAGAAAAAUAGAGAAUUCGAUUAAGAAAGAAAAUCUAAAAAAUUCUACAAUUAGAAAUGUCCAAAAAGCUUUUUCAUGAGAAAAUCAAGUUUCUAUUUAUAGGCCAAGGUCAAGUGGACACUUGACAUCAUCUAAGAGGUCUUCCGGAAGCUUCUUCAUCAAGAAAUCUGGAGUUUAAUAAUAAAAUGGUCAUUUCACAAGAGCUCAAACAAUUUCGCAUGAUUAUGUGAAAUAAAAAAUGCAACAACAGCAAUUUACAUCUUCUUGGAGCAUUUCGCAUGACUGUGUGAAAUUUUCACAUGAUCAUGUGGAAUCGACUUGACAACUCUCAUUUAGCCUACAACAUAAUUCCACCUUUUGGUCCAUUUUUCAUAGUCAUGCGAAAUGGAAAUAUUUGAUUUUUAAGUUUUCUUUUGUCAUUUCUUUCAUUUCCUUCUCUUGAUUCCACUUCAACUACCUCCGAAUCCUGGUCCAAACCAAUUGCAUUACUUCUUUCAUUAUGCAUUUGGAUCAUCAUCAACAUUAUUUGUUCUCUUCAAUUUGAUUCAUCUCUUUUGUCACCAAUUUAUCAAAAUCAUACCUUGAAAUGACUCCAAAACUUCAUAAAACUUGUUAGUAACUCUUGCAAGGGCAACAACAUAUUAAUUAAGUGUUUUAGGCAUAGUUACUACUCAAAAGAUGCGAAACUCAUGAUAAUUAUUAUAUAAAAUAUGCUCUUUUUGAGUAGUAAUCAACUUUCUUGCAUAAGCAGACCUUUUAGGGUGGAGUACUAAAGACCAAUAUGCUUGUCCUUGUUGUAAUAAAGAAACUUGCUCUUAUUGAUUGCACCAUGGGAGAAAAUUUUGCUACAUGAGUUAUCAUCAAUUUCUUCCCACCAAUCAUAGAUUUAGACGUGACAAGAGGCCUCUUAAUGGCAAGGAGGAACUGACACUCACACUUAUACAAUUAUCGGGCAUUGAUGUGUUGCAACAAUUAGAAUAACUUACACCAAUUAUGUUGGGGAAGUCACAAAAGGCAAACAUGAAAACUAAAAGGAAAAAAGAAAAAUGUUACAUAUCACCACAACUGGAAAGAAAAAAGUAUUUACUUUCAUUUGCCAUAUUGGAAAGCACUUAUUUUACAUCAUAAUAAUUUAGACAUAAUGCAUAUUGAGAAAAAUGUGUGACAAUAUAAUUGAGACAUUGUUCAGUAUUGACGAAGAAACAAGGACAACCUAAAUAGUCAUCUCGAUUUACAAGCUCUAACUAUUAGAAAUGAGAUUCACCCAAUAGAAAGCAGGACCAAAUUUAUUUUGCUUGCAACAUGCUACUCACUCACCCCAAAUGAGAUUAAGGAAUUUUGCAAGUUUUUGAAAUCAAUAAAGGUCCCCAAUGGCUAUUCUUUCAAUAUCUCUCGUUAUGUGCAACUCAAUGAAAGGAAGAUAUAUGAGCUCAAAUUGUAUGAUUGUCAUGUCCUAAUGCAACAACUUCUCUCACUUGUAGUUCGUGGAGUUCUACAUAAGAAUGUUUGUGGAGUUAUCAUAGAAUUGCGUAAUUUUUUCAAGCAAUUGUGCUCAAAGGUGUUAGAAACAAAUCACUUACACCAACUUGAGAACAAUAUUAUUGUCAUACUAUGUAAAAUGGAGCAAAUAUUUCUUCCAUCAUUCUUUGAUAUUAUGGUGCAUUUACUUGUGCAUCUAGUAAGGCAAAGGUUGCAAGACUUGUGCAAUAUUGUUGGAUGUACCUAAUUGAACGAUAUUGUUAUAAUUUCAUAUGAAUCAUUUAAUUUUAUUUUAUAUUAUGUUCAGUUCAUUAACAUGUACAUUGGUCUACAUAUGGAUGAUGAUAGGUACCUAAGCACUUUAAAGUCAUAUGUGCGUAAUAGAACUUUUCUAGAAGGUUCUAUUGUAGAAAGGUACCUUGCAAAAGAAUGUACAACAUUUUAUUCUAGGUACUUGAAUGAUGUGGAAAUAAAGUAUAAUCACAAUGAUAGAAACUUUGUUGGUUUCAACACUAGAGGAGAUGAAAGGGGUUAUCUUUAAACAUAUUGGACAUGCAUUGGGAAAGCCCAUAUUUCAUUAACUUAGUUCAAAAGAGUGGUCACAAGCACAUUUAUAUGUGUUGACAAAUUGCGAAGAUGUCAUACCAUUCAUUGAGUAAAAAAUUUAUUUGAAUUUUAAUUAAAGCUCUAGUUUAUAUCCUUAAUCAAUGUUUUUUAAAUUCACAAGGAGCACAAGCAAACCAUCAAGGCUAGACCACAUAUACGUGUUUGAGACGUAGAUUUAAUUCAUAACAAGGAAUUUAUCAAGUGGUUUGAAAGACAUGUAAGUAUAUUCCUUAUUAUAAGGGAUUUAUUUCACAUUAUGUUUAUAUUGAAUCCAAACCUAUUAUUGAAUUGUAGGUUGAACAAUUACAUAAUGAAGGUCAUAUAUCUGAACACCUUCUCACAUUAUCAUGUGUUCCAAAUUCAUUAGUUACAUGCUUCAAAUGAUAUAUUGUCAAUGGAUUUAGAUCCCACAUUAAAGAACGUGAUAAAAAAGUUUUUAAAAAAAGACUCAGAAUAAUGGAAUUGUUGUAGUUGCAAAAACGUCAAGCUUUACAAGUGCAUGUGAUAUGAGUCCAAUUAUUAGUGAUGCUCUCUACUAUGGUGUUCUAACUAAAGUUGUUGAGUUACAUUAUCUUGGUGAAAAUAAGGUUGUUUUAUUCGAGUUUGAUUGGUGGGAUGUUACAAAUAUUGGAAAAUUGAUAAAAGAUGAUGAGUACAAUUACACAUUUGUUAACUUUGCAUGAAUUCUAACCACGAACGAACGAUUUGUACUUGCAUCUCCAGCAAAGUAAGUGUUCUAUGUGAAGAAUGCGAAUGAAUCAGAUUGGCAUACUAUCAUGGAGAUGCAACCUCAAGACCUCUAUAAGAUGAACGGGAUAGGAUCCAAUGGUGAUUUUGAACCAUUUCAACAAAGUGAACUACAUGAUCACUAAUAUAUCUCAGAUUUAGUUGAUGAAGAUAUAAUCAAGUGGAACAAAAGUGAUGUUUUAGGACUAAUCAUCCUAAAAAAUAUUGUAGUUUCUUAAAAAAAAAAUGAAAAUGAAGAAGAUAAUUGAACCUUUGUCAUACUUUAAAAAGCAACUAUGCAUUGUUCAUUUUGUAUGUUUUGGUUUUCUUCAUUUAAUUUCCUGAUUUUUGUGAUUCAAUGUCAUAUUAUUGAUCUUGAAAUAUUUUUCUAAUUUUUCAUUCUACGAUGGUUUCAACAAGGAUGACAUCAAGUCAAAAAAGGAAAUGUGGUCCCACACACAAUAUUGCAUUACAGGGAUUAAGGUCAGGGAAGAAGGUAAAAGUUGCAUUUAAUGAGUACAAUCAAUUGGUUAAACAGAAAAAUGGAAAACACUUAUCGAGCUACAUAGGGACACUUGUAUCUAACCAACACAAUGUACCUCUCCAAGCUAGUGAUUGGAAAAAUGUUCCAAAUGAUGCAAAAGAGAAAGUAUGGCCUUUGUUUUGGUAUGUUGUAUUUCUCACUAUAUGAUGUCAUUUCACUGUUAUUCUAUUUUGUGACUAACGUUUGAAUCAUAUGUAAGAAAAAUUUGAAGUAGAUAAAGACUGAAAAGAUUACAUGUUGGGUAUAGCCUCAAAUAAAUAUAGAAGCUAUAAAAAUAUGAUGAAUGCAAAAUACUAUGACCCUUGGCAUAAGGAUGCAUGAGGAGAGGUUAAUACAUAAAUCACCAUUUGUCUCUGAUGUUGAUUGGAAGUGGCUUGUCUCUGAUGCAUAAACCAAAUCCCCCACUGAAUGUUUGAUAUUUGAUAGCAGGAAAAACACACCCGCAGCUAUACACCUCCAUCAUUCAGAUAAUUAUAGUGGGGGAGAUGAUUCAUGGUUGCCCUUAUACCCUUUAUUUGCACCAUCUAUUGAGAUUCUUUAUCAUGGCCAGGUUUUACUGCAGCAAUAAGAUAUGGUGGCAACAAUUUUAUCUAUAGGUGCGGUUCCAGACCGCCUCCAUAGGUGCGGUUCCUGACUGCCUCCAUAGGUGCCUCUUCUUGUAAUGUUUGUUCUGGGAAUUACACUUGAAAGCCUUAUCGUGAUAAGGGAUUACAAACACUAGUUCAGAGGACAGCCAUGUUAAACUUCCACUAUGUUUGUGUCACAUUAUCAGCAGCCUAGUGUUUAUUGGUCAUGCUAUCUGCAACUAAUAUAACCCGGUGAACUUCAAUCUAAAUUCUGAAAGUACUCAUGUGACAGAUGGUGCCUUUCAGCAGAUAUCAUCAAUUUAAAAGUAGUGUGUGUGCCUAUAGGUGGGAAGGCCUUGGCAAAUGUUCAGUAUUCCGGUAAUUCAAGAAGGAUAUAUCUAAAAUAGAUUUUCUUCUUGCCCAUUUCAAUAGUUAAAAUUUGAGAAGAUUGUGUCCACAUCACACAAAUAUUAUUGGUCCUUCUGUUGCAAUUUACCUCUGAACAUGUCUUCCAAUUCCCACGGUCCUGUUACUCCAGGAAAACUAUUUCGGUCAUAUUGAAAAAAAAAAUAUUAAAGAAGGUACACAUGCUUUUAAGUGGACUGGGGCAUUCAUAUCAGGUGGUCUGUAUCCACAUAUGCCACUUCGUGAAAGGUGGAACAGCCUAAUCACUAGGCUAUUUAGUGUGGCCCAGCCACGUUAAUCAAGCACAAGUCUUCAUACUUAAAGUCAAAUGGUGUCUUUAGUCUCAUUACACAUCGCUAUUUGAAGAUUAACUCAUCACUAGUGUAAUGCGAUUAAGACAGUCCUAACUCAAUAUUUGUUCUAGUUUUGGAUGCAAAUGCUUGCUGGUUUCAUCAUUGGAUGGGAUAAAGGUGCAAUCAGGACUAUGAAUACGUGCAGUAAUACUUCAUUCUCUUUUUUCUCAAUGAGACUUCUUGGCACAAUUUUGCUGCUCAGCAACCUACCUUUCCAUGGAAAAUCAGUUGUGACUGAUAGUAAUGGAUAUAUUCUAGAAAGCUAAACAUAGAUAGCAUUCAAUAUUAUCGAUAUAACAUUAACAGCGUAUGUCUCAAUGCUCAUCAGCUACAAGCAAUGGACAAACACUUUGAGUAACUCACAGCAGUCAAAAUUCCUAAACAGGACAGACGUGACAGAUCUAUAUAUAGAACACUGCAUAUGAGUCACAGGAAAAGAUAAUACGGGUACAUAGAAGCUCUUAUUUUACAUAUUACUCAUACUGAUCAAAGUCGCUCAGUUGGGAUGGAUGGGAGAAGGAGGUUUGAGGGGUGGCUUGUGCGGGGAAGUUGGCAGCUUCUUUCCGGGAGCUGGUUGCUUCUUUGCUGGAGUUGAAGGAGGCUUAAUCUUCCGAGGUGGCUUGUAUGAGUCUUCAGCAUUCUCAGCAGGAGGGUGACCAGGGUUGUGACCAUAAUGUGGUGGCUUCUCUCCCUUAGGUGGUUUGCCAACUGGGGUUGGUGGCUUGUUUUCUGGGAGUGGCUUCUCUCCCUUGGGUGGUUUGCCAACUGGGGUUGGUGGCUUGUGUUCUGGGAGUGGCUUCUCCCCCUUGGGAGGUUUUUCGAAUGGGGUGGGUUUGUGUCCUGGUGGUGGCUUCUCUCCCUUGGGAGGUUUACCAAUUGGGGUCGGUGGCUUGUGUUCUGGGAGGGGCUUCUCUCCCUGGGGAGGUUUAGUGGGUGGCUUGUGUUCUGGAGGUGGCUUCUCCACCGGAGGCUUAUGCUCUGGUGGUGGCUUCUCGAAGGGGGGAUGCUCAGGGUAAUCACCAAGUGAGGGGGUGGUGAGAACCACCAUGCCAAGCAACAACACUAGCAAGUAUGUAGUAGACAUCUUUGGGUUUGGACUCAGACAGUGCAAAACUACGAGAAAUCGCUAGCCCUUUAUAGCGGCUCGGACCUAAUACUGACAUAAUAUAAAAUAAAUAUUAUAUUUUAUCAAGAGAGAACAGAGUGUAAUUUUAUCAUUAAUACCGAUCGAGGCCAAAGAAAGAAGACCCAUAAUCCAUUUCCCACAAGCAUACACAAUGCAGCUGUAAUUUUAUCAUUUACUUUUAUCCCUUGGACCACUGCAUUUUUGUUGAGAGACACAAUAACACAUUUUUAUCUGUCAUUCAACAUUUACAGUAAAGAGAGGGCACAAAACGCAAUUAGAUAAAUUAUGUUUUGCCUGCUAAAAAGAGGCAAAUAACUUUAUUUGCAACAUAAUUAUUUUGGUUUCUAGUGACCCCGGGGCCUUUCGGUUGGUUUGGGAUCGGAAAAUGAACAUCAUAGGGGGGGUUGUGCCCUUAUGGGCAUAUAUAUCUGAUAGCUUCAACUGGCCUUGUUCCUAGAAAGAAAUUGCCAAAGAUAUAAACUUAUUCCAGGCUGAAAGUAGAUGAGAGUCAUAAUGAACAUCAACCUUUGUUCAGUUUGAUUCAAUGCCCCCAUAGUGUUCAUUUCACAGAUCUGAAUGAUUAUAUCCGUUGAAUACAUAAAUUAAUGAAGACAAAUAUGAAACCCAAGAUACAUCUCUGCAUAACAACCCCAACCCUGGUUGCUAUGUUUCCCUUCUUCUAUUCACAUGAGGAUACUGGUUAUAAUUGUCAAACUUGCAACAAGCCCUUUGACACCUAACGUCAAUGGACGAAUUAAAAGUCUCCUUCAAACGUCUAUUUCACAGCAUGAAGCUUAUAAAGGAUGCUGACAACCUUCAGAGUUAGCGACAAAAGAUAAUUAUCAAGGAGAGAUAGUUCCAUGAGAAUUCCAAGGAGUCUGAAUCAAAGACAAAUUGCUCACUCAAGGGUUCUUAUUUUCUUUUAGGUACAAAUCUCUUGAGUGUUGUUAAAGAAACACGUCACUGUCAUUUUGAUUUGCAUUUAACAUUUCACUUUUGUUCUGGAAGGUUUGUUCCGGAAACAUAUCAAAUGAGCAUCAUUUUCUUCUUCGGUGACACAUGGUCGCGAGUACGUGGGUCCAUUUUCAUGCCACUUAGUUGAAAAGUUGGAAAGAAAAAACAUGCCAACAAGAAGAUAGUGAGAGAAGGGGCACUUCAAGCCUUUAACAUGAACAAACAGUAAAUAAAAGAUGUUUCUCCACUCAUAAAAGUGUGUUAGAUAGCAAUAUAACGAAUCACAUCCAAAAUCUUUACUAGGCUCAAACAUAAAGAAGACUCAUUUUUAAGAAAAGAUAAAAAUGGCAUUGUCUGAUAGUAUCCAAUACACGAGAUGGCACUUAAUUUGUACAAGAUCUGUCAAUGCUGACGCACAUUUUCUGAUUAAAAAAAAACUGAUCAGUCAAAAGCAAUGAAGAGAAGUGAUGACAAUGAAUGAUGCUUCCAAUAUUUUCACCCCUUAUAGUGUUCUUCAUGAUUCAGAUAUAUAAUUGGAAAUAGAACAACCCUAUGCCAUACAUUCGUCUAAGUAUGGUGUCUAAUUUUUUGUGUCAGCGGUUGCGAAUGGAGCGUGCAAAAGUCCAAAUUGGCGUCUCUCCAUUUCCACAUAGGAAGGUGACCUUUAUUGACAAAUACCCAAUAUUUGUAGACAUUCCUUAAAUAUCAUAACUUCUUGUUGAUUUGAAAAUCAUUUUUCAACUACCAUGUUUUAAUAAAUAUUUUUUAAAAUGUAUUUUUAUCAAAGUCCACCAUGAUGGAUAAUAUUCACCAUGCAAUAAUUAAUAAAGUACAAACUAAGCGAAAUGAAAAGCAUUUUCUUUGCUUUGAGUUGAUUUUGGUUGCAUUGAGUUGAUUUUGGUUUCAUGGUUUUUUCAACUCUUAUUUUGAUUGGAAGAUGUCAAGAAAAGAAAACAUAAAGAAAAAUUAAAAGGGAAAAAAGAAGAAAAAUAAAAAAAAAUAGAUUUAAAAGUUAAUAAAUUAUUUUUUAUAUUUAUUUUAAUUCAUUUCACUUAUUUUUCUUUUACUAUAUAAAAUUUAAAUAAUUUAAAUUUUAUAAUUAAUUUAAUUACAUUUCAUUUUCUUCUAUAUUUAAAUAUUGGAAAAAUAUUUUACUUAAUAUUUUUUUCUUUAAUUUCUUUGGCAUUUUGGGAACCAAACUUAGCCUUUAAAAUAAAAAACAAAAAAAAAAUGAAAAUAAGGAGGGAAAAGUGAGAAAAGAUAAAAACAAUAUGUAAAGGAUUUGAAAAGUAUUAGUUUGUAAUUACUAUUUGGAUUUCAAUAGUAUUUUAUUUGUCUUUCUAUAUUUCAUGUAAGAGAGAAUUUAAGAUAUUCCCCAAGGCAAAGCAUUAGUUACCUGCAAUCAGUGGUGAUAAGGCUCCAAGCCAAUUUUGGGCCCCAUAUCUUAAGACAGUACAAUUUCCAUUUCAACAUUUCUGAUUUCUCAGAUGUUUCACAUACCACAGAAGAACAUUGUUUGUGAAAAUAUGCAUUUAUGUUGGAUUUUGUAUGCUGUGGGGACUGGGGCAAGGAUCAUAUGGAAGAGUGGUUGACUUUUUCUGUACUUUAACGGUUGAAAUAGGAUAAGCACGGGCAUUUGUGAGGCUUAAUUGAUUUUGAAGCCUGAAAUUGCGUUUCUGUCAUUUUGUCAAAAAAAUGGCAGAUUCCAUACUCAUAUGUUUGGCCUGUGGCCAUGUACAGAUGCCAUUUAGUGACCAGUUUGUAACUGUCAAUCGUUGCGUUUUGACUCUGCCUCAACAACAUCUGCCAUUGACGGGUUUUCAUACUUGCAAAUCAAAUAGUCUUUCGUCCCAUCAGGAAUUUCGGUUUAAAUAUUAUUAAGCAUACGUUUGGCUGACAAUCAUUAUCCAGUUCAUGAUUUGGUUUCUUACCCUUAAUCAAUGGUUUCUAAGUGAAUAUAUGUAGAAGGAAAUCCGAAGUGUAGACAGUAGUAUCGAUAACUCUCAAUAUUCUCUAUAUAAUAGAAUAAACAGCGUCAUAGUGAUCGUCGCCUACAAGCAAGGUACAAAUACCAAAACGAGUGACUCACAUAGACAUCUCCCAACAAGAUGUAGUAGUGACUGACACAUGGACACAAUUAACUCGUAGAAAAGGAUAAGACCAUUGCACAGCAGCUCUUAUUUUACAUACUACUUAUGCUAACCAAAGUCAAUUAGUUGGGAUGGGUGGGAGAUGGAGGUUUGUGCGGUGGCUUGUGGGGCGGAGUUGAUGGCUUCUUUCCAGGAGCUUCUGGCUUUUUCAUCGGAGCUGAAGGAGGCUCAAUCUUAUGAGGCGGCUUGUAUGAGUCUUCUUUACUCUCGACAGGAGGGUGGCCAGGGUUGUGAUCAUAAUGUGGUGGCUUCUCUCCCUUAGGUGGCUUGCCAACUGGGGUUGGUGGCUUGUGUUCAGGAAGUGGUUUCUCUCCCAUGGGAGGUUUAGCAAUUGGGGUUGGUGGCUUGUGUUCUGGGAGUGGCUUCUCUCCCUUGGGAGGUUUAGUAGGUGACUUGUGUUCUGGAGGUGGCUUCUCCACCGGAGGCUUGUGCUCCGGUGGUGGCUUCUUGGUUGGAGGGGGCUUGGGGUAAUCAGCAAGAGAUGGGGUGGUGAGAACCACCAGUCCAAGGAACAACACUAGCAAGUAUGUGGGAGACAUUUUUGAGUUUGGGCUGAUCAGAUGAUGCAAAACUAAAGCAUUACGUGACCUUUUAUAGCAUGUAGCUCCCAAUACCCACUAAGUAUUGUGGGGUCCAUUUGUGCCCUACGGGGUUGAAAACUUAGACAAUUGGGCAAGGACCCACCUGACUAUGGAGGACUAGUGAGGUGUGAUCAUAGCUUUAGGAUUUUUCUUCCUCUGCAGCCGUCGUGCCGUUGGCAUGAUUUUCUUAAUCUUAAAUAAAGGCAUAGUUAUAGAGUUGUUUAAUCUCUAAAUGGGAUUUUAUAUAUAUCUUCAGAUAGCCAUUAAUAUAUUUGAUGAAGAAAGAAAGACAAGUGCAUACAACAUGUAUACGACUAGCUUUCAUGGAGUUCAUUUAUGAUCAGUUUUCCUGUACAUGUAAACCAGGAUCAUAUAUAUGUUUCUGUUCCACAACUAUUUUGGAAUCUUGUUUAUCAGUUUUUAUCAUUAUAAUGUCACAUAGGCUGCCAACUUGGGCGCUAAAAGAACCAGUUGGGCUAGUUCGUUUCAGAAUUUCAAUGUGGAUUCAGGAAUUGUUUUGUAAGAUAUGCGAAAUAGUAGAGGGAUGAAUAGUGUUUCAUUAAUAAAAGUGUCCUGUAAAUUAGAAGGUGUCAUAGAAACUAUAAUCAAUAAAUAACUUUUUUUCCCCACGGGUGGUGUUUCUUGUGGGGAUCAGUGACUGGUUUAGGUUCACCCAAAAUGAGUUCAGACUAAAAUUGGUUUGAGUCAAUGCCGUGUCUCUUUUUUCCAGAAAUCAACUAUUUUAUGCAUUGAAUAAAUCAUACAAAGAAAAUAUGAACGCCCGCAAAACCUAAACCCUGGUUGCUAACUUUCUAUGUUUCAGUUCUAUUCACGCAAGAAUAUUAGUUUAAGUUUGGGAAAAAUGGCAACUUACCUAGUGAUUACUUGGUUUUGGUUUGCGACUAUUUACGCAACCAACCAUGAGUUUGACUUUAACGUCAUGGGUUGAAGCCUCCUACAGGAAGGGAGAAAGCUCCACAGCUAGCUCCAAAAGAGAAUUAUCACAUUGAUAGCUCCAGAGAUUCCCAAGGGGACUGAAUCAAAGACAAGUUCCUCACUUUUUCUUCUUUUGAGGCCAAAUAUGAACCAAGGAUCACACAACCUCAUUCAACUUCAUAAGUUUGAUUUCAUGCAGUUGAACACUGGGUGAAGGCCAUGACAAGAAUUGAUUCAAAAAUUCUAUCACUCUUUUAAGUAAUGGAAGAUUAUUAUCUCUGAUUGGCAUCACAACAGCACAUGCUCCUAGAUCUUUCUAGACACUCCAUGCAAUGAAAGCACAAUGGAUCUUGUAACGAUAGAAACUAAGCCAUGCUACAGUACUAGAUGAUGAGGUAAAACUAGUAGACACGGGUGGCAGCCUAUAUGGGAGGGACACAAGUCUAAUUGAUUUGCAUUUCAGCAUUAUAGAUAGGUAUGUUUUGGAAGAUUUGUUCUGGAAAUACCGCACCAAGUAGGAUUCUUUUUCUCUUUAGUGGGUCCACUUGCAUGCCAAUUAACGAGUUGAAAAGUAUGAGCACCUACCUCGUGCUCGUGGAACCGAAGGUCAGUGAAGUGGGGCUCCUUUUGGCCUCGUGUAAACUUGAUUCAGAAGUGAAGUUAAUAGUCUUCCAUUCAGAUGGAUACAUGGGAAUUUUUCUCUUUUAUUUAUUUAUUUAUUUUUUUUUUGUGUGUGUAUGUCAAAGGAUAAUGAAUGAAGCGCGUUAGCUUGUUUUCUGACUGGAACCGCAGAUGUCCAAAUUGGAGUUCCUUCAUUUCUUACUUAGGAUUGUUACAUGUAUAAACAAGGUAUAAGAAAUAUGCCAACGUGUCUUGAGGAGUUAUUGAUUAGAAAUAACAAGUCACCCGACUGUAGAGUUCCAAGAUUUGAAUCUUCAGACCCUAUAGCAGCCUCUGGGGUACGUGGCAUCCUAUAGCAUAUUAAUGAAGGCUUUUUCGAUUUAGACUUCACAAUACCAAUUAAUAUGUAUGCACAAAAUGGAGAUGACCCCAAAAAAAACAGAAUCGCCAUAGUUUAUGAGGUUAAGGUGAUUCUCCACUUAAUAUCUACAUUAGCUAAUUAUGUAAAUCAAAUGAACUUCUAUUUUUCCUUUUUUUUUUUGGUUUAUGUCAAAUAGUAGCCCAUAAUUAACCCAACCAUUAGCCUGUUUGAAUUGAUUUCACAUGCACAAUGUUGUAGUAGUUCAUAUUUUGAAUUUUAUUUUUACAAAGGUAGUUAAGGAAAAUGAAGUAUAAUAAUUAUAAAAGCAGACUAUAUACACUACAAUAAUUGUUAGAAUGGUAUCUCAAAUUCUAAUUUAAAAUAUUAUUUUUUGUAAAAGAAAUAUUAUAUAGAAUAUUUCCUAAUUUUAUAAAUGAUUAUAAUUAGAUCUUUAUAAAAUAAGGAAAGUUGGUAAGAAUAUCUUUAUAAAUAUUUUAGGUCAUGAGAGAAAGAAAUGGGAUAAAAAUGUGAUGAAGAGGUGAAAUAAGAGAGUUGAUUAGGAUAUAGAUGUGAAGAAGAAAGGGAUUCAAUAUAUAUAUAUCUUUCAAUUACCACAUUAAAACCCUGUGAACCUUUUAUAUGGUUUACUUUAUUUUUAUAUUCCUCCUUUAAUAUAUUUACAUUAAUGCUUCCAUUGGCACAACAAUAACGAAUUACAAAUACAAGCAACAAGUCCCAUGUUUUAUUACCAAAAGCAGGUAAAAUCCACCUAAUAUAUUACAAUAUAUUCAUCCAAUAUUUUAGACCAAUUCUUCACCAUAAAUAUCAUAAUGUGGCUUUUGUUCUUUCUUAAAUUUAAAUUGAAUUGUCUUAUAUCAAUUUGUUUGUGAUUUUUUCAUUAACUUCACUUUCAUUUGGUUAUCUUUGGUUUUUGAAAAGUAUUAAGGAAUUAAUUAACAAAAUAAUGUUAAGAAAAAUAAUUUUCUCUCUUUUGAUUUUGAUUUUGUAGUAGAAAAAUAUAAUUAAAAUUAUUUAAAAAGUAUGUAAUUUUAAAUUAUUUAAUAUUUAGAUAAAAAAAAUAAGUCUAAUGAGUUUAAAAUAACAUAUAAAAAUAAUUUAUUUAUUUUAAAUUUAUUUUUUAUUUUCCAUUAUGUUCUCUUUCUCUUUUACUUUUUCAUAUUUUUUCUUACGAAGAAUCAAACACAACCUCAUAUUAUAUGUCAAGUGUUUGUCUAUAUUUGAGCAAUGUUAGAUACGGCCAUGGAUUCAUCAAACUAAACUGAUUUUAAUAGAUACUUCACAAAUUGAUUUAUACACUAAAUCAUUGGAUAGCAAUGAUGCAUUGGAAUUAAACGUAGGAUGAAGCUCGAAGAACACUGUUUGUGUAACAACAUAUUUAUGAAAUUAUGCAAAGGAUGAGCUUCGGGGUAGUAGUACAAGGUCAUUAAUGGAGAGCCGUGUUAAACCUUGAUUGUGAUUGGAUUCCGUUAUCAGCAACAGCAACCUUGUUUGUAACCUUGAAAGUCAUUCUGUCCACAUCGAAACUCCAAUUUGACGUUUGUAAUUACCAUUCCUGGAGUGUUCCUUGAUUGAAAUUUAAAUAAUAAUUGCGGCCCACAAGGAAUAUUUUCGAUUCUGUGGGAAUUUGACAAGGUUUGUUAGAGAAGACUGGUGACAUGUUGACUUCAAUGGUUCAAAUAGGAGACGUAUGUGGAUUUGGGGGGUUUAAUUGAAACUGAGUCCCUAUGGCUUUUUAAUAUUUGCAUUGAGCAGUCUCCAUGUGACUUCCUAAUUCCCACCAACCCUCCUGUCCAUGCUGUGAAACUAAAUUGUAAUUUAUCAGCCUUUGUCAAUGGUUUCUAAAUUAAAGAUAUAGACCAUGCAUGUACUUUAAUAAAAGCAAAUCUAAAGUGUAGAUAGCAGCAAUGGUGACACCCAAUAUUCUCCAUAAAAUAGAAUUAGAAUAAGCAGUGUUACAUUGUUCAUGAUCACCUACAAGCAUACAAGAACUUCCAUGAAUAACUCAUAGCAAUUGCCAACAGGGCGUCGUAGAGACUCAUACAUAGAACACUAUCCACCCAGAGGAAAGGACAAGACCAGUGCGCUGCAGCUCUUAUUUUUCACAUGUAUACCACCACUCGUAAUAACCAAAUUCACUCAGUUGGGAUAGGUGGGAGAUGGUGGUUUGUGGGGUGGCUUGUGGGGAGGAGUUGGAGGAGGCUUUAUUUUCUGAGGCGGCUUGUAUGAGUGUGCAGGAGGAUGCCCGGGAGUGUGACCAUAAUGUGGUGGCUUCUCUCCCGUAGGUGGUUUGCCAAAUGGGCUUGGUGGCUUCUCUCCCUUAGGAGGUUUACCAAUUGGGGUUGGUGGCUUGUGUUCUGGGAGUGGUUUCUCUCCCUUGGUAGGUUUGCCAAUUGGGGUUGGCGGCUUAUGUUCUGGGAGUGGCUUCUCUCCCUUGGGAGGUUUGCUAAUUGGGGUUGGCGGCUUAUGUUCUGGGGGCGGCUUCUCUCCCUUGGGAGGUUUGCCAAUUGGAGUUGGCGGCUUAUGUUCUGGGAGUGGCUUUUCUCCCUUGGGAGGCUUGCCAAUUGGGGUUGGCGGCUUAUGUUCUGGGGGUGGCUUCUCUCCUUUAGGAGGUUUGCCAAUUGGAGUCGGCGGCUUAUGUUCUGGAAGUGGCUUUUUUCCCUUGGGAGGUUUGCCAAUUGGGGUUGGCGGCUUAUGUUCUGGGGGUGGCUUCUCUCCCUUGGGAGGUUUGCCAAUUGGAGUCGGCGGCUUAUGUUCUGGGAGUGGCUUCUCUCCCUUGGGAGGUUUUGUUGGUGGCUUGUGUUCUGGAGAUGGCUUCUCCCCUGGAGGCUUGUGCUCCGGAGGUGGCUUCUGAAAUGGCGGGGGCUUGGGGUAAUGAGCAAGAGAUGGAGUACUGGUGAGAACCACCAUUCCAAGCAACAAUACUAGCAAGCAUGUGGGAGAC